rnacentral:lncRNA from 1 species
AAAGCGAUGCAUAGAACAGUUUUAUUAUAUUAUUGUGUAGAACUUAACAAAACAAAGACAUGAAUUAAUCCGAAUCCAUCUUUCUAAUAACUACGUCGCUACACCUAUAAUCUUAAUGACGUGUCUUGACCAUGAUAUGAGUGUUAGGUUGAUCUCUCCGCAUGGGCCCAACGGCCCAUCGGACCCUUGAUCCAUGUGCGCCCUGAUCGGGGUCGUCCAGCCCGUUAUGGUUGGUGGUCCCUUGUGAUCCGCGCUAUAUUAACAGAGGUGGGGCCGGGGUACGACAUACGAGAUUCGCCGAUGCCACAUACCCCACCGACAAACCCAUCUGAUCUAGGGUUAGCGUGGUGCUCACGGGAAGCACCACCGACGCCACCACCACUCACUGCCGUCAUCACCGUCGUCCCUCUCCGAUGGCGUCACGCUCGAGUUCCUCGAGCACAGGACAAGGUAAAACCUACAACUGCUGCCUGACCUAUCUUGACUAGCAGAUCCACGGGUUCUAUCAAUGGUAAUCAGAGCCUCUAGGAUCUAGAUGGUCUCCGGUAGAAAAGGAUCUCAAAGAAAAUCAAAGAAAAGAAAAUCCCUCCCCAAAGAACCCAAAAGGGUAGAAGUCACCGGAACUCUCUCCGGCAAAGAGCGCCGCCACCUCGGCCGCGCCUGUUCCCCUCGAUCCCCACACGCAUCGGCAAGCCGAGGUGUGGGGAAGAAGAACACCACCCCUCAUCGGGGCAAAGUUACUACCCCUCCGGGGGCAAAACAUAGAUCGAAUUAGAUCCGAAAAAGCAAACAAAAAAAUGCAAAGACACCACCCCAACCGGGGCAAAGGGCACCAUCACCGCGCCUUUGACGAUGGCGCGUUCACCUUGGAGGUUCUCGCGUGCGCCGACAAAGGAAUGGAGAUGGUGCCGUCGCAUCACGCGCCACUGCGGAUCUCCUUUGUCAUGUGGAAAGAAAGAAGGGCAAAAAAGGGAGACCCCGCUCAGCCUCUUGACGGCGACGCGCUCACCGUCAGGUGUUUGAGCACGCCGGCAAGAGGGAGAGGGAGGCCUCUGUGCCUCGAUUCACAGUACUGCACAAGGGAAAGGAUCCCAGCUCGAGCUCGCCGACGGGGCAGAGCUGCACUUGCUGCGAGAAAAGCGCAGGCAAGAGAGGCGGGCGGCGAGAUGUGCGGAGGAAAGGCAAGAGCGGCGCGGCGCGGUGGUUUUCUGCCGCCGUUGCCAGUGGCCGGAAGAUGGGGAACGCGAGGCCGACCGCGCAGCGGCACGGUGGCCCUUGUGGCCGUCGCCGGUGGCCUGGGCUCGCUGCCGUAAGGAAAAGAGAGAGGUAAGCGAGCGGCGCGCUAGCGUGAGAGAGAGGCGUGCGGCGAGAUGUGCGGGAGCGCAGAGGGGCACAACGCAGCACUGGGGAAAUUGUUACGACUAAGAUGCGGUCCUUUCCGAUUUGGGGAUCGAGGCCCCGAAUUAGAAAGAAGCGCAUCUAAGCGUUUCGCAAACAUGAUAACAUAGCACAUACAUAAAUAAUAGAGGAAUGACAAUAAGGGAUUCAACUGUCGUCUCAUAAAUAUAUCAGAGUUACAUCAGCAUCCAAACAAGGUAGUUCCGCUACGGACUACAAAACAAGGGAAAUGACUAUGCUACCCUGCAUGCUUGCCUAUGAUCACGACCACGCCUCAGUCUUCUGGAUAGUUCACGUACAGGCGGUCGUUCUCCUCAUCGUACUGCCACGUUAGCUGCGUGCCAUCGGGAUCACCUGUCUCAGGGGUACCUGAACCUAUUGGUGUUGUGAAGGAAUCUGUGAGCCACGGGGAAUCAGCAAUCUAUGACCUCGGUGCUAGAACUAGUCAAGUUAUUAGGUUGGGAAGGUGAAGUAUUUAGGUUGCAGCAUCCUAAGCUUUAUAUGGUGGCUAACUUACGUAGAACUUGAAUUGAAGGUGGUCUAUUCUAGCGGUCGAAAUAGAUGAUCACUAAGUGAUCUUGGUCACCUACGUACGUCAAUCAUAACCCCACCGUGUUCCCGAUCGAAGAGAGAUCUUCGAAGGGGACAGUCACGGUUACACACACAGUUGGCAAUUUUAUUAGCUUAUGUUUAAGUUAUCUAUUACCGGAUGUUAACAAAUAUUCCAAGUUGCCACAUACCCGCGGGCAUGGCUUUCCGAAAGAUUAAACCCUGCAGGGGUGCUCCAACUAGUCCAUCACAAACGUACACGGGCCGCAAAGUAAUCCUCUAUCACGAAUCUCGUGAUCUCGUCGGAUUUCUUAGAGGAAAACCUCAACUCCGGGGAGAACCAAAGCUUCACCGGGAUUCCUAUACGCAAGAUAUAUCGCUAAGGUAAGACAACUCUAGCAGGACCUGUCGUCGUGUCGACUACCCCGAUAAGAGCAGCGUAUCUCAGUCUCAGGACACGACUGAUGGAAAAGCCUACAUGAGCCAAACCUCAAGUUUCCCUGUGGUGGCCCCCGCAGUCUGUCCAUUUUGGACCAACACUCAUGAGGAGCACUGGCCCGGGUUGUUGAUUAGAGAUCCUCGGGGUGAUCAUUCCCUAUUCAGAUUAUUAUUAAGUGAUUAGCAAAUUAACACCAAUGUUGGGUCCUGCCGGACAAGUCUUAACACUACGCGAUUUAUCGAGGGGGUCCCCAUAACAACCCCAAACGUGUUAGGAGCGAUCAUUAUGGAAUCAAACACCGGUAGCCGGUAACUAAGGCGACAAUAACGGAACAAAGCACCCGGCAAAAGGCUAGGCCUUCCGUUAUUUACCAAGUAUAUAGGUGCAUUAAUUAACUAACAGAUUUAACAUAAUGAUAUCAAACUCAUGUUAUCACAUGAGACAAAGCACUUGCAACUAGCAACGCUAACAUUAGAAGCUGAGCAAAGUCUACUUAGCCAUUCAAGAUUUGCUAGGAAGGGAUAUGUGUUUGAUUUUCAUGGCAAUUCAGGAGGCAAUUAUUUCAGUUGUAGGCAGUGAGCAUAUGACAAAGGAAACGUAAUCUAGCAUCACAAGUCUAGAGAUGGAAUCAGGGUCAUGUCAUCUUGCGUGUGAUAUCCUCAGCUUGGAACUGCUCUUGUUCGUCCUGCACGUACUCUCCCGAAUCCACGUACUCGUUCUCCGAUCCCGGUGCUACCCAACAUAAAAAUAGCAUCCAAUGAACAACACAUGCAACAAGAACAUGAUGCAUGAGAUGAAUAUGAGCAUGCAUCUGUAUUCUAUUCACUAGCACAAUCAUGAGAAGUAAAUACAUGCCCCUGGACAGAAAUGCACUCUAAGCUAUCUUGACAUGCAUGAGAAUGACAUGAUCAGAUGCUUCACGUUAAAACGAUGCAAAAGCAUAUAAAGAACAGUACAAAUGGAGCUAUGGAUCAACGGGAAUCAACGAAACAAGAAAUGAAGUGCUACGUGUCAAAUUCAUCACAACACACUCCAAUGGCCUGACUCUGGUAUUUCCAGGUUGCCAAGACAUAAAAACCCAACAUGGAUGGGGUGGAGCAAAGAAGAACACCACACCAUCAUCUAUGCACUCACAAACAUCAAAAUACCAAAACUACACAAUCUGCCAUAAACAGCAUCAUAGCACUUUGAGAGCUACAUGCAAAGCACCUACAACCACCUAAACAUGCCAAAUAAGAUAUGUGGCAGUAGCUAUCCAAGAGUACGACAAGCACAAGCAAGAAUAUCACACAAAGGAGUUAAACACAGAAAGUUACACACCUGCUAACUUGCCCAAAAAUAUCAGAUUUCAGGGACUUAGUGAAAAUUCCAGAUUCUCAGUAUCUGUUUAUGCUCUGAAGCAUUUUGACAGCACCCAAAAUAAUACCUACAGGACUCCAAAUGGAAUGAAAAUUUCCAGGGAGCUAGAAAAACACAUAAGCUUAAACUUUCUAGUUGAAAGCUAAGGUUGAAUCACAACACAUUGACCUGCACAAGCUCAUCAACAGGAGAAGAAAAUAUAAACAGAUUCUCAGAUUUUCACUAAUCUGGAAUUUCAGCCACAUGCCUACUUUGAAUGGGCAUAACUUGCCCAUAUGGAUUCCUAAACAUGAAAUGAAACCAACAUGUGGUAGAGGGGGUCACCCUUAACUACCACAACCAAGAAUCAAACCCUUGGGCACACCACACCUCAUGGAACCAAGCUCCAAACAUGGAACAAAUCUAAAAUAUGCCAUCUCCAGAAAAUUUUCCAAUGGCAAAACUGAUCUCGCCAAUGGAUUCCUGGGAUGAUUCUACCCCAAAAACAUAUAUAAUACCUAUGCACUUGCUUGGAACAAAAUAGCACAAACUAGAAAAGAAAAUCUACAUGGAAUCAUAUCUAGUGAAUAGUGCAUCAUCACAUGUGCUAUUCACUAGAGCAACACUUGGUCAAGCUCUAGCACAUGUCCACAACAACUAAGGUGCACAUGAGGGGUAGACCUCAUGCUCAUGUGCCUUGGUACACCACCAUACACCACACAUAUCAAGCACAUGCAUAAAUUCACCCACACUUGCUAGAAUCACUACCACUAGCUACACUCCCAUCAUGCACUCUACUCAUACACACACAAGAUAGCACAAGUGCACAUCCAAGGCUCACCAAGCCUUGAGCAUCGGUAGGUCACCACUCCGUUACACACACAUCAAGAGGAGAGCACCUACACAACCACAAGGUGGGUGAGGGGGGAAACCCACACACACACUCACUAAACACACUACUUGCACCAAAAGGGCACAAGCAAAACACCUCCACAUCUUGCCACAAUCUCACAUACACACACUUGCACCACAAACCUAUUACACCACUACACCACACCUCACCACACAUGUAUGUGUGUUACCACACUCAUACCUACACAUACAUACACUUCUACUCUCACAUAAAUCAACCUAGGCAGGAAGAAAAUAACACAAAAGGAAAAUAAUACACCACAUGCACAAAAUAUGCUAGGGCAACAAAGGAUCUAAUCAGCGCUCUGGGUAUCGAACCCACAACCUACAGCGCCAAAACCCGCCUGCUCACUACCCUGCUAUGAAUCGGAACCUAACAUGGAAUAGGAAGUAACUCUGAAGAGCACCCCCUCUGCUACGAAACACUACGCCAGCGACCGAACCAUAGGAGGACGGCGGCCACUACCAUGGCGACCUACGACGGCUACAUGCUACUGGGGCGAAGUAGGAUCCACAGGGGGAUCCAUUCCUGCCUCGAACUCACCCAAAGGUGCAUCGCCACGCGCACAAGCCCUACUGCACUACCGCUGCUGCUGCGCUCUAUUCUCAGAAACAGAAUAGAGCAACCUCGACGAUGGCUCGAGCCUAAGCCGCACUAGAGAGGGAAGAGAGGGGACGACGUGCUGCUCACCGAGGGGAAGGAGAGGAGAGGACGACGACGCUGGAGGAAGAAGAGGCGUCGAUGAUCCGCUGCAGGAAGAAGCUACCGGAGUCGAAGAAGACUGCGCUCGUCGUGGACGUCGAGGAGGAAGCCCCUGCUACGGCUCUGCGGAAAAUGGAACCCCUCCUGGGUCCUCUUGCUCACGCAGCUAUGGGCAGGAGACGAGGUCGAUGCUAUGCCGACGUCGAGCUCGACCCGGAGCUAUCCAUGGCGAUGGGGACGACGGCAGGCUUCUGGCGGCGCUGGAGGGAGAAGAGGAGGGGGAGGUGGAACCCUAGCUGCAGGAGGAGACGAGCCGCAUCUUAUAUCACCUCGGGGAGAGAGCUGGAGUUGCAAGAUCAAUGUAAGGGAGAUCGGGAGGCUGAGGGCUGUUCGUACAUGAGUGACGUCGCCAGGAGGAAGAAGAGGGACGCCGACUAGGCUCCUGUGCGCGAAGAGGAGGGAAUGGGCCGGCCUAUGGGAGGAAGCCCACAAGGUGGCGUGGGAUAGAGAAGAAAUAAACCCUGGGGAUUUAUUCUAUUUGCAGGAAAAACCAGAGAAGGAAAUAUAGCACUGCAAAAUCUAUUGGGGUUAAAACAAAGCAAAAAUACCCCUGUUCAUGGAAAAAUAUGACCUAUUUGAAUAAAGUGGAAAAGAAAUGUUUGGGGCAAAUAAAUAUUUACAAAACAGGAAUUGUUUGCACUGUUUUGUGAAUAUUUGCACCACUUGCACACCUAUUUGAAACAACAAUUACACAUCACAAAUUCACCACAAACAAGAGCUAAAUCAGGGACAUUUUUAAAACAGAAAAGGAUCAAGUGAAGCUUGAUCUUAAGACGAAAUAGAUAGGGGGGAAAAGAUGGUUUUGAAACCUAAGCAAAUCACAAGGUUGUUCCUACUAUCACAUGCAUUCUCCACACAAGCUACACAUCUCACACCACCACAUAAGAUCACAAGCAUCACAUCACCUCAUAAGAACACAAUGCAACAACACAAGGACAUGGACAUGAAAUAAUAUGGCAUGCAUGCAUGCAAGGAAGAAUAACAAGGUGGCAUCACAUGAAAUCACAUGCAUUGAUAGCUCUCAUGUCAAUGACAAGUUGGACCCACAUGAAGAAGGUUCCAAAAAGGGAAGGUUACACACUUGGGGCAUUACAAACUCUCCCACACUACAAAAAGAUCUCGUCCCGAGAUCUACGCCUGAAAGAACUCUGGAAAUUCAGAAAGGAGGUGAUCCUCGCGUUACCAAGUAGCCUCUUUAUCGGAAUGGUGUGACCACUACACUUUGAGAAAUUUGACAGUCUUGUUGCGGGUCUUGCGCUCAGUCGCCUCGAGAACCGCAACUGGAUACUCACGAUAAGAUAGGUCAGGCUGAAGGUCGAUGUCUUGAAGAUGAACAAUGCGCUCGGGGGUCUUGAAGCACCUCCGGAGCUGAGAAACAUGGAACACAUCAUGCACAUUUGCAAAGUUUGACGGGAGCUCAAGCUGGUACGCGAGGUCUCCUCUCUUGCCAACAACUCUGAACGGACCAAUGAAACGUGGCGCAAGCUUGCCUUUGAUGCCAAAGCGUUGCAUACCCUUCAUAGGCGACACCUUGAGAUAGACGAAGUCAUCAAGCUCAUAAGACAUGUCACGGUACUUGCUAUCAUAAUAGCUCUUCUGACGAGACUGAGCUGCUCUGAGGUUCUCGCGAAUGACCCGACACAUCUCCUCAGCUUCUUCUAUCAAAUCAUUCCCAAGGAUCUGACGCUCGCCGGUCUCGGACUAGUUGAGCGGGGUACGACACUUCCUGCCAUACAGAAUUUCAAAUGGAGCCUUGCGAGAACUAGCUUGAUAACUGUUAUUAUACGAGAACUCCGCAAAAGGAAGACAAUCCUCCCACUUCACACCAAAAGAGAUAACACAAGCUCUCAGCAUAUCCUCAAGAACUUGAUUGACUCGCUCCACUUGACCACUAGUGUGAGGAUAAAACGCUGUGCUAAAGGAGAUCUUCGUGCCCAUCGCAGACUGAAAAGAGUCCCAGAACUUGGAAGUGAAGAUACUUCCAUGAUCCAAAGAGAUCAUCAUAGGCACACCGUGCAAAGACACAAUCCUGGAGAUGUACAACUCUGCAAGCUGAGCUGCCGAAAUGGAUUCCUUGACUGGAACAAAAUGAGCCACUUUACUCAACUUGUCGAUGACGACGAAGAUGGCAUUGAUAACCCACAAGUAUAGGGGAUCAAUUCUAGCCUUUCUCGAUAAGUAAGAGUGUCGAACCCAACUAGGAGCUAAAGGUAGGACAAAUAUUCCCUCAAGUUCUAACGACCACCAAUACAACUCUACGCACACUUUACGUUUGCUUUACCUAAAACAAGUAUGAAACUAGAAGUACUUUGUAGGAGCGAUAGGAUAGGCUUGCAAGAAAGUAAAGAACACGUAAAUAAAACUAGGGGCUGGUUAGAAAAAUAAACAAAUACGAGUGUCUAACGAGUGUGGAAAAUUGGUGGUAGGAGUUGCGGAAUUGUCCCUAAGCAAUUGACUACGUUACUAGCUAGAUCGAUAGCAAGUAUUAUGUGGGAGAGGCCUCUACUAGCAUUUCAUCCCUUACUUGGAAUUCUAUGCACUUAUGAUUGGAACUAUUAGCAAGCGUCCGCAACUACUAACGUUCAUUAAGGUAAAACCCAACCAUAGCAAUAAGAUAUAUUGGUCCCCCUUCAAUCCCAUAUGCAUCAAUUUCUAUGCUAGGUUUGAAGCUUCUGUCACUCUAGCCUGUCAAUACAUAGUCUUAUCAACAUACAACUAACCCUAUGGUGUGAUCCACGUGCGCGAUCAUAUGAUGGGCACCAAAGGACAGCAACAUAACCACAAGCAAAUUAAACCAAUCAUAGCAAUUCAUCAAUCACCGAUAGGACAACGAUAAUCUACUCAGACAUCAUAGGAUAGCAACACAUCAUUGGAUAAUAAUAUGUUGCAUAAAGCACCAUGUUCAAGUAGAGGGUACAGAGGGUUGCGGGAGAGUGAACCGCUGAAUAUAGAUGGGGGAAGAUGAUGGAGAUGUUGGUGAAGAUGAUGGAGGUGUUGGUGUAGAUCGCCGUCACACGAUGAUGUCCCGGGCGGCGUUCCGGCACCAUCGGGAGAGAGGGGGAGAAAGCCCUCUCCUUGUUCUUCUUCCUUGACCCCCUCCCUUGAUGGGAGAAGGGUUUCCCCUCUGGUCCAUGGUCUCUAUGGCGGCAGAGGGGCGAGAGCCCCUCCGAGAUUGGAUCUCUCUCAAUGUGUCCUUCUGUUUCUGUGCUCCCAGAUUCUACGUUACACCAUUUCUUAAAUUCUCGGAGAUCCGUAACUCCGACUGGGCUGAAAUUUUAACACGAUUUUCUUCCGGAUAUUAUCUUUCUGGCGGCGAAAGAAGGGCGCCAACCGCCUUAAGGAGUGGCCACAAGCCUGCCUGCCGUGGGCCCACCCCCUGGCCACGGCGACAGGGCUUGUGGGCACUCCGUGCAUCGCCUCACGUUGAUUCUUCUUCCCAAAAAUCGUAAAUAUUGCAAAAAAAAUCCCCAAUAGUUUUUAUUACGUUUGAACUUCGUUUGGUAUGGAUAUUCUGCAAAACAAAAAACAUGCAAAAAACAGGAACUGACACUGGAUCAAAAUGUUAGUCCCAAAAAUAGUAUAAAAAGUUGCCAAAAGUAUAUGAAAGUUGUAGAAUAUUUGCAUGAAACAAUCAAAAAUUAUAGAUACGACGGAGACGUAUCAGCAUCCCCAAGCUUAAUUCUUGCUCGUCCUCGAGUAGGUAAAUGAUAAAAAAGAUAAUUUUUGAUGUGGAAUGCUACCUAGCAUAAUUUUGAUCAUAAAAUCUAAUCAUGGCAUGAAUACUAAAACACGAGUGAUUCGAAGCAAUAGUCUAUCAUUUGACAUAAAGACAAUAGUAUUUCAAGCAUACUAACAAAGCAAUCAUGUCUUCUCAAAAUAUCAUGGCCAAAGAAAGUUAUCCCUACAAAAUAAUAUAGUCUGGCUAUGCUCCAUCUUCCCCGCACAACGUAUUUAAAUCAUGCACAACCCCGGUUUUAGCCAAGCAAUUGUUUCAUACUUUAGUGUUCUCAAACUUUUUUAACUUUCACGCAAUACAUGAGGGUGAGCCAUGGACAUAACACUAUAGGUGGAAUAGAAUAUGGUGGUUGUGGAGAAGACAAAAAGGAGGAGAUAGUCUCACAUCAACUAGGUGUAUCAACGGGCUAUGGAGAUGCCCAUCAAUAGAUAUCAAUGUGAGUGAGUAGGGAUUGCCAUGCAACGGAUGCACUAGAGCUUAUAAGUGUAUGAAAGCUCACAAAAGAAACUAGUGGGUGUGCACCCAACUUGCUUGCUUACGAAGACCUAGGGCAAUUUUGAGGAAGGCCAUCAUUGGAAUAUACAAGCCAAGUUAUAUAAUGAAAAUUUCCCACUAGUAUAUGGAAGUGACAACAUAGGAGACUCUCUGUCAUGAAGAUCAUAGUGCUAUUUGAAGCACAAGUGUGGAAAGAGGAUAGUAGCAAUUGUCCCUUCUCUAUUUUCUCUCUUUUUUUUGUGGGCUCUUUGGCCUCUUUNNNNNNNNNNNNNNNNNNNNNNNNNNUGUUUUUUUUAUAUUUUGGUGGGCAUCUUUGGCCUCUUUUUUGUAAAUGGGCUUCGUUGGCCUCUUUUAUUUCCUCACAUGGGACAAUGCUCUAUUAAUAAUGACCAUCACACUUACAACUCAAUACUUAGAGCAAUGAUGACUCUAUAUGAAAUGCCUUCGGUAGUGUACCGUGACAAUGAUCUAGCAUAGCAAUGACAUCAAAAAACGGACAAGCCAUGGAAACAUCAUGCUAGCUAUCUUACGAUCAUGCAAUGGCAAUAUGGAAGUGGUGGCACAUGUCAUGAGACGGAACGGUGCUAGUUGCGUGGCAAUAUAUCUCAGAAAGGCUAUGAAAAUGCCAUAAUAGGUAAGUAUGGUGGCUUUUUUGAGGAAGGCUAUAUGGUGGGUGUAAUGCACCGGCGAAAGUUUCGCGGUACUAGAGAGGCUAGCAAUGGUGGAAGGGUGAGAGUGCGUAUAAUCCAUGGACUCAACAUUAGUCAUAAAGAACACACAUACUUAUUGCAAAAGUCUAUUAGUCAUCGAAACAAGGCACUACACGCAUGCUCCUAGGGGAAAGGUUGGUAGGAGUUAACCAUCGCGCGAUCCCGACCUCCACACAAAGGAUGACAAUCAAUAAAUAAAGCAUGCUCCGACUUCAUCACAUAACGAUUCACCAUACGUGCAUGCUACGGGAAUCACAAACCUUAACACAAGUAUUUGUAAAAAUACACAAUUUCUCACUAGCAUGACUCUAAUAUCACAUAUUCAUGUCGCAAAACUAUUGCAAGGAAUCAAACAUAUCAUAUUCAGUGAUCUACAGGUUUUAUGUAGGAUUUUCUGACUAACCAUGUGAAUGACCAACUCCUGUUAACUCUCUAAAUAGGUAUAAGUGAAGCAUGAUAGUUUAAUUCUUUCUACAAAAUAUAUGCCCCGCUCUAACAAAUAUAAGUGAAGCGAAAGAGCAUUCUACAAAUGGCGGUUUUCUAUGUGUAGGGAAACAGGCAAUCCAAAGUUCAAAAGAUAUAAGUGAAGCACAAGAAGCAUUCUAUAAAGCUAACCAAAGACUAUAUCAUACCACCAUGGUGCAUAAUAUAAAAAGAAAAAAUAAACACAAAAGACGCUCCAAGCAUUGGCACAUAUCAUGUGACGAAUUAAAAAUAGCUCCGAUUAAAAUUACCGAUAGAUUGUAGACGAAAGAGGGGAUGCCUUCCGGGGCAUCCCCAAGCUUAGACGCUUGAGUCUUUCUUGAAUAUUACCUUGGGGUGCCUCGGAAAUCCCCAAGCUUAGGCUCUUGCCUCUCCUUAUUCCUUCAUCCAUCGUGCUCUCACCCAAAACUUGAAAACUUCAAUCACACAAAACUCAACAAAACUUCGUGAGAUCCGUUAGUAUAAUAAAAUAAAUCACCACUUCAAUUACUGUUGUAACUCAUUCUAAAUUCAUAUUAGCAUUAUAUGUACUGUAAUCCAACUUCACCAUGGUUCAUACCCCCCGAUAUUACCCAUAGAUUCAUCAAAAUAAGAGAACACCGCAUAGAAAACAGAAUCUAUCAAAACAGAACAGUCUGUAGCAAUCUGUAUAUUCCGUAUAUUUCUGAUAUCUCAAAAAAUCUGAAAAAUUACGAACGUCUGGAAAAUUUGCAUAUAAAUCAGCAGCGAAAAGAAUCAACUAAAAAGCUCUUCCAGAAUAAAAAUUAAAAUUAAUUUCGUGAGCAGCAAGUUUCUGUCUUUUCUCAGCGUGAUCAAACAACUAUCACCCAAACUAAUCGUAAAGGCUUUACUUGGCACAUUAUUUUUAAAAACACAAAGGAAUUGUACAAGGGGAUAAUUAUUUUUGUGAGAAACUUCCAUGAAAAAUUCUACAUUGUUUCCAUGAGCAUGAACACAAGUGUUCAAGGUUGACCCUCACUUCCGCAAUGCAUCACCUUUCAAUCGCUUCUCUUUUUGAAAAAGUUUUAAGGGGGGGGGGGGGGGGGGUAUUUUUUUUGUUUUUAAACUAAAUAAAAGCACUCAACAGAAAUAAAUUACUCUCUAAAACUUCCGGGUUGUCUCCCAGGCAGCGCUUUCUUUAAAGCCAUUAAGCUAGGCAUAAAGUGCUCAAGUAAUGGAUCCACCCGGAUCCCAAGGUAUAUCAAAGCCAAAUUUAAUUGACAAUGAUUUGUGAUUUAGUAGUGAGUACAAGGUAACAUAUAUCAAGCAAUGACGAAGUCUAACUCUCUUCCUAUGCAUUGGCAUGUCAUAAAAGAACAAUUCGUGCACACAAAGUAAAGGCCAAUACAUAGCAUAAGCAGUUUCUUGCAAUUUUAUCGUAUUGGAAACAUAGAGAGGUGGAGAUGUAGUUCCUUUCUCAUAAUAAUUGCAAGUAGGAUCAGCAAGCACAUGCAUAUUGUAUUCAUGAAAAUCAUCAUGUGUAAAAUAAGGAACUAUAGCUAGCUCAUCUUCAUAAGCAUCAUUCAUAUUGGCAUCAUGGCCACAAGCAUAGCAAGCAUCAAGUUCAUCAAAAAUGGAUAUUUCAAACGAAUCCAAGGGAUCAUAGCAUUUAUCCUUCGGUAAGAACGAAGGGAAAUUAAAUAAUGUAUGAAUAGAAGAGUUACUCUCAUUGGACACGGGUAGCUAGUCCGCUCUUUCCUUUUGUUCUUCGCUCUCCUCUUCAUCUUUUUCAUCUAAUAAGCUCACAAUUUCAGCAUUUUCUUCUUCCAUAGUUUCCUGCAAAAUAAUAGUCUCUUCUUGGGCAACAUAGAAUUUCUCCUUAAAUCGUUCAAUAUUUGCAUUAUAUUCAUAAUUAGUAUAACAAUAACGAAGCAUAGCCAAAUUUUCAGAUCGGUAAGGAGCAUCAUCAUUAUCAUCACAACCUUUAAACACAGCCUCAAUUUCAUAAGCACCCAUAAAAGCAACAAACUCUUCUAUUUGCUCCACAUCAAAGUAAUCAUAUAUACCAUUAGCAUAAGAAGCCAAGGUUCUAUGAUCAUUAAAUUCACAAGAAAAGGGAAGGUGUGGAGCCUUCACCCUAGAGCAUCAAGUAACACCAUAUCUCUUGCAUAGUUCCCAAGCAUACCAUUUCAACAAGUGGAUUUGAUCCCAUAAAAGUUUCCCUUUUUGAGUCAAGUGAUAAUCCCUAAAGUAUUCACGUUGAUCCAACGUGUAUCCCAUUAUAUAAUUGAAUGGGGCUUUCUCAUGAUUAUUAAGGAAGUGCAUAAUAUUUUCCACAUAACGAGCCUCGAGGGUUUUAGGAGGUUCCCCAUCUCCAUGAGUAGCAAGUACACCUAAUGUUUUUGUUAUUUCGUGUUCCAUAUCCAUAACUAAAGAUAGAGAACAACUUAGAACAGCAAAUAAAUCUACUUAGUGAUAAAGCAAACAAGCACACAAAAGGAUAUUCACCCCACGCUAUUGCUCCCCGGCAACGCCGCCAGAAAAAGGUCUUGAUAACCCACAAGUAUAUGGGAUCAAUUGUAGCCUUUCUCGAUAAGGAAGAGUGUCGAACCCAACGAGGAGCUAAAGGUAGGACAAAUAUUCCCUCAAGUUCUAUCGACCACCGAUACAACUCUACGCACACUUUACGUUCGCUUUACCUAGAACAAGUAUGAAACUAGAAGUACUUUGUAGGAGCGAUAGGAUAGGCUUGCAAGAAAGUAAAGAACACGCAAAUAAAACUAGGGGCUGGUUAGAAAAACAAACAAAUACGAGUGUCUAACGAGUGUGGAAAAGUGGUGGUACGAGUUGCGGAAUUGUCCCUAAGCAAUUGACUACGUUACUAGAUCGAUAGCAAGUAUUAUGUGGGAGAGGCCUCUGCUAACAUGUCAUCCCUUACUUGGAAUUCUAUGCACUUAUGAUUGGAACUAUUAGCAAGCGUCCGCAACUACUAACGAUCAUUAAGGUAAAACCCAACCAUAGCAAUAAGAUAUAUUGGUCCCCCUUCAAUCCCAUAUGCAUCAAUUUCUAUGCUAGGUUUGAAGCUUCUGUCACUCUAGCCUGCCAAUACAUAGUCCUAUCACCAUACAACUAACCCUAUGGUGUGAUCCACGCACGUGAUCAUAUGAUGGGCACCAAAGGACAGCAACAUAACCACAAGCAAAUUAAACCAAUCAUAGCAAUUCAUCAAUCACUGAUAGGACAACGAUAAUCUACUCAGACAUCAUAGGAUAGCAACACAUCAUUGGAUAAUAAUAUGUAGCAUAAAGAACCAUGUUCAAGUAGAGGGUACAGCGGGUUGCGGGAGAGUGAACCGCUGAAUAUAGAUGGGGGAAGAUGAUGGAGAUGUUGGUGAAGAUGACGGAGGUGUUGGUGUAGAUCGCCGUCACACGAUGAUGUCCCGCGCAGCGUUCCGGCGCCGCCGGGAGAGAGGGGGAGAGAGUCUUGAUGUCAGUUGUGCUUCCCUGGCAACGACGCCAGAAAAAUGCUGACUCCGUAACAGCACACCUUCCCUUGCAACGGCACCAGAAGAAUGCUGUUGACGGCCCACCAGUGCGUGGGAUCGUAGCAGUUUUCGAGGGUAGAGUAUUCGACCCAAAUUUGUUGAUCGCCAAACAGGAGGUGAGAGAAUACUCUAGAGUAUUAGCAGCUGAAUGUGUCAGAUUCAACCACACCUGAAAGAUUAGUAUCUGCAAGCAAAGUAGUAACAACAAAGUAGCGAGUAAUGGCAGUGGCAAGGAAUAGCAGUAGUGACAGCAGUAGCAAGUAGCAACAUUAGCAAGCGACAGUAGUAGCAACAGUAGCAGCAGAGCAAGACAAGUAACAGUAGCACAGCAAGACAAGUAACAGUAGCAGAACAAGACAAGUAACAGUAGCAGUGGGACAAACUCGUAGGCAAUGGGUCGGUGAUUUGUUUGGAUGAUAUUCAUCUUGCAACAGUUCUAACACGGAGAGAUAUGUGGCUAGCUCCCGUUCGUCAAUGUGAUGUAGGCAUGUGAUGACCCACAAGUAUAGGGGAUCAAUCGUAGUCCUUUCGAUAAGUAAGAGUAUCGAACCCAACGAGGAGCAGAAGGCUAUGGUAAACGGAUUUCAGCAAGGUAAUAACUGCAAGCACUGAAAGUAGCGGUAACAAGUGAUUGUGUAGCAAGCAAAAAGUAACAAGUAAGAAGUAGUAGCAACGGUGCAGCAAGUGGCCAAAUCCCUUUUGUAGCAAGGGACAAGCCUGAACAAAGUCUUAUAGGAGGAAAAACGCUCCCGAGGACACACGGGAAUUUCUGUCAUGCUAGUUUCAUCAUGUUCAUAUGAUUCGUGUUCGUAACUUUGAUAGUUUGAUAUGUGGGUGGACUGGCGCUUGGGUAUUGCCCUUACUUGGACAAGCAUCCCACUUAUGAUUAACCUCUCUCACAAGCAUGCGCAACUACAAAAGAAGAAUUAAGACAAAGUCUAACCAUAGCAUUAAACUAGUGGAUCCAAAUCAGCCCCUCACGAAGCAACGCAUAGACUGGGGUUUAAGCUUCUGUCACUCCAGCAACCCAUCAUCUACUUACUACUUCCCAAUGCCUUCCUCUAGGCCCAAAUAUGGUGAAGUGUUAUGUAGUCUACGUUCACAUAACACCACUAGAGGAAAAACAACAUACAGCAUAUCAAAAUACCGAACGAAUAUCAAAUUCACAUGACUAUUAUUAACAUGACUUAUCCCAUGUCUUCAGGAACAAAAGUAACUACUCACAAGACAUAAUCAUAAUCAUGACCAGAGGUGUAAUGAAUAGCAUCAAGCAUCUGGAGAGGAGAUGGUGCUGAUGAAGAUGUUGAUGAAGAUGCCUCCCCUCCGACGAGAGGAGUGUUGGUGAUGACGAUGGCGUCGACGAUUCGCCCCUCCGGGAGGGAAAUUUCCCCGGCAGGAUCGUCCUGCCGGAGCUCUAGAUUGGAUCAGCUCAAGUUCCGCCUCGUGGCGGCGGCGACAGCAUGAAAAAGCUUCCUAUUGAUUUUUUUUCAGACCAGGACGCUUCAUAUAGCAAAAGAGGGGGGCUAGUGGGCCUUCAGGCAGCCCACAAGCUUGCGCACCGCCACCAGGGGGGUGGUGGCGGAGUGGGGGCUUGUGGGGCCCUGGUGGCCCCCCUCCGGUAGUUCUUUCGCCCGGUAUUUUUAAUAUAUUCCAGAAAAAAUACACGUAAAUUUUCAGGGCAUUUGGAGAUGUGCAGAAUAGUGGACUAGGAUUUGCUCCUUUUCCAGUCCAGAAUUCCAGCUGCCUCAAUUCUCCUUCUUCAAAUAAUCCUUGCAAACUAAGAGAGAAAAGACAUAAAUAUGGUACCACAAGUAAUAUAAUAGCCCAAAAAGCAAUAAAUAUAAACAUGAAAGCAUGAUGCAAAAUGGACGUAUCAACUUCCCCAAGCUUAGACCUUGCUUGUCCUCAAGCGAAAACCAAGUUCCAUAAACAUGUCCACAUGUUGAGGGACGAAGGUGUCGAUAAAACAUAAUACGGACAUGAGGGCAUCAUGAUCACACAUAGAACAACAAUACAUCAUAAAGAUUCUUAUGGGAAAGUAAUAAUUCCUUCACAAAGCAAAGCAUGAAGCAAAAACCUUAUCGAGAAGUAACCAACAAUAAUCCACAGUCAUUGAAGCAAUUGCAAUUUAUCACAACAUCAGAAAGAGUCAAAUAAGAGCUUGUAAGGCAAACCCACAUACUCAAUCAUCUCUUUUGUUUUCCACAAUUGUUACAACUCACGUGGUACUCAUGGUGUCAAAGUUUCAGCUGGACACAGAGGAAGAUAGGGGCUUAUAGUUUUGCCUCCCAACCAUUUACCUCAAGGGUAAAGUCAACAACAAUAAAGCAUAAGUGCUCAACUCUGAGUUGAUAUAUGAAUAUAGAUCUUUCCUAAGCAUGUGACGGUAGCCAAGACAAAGGCAAAAAGGGAAUUGGUGAUGAUCACCAUGACUCUUACAUGGGUAAAAAGUAAAGGUACGAGAUAGUCCCUUCGCAGAGGGAAGCAGAGGUUGUCAUGCGCUUUUGAGGUUUGAAUGCGUGUCCUCUUAGUGCGGAGGAACGUCACUUUAUAUUGCCUCCUAUGAUAAAGAACUUUAUUAUGCAGUCUGUCGCUUUUAUGUCUUCCUCAUCACAGGUUCGUACAAAGCUUAUUUUCCACACACUAAUAGAUCAUACAUAUUAGAGAGCAAUUUUUAUUGAUUGCACCGAUGACAACUUACUUGAAGGAUCUUAUUCAACCCAUAGGUAGGUAUGGUGGACUCUCAUGGAAAAACUGGGUUAGAGGUUUAUGGAUGCACAAAUAGUAUCUCUACUUGGUGCGGGAGUUUUGGCUAAUAUGAGGUGGAAGCAAUCGUCACAUGCUAAGGGAUCUCUAAUCAUAUAACAUUGUUUGGAACCAAGCAAACACAAUUCAUUAUGUUGUCUUCCUUGUCCAACAUCUACUCCUAGGCAUGUAAUAGUUUGGUGAGUGCUCACAAUUAUAAAAAGUGUCUAAGAUGAUAUAUUUAUAUGUGAACCUCUCUUUCCUUAUUACUUCUUAUUAAUUGCAACAAUGACUGAGGUCUAUGUUGAUUUAUUCUCAACAAGGUUCAAUCAUCAUGCAUGUCAUAAGUGAAGUUAUCACUUUCCAUAAGAUCGUCUCAUGAUAUUUCAUGCUAUCGUUCUUUUCAUACUUUUGAUCAUGGCACAAAGCAAAGCCCUUGACUAAGAAACUCUUUAUUAUAUAGCUCGUAAGCUCGAAUACAUCGGGGGAGAGACAAAACCAAAAGACUCAAACUAAAAAUUAAAGACUUAUUCCUCUAAGAGAAGAAAUAAAAACUGAAAAGGAAAGAACUAAAACAAAGGUAAAAGCAAAAGAUAUAAAGGUGAUACGAUACCAGGGCAACUCCCCCAAGCUUGGCAGAAGCCAAGGGGAUUGCCCAUACCAAUGUUUAGUUGUCUUCCUUUGGGGAUGGUGGUGUUGUUGUCGCCUUUGAUUCCAAGAGAGCUAUCAACCUUUGAUUUAUACCUCUGAGAUUUGUGACAUGGUUUUCCAGCAAAACAACUUCACGAGAAAGAGAAAUAUUGCGAGCACGAGUUGUUUCGCAAAACCUCAAGAGUUCAAUCAAGGAUGGAGACAACAUGUGGAGGAAGGGUUGGAGAAAGUCUACUCCUUCAACGUCUUCAAUGUUGAACAUAGGUUGAACUUCCUCCCUAGCUUGGGUUUUCUCCUUAGCUUGGUCCCUGGCUUCCGUAACUUAUACUCUUUUCAGAUCAGCAUCUACUUCCUCAUGAACUUGGUGAAGAUCAUUCUCCCCAACAGAUUCCUGAGACAUCUUUGCUCUAAAUCUGCGGCAGAACAAGCUCGAAACGAAAACACAGGAAAACUGCGCUAUACGGAGAUCAAAACCUUCGGGCGACUAUAUAUUGAUUUUUUCUGGGCCAGAAGGAGUCCUCCGCAAGAAAACGGAGUCCGAGAGGCACAUGAGGUGCCCACAAGCUUGCCCACCGCCACCAGGGGGGAGGUGUCGGUGUGGGCCCUUGUGGCUGCCUCGUUUGCUCUCCGGACUGCUUUUAUUUUUUCUAAUUUUCCAAAAUUUCCAAAACUGAGGAAAUUUCAUAUUCGAAAAGUAUCGGAGUCCAAUUUCUUGCCGAAACAGAUACAUCUUCGUUUUCAAGGUCUGAAACAGGCUAAUAAACAUCCCUUAUGUACUCCUCUGGAGUUAUGACAUUGAUGAUAUUGGUCUCAACAUUUAUGGGAGUACCAGAGAUGUAAUGCUUGAUUCUUUGCCCAUUUACCACUCUAGGAAAAUUUGCUUCCGUGUUAUUGAUUUUGAUGGCACCGGAACGAUAUACUUCCUCGACAACAUAGGGACCUUCCCAUUUAGAGAGAAGCUUGCCUGCAAAGAAUCUCAAACGAGAAUUGUAUAGCAAGACAUAAUCACCUACAUUGAACUCUCGUUUCUGUAUUCGUUUGUCGUGCCAUCUCUUAACCUUUUCCUUGAACAACCUAGCAUUCUCGUAUGCCUGGGCUCUCCAUUCAUCUAACGAGCUGAUAUCAAACAACCGCUUCUCACCGGCAAGUUUGAAAUCAAAGUUGAGCUCUUUGAUUGCCCAAUAAGCUUUGUGUUCCAUCUCAAGAGGUAAAGGACAUGCCUUACCGUAAACCAUUUUAUACGGUGACAUUCCCAUGGUAUUCUUAUAAGCAGUCCUAUAAGCCCAUAGUGCAUCGUCAAGUUUGCUUGACCAGUUCUUUCAAGAUCUAUUGACGGUCUUUUGUAGGAUCAACUUGAUCUCCCUAUUACUCAACUCCAGUUGACUACUAGACUGAGGAUGAUAAGGAGAUGCAACUCUAUGGUUGACAUCAUACUUAGCUAGCAUCUUGCGGAAAACACCAUGAAUGAAGUGUGAACCGCCAUCAGUCAUCAAGUAUCUAGGGACUCCAAAUCUUGGGAAUAUGACUUAUUUAAGCAUCUUAAUAGAGGUGUGGUGAUCAGCAUUUUUAGUGGGGAUAGCUUCUACCCACUUAGUAACGUAAUCCACAACAACUAAGAUGUGAGUGUACCCAUUGGAACUCGGGAAGGGUCCCACAUAAUCAAAGCCCCAGACAUCAAAUGGUUCAAUAACAAGUGAAUAGUUCAUAGGCAUCUCUUGAUGCUUACUGAUGUUCCCUAUCCUUUGGCAUUCGUCACAAGACAAGACAAACUUACGGGCAUCCUUGAAGAGAGUGGGCCAAUAGAAACCUGAUUGCAAUACCUUAUGGGCAGUUCUAUCUCCAGCAUGGUGUCCUCCGUAGGCUUUGGAAUGACACUUCUACAGGAUCUGUCCCUGUUCAUGUUCAGGCACACAAUGUCUAAUAACACCAUCUACUCCUUCCUUAUAAAGGUGAGGAUCAUCCCAAAAGUAGUGUCUCAAAUCAAAGAAGAAUUUCUUCUUUUGUUGAUAGGUGAAACUGGGUGGUACGUAUUUGGCUACCAUAUAGUUUGCAUAAUCGGCAUACCACGGUGCACUAAGUGAAGUGCGGAUGACAUUUAAUUGCACAUCAGGAAAGCUGUCAUCAAUAGGUAGUGGGUCAUCAAGGACAUUCUCUAGCCUAGACAAGUUAUCUGCUACACAGUUAUCAGCACCCUUUCGGUCAACGACGUGCAAAUCAAAUUCCUGUAGCAGGAGAACCCAUCUGAUCAGCCUAGGCUUAGCGUCCUUCUUCUGCAUGAGGUACUUAAUAGCAGCAUGAUCAGAGUGAAUAGUGACUUUGGAGUCAACUAUGUAAGAUCUGAACUUUUCACAUGCAAACACGACUGCUAAAAAUUCCUUCUCCGUAGUGGCAUAGUUUCUUUGGGCACUGUCUAGAGUUUUACUAGCGUAGUGAAUGACAUUCAACUUCUUGUCAACUCUUUGUCCUAGAACAGCACCAACAGCAUAAUCACUAGCGUCACACAUGAUUUCAAAGGGCAAGUUCCAGUCAGGUGGUUGAACAAUAGGUGCGGUUAUCAGAGCCUUUUUAAGUAUUUCGAAGGCUUCCUCACAAUCCUCAUCAAAAACAAAAGGAACAUCCUUCUGCAAGAGGUUGGUAAGAGGCCUAGAAAUCUUAGAGAAGUCUUUAAUGAACCUUCUAUAGAAACCAGCAUGACCUAGGAAACUUCGUAUACCUCUGAUAUCUGUGGGGCAAGGCAUUUUCUCAAUUGCAUCAACCUUAGCCUUAUCAACUUCAAUGCCUCUUUCAGAGAUUUUGUGUCCCAAGACGAUGCCUUCAUUAACCAUAAAGUGGCACUUCUCCCAAUUAAAGACGAGGUUGGUUUCUUCGCAUCUCUGUAAGAAUCGAUCAAGGUUGCUGAGGCAAUCAUCAAAGGAAGACCCAUAAACGGAGAAGUCAUCCAUGAAAACCUCGACAAUCAUUUUAAAAAAGUCAGAGAAUAUAGCCAUCAUACAUCUUUGGAAGGUGGCAGGUGCAUUACAUAAGCCAAAAGGCAUACGUCUAUAGGCAAAGGUACCAAAAGGGCAGGUGAAAGUGGUUUUCUCUUGAUCAGAUUGUGCAACAGGUAUUUGCGAGAAACCUGAAUAACCGUCUAGAAAGCAGAAGUGUGUGUUUUGAUAGCCUUUCUAGCAUUUUGUCGAUGAACGACAAAGGAUAAUGAUCUUUCCUGGUUGCCUUGUUCAAUUUCCGGAAGUCUAUCACUAUUCUAUAGCCGGUAAUAAUCCUUUGUGGGAUUAGUUCAUCCUUAUCAUUAGGAACGACGGUGAUACCUCCCUUCUUAGGUACGCAAUGUACUUGACUUACCCAAUCACUAUGAGCAACAGGAUAAAUGAUUCAUGCUUCCAGAAGCUUUAAUAUUUCUUUUCUAACGACCUCUUUCAUCUUAGGAUUUAAUCUCCUUUGAUGAUCAACAACUGGUUUAAAGUAAGGAUCGGUUUUAAUCUUGUGCUGACAUAGAGUAGGACUAAUACCCUUAAGAUCAUCAACAGUAUAUCCAAUAGCAGCACGGUGCUUCCUCACAGUUUUUAGUAACUUCUUCUCUUCGCGCUCUGAGAGGAGAGCACUAAUAAUGACAGGAUAUAUCUCCUUCUCAUCAAGAUAGGCAUACUUAAGAGUAUCAGGCAACUAUUUAAGCUCGAACACAGGAUCACCCUUUGGUGGGGGAGGAUCCCCAAGCAGUUCAACAGGCAGAUUAUUCUUGAGAAUAGGAUGUUGUUCUAAGACAAUUCUAUCUAUCUCAUCUCUCUCCUCCAUAUGCAUAUCAUUUUCAUGCUCAAGCAGAUAUUGCUCUAAAGGAUCUGUAGGAGGUACGGCAAUAGAGGCAAGAGCAAUGAUUUCAUCUCUACCAGAAGACUCUCUUUCAUGGGUUUGUCUACCAAACUUGGAGAAGUUAAAUUCAUGAGACACACGCUCGAAACUUACUGUGACAGUCUGUUUAAUGCAAUCAAUGUGAGCAUUGACAGUGUUGAGAAAGGGUCUACCAAAUAUGAUGGGACAAAAGCUAUCUUGUGCAGUACCAAGGACGACGAAAUCAGUAGGAUACUUCGUCUUACCACAUAGGACUUCUACGUCUCUCACAAUUCCCAGAGGGCAGAUAGUGUCUUUAUUAGCUAGCGUAAUAAUGACAUCAAUGGGUUCUAACUCAGCAGGUGCAAUCUCAUCUUUGAUUUCAUCAUAGAGAGAACGGGGUAUUGCACUAACACUAGCUCCCAUAUCACAUAAACCAUGGUAACAGUGAUCUCCUAUCUUAACAGAAACGACGGGCAGACCAACUACAGGUCCGUGCUUGUCUUUCGCGUGAGGUUUAGCAAUUCUAGCGGAGUCCUCACAGAAUUUAAUAACAUGCCCGUCUAUGUCUUCGGCUAAGAGAUCUUUGAUAAUAGCAACACUAGGUUCAACUCUAAUCUCUUCAGGGGGUGCAAGUGGUCUAAUGUAACCCCUACGUAUCACAGUUGGAGCUUUAGAAUAAUCCUUCAUCCUAGCUGGGUAUGGUGGUUUCUCAGUGUAAGCACAAGGAACAACAGGAUCACUAAAAGCUAUGAUUUUCUCCUCAACUAGAUUGGUUUUGGCUAUGUUGCUUUCUACAGGAGGAUGAUAUUUAAACCACUUCUCUUUGGGAAGAUCAACAUGAGCAGCAAAAGAUUCACAUAGAGAGGCUACUAUCUCAGAGUCAAGUCCAUACUUAGCGCUAAAAUCUCUAGAAGUGUUUGUCUCAACAAAAGAUUUAACGCAAUCAAACUGGAAAUUCAUACCUGACUCCUUACCUUCCUCCAGCUCCCAAUCUUCAGAGUUGUGUUUGAUUCUCUGCAAUAAAUUCCAUUUGUGAUCAAUAUCCUUCUUCAUAAAAGAACCGGCACAAGAAGUGUGAAGCAGGGUACGAUCUUCAUGAGAAAGCCGAGCAUAAAAGUUUUGAGUGAUGAUUUCUCUUCAGAGCUCAUGAUUGGGGCAUGAAUAUAGCAUUGAUUUAAGCCUCCCCCAAGUUUGAGCUAUGCUUUCCCUAUCACUAGGCCAAAAGUUAUAAAUAAAGUUCCGAUCACGAUGUACUAAAUGCAUAGGAUAGAACUUUUGAUGAAAUUCCAAUUUCAACCGAUUGUAGCCCCACGAUCCAGCAUUAUCACAUACUCUAUACCAUGUCAACGCCUUAUCCUUAAAAGAUAAAGGAAAGACUUUCUUUUUUACCUCAUCCUCGAGCAAACCUGCAAGCGUAAAUAAACCACAAACUUCAUCUACAUAGAUUAGAUGAAAGUCUGGAUGCGAAGAUCCAUCUCCUGUAAAAGGAUUAGCUAGCAGUUUCUCAAGCAUACCCAAAGGAAUUUCAUAAAAGAUAUUUCAGUAGGUACCUCAAGUUGAGGAGCAACUCCUCAUGCUUCCGUUCGUGGUGAAGAUACCCUGAACAAACUCCUCAAAGGAAGAGUUUCCAUAGUGACAAGUGACAACAAAUUUCAGCCCAGUAUAUAAAUGUUUCCUUACCAAUUUCCACUUACCAAAGGCACUUCACUCCCCGGCAACGGCGCCAGAAAAGAGUCUUGAUGACCCACAAGUAUAGGGGAUCAAUCGUAGUCCUUUCAAUAAGUAAGAGUGUCGAACCCAAUGAGGAGCAGAAGGCUCUGAUAAACGGGUUUUAGCAAGGUAAUAACUGCAAGCACUGAAAGUAGCGGUAACAAGUGAUUGUGUAGCGAGCAAAAAGUAACAAGUAACAAGUAGUACCAACGGUGCAGCAAGUGGCCCAAUCCCUUUUGUAGCAAGGGACAAGCCUGAACAAAGUCUUAUAGGAGGAAAAACGCUCCCGAGGACACACGGGAAUUUCUGUCAUGCUAGUUUCAUCAUGUUCAUAUGAUUCGCGUUCGUUACUUUGAUAGUUUGAUAUGUGGAUGGACCUGCGCUUGGGUACUGCCCUUACUUGGACAAGCAUUCCACUUAUGAUUAACCUCUCUCGCAAGCAUCCGCAACUACAAAAGAAGAAUUAAGACAAAGUCUAACCAUAGCAUUUAACUAGUGGAUCCAAACCAGCCCCUCACGAAGCAACACAUAGACUGGGGUUUAAGCUUCUGUCACUCCAGCAAACCAUCAUCUACUUACUACUUCCCAAUGCCUUCCUCUAGGCCCAAAUAUGGUGAAGUGUUAUGUAGUCGACGUUCAUAUAACACCACUAGAGGAAAAACAACAUACAACAUAUCAAAAUACCGAACGAAUAUCAAAUUCACAUGACUAUUAUUAACAUGACUUAUCCAAUGUACUCAGGAACAAAAGUAACUACUCACAAGAUAUAAUCAUAAUCAUGACCAGAGGUGUAAUGAAUAGCAUCAAGGAUCUAAACAUAAACUCUUCCACCAAAUAAUCCAACUAGCAUCAACUACAAAGAGUAAUCAACACUACUAUCAACCUUACAAGUACCAAUCGGAGUUGCGAGACGGAGAUUGGUUACAAGAGAUGAACUAGGGAUUGGAGAGGAGAUGGUGCUGAUGAAUAUGUUGAUGAAGAUGCCUCCCCUCCGACGAGAGGAGUGUUGGUGAUGACGAUGGCGACGAUUCCCCCCUCCGGGAGGGAAAUUUCCCCGGCAAGAUCGUCCUGCCGGAGCUCUAGAUUGGAUGUGCUCAAGUUCCGCCUCGUGGCGGCGGAGAAACCACGAAAAAGCUCCCUAUUGGUUUUUUUUCAGACCAGGAUGCUUCGCAUAGCAAAAGAGGGGGGCUAGUGGGCCUUUAGGCAGCCCACAAGCUUGCCCACCGCCACCAGGGGGUGGUGGUGGAGUGGGGGCUUGUGGGGCCCUGGUGGCCCCCCUCCGGUAGUUCUUUCACCCAAUAUUUUUAAUAUAUUAUAGAAAAAAUCCACGUAAAUUUUCAGGGCAUUUGGAGAUGUGCAGAAUAGUGGACUAGGAUUUGCUCCUUUUUCCAGUCCAGAAUUCCAGCUGCCUCAAUUCUCCCUCUUCAAAUAAUCCUUGCAAAAUAAGAGAGAAAAUGCAUAAAUAUGGUACCACAAGUAAUAUAAUAGCCCAAAAAGCAAUAAAUAUCAACAUGAAAGCAUGAUGCAAAAUGGACGUAUCAGCAUGCAUUCCGUGUGUCGUCAUACGUGCUUAGGGAAAAGAACUUGCAUGACAUCUAUUGUCCAUCCCUCCCAUGGCAGCGGGGUCCAAAAGGAAACUACGGGAUAUUAAGGUUCUCCUUUUAAUAAAGAACCGGACCAACGUAUUAGCACUUGGUGAACACAUGAACUCAAACUAUGGUCAUCACCGGGAGUGGUUCCGGUUAUUGUCACUCCGGGGUUGCCGGAUCAUAGCACAUAGUAGGUAAUGCUACUGCAACAAAAGGCCUUCCAACGGCGCCAGAAAUAGGCACAUCGACGGGAGAAUACUUGGCUUGAUCUUUCUGUUGCGGCUACGCCUUAAGGGACUUCCUAGGGAAGUGUGCAAAGGAUUUCCCCCGUGGCCUUGGAGUCUUGCGUUGGUGUUCCCUCGAAGCGAAAAGGGUGAUGUAGCAUUGCGAUGGUAAGUAUUUCCCUCAGUUUGAGAACCAAGGUAUCAAUCCAGUGGAGGAGUAUCUCAAGAUCCUGCACAAACACAAAAACUUGCUCCCAACGCUAUGAAGGGGUUCUCAAUCCCUUAUAGAUUGUUUGCCAAGUGAGAACUGAAAGCAAUAAAGUAACAAAGCAAAGUAAAAGCGGAGAUGUAAACGAUGGAAUUGAUAGAACCGCGCAAAGUCGUGACGAUAUCUAUGCAAUGAUUAUUUCUAUAGGCAUCACGUCCAAAACAAGUAGACCGAUACUGUCUGCAUCUACUACUAUUACUCCACACGUCGACCGCUAUCCAGCAUGCAUCUAGUGUAUUAAGUCCAUAAGAACAGAGUAACGCCAUAAGCAAGAUGACAUGAUGUAGAGGGAUAAUCUCAAACCAAUGAUAAAAACCCCAUCUUUUUACCCUUGAUGGCAACUACUUGAUGUGUGCCUUGCCGCCCCUACUGUCACUGGGAAAGGUCACCACAUGGCAGAACCCAAAACCAAGCACUUCUCCCAUUGCAAGAAUCAUAGAUCUAGUUGGCCAAACGAAACCCAAGACUCGGAAAGACUUACAGGAUAUCAAAUCAUGCAUAUAAGAAAUCAGCAAAGACUCAAAUAUAUAUCAUAGAUAAUCUUAUCACAAAACCACAAUUCAUCAGAUCUCGACAAACACACCGCCAAAGAAGAUUACAUCGGAUAGAUCUCCAUGAAGACCAUGGAGAACUUUGUCUUGAAGAUCCAAGAGAGAGAAGAAGCCAUCUAGCUACUAACUACGGACCCGUAGGUCUGAAGUGAACUACUCACGAGUCAUUGGAGGGGCAAUGAUGAUGAUGAAGAAGCCCUCCAACUCCAAAGUCCCCUCUGGCAGGGCGCCGGGAAGGGUCUCCAGAUGAGAUCACGCGGAAACGGAAGCUUGCGGCGGCGGAAAAGUAUUUUCGAGGCUCCCCUCAUUUUUUGCGGAAUAUUUGGGAAUUUAUAGGCCAAAGAUCUAGGUCACAGGGCGGCCAGGGAGGCCACAAGGCCUGCCCAUCGCCGCCUCCCCCCUGGUGGCGGAGUGGGGGCUUGUGGGUUCCCUGGAGCCCACCUGGCUUGGUACAUCUUGUACGCUUUGUGUGUUGAUAAUCUUGAUUUACUCUUUGUCUAACGAUCUUGAUCAACCUUGUGUCUCUAUGACCAUUCUUUGGAUAAUACCUUGAAUACCAUCUUGGUCAUCAUAUAAACUCCUUGAACACAACAAAUGGACUUUAAGAAGUGCCUAUGGACAAAUCCAAUAAAUAUAACUUAAGGCAAUCAUUAGUCCAUAGGAAUUGUCAUCAAUUACCAAAAUCACAUAUGGAAAAAUUGUUGGAAUUAUGCCCUAGAGGCAAUAAUAAAUAUAGUUAUUAUUAUAAUUCCUGUAUCAAGAUAAUCGUUUAUUAUCCAUGCUAUAAUUGUAUUGAAUGAAGACUCAUUUACAUGUGUGGAUACAUAGACAAAACAUCGUCCCUAGCAAGCCUCUAGUUGGCUAGCCAGUUGAUCAAUGAUAGUCAGUAUCUUCUGAUUAUGAACAAUGUGUUGUUGCUUGAUAACUGGAUCACGUCAUUAGGAGAAUCACGUGAUGGACUAGACCCAAACUAAUAGACGUAGCAUGUUGAUCGUGUCAUUUUGUUGCUACUGUUUUCUGCGUGUCAAGUAUUUAUUCCUAUGACCAUGAGAUCAUAUAACUCACUGACACCGGAGGAAUGCUUUGUGUGUAUCAAACGUCGCAACGUAACUGGGUGACUAUAAAGAUGCUCUACAGGUAUCUCCGAAGGUGUUAGUUGAGUUAGUAUGGAUCAAGACUGGGAUUUGUCACUCCGUGUGACGGAGAGGUAUCUCGGGGCCCACUCGGUAAUACAACAUCACACACAAGCCUUGCAAGCAAUGUAACUUAGUGUAAGUUGCGGGAUCUUGUAUUACGGAACGAGUAAAGAGACUUGCCGGUAAACGAGAUUGAAAUAGGUAUGUGGAUACUGACGAUCGAAUCUCGGGCAAGUAACAUACCGAAGGACAAAGGGAAUGACAUACGGGAUUAUAUGAAUCCUUGGCACUGAGGUUCAAACGAUAAGAUCUUCGUAGAAUAUGUAGGAUCCAAUAUGGGCAUCCAGGUCCCGCUAUUGGAUAUUGACCGAGGAGUCUCUCGGGUCAUGUCUACGUAGUUCUCGAACCCGCAGGGUCUGCACACUUAAGGUUCGACGUUGUUUUAUGCGUAUUUGAGUUAUAUGGUUGGUUACCGAAUGUUGUUCGGAGUCCCGGAUGAGAUCACGGACGUCACGAGGGUUUCCGGAAUGGUCCGGAAACGAAGAUUGAUAUAUAGGAUGACCUCAUUUGAUUACCGGAAGGUUUUCGGAGUUACCGGGAAUGUACCGGGAAUGACGAAUGGGUUCCGGGAGUUCACCGGGGGGGCAACCCACCCCGGGGAAGCCCAUAGGCUAUAAGGGUGGCGCACCAGCCCUUAGUGGGCUGGUGGGACAGCCCAAAAGGGCCCUAUGCGCCAUAGAGAUAAAAAUCAAAGAGAAAGAAAAAAAAAGGUGGAGGUGGGAAGGAAGGGGGACUCCCUCCCACCAAACCAAGUCCAACUCGGUUUGGGGGGGGAGUCCUCCCCCCUUGGACUCGGCCGACCCCCUUGGGGCUCCUUGAGCCCCAAGGCAAGGUCCCCUCCCUCCCACCUAUAUAUACGGAGGUUUUAGGGCUGAUUUGGGACGACUUUCCCACGGCAGCCCGACCACAUACCUCCACGGUUUUUCCUCUAGAUCGCGUUUCUGCGGAGCUCGGGCGGAGCCCUGCUGAGACAAGGUCAUCACCAACCUCCGGAGCGCCGUCACGCUGCCGGAUAACUUUUCUACCUCUCCGUCUCUCUUGCUAGAUCAAGAAGGCCGAGAUCAUCGUCGAGCUGUACGUGUGCUGAACGCGGAGGUGCCGUCCGUUUGGUACUAGAUCGUGGGACUGAUCGCGGGAUUGUUCGCGGGGCGGAUCGAGGGACGUGAGGACGUUCCACUACAUCAACCGCGUUCACUAACGCUUCUGCUGUAUGAUCUAGAAGGGUACGUAGAUCACUCAUCCCCUCUCGUAGAUGGACAUCACCAUGAUAGGUCUUCGUGCGCGUAGGAAAAUUUUUGUUUCUCGUGCGACGUUCCCCAACAGUGGCAUCAUGAGCUAGGUUCAUGCGUAGAUGUCUUCUCGAGUAGAACACAAAAGUUUUUGUGGGCGGUGAUGUGCGUUUUGCUGCCCUCCUUAGUCUUUUCUUGAUUCCGCGGUAUUGUUGGAUUGAAGCGGCUUGGACCAACAUUACUCGUACGCUUACGAGAGACUGGUUUCAUCGUUACGAGUAACUCCGUUGCUCAAAGAUGACUGGCAAGUGUCGGUUUCUCCAACUUUAGUUGAAUCAGAUUUGACCGAGGAGGUCCUUGGAUGAGGUUAAAUAGCAACUCAUAUAUCUCCGUUGUGGUGUUUGCGUAAGUAAGAUGCGAUCCUACUAGAUACCCAUGGUCACGACGUAAAACAUGCAACAACAAACUUAGAGGACGUCUAACUUGUUUUUGCAGGGUAUGCUUGUGAUGUGAUAUGGCCAAUGAUGUGAUGUGAUAUAUUGGAUGUAUGAGAUGAUCAUGUUGUAAUAGAAAUAUCGACUUGCACGUCGAUGGUACGACAACCGGCAGGAGCCAUAGGGUUGUCUUUAUACUAACGUGUGUGCUUGCAGAUGCGUUUACUAUUUUGCUAGGAUGUAGCUUUAGUAGUAAUAGAAUGAGUAGCACGACAACCCCGAUGGCAACACGUUGAUGGAGAUCAUGGUGUGGCGCCGGUGACAAGAAGAUCGUGCCGGUGCUUUGGUGAUGGAGAUCAAGAAGCACGUGAUGAUGGCCAUAUCAUGUCACUUAUGAAUUGCAUGUGAUGUUAAUCCUUUUAUUGCACCUUAUUUUUCUUAGAACGAUGGUAGCAUUAUGAGGUGAUCUCUCACUAAAAUUUCAAGACGAAAUUGUGUUCUCCCCGACUGUGCACCGUUCCUACAGUUCGUCGUUUCGAGACACCACGUGAUCGGGUGUGAUAGACUCAACGUUCACAUACAACGGGUGCAAAACAGUUGCGCACGCGGAACACUCGGGUUAAGCUUGACGAGCCUAGCAUGUGCAGACAUGGCCUCGGAACACAUGAGACCGAAAGGUCGAUCAUGAAUCAUAUAGAUGAUAUGAUUAGCAUAGGGAUGCUUACCACUGAAACUAUACUCAACUCACGUGAUGAUCGGACUUGAGCUAGUGUAAGUGGAUCAUGAACCACUCAAAUGACUAGAGAGAUGUACUUUUUGAGUGGGAGUUUAGCGAAUAAUUUGAUUAAGUUAAACUCUAAUUAUCUUGAACAUAGUCUAAGUCCACUUUGAAUAUAUUUGUGUUGUAGAUCAUGGCUCACGCGACAGUCAUCCUGAAUUUUAAUACGUUCCUAGAGAAAGCUAAGUUGAAAGAUGAUGGAAGCAACUUUGUAGACUGGGCUCGUAAUCUUAAGCUAAUCUUACAAGCUGGGAAGAAGGAUUAUGUCCUUAAUGCUGCGUUAGGAGAUGAACCACCCGCUACGGCUGAUCAGGAUGUUAAGAACGCUUGGUUAGCACGUAAGGAGGACCACUCAAUAGUUCAAUGUGCAGUCUUGUAUGGCUUAGAACCGGGACUUCAACGUCGCUUUGAGCGUCAUGAAGCAUUUGAGAUGUUCCAGGAGUUGGAGUUUAUUUUUUAGAAGAACGCCCGGAUCGAGAGGUAUGAGACCUCCGAUAAAUUCUAUGCUUGCAAGAUGGAGGAAAACUCAUUUGUCAGUGAACAUGUGCUCAAAAUGUCUGGGUACUCAAACCGUCUAGCUGAGCUGGGGAUUGAACUCCCGCAAGAAGCUAUCACUGACAGAAUCCUUCAAUCACUACCGCCGAGCUAUAAAGGCUUUGUGUUGAACUACAACAUGCAAGGGAUGAACAAGUCUCCCGGCGAGUUGUUUGCGAUGCUGAAAGUCACAAAGUCUGAACUCCGUAAAGAGCAUCAAGUGUUGAUGGUGAAUAAGACCACUAGUUUCAAGAGAAACGGCAAAGGCAAGAAGGGAAAUUCGAAGAAGAGCGGCAAGCCUGUUGCCAAUCCGACGAAGAAACCCAAAGCUGGACCUAAGCCGGAAAUGGAGUGUUACUAUUGCAAGGGUAUGGGUCACUGGAAGCGCAAUUGCCCCAAGUAUCUGGCAGAUAAGAAGGCGGGCAAAGAAAAAUCAGGUAUAUUUGAUAUACAUGUUAUUGAUGUGUACUUAAAAGGCUCUCGUAGUAGUGCCUGGGUAUUCGAUACCGGUUCUGUUGCUCAUAUUUGCAACUCGAAACAGGAACUGCGGAAUAGGCGAAGGCUGGCGAAAGAUGAAGUGACGAUGCGCGUAGGAAAUGGUUCCAAGGUUGAUGCAAUCGCCGUCUGCACAGUGUCACUUCAGUUACCGUCAGGAUUAGUGAUGAACUUAAAUCAUUGUUAUUUAGUGCCUGCGUUGAGCAUGAACAUUAUAUCUGGAUCUUGUUUAUUGCGAGACGGUUACUCUUUUAAGUCAGAGAAUAAUGGUUGUUCUAUUUCUAUGAGUAACAUCUUUUAUGGUCAUGCACCGAAUGUGAGAGGAUUGUUCAUAUUGAAUCUUGAUAGCGAUACGCAUAUACAUAACAUUGAGACCAAAAGAGUUAGAGUUAACAAUGAUAGCGCCAUAUUUUUGUGGCACUGCCGCUUAGGUCAUAUUGGUGUAAAGCGCAUGAAGAAACUCCAUGCUGAUGGAAUUUUGGAGUCACUUGACUUUGAUUCACUUGACACGUGCGAACCAUGCCUCAUGGGCAAGAUGACCAAGACUCCGUUCUCAGGAACAAUGGAGCGUGCAAGUGACUUGUUGGAAAUCAUACAUACCGAUGUGUGUGGUCCGAUGAGCGUGGAGGCACGCGGCGGAUAUCGUUAUUUUCUCACCUUCACUGACGAUUUAAGUAGAUAUGGUUAUGUCUACUUGAUGAAGCACAAGUCUGAAACAUUUGAAAAGUUCAAGCAAUUUCAGAGUGAAGUGGAAAAUCAUCGUAACAAGAAGAUCAAGUUCCAACGGUCUGAUCGUGGGGGUGAAUAUCUGAGUUUCGAGUUUGGUGCUCACUUGAGACAAUGUGGAAUUGUUUCACAGUUAACACCGCCUGGAACACCACAGCGUAAUGGUGUGUCCGAACAUCGUAAUCGUACUUUAUUAGAGAUGGUGCGAUCUAUGAUGUCUCUUACUGAUUUGCCAUUAUCAUUUUGGGGCUAUGCAUUAGAAACAGCUGCAUUCACUUUAAAUAGGGCACCAUCAAAAUCCGUUGAGACGACACCAUACGAACUAUGGUAUGGCAAAAGGCCAAAGUUGUCGUUUCUUAAAGUUUGGGGAUGUGAUGCUUAUGUCAAAAAGCUUCAGCCUGAAAAGCUGGAACCCAAAGCGGAAAAGUGCGUCUUCAUAGGUUACCCAAAAGAGACAGUUGGGUACACCUUCUAUCUCAAAUCCGAGGGCAAAGUGUUUGUUGCUAAAAACGGAGCUUUUCUCGAGAAGGAGUUUCUCGAGAGAGAAUUGAGUGGGAGAAAGAUAGAACUUGACGAGGUUGUCGAACCUCUCAUCCCUCUGGAUGGUGGCGCAGGGCAAGGGGAAACCUCUAUCGAUGCGACGCCGGUUGAGGAGGAAGUUAAUGAUGAUGAUCAUGAAACUCCAGUUCAAGUUUCUAUUGAACCAUGCAGGUCGACGAGAUCAUGUGCUGCUCCAGAGUGGUACGGUAAUCCCGUCUUGUCAAUCUUGUUGUUAGACAACAAUGAACCUGCAAAUUAUGAAGAAGCAAUGGUGGGCCCAGAUUCCAACAAAUGGCUAGAAGCCAUGAAGUCCGAGAUAGGAUCCAUGUAUGAGAACAAAGUGUGGACUUUGGAGGUACUACCUGAGGGCCGCAAGGCUAUUCAGAACAAAUGGAUUUUUAAGAGGAAGACGGACGCUGACGGCAAUGUGACCGUUUAUAAAGCUCGACUUGUGGCAAAGGGUUUUUCACAAAUUCAAGGAGUUGACUACGAUGAGACUUUCUCACCCGUAGCGAUGCUUAAGUCCGUCAGAAUCAUGUUAGCAAUAGCUAGAUUUUUCGAUUAUGAAAUCUGGCAGAUGGAUGUCAAAACGGCGUUCCUUAACGGUUUCCUUAAGGAAGAGUUGUAUAUGAUACAACCCGAAGGUUUUGUCGAUCCUAAGAAUGCUGACAAGGUGUGCAAGCUCCAGCGAUUCAUUUAUGGACUGGUGCAAGCAUCUCGGAGUUGGAACAAACGCUUUGAUGAGGUGAUCAAAGCAUUUGGGUUUAUACAAGUGGUUGGAGAAUCUUGUAUUUACAAGAAAGGGAGUGGGAGCUCUAUGGCGUUUCUAAUAUUAUAUGUGGAUGACAUAUUACUGAUUGGAAACAAUGUAGAGUUAUUGGAGAGCAUAAAAGGUUACUUGAAUAAAAGUUUCUCUAUGAAGGACCUAGGAGAAGCUGCUUACAUUCUAGGCAUUAAGAUCUAUAGGGAUAGAUCAAAACGCCUGAUAGGACUUUCACAAAGCAUAUACCUUGAUAAAGUUUUGAAGAGGUUCAAAAUGGAACAGUCCAAGAAAGGGUUCUUGCCAGUUUUACAAGGUACGAGAUUGAGUAAGACUCAGUGCCCAGCAACUGAUGAAGAUAGAGAGCAUAUGCGCUCUAUCCCCUAUGCUUCAGCCAUAGGUUCUAUCAUGUAUGCGAUGCUGUGCACUAGACCGGAUGUUAGCCUGGCAAUAAGUAUGGCAGGUAGGUUCCAGAGUAAUCCAGGAGUGGAUCACUGGACAGCGGUCAAGAAUAUCCUGAAGUACCUGAAAAGGACUAAGGAGAUGUUUCUCGUGUUGGAGGUGACGAAGAGCUCGCCGUAAAAGGUUACGUCGAUGCAAGCUUUGACACAGAUCCGGANAUGAAGCACAAGUCUGAAACAUUUGAAAAGUUCAAGCAAUUUCAGAGUGAAGUGGAAAAUCAUCGUAACAAGAAGAUCAAGUUCCAACGGUCUGAUCGUGGGGGUGAAUAUCUGAGUUUCGAGUUUGGUGCUCACUUGAGACAAUGUGGAAUUGUUUCACAGUUAACACCGCCUGGAACACCACAGCGUAAUGGUGUGUCCGAACAUCGUAAUCGUACUGUAUUAGAGAUGGUGCGAUCUAUGAUGUCUCUUUCUGAUUUGGCUUUAUCUUUUUGUGGGUAUGCAUUAGAAACAGCUGCAUUCACUUUAAAUAGGGCACCAUCAAAAUCCGUUGAGACGACACCAUACGAACUAUGGUAUGGCAAAAGGCCAAAGUUGUCGUUUCUUAAAGUUUGGGGAUGUGAUGCUUAUGUCAAAAAGCUUCAGCCUGAAAAGCUGGAACCCAAAGCGGAAAAGUGCGUCUUCAUAGGUUACCCAAAAGAGACAGUUGGGUACACCUUCUAUCUCAAAUCCGAGGGCAAAGUGUUUGUUGCUAAAAACGGAGCUUUUCUCGAGAAGGAGUUUCUCGAGAGAGAAUUGAGUGGGAGAAAGAUAGAACUUGACGAGGUUGUCGAACCUCUCAUCCCUCUGGAUGGUGGCGCAGGGCAAGGGGAAACCUCUAUCGAUGCGACGCCGGUUGAGGAGGAAGUUAAUGAUGAUGAUCAUGAAACUCCAGUUCAAGUUUCUAUUGAACCAUGCAGGUCGACGAGAUCAUGUGCUGCUCCAGAGUGGUACGGUAAUCCCGUCUUGUCAAUCUUGUUGUUAGACAACAAUGAACCUGCAAAUUAUGAAGAAGCAAUGGUGGGCCCAGAUUCCAACAAAUGGCUAGAAGCCAUGAAGUCCGAGAUAGGAUCCAUGUAUGAGAACAAAGUGUGGACUUUGGAGGUACUACCUGAGGGCCGCAAGGCUAUUCAGAACAAAUGGAUUUUUAAGAGGAAGACGGACGCUGACGGCAAUGUGACCGUUUAUAAAGCUCGACUUGUGGCAAAGGGUUUUUCACAAAUUCAAGGAGUUGACUACGAUGAGACUUUCUCACCCGUAGCGAUGCUUAAGUCCGUCAGAAUCAUGUUAGCAAUAGCUAGAUUUUUCGAUUAUGAAAUCUGGCAGAUGGAUGUCAAAACGGCGUUCCUUAACGGUUUCCUUAAGGAAGAGUUGUAUAUGAUACAACCCGAAGGUUUUGUCGAUCCUAAGAAUGCUGACAAGGUGUGCAAGCUCCAGCGAUUCAUUUAUGGACUGGUGCAAGCAUCUCGGAGUUGGAACAAACGCUUUGAUGAGGUGAUCAAAGCAUUUGGGUUUAUACAAGUGGUUGGAGAAUCUUGUAUUUACAAGAAAGGGAGUGGGAGCUCUAUGGCGUUUCUAAUAUUAUAUGUGGAUGACAUAUUACUGAUUGGAAACAAUGUAGAGUUAUUGGAGAGCAUAAAAGGUUACUUGAAUAAAAGUUUCUCUAUGAAGGACCUAGGAGAAGCUGCUUACAUUCUAGGCAUUAAGAUCUAUAGGGAUAGAUCAAAACGCCUGAUAGGACUUUCACAAAGCAUAUACCUUGAUAAAGUUUUGAAGAGGUUCAAAAUGGAACAGUCCAAGAAAGGGUUCUUGCCAGUUUUACAAGGUACGAGAUUGAGUAAGACUCAGUGCCCAGCAACUGAUGAAGAUAGAGAGCAUAUGCGCUCUAUCCCCUAUGCUUCAGCCAUAGGUUCUAUCAUGUAUGCGAUGCUGUGCACUAGACCGGAUGUUAGCCUGGCAAUAAGUAUGGCAGGUAGGUUCCAGAGUAAUCCAGGAGUGGAUCACUGGACAGCGGUCAAGAAUAUCCUGAAGUACCUGAAAAGGACUAAGGAGAUGUUUCUCGUGUUGGAGGUGACGAAGAGCUCGCCGUAAAAGGUUACGUCGAUGCAAGCUUUGACACAGAUCCGGACGACUCUAAGUCGCAAACCGGAUACGUAUUUAUUCUUAAUGGGGGUGCAGUAAGCUGGUGCAGUUCCAAGCAAAGCGUCGUAGCAGAUUCUACAUGUGAAGCGGAGUACAUGGCUGCCUCGGAGGCGGCUAAGGAGGGUGUCUGGAUGAAGCAGUUCAUGACGGAUCUUGGAGUGGUGCCAAGCGCACUGAAUCCAAUAACCUUGUUCUGUGACAACACUGGUGCCAUUGCCUUAGCAAAGGAACCACGGUUUCACAAGAAGACUAGACACAUCAAACGACGCUUCAACCUCAUCCGCGACUACGUCGAGGGAGAGGACAUAAAUAUAUGCAAAGUGCACACGGAUCUGAAUGUAGCAGACCCGCUGACUAAACCUCUUCCACGGCCAAAGCAUGAUCAACACCAGAACUGUAUGGGUGUUAGAUUUAUUACAAUGUAAUUCACAUGGUGAUGUGAGGGCUAGAUUAUUGACUCUAGUGCAAGUGGGAGACUGUUGGAAUUAUGCCCUAGAGGCAAUAAUAAAUAUAGUUAUUAUUAUAAUUCCUGUAUCAAGAUAAUCGUUUAUUAUCCAUGCUAUAAUUGUAUUGAAUGAAGACUCAUUUACAUGUGUGGAUACAUAGACAAAACAUCGUCCCUAGCAAGCCUCUAGUUGGCUAGCCAGUUGAUCAAUGAUAGUCAGUAUCUUCUGAUUAUGAACAAUGUGUUGUUGCUUGAUAACUGGAUCACGUCAUUAGGAGAAUCACGUGAUGGACUAGACCCAAACUAAUAGACGUAGCAUGUUGAUCGUGUCAUUUUGUUGCUACUGUUUUCUGCGUGUCAAGUAUUUAUUCCUAUGACCAUGAGAUCAUAUAACUCACUGACACCGGAGGAAUGCUUUGUGUGUAUCAAACGUCGCAACGUAACUGGGUGACUAUAAAGAUGCUCUACAGGUAUCUCCGAAGGUGUUAGUUGAGUUAGUAUGGAUCAAGACUGGGAUUUGUCACUCCGUGUGACGGAGAGGUAUCUCGGGGCCCACUCGGUAAUACAACAUCACACACAAGCCUUGCAAGCAAUGUAACUUAGUGUAAGUUGCGGGAUCUUGUGUUACAGAACGAGUAAAGAGACUUGUCGGUAAAUGAGAUUGAAAUAAGUAUGUGGAUACUGACGAUCGAAUCUCGGGCAAGUAACAUACCGAAGGACAAAGGGAAUGACAUACGGGAUUAUAUGAAUCCUUGGCACUGAGGUUCAAACGAUAAGAUCUUCGUAGAAUAUGUAGGAUCCAAUAUGGGCAUCCAGGUCCCGCUAUUGGAUAUUGACCGAGGAGUCUCUCGGGUCAUGUCUACAUAGUUCUCGAACCCGCAGGGUCUGCACACUUAAGGUUCGACGUUGUUUUAUGCGUAUUUGAGUUAUAUGGUUGGUUACCGAAUGUUGUUCGGAGUCCCGGAUGAGAUCACGGACGUCACGAGGGUUUCCGGAAUGGUCCGGAAACAAAGAUUGAUAUAUAGGAUGACCUCAUUUGAUUACCGAAAGGUUUUCGGAGUUACCGGGAAUGUACCGGGAAUGACGAAUGGGUUCCGGGAGUUCACCGGGGGGGCAACCCACCCGGGGAAAGCCCAUAGGCCUUGAGGGAGGCACACCAGCCCUUAGUGGGCUGGUGGGACAGCCCACAAGUGCCCUAUGCGCCAUAGAGAUAAAGAUCAAAGAGAAAGAAAAAAAAGGAGGAGGUGGGAAGGAAGGGGGACUCCCUCCCACCAAACCAAGUCCAACUCGGUUUGGGGGGGGGAGUCCUCCCCCCUUGGACUCGGCCGACCCCCUUGGGGCUCCUUGAGCCCCAAGGCAAGGUCCCCUCCCUCCCACCUUUAUAUACGGAGGUUUUAGGGCUGAUUUGAGACGACUUUCCCACGGCAGCCCGACCACAUACCUCCACGGUUUUUCCUCUAGAUCGCGUUUCUGCGGAGCUCGGGCGGAGCCCUGCUGAGACAAGGUCAUCACCAACCUCCGGAGCGCCGUCACGCUGCCGGAGAACUCUUCUACCUCUCCGUCUCUCUUGCUGGAUCAAGAAGGCCGAGAUCAUCGUCGAGCUGUACGUGUGCUGAACGCGGAGGUGCCGUCCGUUCGGUACUAGAUCGUGGGACUGAUCACGGGAUUGUUCGUGGGGCGGAUCGAGGGACGUGAGGAUGUUCCACUACAUCAACCGCGUUCACUAACGCUUCUGCUGUACGAUCUACAAGGGUACGUAGAUCACUCAUCCCCUCUCGUAGAUGGACAUCACCAUGAUAGGUCUUCGUCCGCGUAGGAAAAUUUUUGUUUCCCGUGCGACGUUCCCCAACAAAAAUAUGCUCUAACAAUUGUCGUACUCAAAUAAAUACCGAAGUAUAGAACUAAGUCCGGUGAUCGUGGGGCUAUUUUGAAGUACUGAAAUCAGAAUUGAAAUAUUAACGUGUGGAUAAUCGCAAUACUGAAUUUUAGUCCCAAAGGUAGUGAUAGAGAACCGAGUCGGGUGAUCGUGGUGUUGUUUUUGAGUAUAGAAAUCAGUAUUGAAAUAUUAACGUGGAUGGUCACUAUACUUAUUCUUAGUAUCAAAACUACUAGUAUAGAACUGAGUUGGGUGAUGGUGGUGUUUUGUUUCAGUAUUGAAAUCAUUGUUGAAAUAUUAAUGUUGAUAAUCACAAUAAUAAUUUUAGUACAAAAACUUCUGAUACAGAACUCAGUUAGGUGAUCGUGGUAUGUUUUUUGAGUAGUAAAAUCAAUAUUGAAAUAUUAACAUGGAUAGUCACUAUACUAAAAUUUAAUUCUGAAUCCAUUGAUAUAGCAUAGAGUUGGGUGAUCAUGGUGUUGUUUUUCAGUACUGAAAUCAGUAUUGUAAUAUUAACAUGGAUACUCAAAAUACUAGAUUUUAGUAUCGAAAUUACUGAUAUAGAACUGAGUGAGGUGAUUUUCGUACUCAAAUAAAUACUGAACUAUAGAACUGAGACCGGUUAUCAUGGGGAUAUUUUCAGUACUGAAAUGAGUAUUGAAAUAUUAAUGUGAACAAUGGCAAUACCAAAUUUGAUAUCGAAUUAGUGAAUUUUAGUACCGAAAUUAGUGAUAUAGAACUGAUUGAGGUGAUCGUCGUACUGAAAUCAGUACUCAAGUAUAGAACUAAAUUAGGUGAUUGUGGGGUUGUUUUUCAGUACUGGAAUUAGUUUUUGAAUUAUUUAGGUAGAUAAUAGCAAUACUGGAUUUUAAUACAGAAACUAGAGAUCUAGAACUGAGUUUAGUGUUCGUGGUGCUAUUUUGAAGUACUAAAAUCAGUAUUGAAAUAUUAACGUGGAUAAUCUCAAUACUAAAUUUUAGUACCAAAAGUAGUGAUAUAUAACUGAGUCGGGUACUCGUGGUGUUAUUUUUUGAGUACUGAAAUUAUUAUUGAUAUAUUAAUGUGCAUGGUCAUUAUAUUCAUUUUUAGUAUCGAAACAACUAAUGUAGAACUGACUCGGUUGAUGGUGGUGUUUUGUUUUAGUACAAAAUUAGUGUUGAAAUAUUAACGUUCAUAAUCACAAUACAGAAUUUUAGUACAAAAAUAUGUGAUAUAGAACUCAGUUAGGUGAUUAUGGUAUUGUUUUUUGUGUACUAAAAUUAGUAUUGAAAUAUUAACAUGGAUAGUCACUAUACUAAAUUUUAGUUCCGAAAGUAUUGAUAUAGCACUAAGUUGGGUGAUCAUGGUGUUAUUUUUCAGUACUGAAAUUAGUAUCAAAAUAUUAUCGUGGAAACACACCAUCCUAGAUUUUAGUACCAAAAUUACUGAUACAGAACUUUGUUAGGUGAUUGUCGUACUCAAAUCAAUACCUAAGUAUAGAACCGAGUCCGGUGAUCGUGGUGCUAUUUUGAAGUACUUUAAUUAGUAUUGAAAUAUUAAUGUGGAUAAUCGCAAUACAGUAUUUUAGUACCAAAAGUAGUGAUACAGAACCGAGUCGGGUGAUCGUGGUGUUUUUUUGAGUACAUAAAUGAGUAUUGAAAUAUUAACGUGGAUGGUCACCAUACUUAUUCUUAGUAUCAAAACUAGUAAUAUAGAACUGAGUCGGGUGAUGGUGGUGUUUGUUUGAAUACUGAAAUCAGUGUUGAAAUAUUAACGUUGAUAAUCAUAAUACAUAAUUUUAGUACAAAAAGUUGUGAUAUAGAAUUUAAUGAGUAGUAAAAUCAGUAUUGAAAUAUUAACAUGGAUAGUCACUAUACUAAAAUUUAAUUCUGAAACUAUUGAUAUAGCACUGAGUUGGGUGAUCAUGGUGUUGUUUUCCAGUACUGAAAUCAGUAUCAAAAUAUUAACGUGCAUACUCACAGUACUAGAUUUUAGUACCAAAAUUGUUGAUAUAGAACUGCGUCCAUUUGAUUGUCGUACUCAAAUCAAUAUUGAAGUAUAGAACUGAGUCUGUUGUUCCUGGGGCUAUUUUGAAGUACUGAAAUCAGUAUUGAAAUAUUAAUGUGCAUAAUCGCAAUACUGAAUUCUAGUACCAAAAGUCGUGAUAUAGAACUGAAUCGGGUGAUCGUGGUGUUGUUUUUUAGUACAGAAAUCAGAAUUGAAAUAAUAACGUAGAUGGUCACUAUACUUAUUCUUUGUAUCGAAACUACUAAUAUAGAACUUAGUGGGGUGAUGGUGGUGUUUUGUGUUAGUACUGAAAUCAAUGUUGAAAUAUUAUCGUUUAUAAUCACAAUAUAGAAUUUUAGUACAAAAAAUUGUGAUAUAGAGCUGAGUCGGGUGAUCGUGGUAUUGUUUUUUGAGUACUAAAAUCAGUAUUGAAAUAUUAACACGGAUAGUCACUAUACUAAAUUUUUACUCCGAAACUAUUGAUAUAGCAUUGAGUUGGGUGAUCAUGGUGUUGUUUUCAGUACUGAAAUCAAAAUAUAUUAACAUGGAUACUCACAAUACUAGAUUAUAGUACCAAAAUUACCUAUAUAGAACUUUGUUAGGUGAUUGUCGUACUCAAAUAAAUACCAAAGUAUAGAACUAAGUCCGGUGAUCGUGGGGCUAUUUUGAAGUAUUGACAUCAGUAUUGAAAUAUUAACGUGGAUAAUCCCAAUACUGAAUUUUAGUACCAAAGGUAGUGAUACAGAACUGAGUCAGGUGAUCCUGGUGUUGUUUUUGAGUACAGAAUUCAGUAUUGAAAUAUUAACGUGGAUGGUCACUAUACUUAUUCUUUGUAUCGAAACUACUAGUAUAGAACUAAGUUGGGUGAUGGUCGUGUUUUGUUUCAGUACUGCAAUGAGUGUUAAAAUAUUAAUGUUGAUAAUCACAAUACGUAUUUUUAGUACAAAAAGUUGUGAUAUAGAACUAAGUCGGGUGAUCGUGGUAUUGUUUUUUGAGUAGUAAUACGAGUAUUGAAAUAUUAGCAUGUUGAUAGUCACUAUACUAAAAUUUAAGUUCGAAAUUAAUGAUAUGUCACUGAGUUGGGUGAUCAUGGUGUUGUUUUUUAGUAAUAAAGUCAGUAUCGAAAUAUUUACGUGGAUACUCACAAUAAUAGAUGUUGGUACCAAAAUUGCUGAUAUAGAACUGCGUCAGGUGAUUGUCGUACUGAAAUCAAUACUUUAGUAUAGAACUGAGUCCGGUGAUCGUGGGGCUAUUUUGAAGUACUUAAAUCGUUAUUCAAAUAUUAACGUGGAUAAUCGCAAUACUGAAUUUUGUAACAAAUUAGUGAAUUUUAGUACCGAAAUUAGUGAUAUAGAACUGAGUGAGGUGAUCAUGGUGUUGUUUUUUAGUAUAGAAAUCAGUACUGAAGUAUAGAAAAUAGUGAGGUGAUCGUGGGGCUAUUUUUCAAUACAUAAAUCAGUUUUGAAAUAUUUAGGUGGAUUUUGAUACGGAAACUAAUGAUAUAGAACUAAGUUGGGUGAUCGUGGUGCUAUUUUGAAGUACCGAAAUCAGUAUUGAAAUAUUUACAUGGAUAAUCGCAAUACUAAACUUUUGUACCAAAAGUAGUGAUACAUAACUGAGCCGGGUGAUCGUGGUGUUGUUUUUUAGCACUGAAAUCAGUAUUGAUGUAUUAACGUGGAUUGUCACUAUACUUACUUUUAGUUUCGAAACUACCAAUGUAGAACUGAGUAGGUUCAUGGUGGUGUUUUGUUUUAGUAUUGAAAUCAGUGUUGAAGUAUUAACGUUGAUAGUCACAAUACAUAUUUUUACUACAAGAAGUUGUGAUAUAGAACUGAGUCGGGUGAUCGUGGUAUUGUUUUUGGAGUACAAAAAUCACUAUUGAAAUGUUAACAUGGAUAGUCACUAUAUUAAAUUUUAAUUCCAAAACUAUUGAUACAACACUGAGUUGGGUGAUCAUGCUAUUGUUUUCAGUACUGAAAUCAGUAUCGAGAUAUUAACAUGCAUACUCACAAUACUAUAUUUUGUACCAAAAUUACUGAUAUAGAAUUGUGUCAAAUGGUUAUCAUACUCAAAUCAAUACUUCAGUAUAGAACCGAGUCUGGUGAUCGUAGGGCUAUUUUGAAGUGCUGAAAUCGGUUUUGAAAUAUUAACGUGGAUAGUCGCAAUACUGAAUUUUAGUCCCAAAGGUGAUCGUGGUGUUGUUUUUGAGUACGGAAAUCAACAUUGAAAUAUUAACGUGGAUGGUCACUAUACUUAUUCUUAGUAGCGAAACUACUAAUAUAGAACUGAGCUAGGUGAUGGUGGUGUUUUUUUUCAGUAUUGAAAUCAGUGUUGAAAUAUUAAUGUUGACAAUCACAAUAAUAAUUUUAGUACAAAAAGUUGUGAUACAAAACUGAGUUAGGUGGUCGUGAUAUGUUUUUUGAGUAGUAAAAUCAGUAUUGAAAUAUUAACAUGGAUAGUCACUAUGCUAAAAUUUAUUUCUGAAACUAUUGAUAUAGGUGUUGGGUGAUCAUGGUGUUGUUUUUCAGUACUGAAAUCAGUAUCGAUAUAUUAACGUGGAUACUCACAAUACUAGAUUUUAGUACGAAAAUUGCUGAUAUAUAACUGCGUCAUUUGAUUGACGUACUCAAAAACAAUACCAUAUUUUGUACUAAUAUUGCUGAUAUAGAACUAAGUCCGGUGAACGUGGGGUAUUUUGAAGUACUGAAAUCAGUAUUGAAAUAUUAACAUGGAUAAUCGCAAUACUGAAUUUUAGUACCAAAAGUAGUGAUAUAGCACUGAAUCGGGUGAUCGUGGUGUUGUUAUUGAGUACAGAAAUUAGUAUUGAAAUAUUAACGUGGAUGGUCACUAUCAAUGUUGAAAUAUUAUCGUUCAUAAUCACAAUACACAAUUUUAGUACAAAAUGUUGUGAUAUAGAGCUGAGUCGGGUGAUCGUGGUAUUGUUUUUUGAGUACUAAUAUGAGUAUUGAAAUAUUAACAUGGAUAGUCACUAUACUAAAUUUCAUCUCCGAAACUAUUGAUAUAGCACUGAGUUGGGUGAUCAUUGUGUUGUUUUUCAGUACUGAAAUCAGUAUCAAAAUAUUAGCGUGGAUACUCACAAUACUAGAUUUUAGUACCAAAAUUACUAAUAUAGAACUGUGUUGGGUUAUUGUCGUACUCAAAUAAAUACCGAAGUAUAGAACUUAGCCCGAUGAUCGUGGGGCUAUUUAGAAGUACUGAAAUCAGUAUUGAAAUAUUAACGUGGAUAAUCGCAAUACUGAAUUUUAGUACCAAAAGUAGUGAUAUAGAACUGAGUCGGGUGAUCGUGGUGUUGUUUUUGAGUAUAGAAUUAAGUAUUGAAAUAUUAACGUGGAUGGUCACUAUACUUGUUCUUAGUAUCAAAACUACUAUUAUAGAAGUGAGUUGGGUGAUGGUGGUGUUUUGUUUCAGUACUGAAAUGAGUGUUAAAAUAUUAACAUUGAUUAUCAUAAUACAUAAUUUUAGUACAAAAAGUUGUGAUAUAGUAGAACUUAGUCGGAUGAUCAUGGUACUGUUUUUUGAGUAGUAAAAUUAGUAUUGAAAUAUUAACAUGGGGAUAGUCACUAUACUAAAAUUUAAUUCCAAAACUAAUGAUAUAGCACUGAGUUGGGUGAUCAUGUUGUUGUUUUUGAGUACUAAAAUGAGUAUCAAAAUAUUUACGUGGAUACUCACAAUACAAGAUGUUGGUACCAAAAUUGGUGAUAUAGAACUGCGUCAGGUGAUUGUCGUACUCAAAUCAAUACUGAAGUAUAGAACUGAGUCCGGUGAUCAUGGGGCUAGUUUGAAGUACUGAAAUCAGUAUUCAAAUUUUAACUUGGAUAAUCGCAAUACUGAAUUUUUGUAACGAAUUAGUGAAUUUGAGUACCAAAAUUAGUGAUAUAGAACUGAGUGAGGUGAUCAUGGUGUUGUUUUUGAGUAUAGAAAUCAGUACUGAAGUAUAGAAAUUAGUGAGGUGAUCGUGGGGAUGUAUUUUAUUACUGAAAUCAGUUUUGAAAAAUUUAGGUGGAUAAUAGCAAUACUGGAUUUUAAUACAGAAACUAAUAAUAUAGAACUAAGUUGGGUGAUCGUGGUGCUAUUUUGAAGUACCGAAGUGAGUAUUGAAAGAUUAACGUGGAUAAUCGCAAUACUGAAUUUUAGUACUAAAAGUAGUGAUAUAGAACUAUGUUGGGUGAUCUGGUGUUGUUUUUUAGUACUGAAAUCAGUGUUGAUAUAUUAACUUCGAUGGUCGGUAUAUUUAGUUUUAUUAUCGAAACUACUAAUGUAGAACAGAGUCGGUUCAUGGUGGUGCUUUGUUGCAGUACUAAAAUCAGUGUUGAAAUAUUAACGUUGAUAAUCACAACACAGAUUUUUAGUACAAAAAGUUGUGAUAUAGAACCGAGUCAGGUGAACGUGGUAUAUUCUUGUGUGUACUAAAAUCAGUAUUGAAAUAUUAACAUGGAUAGUCACUAUACUAAAUUUGAAUUCUGAAACUAUUGAUAUAGCACUACGUUUGGUGAUCAUGGUGUUGUUUUUCAGUACUCAAAUCAGUAUCGAAAUAUUAACAUGGAUACUAACAAUACUAGAUUUUAUUAACAAAAUUACUGAUAUAGAACUGCGUCACGUGAUUGUCGUACUCAAAUCAAUACCGAAGUAUAGAACUGUGUCAAAUGAUCGUGGGGCUAUUUUUCAGUACUAAAAUCAGUAUUGAAAUAUUAACUUAAACAAUCGCAAUACCAAUUUUUUGUACCGAAUUAGUGAAUUUUAGAACCAAAAUUAGCGAUAUAGAACUGAGUGAGGUGAUCGUCAUACUGAAAUUAGUAUUGCAAUAUUAACAUUGGUAAUCACAAUACGGAAUUUUAGUACAAAAAGUUGUGAUAUAGAACUGAGUCGGGUGAUCGUGGUAUUGUUUUUGAGUAGUAAAAUCAGUAUUGAAAUAUUAACAUGGUUAGUCACUAUACUAAAUUUUAAUUCCGAAACUUUUGAUAUAGCACUGAGUUGGGUGCUCAUGGUGUUAUUUUUCAGUACUGAAAUGAGUAUCGAAAUAUUAACAUGGAUACUUAGAAUACUAGAUUUUAGUAUCAAAAUUACUGACAUAGAACCGAGUGAGGUUAUUGUCGUACUCAAAUGAAUACUGAAGUAUAGAACUGAGAGCGUUAAUCGUGGGGCUAUUUUUCAGUAGUGAAAUCAGUAUUGAAAUAUUAAUAUGAACAAUUGCAAUACUAAAUGUUAGUACCAAAAUAGUGAAUUUUAGUACCAAAACUAGUGAUAUAGAACUGAAUGAGGUCAUCAUCAUACUGAAAUUAGUACUGAAGUAUAAAAUUGAGUGAGGUUAUCGUGGGGCUAUUUUUCAGUACUGAAAUCAGUUUUGAAAUAUUUAGGUGGAUAAUAGCAAUACUGGAUUGUUAUACGGAAACAAGUGAUAGAGAACCGAGUCUGGUGAUCGUGGUGCUAUUUUCUAGUACUGAAAUCAGUAUUGAAAUAUUAACAUGGAUAAUCGCAAUACUAAAUUUUAGUACAAAAAGUAGUGAUACAAAACUAAGUCGAGUGAUCGCCAUGUUGUUUUUUAGUACUAAAAUCAGUAUUGAUAUAUUAACGUGGAUUAUCAUUAUACUUAUUUUUAGUUUCGAAACUACUAAUGUAGAAAUGAGUAGGUUCAUGGUGGUGUUUUGUUUUAGUAUUGAAAUCAGUGUUGAAGUAUUAAUGUUGAUAAUCACAAUACAUAUUUUUACUACAAAAAGUUGUGAUAUAGAACUGACUCGAGUGAUCGCGGUAUUGUUUUUGGAGUACUAAAAUCACUAUUGAAAUGUUUGUUGGAAAUAUGCCCUAGAGGCAAUAAUAAAAUGGUUAUUAUCAUAUUUCCUUGUUCAUGAUAAUCGUCUAUCGUUCAUGCUAUAAUUGUAUUAACAGGAAACAGUAAUACAUGUGUGAAUGAAUAGAUCACAAUGUGUCCCUAGCAAGCCUCUAGUUGGCUAGCUCGUUAGUCAAUAGAUGAUCAUGGUUUCCUGAUGAUGGGCAUUAGAUGUCAUUGAUAACGGGAUCACAUCAUUGGGAGAAUGAUGUGAUGGACAAGACCCAAUCCUAAGCCUAGCACUAGAUCAUAUUGUUCGUAUGCUAAUGCUUUUCUAAUGUCAAGUAUCUUUUCCUUCGACCGUGAGAUUGUGCAACUCCCGGAUACUGUAGGAGUGCUUUGGGUGUAGUCGCACGAUGACGUGCUACGGAACGAGUAAAGAGACUUACCGGUAACGAGAUUGAACAAGGUAUAGGUAUACCGACGAUCGAAUCUCGGGCAAGUUCUAUACCGACAGACAAAGGGAAUCGUAUACGGGAUUGAUUGAAUCCUUGACAUCGUGGUUCAUCCGAUGAGAUCAUCAUGGAGCUAGUGGGAGCCACCAUGGGUAUCCAGACCCCGCUGAUGGUUAUUGGCCAGAGAGGUGUCUCGGUCAUGUCUGCCUGUCUCCCGAACCCGUAGGGUCUACACACUUAAGGUUCGAUGACGCUAGGGUUAUAGGGAAUUAUUGUACGAGGUUACCGAAAGUUGUUCGGAGUCCCGGAUGAGAUCCCGGACGUCACGAGGAGCUCCGGCAUGGUCCGGAGGUAAAGAUUGAUAUAUAGGACGGAUGGUUUCGGACACCGGAAGUGUUUCGGGCAUCACCGGUAACGUACCGGGACCACCGGGACCACCGGAGGUGGUCCCGGGGGACCACCGAAGGGGGGCAACGACCCCGGGAGGUAAGGUGGGCCAAGUGGGGGUGGAACCAGCCCCUAGGUGGGCUGGUGCGCCUCCCCACUCAGCCCAUGGCGCAAGGGAAGGGAAAAGGGGGGGCAAACCCUAGGCCAGGUGGGCCUAAGGCCCACCAGUGGGUGCGGCACCCCCUCCUCCCCCUCUGGCCGCCACACCACCCAUCUGGGAGGGCUGCCGCACCCCCUAGGGUGGGAACCCUAGGGGUGGCACCCCCUCUCCCCUUCCCCUAUAUAUAGUGGGCACUUUUGGCCUUUGGAGGACACGGUUUUCCCUCUCCCUCGGUGCAGCCCUGCUCCUCCUCUCCGCCGGUGCUUGGCGAAGCCCUGCCGGGAGACCUCGUCUCUCCAUCGACACCACGCCGUCGUGUUGCUGGACUUCUUCCCCAACCUCUCCCUCCUCCUUGCUGGAUCAAGGUGCGGGAGACGUCACCGGGUUGCACGUGUGUUGAACGCGGAGGUGCCGUUGUUCGGCACUAGAUCGGAAUCGCCGCGAGUACGACUCCAUCAACCGCGUUCUAGCAACGCUUCCGCUUAGCGAUCUUCAAAGGUAUGAAGAUGCUCUUACCCCUCUCUCGUUGCUGGUCUCUCCAUAGGAAGAUCUGAACAUGCGUAGGAAAAUUUUGAAUUUAUGCUACGUCACCAACAAUGUUAACAUGGAUAGUCACUAUAUUAAAUUUUAAUUCCAAAACUAUUGAUGUAGCACUCAGUUGGGUGAUCAUGGUAUUGUUUUUCAGUACUGAGAUCAGUAUCGAAAUAUUAACAUGCAUACUCACAAUACUAUAUUUUGUACCAAAAUUACCGAUAUAGAACCGCGUCAAAUGAUUGUCAUACUCAAAUCAAUACUGAAGUAUAGAACCGAGUUUGGUGAUCGUAGGGCUAGUUUGAAGUACUGAAAUCGGUUUUGAAAUAUUAACGUGGAUAGUCGCAAUACUGAAUUUUAGUCCCAGGGUUAGUGAUAGAGAACUGAGUCCGGUGAUUAUGGUGUUGUUUUUUAGUAUAGAAAUCGGAAUUGAAAUAUUAACGUGGAUGGUCACUAUACUCAUUCUUAGUAUCAAAACUACUAAUAUAGAACUGAGUCGGGUGAUCGUGGUGUUUUGUUUCAGUAAUGAAAUCAGUGUUGAAAUAUUGACGUUGUUAAUCACAAUAAUAAGUUUAGUACAAAAAGUUGUGAUAUAGAACUGAGUUAGGUGAUCGUGGUAUGUUUUUGGAGUAGUAAAAUCAGUAUUGAAAUAUUAACAUGGAUAGUCACUAUACUAAUAUUUAAUUCUGAAACCGUUGCUAUAGCACAUAGUUGCGUGAUCAUGGUGUUGUUUUCAGUACUCAAAUCAGUAUUGAAAUAUUAACAUGCAUACUCAAAAUACUAGAUUUCAGUACCAAAAUUACUGAUAUAGAACUGAGUGAGGUGAUUGUCGUACUCAAAUCAAUACUGAACUAUUGAACUGAGACCGGUUAUCCUGGGGCUAUUUUUCAGUACUGAAAUCAGUAUUGAAAUAUUAAUAUGAACAAUCACAAUACCAAAUUUUUGUAUCGAAUUAGUGAAUUUUAGUACCAAAAUUAGUGAUAUAGAACAUAGUGAGGUGAUCGUCGUACUGAAAUCAGUACUGGAGUAUAGACCUAAGUUAAGUGAUCGUGGGGUUGUUUUUCAGUACUGGAGUUAGUUUUGAAAUAUUUAGGUGGAUAAUAGCAAUACGGGAUUUUAAUACGGAAACUAGUGAUCUAGAACUGAGUCGGGUCAUCAUGGUGCUAUUUUGAAGUACUAAAAUCAGUACUGAAAUGUUCACGUGGAUAAUAGCAAUACUGAAUUUUAGUACCAAAAGUAGUGAUAUAUAACUGAGUCGGGUGUUCGUAGUGUUGUUUUUGAGUACUGAAAUCAGUAUUGAUAUAUUAAUGUGAAUGGUCAUUAUACUUAUUUUUAGUAUCGAAACAACUAAUGUAGAACUGACUCGGUUGAUGGUAGUGUUCUAUUUCAGUACUCAAAUUAGUGUUGAAAUAUUAACGUUCAUAAUCACAAUACAAAAUUUUAGUACAAAAGAUGUGAUAUAGAACUCAGUCAGGUGAUUGUGGUAUUGUUUCUUGUGUACUAAAAUUAGUAUUGAAAUAUUAACAUGGAUAGUCACUACAUUAAAUUUUAAUUCCGAAAGUAUUGAUAUAGAAUUAAGUUGGGUGAUCAUGGUGUUGUUUUCCAAUACGGAAAUCAGUAUCGAAAUAUUAUCGUGGAUACGCACCAUACUAUAUUUUAGUACCAAAAUUAGUGAUAUAUAACUGUGUCACGUGAUUGUCGUACUCAAAUUAAUACCGAAGUAUAGAACCGAGUCCGGUGAUCAUGGGUCUAUUUUGAAGUACUUUAAUCGGUACUUCAUAUCUGCUAUUUAUACUGAAGUAUUAGUUUCGCAUACGAGCUGCGAAUCGAGCAAACCCAAGCUUGUUGGAAAUCUUAAGACCAUGCAGAUAUGAAAAUGCCAAUGAUAUAGAGAUGUGAGACCUCUAUGAAUGAAGAACCAGCAAAAACUCCAACAUCGAAAACAUAAUAGUAGAUGCAUAUGGACUCUGUUUUUGAUGAACUCGAGCUUGUCAUGAAUAUGACCAUAAGCUCUAAAACUCACAAAGAGAAACACCAAACAAGAACCAAGAAGUAUGAUGCAAGGAUGCAAAUGGUUUGAGCUCUCAAGAAAUGAUACGAUCGAGCUACUCACUUGAGAGCCCCCCUUGACAGUACGACAAUCUAUCCUAAAACAGAAAAACUAUCAAGGGCAAACCUAUACCUUGCACCUCGUCCUCUUGAGCUAGAUGACGAUGACCUUGGCUUCCUCAAGAUGGACCACCUUCUUGAUUGCGUUGGCAUGAUGAAGACUAGUUGAUUGCUCCCCCAUACACAACAUGGGUGAGCCUCUCUUCAACGUAUCUUCACAAGUCCAUUGCCACCACAAUGGACGGCAAGCUUCAAGCAUGAUAUCUUCAUGCUAAUCUACCUGAACUUGCACACCGCAAUCUUGAUGACGAUCACCACUUGGCGUCAUCCUUCAUGGGUUGUAUGAGAUCAUCCUCUAGAUGCAAGCCCAUGGAAACACACCUAACCCCACAUAGAACUCUCACGAAGACCAUGGGUUAGUACACAAACACGUAAUGGACAAUGCUUACCAUACCAUGGGAUCACUUGAUCCCUCUCGGUACAUCUUGUACGCUUUAUGUGUUGAUCAUCUUGAUUUACUCUUUGUCUAACGAUCUUGAUCAAACUUGUGUCUCUAUGACCAUUCUUUGGAUAAUACCUUGAAUACCAUCUUGGUCAUCAUAUAAACUCCUUGAACCCAACAAAUGGACUUCAAGAAGUGCCUAUGCACAAAUCCAAUAAAUAUAACUUAAGGCAGCCAUUAGUCCAUAGGAAUUGUCAUCAAUUACCAAAACCACAUAUGGAGAAAUAUGCUCUAACAAUUGUCGAACUCAAAUAAAUACCGAAUUAUAGAACUAAGUCCGGUGAUCGUGGGGCUAUUUUGAAGUACUGAAAUCAGAAUUGAAAUAUUAACAUGGAUAAUCGCAAUACUGAAUUUUAGUACCAAAAGUAGUGAUAUAGAACUGAGUUGGGUGAUCCUGGUGUUGUUUUUGAGUAUAGAAAUCAGUAUUGAAAUAUUAACGUGGAUGGUCACUAUACUUAUUCUUAGUAUCGAAACUACUAGUAUAGAACUGAGUUGGGUGAUGGUUGUGUUUUGUUUUAGUACUAAAUGAGUGUUAAAAUAUUAAAUUUGAUAAUCACAAUACAUAAUUUUAGUACAAAAAGUUGUGAUACAGAACUGAGUCGGGUGAUCGUGGUAUUGUUUUUUGAGUAGUAAAAUGAGUAUUGAAAUAUUAACAUGGGGAUAGUCACUAUACUAGAAUUUAAUUUCGAAUCUAAUGAUAUAGCACUGAGUUGGGUGAUCAUGGUGUUGUUUUUCAGUACUAAAAUGAGUAUCGAAAUAUUUACGUGGAUACUCACAAUACUAGAUGUUGGUACCAAAAUUGUUGAUAUAGAACUGUGUGAGGUGAUUGUCGUACUCAAAUCAAUACUGAAGUAUAGAACUGAGUCCGGUGAUCAUGGGGCUAUUUUGAAGUACUGAAAUUAGUAUUCCAAUAUUAAUGUGGAUAAUCGCAAUACUGAAUUUUUAGAACGAAUUAGUGAGCUUUAGUACCAAAAUUAGUGAUAUAGAGCUGAGUGAGGUGAUCAUGGCGUUGUUUUUGAGUAUAGAAAUCAGUACUGAAGUAUAGAAAUUAGUGAGGUGAUCGUGGGGCUGUUUUUUAGUACUGAACUCAGUUUUGAAAUAUUUAUGUGGAUAAUAGCAAUACUGGAUUUUAAUAUGGAAACUAAUGAUAUAGAACUAAGUUCGGUGAUCGUGGUGCUAUUUUGAAGUACCGAAAUGAGUAUUGAAAUGUGAACGUGGAUAAUCACAAUACUGAAUUUUAGUACCAAAGGUAGUGAUAUAGAAUUGAGUCACGUGAUCUGGUGUUCUUUUUGAGUACUGAAAUCAGUAUUGAUAUAUUAACUUGGAUGGUCAGUAUACUUAUUUUUAGAAUUGAAACUACUAAUGUAGAACUGAGUCGGUUCAUGCUGGCGCUUUGUUUCAGUACUGAAAUCAGUGUUGAAAUAUUAACGUUGAUAAUAACAACACAGAUUUUUAGUGCAAAAAGUUGUGAUAUAGAACCGAGUCAGGUGAACGUGGUAUAUUCUUUUGAGUACUAAAAUCAGUAUUGAAAUAUUAACAUGGAUAGUCAUUAUACUAAAUUUGAAUUUCGAAACUAUUGAUAUAGCACUGAGUUUGGUGAUCAUGGUGUUGUUUUUUAUUACUGAAAUUAGUAUCAAAAUAUUAACAUGGAUACUCACAAUACUAGAUUUUAGUACCAAAUUAGUGAUAUAGAACUGCGUCACGUGGUUGUCGUACUCAAAUCAAUACUGGAGUAUAGAACUGUGUCCAAUGAUCAUGGAGCUAUUUUUCAGUACUGAAAUCAGUAUUGAAAUAUUAACUUAAACAUUCAAAAUACCAAACUUUUUUGUACCGAAUUAGUGAAUUUUAGUACCAAAAUUAGCGAUAUGGAACUGAGUGAGGUGAUCGUCGUACUGAAAUCAGUAAUGAAAUAUUAACAUUGGUAAUCACAAUUCAAAAUUUUAGUACAAAAGUUGUGAUAUAUAACUGAGUCGGGUGAUCGUGGUAUUGUUUUUUGAGUAGUAAAAUCAAUAUUGAAAUAUUAACAUGGAUAGUCACUAUACUAAAUUUUAAUUCCAAAACUUUUGAUAUAGCACUGAGUUGGGAGCUCAUGGUGUUAUUUUUCACUACUGAAAUGAGUAUCCAAAUAUUAACAUCGAUACUCAGAAUACCAGAUUUUAGUACCAAAAGUACUGAUAUAGAACCGAGUGAGGUGAUUGUCGUACUCAAAUGAAUACUGAAGUAUAGAACUAAGACCGUUAAUCGUGGGGCUAUUUUUCAGUAUUGAAAUAUUAUUAUGAACAAUUGCAAUACUAAAUUUUAGUACCAAAAUAGUGAAUUUUAGUACCAAAACUAGUGAUAUAGAACUGAAUGAGGUCAUCGUCAUACUGAAAUCAGUACUGAAGUAUAGAAUUGAGUGAGGUGAUCGUGGGGCUAUUUUCUAGUACUGAAAUCUGUUUUGAAAUGUUUAGGUGGAUAAUAGCAAUACUGGAUUUUUAGAUGGAAACUAGUGAUAUAGAACUAAGUCGGGUGAUCGUGGUGCUAUUUUGAAGUACUCAAAUGAGUAUCCAAAUAUUAACAUGGAUAAUCACAAUACUGAAUUUUAGUACCAAAAGUACUGAUAGAGAACUAAGUCGGGUGAUCGCGGUGCUGUUUUUGAGUGUUGAAAUCAGUAUUGAUAUAUUAACAUGGAUUGUCACUAUACUUAUUUUUAGUUUCGAAAAUACUAAUGUAGAACGGAGUAGGUUCAUGGUGGUGUUUUGUAUUAGUAUUGAAAUGAGUGUUGAAGUAUUAACAUUGAUAAUCACAAUACAGAUUUUUACAACAAAAACUUGUGAUAUAGAACUGAGUCGGGUGAUCGUGGUAUUGUUUUUGGAGUACUAAAAUCACUAUUGAAAUAUUAACAAGGAUAGUCACUAUAUUAAAUUUUAAUUCCAAAACUAUUAAUAUAGCACUGAGUUGGGUGAUCAUGGUAUUGUUUUUCAAUACUAAAAUCAGUAUCAAAAUAUUAACAUGCAUACUCACAAUACUAUAUUUUGUACCAAAAUUACUGAUAUAGAACUGCGUCAGAUGAUUGUCAUACUCAAAUCAAUACUCAAGUAUAGAAUCGAGUCCGGUGAUCGUGGGGCUAUUUUGAAGUACUGAAAUUGGUUUUGAAAUAUUAACGUGGAUAGUCGCAAUAUUGAAUUUUAGUCCCAAAGGUAGUGAUAGAGAACUUAGUCGGGUGAUCAUGGUGUUGUUUUUGAGUACAGAAAUCGGCAUUGAAAUAUUAACGUGGAUGAUCACUAUACUUAUUCGUAGUAUCGAAACUACUAAUAUAGAACUGAGUCGGGUGAUGGUGGUGUUUUUGUUUCAGUAUUGAAAUUAGUGUUGAAAUAUUAACUUUGAUAAUCACAAAAAUAACUUUAGUACAAAAAGUUAUGAUAUAGAACUUAGUUAGGUGAUCGUGGUAUGUUUUUGGAGUAGUAAAAUUAGUAUUGAAAUAUUAACAUGGAUAGUCACUAUACUAAUAUUUAAUUCUGAAACCAUUGAUAUAGCAUAGAGUUGCGUGAUCCUGGUGUUGUUUUUCAGUACUGAAAUCAGUAUUAAAAUAUUAACAUGCAUACUCAAAAUACUUGAUUUUAGUACCGAAAUUACUGAUAUAGAACUGGGUGAGGUGAUUGUCGUACUCAAAUAAAUGCUGAACUAUUGAACUGAGACCGGUUAUCGUGGGGCUAUUUUUUAGUACUGAAAUCAGUAUUGAAAUAUUAAUGUGAACAAUCACAAUACCAAUUUUUUGUAUCGAAUUAGUGAAUUUUAGUACCGAAAUUAGUGAUAUAGAACUGAGUGAGGAGAUCGUCGUACUGUAAUCAGUACUGGAGUAUAGAACUAAGUUAGGUGAUCGUGGGGUUGUUUUUCAGUACUGGAAUUAGUUUUGAAAUAUUUAAGUGGAUAAUAGCAAUACUGGAUUUUAAUACGGAAACUAGUGAUCUAGAACUAAGUCGGGUGAUCGUUGUGCUAUUUUGAAGUACUGAAAUCAGUAUUGAAAUAUUAACGUGGAUAAUAGCAAUACUGAAUUUUAGUACCAAAAGUAGUGAUAUAUAACUGAGUUGGGUGUUCGUGGUGGUGUUUUUGAGUACUGAAAUCAGUAUUGAUAUAUUAAUGUGAAUGGUCAAUGUACUUAUUUUUAGUAUCGAAACAACUAAUGUAGAACUGACUCGGUUGAUGGUAGUGUUCUGUUUCAGUACUGAAAUUAAUGUUGAAAUAUUAACGAUCAUAAUCACAAUACAGAAUUUUAGUACAGAAGAUGUGAUAUAGAACUCAGUCAGGUGAUUGUGGUAUUGUUUUUUGUGUACUAAAAUUAGUAUUGAAAUAUUAACAUGGAUAGUCACUACAUUAAAUUUUAAUUCCGAAAGUAUUGAUAUAGCACUAAGUUGGGUGAUUGUGACGCCCUCGGUUUAAUCGUACGCUAAUCAUACACGCAAAUGCGUACGAUCAAACCCAAGGACUCACGGGAAGAUAUCACAACACAACUCUAGACACAAAUAAAAUAACAUCAGCUUCAUAUUACAAGCCAGAGGCCUCGACGGCUUGAAUACGGAAGCUCGAUAAACACACGAGUCAGCGGAAGCAACAAUAUCUGAGUACAAACAUAAAACAUGGGGUGCCUUAGAGAAGGCUGGCACAAAAGAAAACACGAUCGAACGAGGCGAGGCUUCCUGCCUAGGAACCUCCUAACUACUCCUGGGCUUCAGUGGCCUCCACGAAGAUGACACCAUCGGGGCGGCAGGCGUCGGCAGGAAACUCCACUCCUGGGCUCCAUCAUCUGGUCGCAGCAACGGAUCAAGGGAACAAAGGGGGGAGCAAAGCAGCGGUGAGUACUCAUCCAAAGUACUCGCAAGACUUACAUCAGAACUAUGCUAAAUAUGCACCAGUAUCAAAGGGGGGGUGUUAUAUGUGGACUGACUGCAGCAAUGCGAGAAUAGAGAGAGAAAGCCUAGUCCUAUCGAAGACUAGCAUCUUCAGGGUCUUGCAGCAAUAGACGAGAGUAGAACAGGGGGGUAAAACAUUAAUAGUCAUAUUGUUGCAGCAAUAUUAAAGUGAGGUCACUUGCAGCAAUAGACGAGAGUAGAACAGGGGGGUAAAACAUUAAUAGUCAUAUUGUUGCAGCAAUAUUAAAGUGAGGUCACGCCUAAAGAUCCUCCCUUGACUCCCUGCGAGGAAGCAAUCCCGAGGCAAACUAAAUCCAGUUAAGUAACAAUUGUAGUUGUAAAAGAUCGGGGCACAACUCCAAGUCUUCCUGUAACCGUGGACACGGCUAUUCGAAUAGUUAAUUUUCAUCCCUGCACGGGUGCACCACAUGUCCCGUCACGCUCGAUAACACUCUGGCCGGACAUACUUUUCUGGGUCCUGCCCGGCCUUGGAAUAUUGACACGUCGCAGCCCCACCUAAGACUAAUCGGUCAGCCCGCCGGUCUAAAUCCUAAGCGCAAAGGGUUCAUGGGCCCAGUUCCCCUCCGCGCUCCUGCAUGAUGCGAGGGUGGCCGACGUCAGUCCUAGCAUCCCUUAAUCACAAGCGCAAUGCAUCUCGGGACCACUCGGGCGCGCGCCACUACGAUUGCUGACAUCUGAAAAGCUUCGGCUGAUACCGCGACACCGAGUACCCAUAAUUCUUCCCGCGUAGCCGGUUAGUGCGAAAAGGUCUCGGACCAACCCAGAUCAAAUACUCAAAUCCAUUAACAUUUUAAUUAGGCCAACAACACAGUCUGACGGAAAUCCACCCGUCUUACAACUAAUCACCAAUGUUCCCAGUAACAUGGUCGAGUAACUAUGUGGUUGUAACAUCGGGGGGAAUCCGAGGUAUCACCCUCGUUGGAUUCCGAACGAUGUACCCGUCAAGGUGGGCUUAGAGGAAUCACCCUCGGGGGUCCCACACUUGAGGGGUUGCACGACAGAGGCGUCAUCGGGAAUGGUGAAAGAGGAAUCACCCUCGAUAACCAUGACCGACUAGCUAUACUACAGAGAUAUCAUCAGGAGUACUUAGCGGGGUGUCACCCUCGGUACCCGAUAGUAUCUCUGUAGUGUCGUACAACUAAGGGGGGUGUAUGUGCUGUGUCAGGUCUGGCUCGUCGAUCAGGGAUCGAGAUUUGAAAACAAGCGGGGCAACAGAACUACGGGGUCAGAGGGGAUGACUACUCCACCUAUACUAAGCAGAUUUAAAGUACAGGACUGAAAGUAGCAGUUCAUCAAAAAUAGACUAUGCAUCAGGUAUAGGAGCUAACUACAACAGUAGCAAAAUACUAAUGCAAGCAGUAGGACGAAAGACAUAGGCGAUAUAGGAAUGAUCAAGGGGGUUUGCUUGCCUGGUUGCUUUGCACACAAAACGGAUCCUCGACCGGGAAGUAGUCGAUCACCGGAUCAUCAUCGGUCUCGGGGUCUACCAGAAAGGAAAUUGCGGAGGGGAAACACAAUAAAUAACAGAACAAACAAAAGCAUCACAAAGCAAGACAUGGCUUAAAGGCUGCGCUAGGCAUGAGCUAACGCAGUAACUUCCGUCAUAGAUGGGUUAGAAGAAUACCUGACGAUAUUUUCCGGGUCUCGGGCUACUACCGAACAGACUGGAAACGAUGGAAAAGUUCCAUAUUUGCUAUGCUAAAGACUCGUGACAGACGAAUGGAUCGUGUAUCCGGGUUCGUCGGAUUUUUCUGCACAACUUUCAUAUAUAAAUUAUUUUUCAUACCAGCUACGGAUUAUUUUUUAUUAAUUUUCAAAAUUUUAAUCAUUAUUCAGGAAUUAUAUAACUAUUAUAUUUAAAUAGUCCGAAUUGACCAAGUCAAUUUGACUGACCAAAGUGAAUAGUGUGGGGGGUCCUCAUGUCAGAGCUUUACUAAAUAUCAAAACUUAUUUAUUUAAUCUAAUCAAAUGAGAUACACAUGUCAUUUAUUAGUAUACUAAUUUAGUAUUACUAAACUAAUCCUAAAUCAAACUACUUAACUAAACAAAGAGCCGGCCACACAUGGCUGUGGCAUACACAUUCAUGGCACACACACGCUACACACACCCGGCCAUGGUCAAGUCCAUGACCAGCAACGGCUAGCAUAUGCAUGGGCUAGCAUAGCAGCCUGAGCGGCACCACUACCAGCGGGAGGCAGUAUAGCAGCGCAUCAGCAGCAACAGCUGGAGGCAGCAGUGAUAGCAACACAAAGCGACGGCAGGGAGAGCAAUAAGCAGCUGUAGGUAGCAGAUAGCCACGCACGAGCAGCUUAGACAGCGGCAACGGUGCAGUAGCAAGAGAAAAAUAGCAAUGAGCAGCCGGCAACAGGCGCGGCGACAGAGCAGCAGCAUGAGAAAGCAACAGCAGAGGCUGCGGCCACGGUAGCACCAGCGCGCGCGCGGAUGGACCCGGGGCGUGGUGAUGCAGCAGCGACGAACGACACACGGACGCAGGCGAGCGUCCUACGACGGCACGGCAACAGUAGCUGUCAACUGCAAGAGCGAGGCCACGCACGUACGUACGCGUACGUUCGGGCAAACUCGGGGGGCGACAGCUACGACAACGGAUCGAGGACAAGAACGAGGGGAAUCGGGCGAGGACCUCACCACGAUGCUCGUGGACGUAGUUAGGAAGCGCGGGGCGGCCGGAAUGCGACGGGACCGACAGCGAGAUGUGGUGGCCGUGGGUGAAGAUGGCGACGAUGGCGAGCAUAUGGGCCGUCCCGGCUUGAGCUGGUCCCCGGAACGGACGGAUCCGGCCGAGGCGGACCUCCUGGACAUCCUCACAGGUGACGAGGCACGCGGUGGCCGUGGCCAUGGUGGCGGUUGCGCUCGAGUGAGGGAGGGAGGAGACAGGGGGUGAGAGAGGGGGAACGAGGGCGAGCUAGGGUUUGCGGGAGGGAGACAGAGACGCUCGGGGGUGGCCUUAUCCGCGAGGGGAGCCGCUGGAUGCACGCCAGCGAGCGCAUCCCCGAGCGGACGGCUCUCACGCCAUGGCCUCCCCUGUCUCUGUCGAGAGGUGGGAGAAAGGCCGGUGGGGAUGGGCCCGGCCAGCCUGUAGCACCAGGCCUAAGUGCUCAGUGGUUGUUUUCCAAUACUGAAAUCAGUAUCGAAAUAUUAUCGUGGAUACGCACCAUACUAGAUUUUAGUACCAAAAUUACUGAUAUAUAACUGUGUCACGUGAUUGUCGUACUCAAAUCAAUACCGAAGUAUAGAACCGAGUCCGGUGAUCAUGGGGCUAUUUUUAAGUACUUUAAUCGGUAUCGAAAUAUUAAAGAGGAUAAUCGCAACACUGAAUUUUAGUACCAAAAGUAGUGAUAUAGAACCGAGUCGGGUGAUCGUGGUGUUGUUUUAUAGUACAAAAAUCAAUAUUGAAAUAUUAACGUGGAUAGUCACCAUACAUAUUCGUAGUAUCGAAACUAGUAAUAUAGAACUGAGUCGGGUGAGGGUGGUGUUUUGUGUGAAUACUAAAAUCACUGUUGAAAUAUUAACGUUGAUAAUCAUAAUACAUAAUUUUAAUACAAAAAGUUGUGUUAUAGAACUGAGUCGGGUGAACAUGGUAUUGUUUUUUGAGUACUAAAAUCAGUAUUGAAAUAUUAACAUGGAUAGUCACUAUACUAAAUUUUAAUUCCGAAACUAUUGAUAUAGCACUGUGUUGGGUGAUCAUGGUAUUGUUUUUCACUACUAAAAUCAGUAUCGAAAUAUUAACGUGGAUACCCACAAUACUAGAUUUUAGUAAAAAAAUUAGUGAUAUAGGACUCCGUCAGGUGAUUGCGUACUCAAAUCAAUACUUGAGUAUAGAACUCCGAUGAUGGUGGGUCUAUUUUGAAGUAUUGAAAUUAGUAUUGAAAUAUUAACAUGGAUAAUCGCAAUACUACAUUUUAGUUCCAAAAGUAGUGAUAUAGAACUGAAUCGGGUGAUCGUGGUGUUGUUUUUUAGUACAGAAAUCAGUACAGAAAUUAGUACCGAAACUACUAAUAUAGAACUUAGUCGGGUGAUGGUGGUGUUUUGUUUCAGUACUGAAAUCAAUGCUGAAAUAUUAUCGUUUAUAAUCACAAUACAAAAAUUUAGUACAAAAAGUUGUGAUAUAGAACUGAGUCGGGUGAUUGUGGUGUUGUUUUUUAAGUACUAAAUCAGUAUUGAAAUAUUAACAUCACAAUACAAAAAUUUAGUUAAAAAAGUUGUGAUAUAGAACUGAGACGGGUGAUUGUGGUGUUGUUUUUUAGUACUAAAAUCAGUAUUAAAAUAUUAACAUGGAUAGUCACUAUGCUAAAUUUUAAUUUCAAAACUAUUUAUAUAUCAGUGAGUUGGGUGAUCAUGUGUUGUUUUUCAGUACUGAAAUUAGUAUCAAAAUAUCUUACAAACUAUAUUAAAUGGAGAUCCGGUAAUAUAGGUAAGGAUAACGGUCGCAUAUACCCCUAUCAUCCUGAUACGUCUCCAACGUAUCUAUAAUUUUUGAUGGCUCCAUGCUAUUAUCUUGUCAACUUUGAAUGUCUUGUAUGCGCGCAUUUUAUAUAUUUUUUGGACCUAUUAACUCAGUGACAAGUGCCAGUUCCUGUUUUUUCCAUGCUUUUGACCCUUUUCAGAAGAGAAUAUUAAACGGAGUCCAGACGGAAUAAAAUUUUCGGAAUGAUUUUUUCCAUAACAGAAGAUACGCAGGGAGCUUGAGAACCAAGGCAAAGGAUCCCAGGGGAGGCCACAAGCCCCCUAGCCGCGGCCUGGGGGGCCGCGCCUACCAGGCUUGUGCCCCCCCCCCCCGUGGCUCCUUUGCCCUACUUCUUCCGCCUAUAAAUUCCCUAAAAAUCUGAAACCACGAGAGGGAGCCACGAAAAUACUUUUCAGCCGCCGCAAGCUUCUGUCUCCGUAAAAUCCCAUUCGGGGCACGUUCUGGUGCCCUGCCGGAGGGGGAUUCGGACACGGAGGGCUUCUCCAUCAACACCAUUGCCUCUCCGAUGAUGCGUGAGUAGUUCACCACAGACCUUCGAGUCCAUAGCUAGUAGCUAGAUGGCUUCUUCUCUCUCUUGGAUCUUCAAUACAAAGUUCUCCAUGAUCUUCAUGGAGAUCUAUCCGAUGUAAUCUUCUUUUGCGGUGUGUUUGUAGAGAUCCGAUGAAUUGUGGAUUUAUGAUCAGAUUAUCUAUGAUUAUUAUUUGAGUCUUCUCUGAUCUCUUAUAUGCAUGAUUUAGUAUCCUUGUAAUUCUCUUUGAGUUGUGGGUUUCGUUUGGCCAACUUGAUCUACAAUUCCUGCAAUGGGAGAAGUGCUUGGUUUUGGGUUCAUACUGUGCGGUGUCCUCACCCAGUGACAGAAGGGGUAGCGAGGCACGCAUCGUGUUGUUGCCAUCAAGGAUAAAAAUGUGGGGUUUAUAUCUAUUGCAUGAAUUUAUCCCUCUACAUCAUGUCAUCUUGAUUAAGGUAUUACUCCGUUUGUCAUGAACUUAAUACACUAGAUGCCUGCUGGAUAGCGGUUGAUGUGUGGAGUAAUAGUUGUAGAUGCAGACAGUAUCGGAUCUACUUGUUUCUACCGUGAUGCCUAUAUGUAUGAUCAUUGCCUUAGAUAUCAUCAUGACUUUGCGCGGUCUAUCAAUUGCUCGACAGUAAUUCGUUCAUCCACCGUAAUACUUGCUAUCAUGAGAGAAGCCUCUAGUGAAUACUAUGGCCCCCGGGUCUACUUUACAUCAUAUUUUCAGCUCUAAACUUUUACUUUGUUGCACUUUUCGCCUUCAGAUGUCACCUUGCAAUCAAUCGUGAAGGGAUUGACAACCCCUUUAUAGAGUUGGGUGCAAGUUUGUUGUUUUUGCGCAGGUACUUUGGAGACUUGUCUUGAUACUCCUACUCGAUUGAUACCUUGGUUCUCAAACUGAGGGAAAUACUUACUGCUAAUGUGCUGCAUCACCCUUUCCUCUUCAAGGGAAAAAACAACGCAAGCUUAAGAGGUAGCACAUCCCAGCACAAAUGGCACACAAGGAUCUUAUAAUCGUCGGACCACGCCAUUUUCUGUGUUCAUUAUUCUAUAUAAGAUUAAAAAUCACAGACAUUGGACAAAUAAAAACCUAUCAUAAAGGCUACAACAAAAAAAUCAUGCAAUGAUAGACUUGCCAAACACUAAGAAGCUUAUUUUUUUCUAGAAACAAAAUCAAAAGCGCUUGUCCUGCAAUAGAUCUCAAGAGGCCAAAAAGGUUCUCUUUUAGUUACAACUAAUAAUCCACUUAAUACAUCUCAAAUAUUAUCGAAUAUAAUCUCAAAUACAUCUCGAGUACAAUUAAUCUAGUUCACUCGCGGUUCUUGAUCAAACUGAUCACCCAAAGAGCUGCCAAUGUAUUGAGACGCGGGCAGUGGACACCCAGAGAGAAGAAACCAUCAUAGGAUCAUAGAUCGGGUGAGAACUUUGAAGAACCUGCCACGUAUUGGAGAACCUGUCGUCCAACGCAACCAAGUAACGGCAGACGUGCUCGUCCUCCUCCCUGACACGGCGACGUACCUCCUCCUUGGGGGGCGGCUGCCUCCGCACCGAAAGUGGCUCACGCGACCGUCACCAAAGAAGCUCCGGGUCGACGAUGGGAGUCAGGUUCCUCACCAAGAUGCACGCCUCGGAAGGUAGCACCUACCGGUGCCAGCCCGGGGAUGCCCAGUCAAGGACAUGGCGCCUCUCAAGCAGGUUGGCGCCAGCGAGUCGACGACGAGGAUGCGGGACGGGCAUCGUGAACUUCGAGAACAAUUCCUACAACUAUUUAAAUUCCUACUAUUUAAUAAACUUUAUCAUUCAAUCCAAACAUAACAAAAUGUGAAGAGUACUAUUCCCAAGAAUCGCUCCCACAUGCCGCCAUGUGGGACGCUCUCAGCCACCGUCACGUGUUGUGCUUUGAGCGUUUCUUUCAGAUUUUGCUUUUUAUUUUUCCGCAUGCAUUUCUGGAUUUUUAGAUUUUUUUUUCUGGUUUUUAUUUGGAGUUUCAAUUUGUCACCGGUCUUUCUUAGCUUGUUGACGAAAAAUAUUUCCAACUUUUUUCUGUGAAAAAAUGUGUUUUUCGUUUUUUCUGUGAGAGGCAUAGUUUGGCUUUUGCAAGAGGCACGGUCGUGUUUCUCGGAAAUGAGAAAAAAUAUGUUUUUUUUCAUGACAAGUACGAUUUUGCUUUCCCGAGAGACAAGACCAUGCUUCUCAUAAACGGAAAAAGACGUGUUUUCUAUUUUUCUUUUAUGAAAGGCAUGGUUUUACUUUCCCGCGUGCCUCUCAAAAUAAGAAGACAUGUUUUCCAUUUUUUUGGCGAGAGAUACGAUUUUGCUUUCGUGGGAGGCACGGUUUUGCUUUCGCGAGAGGCACGGCCAUGCCUUUCAGAAAUGGAAAAAAUGUGUUUUGUAUUUUUUUCGCGAGAGACAAGGUUUUUCUUCCGCAACAAGCACGGUUUCGAUUUUGAGAUAGGAACGGCCGUGCCUCUCGGAAAUGAAAAAAACGUGUUUUUUUCGUGAGAGGCACGAUUUUUCUUCCGCGAGAGGUAUGUUUGCACCUAUCGAAAACGAAAAAAAAAACCGUUUUCUAUUUAUUUUUUCUAUCACAAGAGGCAUGGUUUUUCCGUCCUAUUUUUUUCGUUUGAUUUUUUCGUGAAAAAUGUUCGUAAAAACCUAUCAACAUAGGAUCUAGUUUUGAAGAUCUCGAUGCGAGGAACCCAACAAAGAAAACAUUCGAGAUUUGGAAGCACGGUUUAAGAGAUAAAACAUUUUAAAAAUACGAAUUUACAAAAAAAAGGUAAAGUCACAGGUUGCGAGAAGUAGCCUCCAUGCAGUAGCCACUUGUCGCAACCUUAGAGGUGGGAGUGAUCUUUAAAAGGUCUACUUCUUAAUUAGUGAUUUCGAACAGGAAGGCUCUCGCCCUUGUGGAAUCAAUUCGACCGAAAGGAGUUCAUAUAGGCUGCGAGAGGUAACUAAAAAACAAUUGAUUGAAGGAGGUGGGAGCUCCUAUUGGGCCUUCUUUGCGUCAAAUUAUCGAGCUUCGUAGAGGGCUGGCGAUCGAGAGUUGAAGCUAUGCCGGCCCGUUAACGUAUAACUAGGCUUCUGGUUUUAAGAACCUUCAAGAAGGUUCCCAAACCGGUGUUUUUAUUCCUUUUUUAAGUUAAUUUUUCGUUUUUCUUUUUCUAUUUUGCUGGGUUUUUUUUGCCUUUUAAGUUACUUUUUCGUUUUACUUUUUAAUUAGAGAGACGCACAUCCUGCCCAGGUUAAUACUCCUUCUAUUUAGGAUGUUAUAAGGAUCUAAAACUGGCAAAACUAUCAGGGUCAUAAAUUAAUCAACCCUCUACUUUCACUGAUAAACAAAACCUUGGAACAAAAAGAGAAGAGAUGAAUUCAUAUGAGAAGCUAGGUCAAGUAACAACUACAUCAUGUCUUCGUAGGUGACCCCUUCCUCGGCGGCAGCGUCAUUAGCAUGCUGCCCAUGAGCCCAAAGACAAUGUUAGAAGGAGGAUUGAUGAAAUAGAUGUUAUACUACUUGAGCCUUAUGGACGUUUAUAUAUAAGUACAAUGAUCAAUUUAAAGUACAAGAUAAGGUAGGACAAAUCCUAGUCUAUCUCAUAUUUUCUAAUAAUCAAUAUACUCAACAUCCCCUCGCAGUCACAACGGUAGCAACGCAAAGGUGAGAAUGGAGAAGAAUCUGAAGGUAAGCCGACGGUCGCAAAUAUCGCCGAGUUAAUCAUGGGCGCAGUAGUGUUAAACAAGGUAAGCCGGAGGUAAGUCGAGUCGGGGUAGCCGGUGCCGAAGAAGUCGUUGAGGAGCCGCAGGCGCAAAUAUCGCCGAGUUAGUCAGGGGUGCAGUAGUGUCAAAGAAGUUGUGCGCCUGAAAGAAGACGUAGUUGAGACGCGCCUCACCAGGAUUGCCAAGCCCGGGGACACGUCAUGGACGAAGGCACGCAUCGGUGUUGCCAACAUGCGUAGAUGGACGAAGUCGAUUUUGACGAUGCGUCGCUCCAAGCUUGCCAGGCCUGGAAACACACCAAAAUGAAGGCACGCAUCGGUGUUGCCAGCACGGGGCAUGCGGAAAUGGGGACCUGCACACAACUUGUACACCAUGUCGAGGAGGCUAGCAGAGAAGGACUCGACGACGAUUGCGGCGCAAAUCCACAGGGGUCGAUGUUGCCUGUGGUGGUCGGAGUAGACGAAGGGGCCGGGGAAGACGACGGCAACGCAGGCGAUGAGCUGGUAUUGGACGGAGAUGAAGGAGGUGGACGGGCGGCACGGCUCGGGUGAGCAAGCUGCAGCGGCGCCAAAGGAUAGCGACGGCGGCCGCCUGCCGGCUGGGGGAACACGAUGACGAUGCUCGAAGUAGGCGAGGAAGAACCCGACAGACGAAGACCGACGCGGAUGAUGGCGAUCCCACGACGAAAGAAAUGGCACGACGCAUACCACGGGAAGUCAACGACCGCGCGCCGUGGCGCUNNNNNNNNNNNNNNNNNNNNNNNNNNNNNNNNNNNNNNNNNNNNNNNNNNNNNNNNNNNNNNNNNNNNNNNNNNNNNNNNNNNNNNNNNNNNNNNNNNNNNNNNNNNNNNNNNNNNNNNNNNNNNNNNNNNNNNNNNNNNNNNNNNNNNNCGAGUGAAGGCCGGCGAUGAUGGUCGCGGGUCAGAGCCGACAACCAGCCCGACGCAGCCGGCCAGAUGCAGUCGAUGACGGCCGCAAGUGGAGCCGGCAGCCGGUCUGAGGAGGCCGAUGACGCAGCCGGUGCGAGGAACCCGACGAGGCCGCCAGCAAGCAGCCGACCCGAGACAGGCAACGAGGCCAACGCGGCCGGAACAGGCACCCGACCCGAGAUAGCCGACGUCGGACGAAGCUGGGAGCCGGACCGAGGCAGGAAGCAAGACCGAUGUGGCCGGAACCGGCAACCAACCCAAGGCGUCGAACGGAACCGAAAGCCAGCACGAGGAAGGCGGCAAGGACGACGCGGCGGAAACAGGCAACCUACCUGAGGCAGACGAUGCCGUACGGAGCCGGUAGCCGACCCAACGCAGCCGGCUUGAGAGGCAGGCGACGAGGUCGACACGGCCGGAGCCGGGAGCCGGCCCAAGGCAGCCGGUGGCUUAGAUCCUUCGUGCAAGAUGGUCACCUUUCAACACAUGCUCCGCUGAACAGUUCCGUAAACGCCCUGGCCAACGGUGCUUCGACCUUCCUCCCUUUGGUUGCACGUCAAAUGGGGAUUUUCAACCCAUUUCCUGUCAUGAUUUCAUGUGACCCCAUGGCCUCUUGUAAUUCCAGUAUUAAAACCUAGACAUGUUGUAAAUGUCUGAAAUAUUGUAGACGCCGUGAAAAAGGCCAAGACAUGUCAUGUGCCUCGGUAUUGCCUCCAUUGACUGCAAAAGAAGUUGUGAGGCCAAUGAAGGAAUGACCCAAAACCCCGCUACAUCUACGUAAAUGUUUACGUAAGUUUACGGAAUAGUCUGACUUGGCAAUCAUUGAUUGGAUUAAGAGGAGGAUAAGGCCCACCCACCCCUGAGAAUCAGGAGGGCAUAUUUAGAUUAGUUGAAAGGGUUUAGUAAACGUAAGUAAGAUUUAGUAGGUCUAGCAUUUUCGUAACAAAACCGUACGCGUCCUUCUUGAUAGGUAGAUCCUUCCUCCAAGAUGGUCUUAUUUCCACACUGCCCCUUUAAAAGCUUUUAUGAAACGCUCUCGAAUAUAUUUUUACCACAUCCUACAGGGCGUACCGUAGAGUACCCCCAUAUUCCCUUCAGCGUAUACUAGCAAAAAAGCCCGUGCGUUGCAACGGAAGAGAAAAUAACACACGCUUUGAACGUAAUAUAUUAGCACAUUUGUGUUGUCGACGAUGGCCUCAGUGCUCACACAACGAAAACGCGUUUGAAUGUACAAUCACUCGGAAUAAGAUGAGAAAUAUGUUGUUUCUCCCCAUGAGAUUUUCCAAAGAUGUGCAUGUGUGGUUAACGAUGUUUUCUUUCCUCUCAAUUUGGUUUUAAUUUAAUGGAUAUUUAUUGCAAUUCGUAUGGUCGUCGAAAAGAGAGAAAAAAAGACAGUGCAUUACAGAUUAAGUUUGCACCAAAAAUAAUAUUUAAGAAAUAUUCAACAGCUAAAAAUAACAUCCUAUUUAGAUUCUACACAUUUUUUCAAUCAAAUUUCAUAUAUAACAUGUUAAAAUUAGAGUUACGAUAUGGAUAACUUUGUUUUAGAUAAAAUAUGAAUUGAUUAACUGAAAAGUCAGGGUUUUUUUUGUUUAAACAAAAAAACUGACUUAAAUAGGGACGGCGGGUUGAUUACGUGAAACAUUAAGGAGUUUUCUGUAAAAUGCAAAAAAACGGUUCGGCACCGACUAAAAGCUGGACCGUGGGUUGAUUAUCUAAAACUGUGAGGACUUUUUUGCAAAAGGACAGAAAACGGUUCGUUCUGACUUAAAGUUGGACUGCGGGUCAAUUAACUAAAACCGCGAGGGCUUUUCUGCAAAAUGUCCGACGACGGGCGACAGAAGCCCUGCGCGCUUUAUUAUUAACUAGCAAAAGAGCCCGUGCGUUGCAACGGGAGAAUGCAACGGCUGAGAAUCAUGCUCGAAGGCAUAGAUAUUCUAGUGGAAGGAAUUGACAAAAUCAAAGUUUUGAAUUGUUACGGCUUCUCCACAAGCUUUUGCUUCUGUGUUUGCUGCAUCAGCCUCACGAUGCCAUGGCCACUAUCUCGCGAUAUGGGAAAAUCUGGAGGGGAGAGGCAAUUAAAAAACAAUUUGGUUCUUGCUUUCCAAUUAAGAUCUGAAUGAAGAUGUUGUGGCGUUAGGAGACGGCCCUCUUAAUUUCCAUGACGACACAAAACUGAAUGUAAGUAAUAUUGCUCUAGGAAAAUCUACACAAGAGUACACCAAGAGCUGAAGCGACAUUUUCUUCAUGUAGUAUGUAGGAGAAGAAGUUGAAGUCCACUGGCUUGCUGGUGGGAAGGAGAGUCGCACAAGAUGUCAGCAUCAAAGAACAGAACUCUUGGGAGGCGGAUUGGAAGCUUGUGGUGGUGUUGGUCGACAUCCUCCACCAUGGAUCUUGCAGGUGGGACGUCGGGGAGCACACUCCCUCCUUCCUGUGUCCACUACAUGCCCACCAUAUGGACGGUGGCGGUGCCUGGUCACGGGCAGCCGGAUCUGAGGCGGGGUAGGAGCAGGUCCAUGCCUCGAUUCGGCGGUGGCUCGUCUGUCACGCCCUAGUGCCUGACAUCGUCGUGUUUUGUUCCGUGGCUGGUCAGAUCCGCGAGGCCACGGUGGAGUGUUCUGGAGUGGGAGGGCUGGCCGCCGCUCGAGGCGGUAGGUGGCGGGGUUUGGGCAGAAGCAUGGGGGGAGAUGUGGAGCGCACGACGGGGGAAGGAUGGUGGACAGGGUGGAGAAGAGGAGGAACGGCCAGGAGAAAGAGGAGGCGUGGCGGCGCCGACCGGGAGGAAGGGGAUGUGGUGGGUGGCGAGGAAUCCAUUAUAGCCGGGCUAGGCGACGGCCCUGAGUGACUUCGCACGGCAGGAGAUGGUAGUGGCAGGAUCUAGACGCUCUGCCUUCGGCCUACCCCCCCCCCCCCUGUAAGCACACAACGCCCACUGUCCUCCCCGUCGUGAAGCAACACGCUCGCCGACGAGCCCAGCAGAAGUUAUUCCCCCUUCCACCUUCUCUGCCACCGCAGAAUAGGGGUGGGCAUAAAAACCGAGAACCGAAGACCGGAGCCGAAAUAACUGGGACCGAAGCCGAAAAAACCGAGGACUGACGCUUCGGUUGUUCAUUCGGUUAGUGAUUGGGAGAAACCGAAAUUACAUCGGUGAGUCCGGUCGUUGUAACCUAAUGACCGAAGUGCCUAACUACACUGUAUUAGUUAAGUAAGCCCAAUGGCCCAUCCACGUUGAUAGACUCUGCAACAACGGACAAAGCCUUUUUUCAUUCUUUAUUCCCAACACACAUCUAAAGAAACACAUACCCCAGCGCCGCCGCCUUCAUUUUCUCUCCUCACUCAAUCUCAGGAGCAUUGUGCGCAUAAAUCUUUGACAAAUAUCAUAACACAGUCUCACGGCAACGAUAAACUGCACCAUGCUAAGCAUGAAUUAAAUUAUGCAAGAAAAGAAAUGAAGUUUGCGAUUUCACCUUGUGGCCUUCAGCAGCUAGGUUCUCCUCCACUGCUGAUGCCUCUGGUGAGGCAGCCAUACUCUCCUGUGCCUGCACACCUUCAGCUCCAUAGCCUCCAACUGCAGCUGCUGUGUAGUAGUCUAAUGCCAUGAUCCUGUCCAGCUUAGCCCUCACCGCAGCAUGUACAGCCAAAAGGCACAGGUUUCAGUCAGCAAUCACUUCCAGCCAAACCAAGCAACAAAUCUACUACUACAUCAACAACNNNNNNNNNNNNNNNNNNNNNNNNNNNNNNNNNNNNNNNNNNNNNNNNNNNNNNNNNNNNNNNNNNNNNNNNNNNNNNNNNNNNNNNNNNNNNNNNNNNNNNNNNNNNNNNNNNNNNNNNNNNNNNNNNNNNNNNNNNNNNNNNNNNNNNNNNNNNNNNNNNNNNNNNNNNNNNNNNNNNNNNNNNNNNNNNNNNNNNNNNNNNNNNNNNNNNNNNNNNNNNNNNNNNNNNNNNNNNNNNNNNNNNNNNNNNNNNNNNNNNNNNNNNNNNNNNNNNNNNNNNNNNNNNNNNNNNNNNNNNNNNNNNNNNNNNNNNNNNNNNNNNNNNNNNNNNNNNNNNNNNNNNNNNNNNNNNNNNNNNNNNNNNNNNNNNNNNNNNNNNNNNNNNNNNNNNNNNNNNNNNNNNNNNNNNNNNNNNNNNNNNNNNNNNNNNNNNNNNNNNNNNNNNNNNNNNNNNNNNNNNNNNNNNNNNNNNNNNNNNNNNNNNNNNNNNNNNNNNNNNNNNNNNNNNNNNNNNNNNNNNNNNNNNNNNNNNNNNNNNNNNNNNNNNNNNNNNNNNNNNNNNNNNNNNNNNNNNNNNNNNNNNNNNNNNNNNNNNNNNNNNNNNNNNNNNNNNNNNNNNNNNNNNNNNNNNNNNNNNNNNNNNNNNNNNNNNNNNNNNNNNNNNNNNNNNNNNNNNNNNNNNNNNNNNNNNNNNNNNNNNNNNNNNNNNNNNNNNNNNNNNNNNNNNNNNNNNNNNNNNNNNNNNNNNNNNNNNNNNNNNNNNNNNNNNNNNNNNNNNNNNNNNNNNNNNNNNNNNNNNNNNNNNNNNNNNNNNNNNNNNNNNNNNNNNNNNNNNNNNNNNNNNNNNNNNNNNNNNNNNNNNNNNNNNNNNNNNNNNNNNNNNNNNNNNNNNNNNNNNNNNNNNNNNNNNNNNNNNNNNNNNNNNNNNNNNNNNNNNNNNNNNNNNNNNNNNNNNNNNNNNNNNNNNNNNNNNNNNNNNNNNNNNNNNNNNNNNNNNNNNNNNNNNNNNNNNNNNNNNNNNNNNNNNNNNNNNNNNNNNNNNNNNNNNNNNNNNNNNNNNNNNNNNNNNNNNNNNNNNNNNNNNNNNNNNNNNNNNNNNNNNNNNNNNNNNNNNNNNNNNNNNNNNNNNNNNNNNNNNNNNNNNNNNNNNNNNNNNNNNNNNNNNNNNNNNNNNNNNNNNNNNNNNNNNNNNNNNNNNNNNNNNNNNNNNNNNNNNNNNNNNNNNNNNNNNNNNNNNNNNNNNNNNNNNNNNNNNNNNNNNNNNNNNNNNNNNNNNNNNNNNNNNNNNNNNNNNNNNNNNNNNNNNNNNNNNNNNNNNNNNNNNNNNNNNNNNNNNNNNNNNNNNNNNNNNNNNNNNNNNNNNNNNNNNNNNNNNNNNNNNNNNNNNNNNNNNNNNNNNNNNNNNNNNNNNNNNNNNNNNNNNNNNNNNNNNNNNNNNNNNNNNNNNNNNNNNNNNNNNNNNNNNNNNNNNNNNNNNNNNNNNNNNNNNNNNNNNNNNNNNNNNNNNNNNNNNNNNNNNNNNNNNNNNNNNNNNNNNNNNNNNNNNNNNNNNNNNNNNNNNNNNNNNNNNNNNNNNNNNNNNNNNNNNNNNNNNNNNNNNNNNNNNNNNNNNNNNNNNNNNNNNNNNNNNNNNNNNNNNNNNNNNNNNNNNNNNNNNNNNNNNNNNNNNNNNNNNNNNNNNNNNNNNNNNNNNNNNNNNNNNNNNNNNNNNNNNNNNNNNNNNNNNNNNNNNNNNNNNNNNNNNNNNNNNNNNNNNNNNNNNNNNNNNNNNNNNNNNNNNNNNNNNNNNNNNNNNNNNNNNNNNNNNNNNNNNNNNNNNNNNNNNNNNNNNNNNNNNNNNNNNNNNNNNNNNNNNNNNNNNNNNNNNNNNNNNNNNNNNNNNNNNNNNNNNNNNNNNNNNNNNNNNNNNNNNNNNNNNNNNNNNNNNNNNNNNNNNNNNNNNNNNNNNNNNNNNNNNNNNNNNNNNNNNNNNNNNNNNNNNNNNNNNNNNNNNNNNNNNNNNNNNNNNNNNNNNNNNNNNNNNNNNNNNNNNNNNNNNNNNNNNNNNNNNNNNNNNNNNNNNNNNNNNNNNNNNNNNNNNNNNNNNNNNNNNNNNNNNNNNNNNNNNNNNNNNNNNNNNNNNNNNNNNNNNNNNNNNNNNNNNNNNNNNNNNNNNNNNNNNNNNNNNNNNNNNNNNNNNNNNNNNNNNNNNNNNNNNNNNNNNNNNNNNNNNNNNNNNNNNNNNNNNNNNNNNNNNNNNNNNNNNNNNNNNNNNNNNNNNNNNNNNNNNNNNNNNNNNNNNNNNNNNNNNNNNNNNGGGAUUCUCGCAAAACGCAGAAGUUAAUUUGCAAAACUGAAACGUUUUCUCAGAUACCACUUAAAAAGGGACCGCAGGUUGAAUAGCCGAAAACAGAAGGAUUUUUUUGCAAAACAGUCGCGACGUACGGAAGAAGCGAUCCGUGGUUUAUUAUUAGGGAUUAAGGGGAGAUAGAGACUCGCUGCAAAGGCAGCCGAGAAUCAAGCGUGAGAGAUCAGAGCCUAAUGAGCAUCGUGGUGACCAAAUCCUCGCCGUUGCCGGUCGCCAGCCCACCGGAGCUGGGGACGGUAAACAGUGGCAUCGUCAACCUUUCCUCCUUUGACAAGUGUUUCGCUCCUGUUCCCGUCCAUCUCCUCCUCGUCUUCGACCAGCCGAUUAACGACCCCGUCCAGACCAUGCAUCAAGAAGGCCGUGUCACUGGCAUUGGUGCACUACCACCCUAUGGCCGGCCGCCUCGUGGCCGGAGCCGACGACCGGGAGCUGAUCCACAUCGCGUGCACUUGUGAGGGCGUCUCAUUUGUGGGCGCGUCAGCUAGCUGCACCCUGGACCAGGUCAGUACGUCGCCGCUGCUCGUCAGGGACCUCACCCUUCGCUACCCUGCCGACUACUGCCGCCCUGGCGAGCCAUUGCUGCUGAUGCAGGUGACCGAGUUCGCCUGUGGCGGCUUCACGGUCGGCGUGACCUGGAACCACGUCGUGGCCGACGGCGCGGGGAUGGCACAGUUCCUGCAGGCCGUCGGCGAGCUCGCCUGCGGGAUGCCAGCCCCGUCCGUCGUUCCGAUCAGGGCCGUAGUCGACGGCUCGCUCCCAUGUAUCCCUCUGGAGGUCGUUGCCAGUGAUCAGGUCCGUAGUCGACGGCUCGCUCCCGUCUCUCCCGUCGGAGGUCGUCGCCGCGAUGAGGUCUCAGAUGAGCGUCGGAAUGGAGGAGAUGGCUAUCCUGGAGGUCACCGUCCCAUGGAGCUUGAUCAGCCGCGUCAAACGCGAGUGCCGCGGCGAGUGCACGACGUUCGACGCCGUCGCCGCGCUGUUCUGGCAGUGCCGCACCCGCGCGAUUGCCACCUCCGACCCGGACACGCUGGCGCCCCUCUUCUUCCCUAGCAGCAUGCGCUGGCUCAUAGGAGGCGCCGCCAAGCACGGCUACUACGGCAACUGCGUCAUGCGGCAGCCGGUCCAAGCGAAGAGCGGGACGGUGGCGAGCGGCGACGUCAAGGACCUUGUGAAGCUCAUCAGGCUUGCCAAGCGGAAGAAUAUACCGGGCAUGCUCACGAUCACGAACGGCGGCGGCGGUGGGACUGAGACGCCCCCUCCAAGGUGCAAGUACAACACGUUGGUUGUGACGAGCUUGAGGAACCUUGGGUUGGACGCGGUGGACCUCGGGCGUGGGAGUCCGGCGCGGGUGAUGCCGCCGCUGUGCAAGGCGGAGCGGACGGCAUCAAAUUUCUGCGUCUUGUGCCCGCCGUGCAAGGGGAAGGACGGCGUCAACGUGGUGUCCAUCUGUGUCAAGCCGGAGCACGCCGAUGCCUUCGCUAAGGAGUUGGCGGCCUUGGGUAUAUGCUAGCUAGCUACUGGUGUGCGUCCAUGAUGCACAUGGUAUGCACCCAUACCAAAAUCUGGAAGCAUGCAUCGGUGGGUGGUACACACGCAAAAUAAAUCUGGUGAACAAAUAUUGACUAUGAUCUCGAUCGAUGAUGCACGGGUGGGACGCAUGCAGAAUAAAUCACGUGAAUGUACUCCAUGUAUAAAUUUGAUAUAUAAGACGUCUUAGAUCACUAUAAUCUGAAUCGUAGCUUUCUUUGAUCUGCCUUAUUAAUUAUAUGAGGGGCAAUGAGAGCACUUUCAUGCCCAGUCCAUAAGCAAAAUACGCCGCAGUGAGCAAGACAGCCGCCUUGAGUCCAAUCAACCGGGAUAUCCCCCAACCCAUAUUCACAAGCCUUCAACUGAACCCUGACAUCAAAGAUAAAAUGUCAACAUACCUGAAUCGGGAGGGAUAGUACCAGUUCCAGCUAAGAGGAAGCUACGCCUUUACGGUUCGAACAAAUGAAAUUGCUGCGUACAAAGAGAUACUGUAUUUGUAAGUAUUGUAUUGGUGCAAUACUUAUUAUGUUUUUUACCACUAAAUCACUCUUCUUUCUUAAUUACAAUAUACCAUGAAUAAUAUUUGCUCUCCUCCAUCCAAGUCCUCAUGCGACGAUGGCGCGUGAACGGGGAGGAUGCACAGGAUCUCAGCGGGCGCCAUCGUGGAGGUCAUGGCGGGUUGGGUGGCGCCGGAUCAGGUAGAGGAGGUGGAUGGCGUGCGGAUCCGGGAGGGAGGCACCGGAUGCACCGGANNNNNNNNNNNNNNNNNNNNNNNNNNNNNNNNNNNNNNNNNNNNNNNNNNNNNNNNNNNNNNNNNNNNNNNNNNNNNNNNNNNNNNNNNNNNNNNNNNNNNNNNNNNNNNNNNNNNNNNNNNNNNNNNNNNNNNNNNNNNNNNNNNNNNNNNNNNNNNNNNNNNNNNNNNNNNNNNNNNNNNNNNNCCACGACGACGUAAGACAGAAGUAGUAGCUGCUUUAUUAUUACUAGCAAAAUGGCCCGUGCGUUGCCACGGAAGAAAGAAAAACAUAAUCUCCAAUGAUGAUGAACACACUAUGUUCACAUAUCAUCGCUUGAUUUAGAUAUUUCGUACACAAAUGCAAGAAAAUGUUUCUUCUUUUAAAUUUAUUCACAAGUUGAAGCAAUCUUUACAUUUUCAAAAAUCCUGGUAACUCAAAGAUUUAUUCUGAAUUUCAAGAUUUUUUUUUAGAAAAACUACAAUAAUAAUCCGAUGCAUCCAACAGUUAAUUCUUCAAAAUUCACACAGGUAUAUUGUCACAUAGACUUAAAAGCAUUAAUGUUUAACUACAUACAUUAGAUCUUUCGUGAACAAUUUACAAAUAUGGGAAUAAUUUUAAAAUCGAGAACAUUUUUUACAAUUUACAAACAUUUACUAAAAAUCGUGAAUAUUUUUUAUAUUUCGAACGGGUUUAAAUAUUUUCUUUUGAAUUGGCGACCAAUUCAAGAAAAGACGAACAUAAUUUUUUAUGUUGGAGGAUUUUAUUUUAAAUUCACAAACAUUUUUUGAAACGCAUGAAGUUUUCUGAAUAAACAAACAUUUUUGUAAAUCAGUAAUAUAUUUAUUAAAUUCAUGGACAUUGUUUUGGAAUUUGCAAAAAAAAAUAUAUAAAAAUCCAGCGCUUUUUUAAAUCCUAUUUUUAAUUAAAAAUAUAAAUUCGUCAGCAUUUUAAUUCAAAAUUCCUAUUUUUUAGUAUGCAAAAGUUUUUGUAAUUCUAAAUUAUUUAAAUUAUAAAUGAAAAAAAAUGGAACGGAAAAUUUAAAUAAAAAAAGAAACUAUCAAAACAGGCAUUAGCUAUUUUUAAAAUAUUAGGACAUUUUUUAAAUGCAUUAACAUAUUUUGAUUUAGAAAGCAUUUUGUUAAAUGCCUUUAAUAAUUUUUAAUACAUGGAAUUGUAUUUGAGAUCAUGGACUUUUCUUAUUGUACAAAUAUUUUCCUAAAAUUGCAAACAUUUUAUUUUAUAUGCGAGCAUUUUUUUACAAAACUCCGAGCAGUUUUUGAUGUCACAAACAUUUUAAUUUUUGAAAUGUGUUGAUUUAUAAUUUUCAGUUUAUUAAAAUUUUAAAGAUUAUUUGAAUUUCUAAAUUAUUUAAAAUAAUAAAAAACGNNNNNNNNNNNNNNNNNNNNNNNAAAUAAAUAAAUGGAACUAAAAGCAGGUGCCUGUGCAUGGGCCGGCCCAUACAGUGUGUUGCAUAUUCUCCCAGCUUGCAAAGCGUAAUAUAGGACGUUUUUACAUGGGCCGGCUCAGUCCAAGAUUUUUUGCUUUAUGAAACGUUUUCUAUUACUUACCGGUGACAAAGUGGGUAAUUUAUGCAACUUUAAGGGUAAUUUUCAAGACGGACGACCAGAAACCGUAUUUGCUUUAUUAUCAGGGAGAUAUUAGGGAGAAAUAAAAAAAAAUUCAAUCCGAAUUUGUUGGUCUCAAUGGAACGAGGGAGAGGCUCGUGUGGCCUUCUUGAAAACAAAUACAACAUGAAUUUUGAUGUGUUCAGCCAAUAAUUUGGUUAACAACUCCUCUAUUAAUAUGUAAUAAGUAAUUAAAUUAACGAGUUAGUUAGUGAGAUAUACAUCUACACAUUGGCCCUAUAAACAAGAGAGAUGUGUAUAUCUGUGCAUCUCUAGAUAUGUGCCAACCCAAGGUGCUUACUCUAGUAUGAUGUUUAUGUCUCUCUCUCUCUGUCUGUAUUGGUAAUCAAAGAGGCUACAAGUAGAUGCUCCCGGCACUGAACUAAUUGAUCCCAAGCAGAGCCCGCAUCCCAUGAUGCGAAGCCGAAAAACAAGCCUAAAGUCAUGUUUGGAUUGUCGUUUCCCCAACAAAUACAUUUGUAUAGAAAAUACAGACCUCCGACGGCCGUUUAUUUUACAACCGGAAUCAUUCACAGCUCGGUAAGUUACACCUGUAAAUUAAAUACAGGUGUAUUGGAAUACCCCGAUAUCAAGCGUGGCCUAAGCUGUGGGUCUGGCGCCGGUGGCACUGCGAUCUUCACGGCAUGCCAUGUGAAUGAACUUGGUAAGUGAGUUUCAAAAGGACACUGGGGGUUGGCACCUAGACUUGACCUGAUCAUAUUAUACUUGAAGUGGCAGAAUAUAGAGCCCGCUUGAUUCGCUUCAGGCUCGUCGGUGCCUCGAUAUAUAUGAUGUAUGUAUGUGGAGUUGCCCGUAUUAAAAACCAGAAAAUAUAGUAAAAUCUUCGGAAUAUUGCACGGGAUACGGCCCCUCAAAAGAUGGGGACUUGACAUCUGCCUUGCAAUAGUUUCUUGUGAACAAAGAAAAAGUUCCGAGGCCAACGGAGGAAUGCCCCCCACACUCUGUCCACAAACCAUACACAUUCAUUUUCCGAUAGCUAGAUCCUUCCUGCGAGAUGGUCUCCUUUCAACCCAUGCUUCGUGAAAUUUUAUCAUCUGUACGACAAGUUUUUCCCCGACAGCUAGCAGUAGUACACGUUCAGAACAGACGUUAGUGAUGCCCAACGUUACUUGUUCUGCCACCAUUUGGAGCUCAAAGAAAAAAAGAGUUCCAGUUCGGUGUAACUAGCUAGUAAACAAAGGUGGGGACAUGUGUUUUGGCUCCCGGGUGCAUUUUCAUCUUGAUGAACAGUAACCCCAAAAAUAAUAGUAAAUAUUUUAAAAAAUUCUGAAUUUUUUUUGUAGAUGUUUGUGUUAUUGCUCAAGCAGGCUUGAUAAUUUUCAUGGGAAACGAAGUAAUGGUUUUUUAUCGAUGAAAAUAAAUAAAUUUGGAUGUGACAUUUUGGCGUAACAAUUGAUGUUUUUUGUACGGGUUAAAAUGCUUAACCUUUUUGCCUUUAAAAAGUAAUGUUCGCAUUAAAUUAAUGGUUUUGAGGUGUUCCUGCUACAAAUGCUACCCGGUAGUAGUCCUACUGACAGGGUAAUAAUAUAUGAGGUUAUUGAUCCUACAAUACUUCAAGAUGAUAGCAAUGCCACCGGAUCAAGAAUGUCACAGGGAACAAAGGAAAAGAACCGGCGGUUGGUGACAAUUGGAAGACAAGAGGAAGUGCUACCAUGGAGGCAUGGAGAUAGUCAGAUAGCUGGCUGCUUGGUUAUAUCUUCAAGCGAACAUAAGGUUUCAAAGCUGAAUUGUACCACAUGAUGUUCUUUCACAAAACUACAACUGGUUAAAGAACACUAACUUAAGCUUUAUCACGGUCUAUUUAUUAUUAGGGAACUAAUUUAAGUUGUCUGAAGCUACCUAGCUAGGCAGGCCAUCGAAAUGAGUGACCUGAUGAUCUUAGCUUGGACUCGUAAUUAAAUAACUAUAUUCCAUAUUAAACACUUAUUAAGUAGCCCUGCCGGCCUUCAUUUGACGUGGUGGUGAAUCCAUGGACGUACACCUACUGCAUAUGAUAUGAUACAAUCACGCAAUCAAUGACGUCAUCAUUAUUAGACGUAUGGUUCACUCAAACCAAAAGUUGCCAUCGUAUAAAAUAAUAACAAAGUUGCGCCAUCAUUACCAAUAAAGUCUCAUCUAACUCCCAAUGCCAAAUGGUUUUGCGCAAGGGUUUAUGCCAAAAAUGAUUCUUUCUCUUUUCAUGUUAACUUACAUUUUACAUUUUAUAUUAUGAAUUUCAUUCACGGUUCCUUUUCAUGCUGCAUGCACCUCCAUGCAACUAGCCCUAUAAGCUCACCAGGUCACUGCACUGUAGUUGCAUGCCGUGUACACUUUCAGUUGCACGUGUGCACAAGUCCAUCGGACACACAUUUUUAUUAUUUAUCUUCAUUAUUGUUGUUUUCAUGCACGCCAUGCAUUUAGGCGCAACUGCAACUGCAGUUGCACAUCUGCGUACAGGCGGGCAAAUUAGUUAUACCUGUGUUUACGGACGCACAACUAUAUAUAGAACGUGUUUGGUUUCAAGGGACUAACUUUUUUUAGUCCAGGGAUUAAAGAAAAAAGACCAUUCAGUAGAAUCUUUUUUUAAUCCCUUAAAAAAGUCUUUUCUAUUUGAUUACAUAGGAACCAAAAUAGAAUUUUUUUUUCUAUUCUAGUCCCAGUAACCAAACAGGGCCAUAGUCACACCCCGGUCAGCUAUGCACAGCGGGUUGCAUGCAAUUGCAUGUCAACGAACACGCACAAUUGCUUGCCCAUCGUUCCUACAAAACUGCAGGUGCACAGCCGGAGUGAUUGAAAUGAUUUAUAGCUGGCCAAGGAUUGAAGGUCUUUAGAGGAUUGACGAGGCGAGCCACAUACGAAACCUCACCGAGCGCAUGAGUACAUAUGCAGGGGGAUGGCAAUACACGGGAGGGAACGUGUCUAGAGAACACAGGAGAAGACGAGGGGCGACGCGUGUCUACAUGUUUAUGCUUGUCCGCCCAUGUGUGAUACAACUUACAUUACACAUGACCAUUUCCUAUUAAUUGUGUGACCUAAAUCGCUCACGAUUCACACACAAAUGUGCACUGGCCCUAGUAAUUAAUCGCACACGAGUGCUACCUAUCGAAAGUGUGCAAAUCAUGGCACACAUUUCAUGCAGACACGCUGUUUGUGAUGUGAAACCUCAUUGCUAACGAUCGAAUUAUGUGAAUCAUGUGUACGAUACAUGUAUGUUUUAACAAGGAGUGGAUGAUGAGUUCUCUAUCACACAUGGUUGAUAUUCGUGCACAUGUUUGUUUCCUCUAACUAUGUCACACAUAGUAGGAAGGUGGAAAACAAAAUAUUAAACUGGAUGUACUCAUCGCAACAAUUUAUGGUCGACGUCACAAGCCUAUAAGUUUGCAAGUACAUACUAUAAGAAAUACCGUCACAUAGAGUACGAAGGGGAGAAACAAAAUACUAAACUUUUUUAUGCGGGAACAAAAUACUAAACUGAAUGUAAUCACCAGAACAAUUUUUUAUCAACGUCACAAACCGAUAAGUUUGUGAAUACAUACAACAAGAAUAAUUCUUCUUGGUCGCCAAGAUGGAAAACAGAGAGCUGCAAACCAAUAAAAAAGUGAUGAUAAUGGUGCUUGUGAGAUCAGACAUACUCCUGCCGUUCAAAAAUACAUGGCCUAAUGCUUUUUUCGAGGUUAUCUUUGACCACUGAUUAGAGCAAAAAUAUAUCUUACACAAAGUAUAUCAUCAAAUUCGUAAUUGGAAGUAGGUUCUGAUGAUAUAAUUUUUAUAUCAUAUCUUAUAUGCCGUUAAUUUUAUUAAUAAUCAAAGGCAAUCUAAAAAACAUAUUUGUCUCUAUAUUUGGAUGGAGGGAGUAUGUGUCUAUUUUUUGUAACACGUACUGGAGUAUAUAUGUACUCUGAUGGGUGACAGCCGUACGAGUCAAUAACAGCCCAGACUCUUUUUUUUUGUGGGUAAAUAACAGCCCAGACUUCGAUUAAAUAGGAAACAACUUGUUAUUAUUACGCUGUUAGUGACUGAAAAUUUUAAUAAUUGAUUUUCCUUUCCACACGGGCUAACUAAAGCGCAAGCUCGUCGGCGUGCCGUGGUGAGCACUCGCACGCGUUGUUGUAUGGUAUCAUAUGUUCUAAGGAGGUGUUAGAGAGAAUCCCUUAUAUCUUGGUCCCAUGUCUCAUUUCCCUUCCAAUCUUCUUGCCGGACUAGAUUUUACAAAUGAAGUGCCACCCUAAAUAGGAAAUUCUUUUUGUGCGGGUGAAUUGGUCUAUAUAUAUUCUACGUCUCUCCAAGCAGCAAGCAGCCAACAGAUUUGUUAUCUUGUCACUGCACUUCCAAGCUGCUGGCAAUGGAGAUGGACGGCUGGUUAAGCUUGUAUAUCGUAGGCAUAUCCACGGUACUAGCCCUCUGGUGUCUCAUAUUCUGUGGUGGCAAGAGAAACCCCAGGAAGAAGCUACUGCCUCCCGGACCAUGGACUCUCCCGAUCAUCGGAAGCCUCCACCACCUCGUCGGUGACCUCCCACACCGAAGGAUGAUGAAGAUGUCUCGCCAGCAUGGGCCGCUGAUGCACCUCAGACUAGGUGAGGUCCCAACGGUGAUCGUCUCCAGCGCCGAGGCAGCAGCACUGGUGAUGAAGACCAACGACCUCAACUUCGCAAGCCGGCCGUGCAGUCCGUCGCAGGAUAUCAUCGGCUGUGGCGGUACGGGCAUCAUCUUUGGCCCAUACGGGGACCGGUGGCGCCAGAUGCGCAAGAUCUGCAUCGUGGAGCUCCUCAGUUCCAAGCAGGUGAGGCGUAUGGAGGGCAUCAAGGCCAACGAGGUAGGUAACCUCCUCCGUUCCAUAGGCGCCGCUGGUGACACCGUAAAUAUCAGCGCGAAGAUGGCAACACUCAGCAGCGAUGUCGUGACGCGGGCAGUUUUCGGCGGCAAGUUCACGCGGCAGGAUGAGUACCUCCACGAGCUAAGCAAGGUGAACGAGCUUCUGGGCAGCUUCUGCCUCGUGGACCUUUUUCCGUCAUCGCGGCUGGUGCGAUUGCUCAGCAAUGGUGAGCGCCUUAUAAGGAGGAGCUAUGGCCGUAUCCAGCACAUCAUCACUGAGAUCGUCGAGGGGCGCAAGGCUACACGAGCUGCCGGCGGUGACCACGCCCGCAGCACCAACGAUGAGGACCUACUGGACGUACUACUCAGGCUGCAGGAAGAGGACUCGUUGACCUUCCCUCUAACCACAGAGAUUAUCGGAGUCGUCAUUUUUGUAAGUAGUUUUUUCUCAAGAAUCUGCAGUAAUGUUACUGAUUAGGGAUUUCCUAGAAAUUUUGAUGUCGACUUGAAUAAUUUCUGAACGCAUGGGCCCAACUAAUAGAACGACACAAAAGAUAUAGAGUAGAUGGACCAUGUCACCCCAUGAAGCAAUUUACAAUUUUUUAUAUACGUCAUAUGCAUCAUCAGAUUUUAGGCACACAGAGUCCAAACACAUCGCGAAUAGAUUUGUAUUAUGAUAGCUAUCAAGGUGAAAUGAGUUAUAUAUGUUUGCAUUUACACGUAAACGGUGCUUCAUCUCAUCUGACAUAUUUUCUUUCAACUCAAAUGUACAUACCAACCAUUGCUUACAGGACAUAUUUGGAGCUGCCACUGAGACCACAGGAACCGCAUUGGAGUGGGCUAUGUCGGAGCUAUUGGACAACCCUCAAGCUAUGGCUAAGGCACAGCUAGAGGUCCGGGAAGUGCUAGGCCAAGAUCGACAUGUCAUGAAAAAUACCGACCUCGGUGAGCUCCGAUACAUGCGGAUGGUCAUCAAGGAGGUUCUUAGGUUGCAUCCUCCUGCUCCCUUGCUUGUCCCCAGAGAGACGAGGGAGGACUGUGAAAUCAUGGGCUAUAACAUGCCUAAAGGAACUAAUAUAUUUGUUAACGUCUUUGCAAUUUCUCGGGAUCCUAAAUAUUGGGACAACCCUGAAGAGUUCAAACCGGAGAGGUUUGAGAACAACAACAUCGAAUAUUAUGGGACACAUUUUGAAUUCACUCCUUUCGGGGCUGGGCGAAGACAAUGCCCUGGGAUAUUGUUUGCCAUGUCGACCGUGGAGAUUGCCUUGGCAAACCUACUCUACCACUUUGACUGGAUGCUUCCUCGAGGGGAAAGUGCAGAGUCAGUGGACAUGUCCGAGAAAUUUGGGGUCAGUGUCAGUAGAAAAAUUGACCUGCAGCUGACAGCCAUUCCAUAUACACGUUCCAAGGCUAUUUUGAUAUAGACAUGGCAAUGCAUGUGUAUAUAGCGGCAUCGUUAUUGGAUCAUUGUUUCUGUGUUGCCCUGUAUCUCUAUACAUUAUUGUAAUAAGAAUAAGGCUCUCACUGAAAAAGUUGGACUAUCAAACUAUUUUCAAUAUUUUCACCUAUGCUGUAUGCACAGAGACACGGUGCCAUCUCUCUCUCAUUUCUCUUCUUCGUUGACCUAUCAGGUCCCCCCUCCCCUUCUUUUUGCUGUCAUUUUGGCCCAUGGGUGCGACGAAGAAAUUUUAUUGGCCUGAUGUUGUUUCUGUACAACAACGAUGGGUUGUAUUAUUGGAUCAUCGUGCUCAAGUCCUAUCCAGCCCUUCCAUGUGUUGAGCUAGUGUUAUGGCCAUAUUAAACUCGAUAUGCAUAAUCAACAGGUUACAUACAUAUGUCCGGCCUGUGCAGAGUUAUGAUCUACACAACCAAACUCACACAUAUUGACACACAAAUAUUAUUGCCAAAGACAACAGUAAUAUACGGCCAAAACCAUGCCUAUAUAUAGUGAGAAAUGUACAAAAACUAGUAAACUUAGAUCUACAUUUUUUUUCACCUGGGUGGCUUAAGUGAGUACUCCCUCCAUCCGGAUUUAUUAGGCUCGGAGACCACUUCUUUUAGACCAAGACACAUAAGAAUUUCCUCACGUUAAUUCUUUCAUCCCACUUCCAAUUCUCUUUCUCACAUGCCAAUUCUCACAUGUACCAAAUGAAAAAACAUGCAUGCGACGUAUUUAUUGUUGAGCUAUGGGACUAGCAACAGUGCCUCUCGCUACGGAAAAUGAAAUGACUGAUGCAUGUAGGUUUCCAAAGCAAGGCUUUAUAAACAGGAACAUGCUUGUGCAGCUCUUAGGCCUAAUAAACCCGGACGGAAGGCCUAAUAAAGGAGUAACGUAUUGGCUAGCAACUAGCUAGCUUAUACUCUAUUUUAAACCAAGAUCAAAACUAGCUUUAAGUUUGUAAGUACAUGAAUAAUUAAUAAUUAGUCAGAGAGUAUUCUGCAACAAAAACCUUGACGACACCCAUCCAGUACCCAUCAGUGCAAGUUUUCUCUUCCCAACCAUAAAGUAGAAGAUGGAAAAUUCCGAAUACAUUCCAAUCAAUGAUGCAUUGGCGUGUGAGUUGGCAAAUUUUUUUGCUCCUUGUCCAAGCUUCUCUAGUUAGCCGUCACUAUAUUAAAAGUUAUAAGUCUGCUAGUAGCCGCCCCUAUGUCAUAUGAUAUAAAACAUUUGUUCUCAUGAGUCGCUAUGUUAUAUAUUUUAAGGUCCCUAAUAGUCGUGCAUAUGUUAUAUAUUAUAGACCACGUGUUAUGAGGGUUGCUAACCAGCGAACCGGUAUGUUAUAUUUUUUAAGGCGGCUAAUAGCCGCCCCUAUGUUAUAGUUAUAAUGCGCCUAAGUAAUAGACACCACUAUGUUAUAUAUUAUAGAACAUGUCUUGCAAGUUAUCAACAAGGGAGCAGAUUCUUACUCGUAAUGGCUCCACUUAUAGCAUAUACCCCUGGUGUGGUCAAUUUACAUAUGUUGACAAUUUCUUCUUUGACCGGUUUUGAGAGAUAUUUGAUGGUAGAAUUCCUUCGGAGAUUGUAGGAUGCCACCCUAUAGGAGUGUUCACAAAGUUGUUUUCUUGUUGUAUAGGGUGGCAUCACUUUGGUAGGCUCUUUGUAAUAUCAGUAUUACGUUGAUAUUUCACAAGUGUUACAUCAUCCCACCGAUGUUAUUUCUAGGAAACAACAAUGGACUGUAUUAUACGAUCAUAGUACUCAACAACUGUUUGAAGAUUUGGUGAGGGAAUGUAAGCAUGUGUUGAGGCAUUUAAAACACUGACCACUAGAGGAAACAUCUAUUUUUGCCUAGUGUAUAGCUAUUUGCCGAUUGUUUUUUCGGGGCACCCGUCAAAUAUGUUGCGUACCACACAAAAACACGGGAAACAGGAGAGACAUGUUAUAGCUCUGUCUUUGCUGAGAGCCAAUAAAAUAAACUCAGAAAACGCACCACACUCGGCAACAUUGAAUAAGGCACUCGGAAAUCACAAUGUGCUUGGCAAACCGAUAGCCACUUGUCCAACCUUGGUAUACUUGGCGGAGGCUUUAUGGCGGGACAUGUUUCUUGAGUUCUCUCUGUUAGGUAUGACAUUCUCUUGGAUAUGUUCUGUGAUUAUCUGGUUUCUUUGUUGGAUAUGAUAUUGUGUGAUAGUUUCUUUAGACUUAUGGGUGUAUUUAUGUCGUACUGUGGAGUGUGUAUCAUUUCCUUUUGCUUAGUUUGGUGGUGUAGUUGUUUCUGCCCUUGGAUGUAGCCUCUAGAGAGACAUAAGUCACAUUAUUUCAUUUUUUGUGGCCUCCUAUAAACCUGGUGUCCCAAGUAACACACAUGCAUCCAUGACCUUCACCAAAGGACAUGAUCUGGUGAACUCAGCGGUGAUGAUGACGGUGAGAUUGAGAAAUCCUGGCCAUCCAGACACACUUAGGCAUCACUUAGUGGUUUUAAUUCUUUGCUCUCACAGUUGGGAAAAAUGAUAGGCAGGAUUGUUCUUCUAGCUUAGCCGGUCGGUAGCCAGGUUUUACGCUUUGGUCAACGUCUAGCGACUGGCAUGACAUUGAUGUCAAUGCGUUCAUUACCUUGCUACCGAUAUUGGAUGCCCUGAUAAGUGCACCCUGGUAAGACACAUACACCUUCUCCUUUUUGUCAAGCCGUUGUGGAUGAAUGAUUAGAUGGACUAUCAUCUUAUAGAAUGUGAGUUACAGGAAAGUUCUAGUUGUUAAUUAUGCACCAUUACAGGAAAGUCCUGCUACCAAUAUUAAAUAUUUUUCUAAUAUCAUGUUUAUACUAUAUAUGCAGGGCCGACCCUGAGGGGGGGGGGGCGAGAGGGGCGGCCGCCCCGGCCCCCAAGAUCCAAGGGGCCCCCAUCCUAGCUAUGUGUGAGGAACUCUAUUCCCUAGUCCCACGGAGGCGCCAUUAGAGCACUCUAAAGCUGUUUUAUGUCUCGGUGAGAAAGAAGAAAGCCGAAACGUUCAAUCCUGUAACGAACAUGGACUUGGGCUUUUCUCUUUUGUGUCAAAGACCAGCAUGCUUUAGUGGUAGUGGGCUGUUCUAAAAAGAAGCGGUAGUUGGGCGUUUUAUGAAAGUGGUGGCUGGGCCACACUAGGUUAAGGUCCUGAAAAAAGACCGAUUUUGUGUUUUGAAGAUGGAAUUAGCGAUCCCCUAAAAAAUGGAAUUAACGAUCAACUGCAGCGCUGCAAAUUAUGCGUAGUAGAAGUUGAAUCAAAGUUAUUUUAUAUUCCCUUAGUCCCAAAUUAAACAUCAUGGUUGUUUUAGUUCAAAUUUGAACUCCUCCAUCCCAAAAUAAAUGUCAUGAUUUUAGUUCAAAAUAAUUACCAUUGUUUUAGUACUCCCUCCGUCCAAACUAGACUUAUUUUGCGACGGACUGAGUACUAAGGUAUUUUUACAACAAUUUUAUUCAAUGUUAUAAAUUGAUAGUGUUCUGUCAAUAUGAUUAUGUAUUUUAUGUUGUAUCAUUUUUCUCUCCAUGAUAAUAGUUUCACCUACAAAUAAAAAAAAGUGUCACCAGCAGAAAAAUAUAGUCCUUCACCACUAGCUCAUGGGUGCAAUUUGGCUCAAUAGAUGUAAAAGCAGAUUUUACCUGAUCUCCUAUGGGACUCUGGCUGCGUGCGAUCAAUGUUCGAUAUCACGGGCGCCUUACGCAAUGGUUCCCUAUGUAUCUAGGACAUCUGGCCUCUGAAUUAUAACUCUCUAGUUUUAAAAUGAAACUCCUUUUAUCCCAUAAAACAGAAAUAUUAACAAAAUAUUAAAGAUCCAAUAUUUUAGUUUUGCCCCGGGCCCUAGAAAACUCAGGACCGGCCCUGUAUAUAUGCAUGCAAUUACCACGAACAUAUCCCCUACUUCCAAAGAUCAUACGAAGCCAUUCUUUAAUAAUUUCACUUAUGGGCUCAUGGUACAAACGUACAUCAAUUGCAGCUGGGGCCUAGUGGUCUACAGGAGGACUUUACCGGCAGUCGGUUGCAGUCAUCUCUUGUGCUAAGCAUCGAUCCUCAAUGUUUCAUCUAGUGAGUAUUGACUAUUGAGUGAUCACAACUCCGUAGCGUCUCUCUUGCAAUAUAUCCUCAAGUUUCAAAAAACUAAGAAGAAAGAGAGAGCACUAUAUACGUAGGUACACACGUAAUUUCCUAGAGACAUCGGCGCAUUCAUCAAUCAUACAGGAACCACAGUUGACUAAAUUGCACAAAAUAUGUCAUCUUUAUCGCGUCGGGUUGAUGACAUUACCUUUUAGUCCACAUGGUUAUACCGGUCAUCCAGGAGAUGUACGGUGUGCUUCACGUACGUACCCAUAGAAACAAGAGUAGAAAAACGGUUCAAAUUACCAUGGGAGACAGUAUUCAGAGGUGUCCCUGCUCAGUUCCUUGGAGGCGCCGAGGGCUUGAGGCUUCCAUGAAGUGGACGGCACGGUGUAGGGCAGUCAACUCUCCGUAUCCUUCUUCUGUGCUUGUGGCUAAUGGCGAACAGAUCUAAUGUAGAUAAUUCCUCCGUUAACAGGGGCGGAAUUAGCAUGGGGCUAUGCCUAGGGCUAAAUUAGCUUCGAUGGUGUAUUUUAGGGAUUUUUUGUAUUUUAUAAGAAGGUAUUACGAAGACUAUUGUCACUUUACCUUGGGCUAUAGCCCCAUUUGCCUUAGGCUUGUUUCCGCCACUGUCAGUUAAUCAUUAUGGAAUUGGAUGCAUCUCAUCAUUUUUUUAGGGCUUCAGAUUAUGGCUAGGAUACACUUCGAUGUGCGCCAUUUUAACUCGGACCCACAUGAUCUGAUACAUGGAAGGCUAUUUUCUCUGUUUUUGUUAACGUGUAGAUUUAAAUCUGAGCCGCUAUAACUUGGUCCCAUGAAUAGUGUGGUGGAGGAGGUAAGUUUUCCAUAUCCUUCUUAUGUGCCCUAUAGCUUAUGGCGAACAAAUCUGAUGCGGAUGAUACCUAUGUUGGACAUUGUGGUUGCAUCCUUGUCGGGACGCCGCAAGCAGGGUGUGCUUCGAUGGCGGACGAUAGGAUUGGCAGCCGUGAUGCAUGCCUGGCUGGAGGUGCCCGUAGCUGGUGUGGUUGGCGUCCGUCGUGGCUGGGCACUUGGAUGCCAUGGGUGGCUCUCAUCCGAAUCUAGAGGUUCCAGAUCUGAAGGAGGUGAUGGUUGCCCCUCCGGUGUCGUCGGCCGACGACGGCCGAUGAUAUCAGGAUGGCCAUGCUGAGGUUUGGUUGUCCCCUAGUGUGCAGUACUCGAUUGAUUCCUGCUUCUCAUGUCGUGGUGGGCUAGAAGAAUCUUCUUUUCCUCCUGUUGGUGGGGACCAUGUGUUCCAGCGGUGGCGUGGAUCUAUGGGUGACCGUAGGUGGAUGCACGGGUUGUUAGUGUGACCGUGGCGGCUCUGACGAGCAGCGGUUUGCAUUCGACAGCAAGGUGCGGGUGGUGUUUGUGCCUUCCUCUCUCCUAGGUCUAAUUCGACGACGCAUGGGAUGCUCGCGGGCGGAGGUGGCAACCUCAUGGGGCUUGUGCUUAGACAGACCUGCGCAGGGCCGGAGGCGAGUCAGAGUUGUAGCUCCAGAUAGGUGGGGUAGGCUCGUCCCGAGGGGGGGCUCGUGGGUGGUGUUGUUGCUUUACUCGCGGGUGGGUGGGCUACGGUGGUGGUCAUAGCAUCAUUGCAUCGUUAGACGGAUCGAUGUCGAUGACCACGGUCUUGGCAUCAUGCGAGCUUGCGUGAGCCUUGGCUAGGGGCUUGCUCAAUAGCGGUUGUUGGCAGUAAUGGAGUCAUGUCCACCCAGUCCACCGGGAUUGGCUGGGACAUAGGCGUGGGUGACUCCUACGAUGGAGACACUAACCCAGACUUGGUGGUUAAUGUCGGGCUAGGAGUAGAUGUGGUGUAUCUGCUCAUCCUGUCGUGGUUGACUGUGUUGUGAAGUGUGUGAUCUAGGUGUCCCACGACAAGGAUGUCGGGGCGUUGGUCUUAGGGGUUGGGCUUUAUGGUUGGCUUUCCGGCGGGCUCCGUGGUAACGGUGGUGAAUUCACCUCUUGGUCGUGUGGGCGGCAAGGGGUGUAGUGGAGGGAGUCUCUUGUAUGCUUUGGCAGUGCCCAGAUCUGGGGAUGCGUCGGCCCUUGAUGUGGUGGUAACUGGCACUUUUCUCGGUGGUGGUGACGAAUUUCCGAGCAAAAGCUUGUGUUUCGGGCGCUAGAGACGAUAGCGCUCACGGAUAUCGCGUGCUUCCUAAAGAUGUUGUCGUGGGUCUCGCAUGUGUGCCAGUGCUCCGGGUCAAAACCUAUAUUUGUUCGGACUCGAGAGCAGCGAUGCGUUGCGCCUUCACCAUCUUGGAGGCGUUGUCGUGGAGCUCAGGAGUCUUCGGUUGGGCCUCGAAGAGUUGUUAGGCUUGUUCUAGGUUUAUGUUGUAUCUUGUGAUCUGCUUUGUAAGGAGGGCUCCUCACCAUAUUUUAUUGGUCGGUCCUGUACUUUGUUAUCUUUCUUUAUAUAUAAAGGUUGGGGGGGGGGGGGGGCCAAGGUAGGCGGGGAAAUGGGUGACCUAAUCUUAGCUUCGCCCCUUAAUUAGCUAAUUAUAUCCCAUAUCAAACACUUAAGCAGCCGGCCUUCAUUUGACUUGGUGGUCAAUCCAUGAACGUACACCUACUCCACACGAUAGAAUACCAUCACGUAAUCAAUGACAUCAACAUUAUCAAACAUAUGGUUUCACUCUCGCUAAAAGUUGACACAUAUAAAAAAUAGUACAUAUCUAAAUUAUAGAAUGUAUUAACAAAGAUAAACUAAUACAACCCUAUCUUUUGCAUUCACCUCUACACAUAAGUUUGUGCACAUAAACGAAAGUAUGUUGUACUAGCUCGUUGCUAGCCAUUUUUGUCUUUCAAAUUACUACUAGUUUUAAGCCAAUACCUGGCAAGUUAGGUUAGAGCAACUAUAGCUGAUUUUGCAUAUCUUCCUCCAUCUAUACUACUCGCCAUUUUGGAGGAUGCUAGAAAAUUGGCGUGUAGACUCUAUAUCUUCCUCCUAUAUUCUCUUCAGUUCUCCGAGGUUUCAUAUGUUUCUUUAUUCUCAUCAGUUUAAUAGAACAACUCCCAUACACCUUUUCGUCUACGGACACACAACGCCUUCUUCCCGUGGCUACAAAUGCCUGUUAAUGACACAAGUCUGGCACACUGCCUAAGCUAUAGUCACCUCCCACCAGAUCCAAUGCCACAACCCCGUUCCUUCAGCCCCAUCCCUACUGUAAUGUUGUUACGCCACAAUGCGCAAUAAGGUCUCAACCUCCUCAAGGAGGAGAAUGUACAUGUCAGCGUUACGGGCCGAGGGUUCUACUUAGCCAUUGUAACUAGGCCCCACAAUAUGAAUGGUUUUAAAUUUUUGAUUAACCUAGGAAUUUCUAGGGCAUCUGAGCUGUUAUAACUGAACCCCGCAACAUGAGGAGUUCUUAAUUUUUGCUUAACGUAGGAAUUUCUUGCUAGUCACUAUUUACCAGAUGUAUAGAUAGAUAGAUAUUUAUUUUUCUAAAACGGAGGAUAAGCUCCGGCCUCUGCAUCAAACGAUGCAAACAUCCAUUUUUGUUAUAUUAGCCAACAGAGUCCGACAAAAAUAAAUACAUGGAUCCCCAUGCCACCUUCUAACGAUCAAAAUUGUAACAUAGACUAGCUGGAUGAUUUGCCCUCCAUGCAUCAACACGCACCAUCUAAUUCAGUGGUCUCACCAAGCCGCCUGCCGAUGGGCCGAAAUCGCCAACCGAUCUAGCAGACCCUUAACACGCACCGCAGGUGCCUGCUCCAGAUUCCUCCACCGCCAUCUUUCGUCGUCCCAACUUCAGAAGAGAUCCAUGCAUUGACCUUGCCAAGACCAGCUGCCGUCUAUGCCACCACGACGCUAAACAAGGCUACCACAUCGACACCAAACUGUCCUUCGACGGGACUCAACCAUGGCACGCCGCUGUGACACCACGUUUUCCGACAUGCUAGAUGCCGCACCACACCACCUCUAGCACCAGGAACCAUCCACACUCGCAGUGCACAACAUCAAUCUCAAUGUAGAAGACGACAUCUCAAUGCCUAGUCACAUGGAACUAGGGAUUUCACCCGGUCACAGAGGGAGGAAGGAUCGGGGGUGGAGUUGCCCUUGAUAUCACCACCAAGAGGGCUAUGACACCCGAAGCGCCAUCGAUGACGUGGCCGCCGCUAUCCACCAUAUGUUUCCCCCGGACAAACUUCGAUGCUAAUACCCACCAGGCCAGCCACCAACACCUCCGAGCACAGCCGCCGAAGAUCUGGCUCAGCCGAUGAGGAGAGCCACACGCAAGGAUGGUCCCAGUGAAGACCGGGCACCACCCACAGAGCAAAACAAUAGAAUGAUCAGCCAGACAGAUCGGUUGGAUUUGAUCCAGAUCCCCACCGCCAGUCGCAGCAGCAUGCUCCCCACUGCCACUUUCCUUGGCUAAGGCCCGGGCUUGCACGGCCCCAUCCUCUGGCAGCGGCGAGGAAGGAAAUGUGAGUGGGGGAGGCUAGUUGGUAACAGUGGCAGGAUCCAUCCUCGCACACCUCCGCACUUCAGGCACUGGAGGUCACAUCAUCGCACGCCCCCCGGACUUCCAGAUAGGUAGAUGGAUGUAUUGAUGUUUAGGUUCCAUUAAUCUUCACAAGCUGAGAGUGCUUCUAAAUAGCAUGAUAAUUUUUUCCAAAAAAAUAGUCUUUAAAUACAGCCGAAGAGUUUUGGUUGCAAAUAAUCUAGCUAGUUCAAUCUUAGAUAGUUUUGGUUGCAAAUAGUCUGUAAAUACGGCUGACGAUUGUUUGUGUCAUAUCGAUGAACACAAGUUCAGAACGGAAUAUACCCUCACAUGUUUAUCUUCGUCCACAAAUCAACCAAACAACUGUACCAACCAUACUUGCGACUAGUGUAAAGUAGGAAAAAAGGUUAUUUUCUAUAUUAAGUCAACAUGUUUUUGUUUUCCCAUUUAUUAUUUGUUUAGCUGGUGGGCUAAUUUACACUCGACUGUAAGACCAAAUAUAACAAGAUAAUAUAAACAGGCCAUAUUAGUUAUCAUAUCAGAUUUAUGGGUGGUGAGCUGGAGUAGAGAGAAGGGAAGGAGGCUAUAGAUUUAUAGCCGAUGUCAGCAUGGUCUCCAGCAAUCUUUGAGAGAGCAUGAUCUCCAACAAUCUCUGAAAGAGAAUAUGGUGAGCAAAGUAUUGAUAUCAUAGUAUAUGAUUAGCUAUCGAUGGAAUAGCUAUGAUGAGGUAGAUUUAGCAGAACCAUAAAUAAAGAGGUAUGUACAAAAUAAAUGUAAGCAUCAUGUGCUUGAAGUCUAGCGUGUGGAGUGAUGCACCCACAAUUUCGACAUUGCGCAUGUUUACUAAUCUUCCAAUGUACGUCACCAUCCAUGAAAAAUCUUCCAAUGUCUUCUUUUCUUCAGGACUAGAAAGAUAACAAUCGUUGGCAUUGUAAUUAAUCUGGUCUCUGGGCAAGGUGCUCUUGCAAAGUCGUACUUGUGCAUGUUUACUAACCGAGCAUAAGAAACCAUUCAUGUUCGCAGCCCUGCACUGACCCUUUCACUAUAUAAAGCAUGGUAUCAGUACAUUCAUUUCCAUAGACCCAGUGACAAAUCCUAUCCAUGCAAAUGGCAACCAGCAACUCUAUACAUCCUCUGGUACAGGACGACGUGCACAAGCCCCGGCCUUACCCGGCAAGCCAAUGGGGCGACUUCUUCCUCGACUACAAGCCAUGUACCCCUCAACAGGUAUAAUCUUACUUUUAUUUUUGAAAAGAAGAAACACCCUCGGCCUCUGCAUCGCAACGAUGCAUGCAACAAUAUUAUUGAACAAACUUUCCAACAAGGACGUAGUAUGGUAGGAAAUUCCGGAAAGCGUUAAAAAAGAUGAACAGGGUCACAACCGAUAGAAAUAAGAUUAUAUGUCUAUACACCUAUCCUAUUAUUGCACCGUCAUUCAAAUAAGUUGUAGAUAUCCCGUGCUACCGUACUCACAAACCAUAUGCUCCAUAGAUGACCUAUACAAAAAUUAUAACGUUUUGUCUGUUGAAAAUGACGUCGUUUCGGCAGUACCAUAUUGCCCAAAGUAAUGUGCACACUCCUACUCGAAUAUCUAUUUAGUCAAGUCUCAAAUAAAGUGUCCAUGGUAACAGGUGGACUAACAUUAAAGGGCACAUAUGUAUUUCUUAUAGGCACUCCGCAACAAUAUAAGUCAUUUUCGUGUCUCUGCAGUAUCUAUCAAUGGAGGGCUUAGCGGAAGCUAAAAAGGAAGAGGUCAGACAAAUCAUAAUAGACACCGCCAAAUCCUCUGACCUACCUCAAAAGCUGGAGCUUGUCCAUACGUUGCAGCGUAUUGGGGUUGACUAUCACUAUGGAAAAGAGAUUGAUGAACUGUUGUGUGAUAUAUACGAUGGAAAUAUUGAACUUUUGGACCUUCGUACAACUUCCCUGCAGUUUUACUUGCUCAGGAAACAUGGUUACCGUGUAUCUUCUGGUACGUACACUUUUACAGGUCAAUGUUGUGGUACACAAAAUUAUAAUUGCACAUAUGAGAUAUGUUAUUACAAAUUUAAAAUCUCGCAAUGGCGAAUAUAUUGUUUGCAAAAAAAUCUAUUAUUUAUUUAGUUGCCUGAAUAUCUGAAGUAAUUAUAUAUGCAGAUGUGUUUUCCAAGUUUAUAGACAAGGAUGGAAAUAUUGGAAGCACAGAUGCUGCAUCCUUGUUGGGCCUCUACAAUGCUGCAUACCUCAGAACCCAUGGAGAAAAAAUACUUGACGUUGCCAUGAGUUCCGCAAAGAAGAUCCUAAAAUCUAUUGUUAACCAUUUGGACCCGACAAUUGCAGACGAAGUUAGACACAACCUAGAAACUCCUCUUUUCAGGGGGACUCACAGAGUUGAAACAAAGCGCUACAUCUCGGCCUACGAAAAAGAUUCUACAAGAAAUGAGAUCGUACUUGAGUUUGCAAAGCUGGACUACAACCUCGUGCAAGGUCUCUACUGCGAUGAGCUGAAAGAUCUUACCAUGUAAGGAUCUCUAGUACUUAUAAUUAACACCUUUAGAUACUAUGAAUUAACUAUUAUUAGUUUGGAGCCAUAUUCACACAUUCAUUUACAGAUGGUGGAACGGAUUUGACAUCGAAACUCAUCUAACCUGGGCGCGCAAUCGAAUGGUUGAGAUUCACUUUUGGAUGAUGGGGGUUCUCUUUGAGCCUCAUUAUUCAUACCCAAGAAUUGUGCUAACAAAGCUGUUUACGCUUGUCUCAGUUUUUGAUGAUUUCUAUGACAAUUACAGCACCACAGAAGAAAGCAACAUGUUCACUACAGCAAUAAACAGGUUGACUUUUCCCUGGAUACUUAUCAUUCCAUUUUUAUUACAUCACUGUAACCAAUUAUGGUCACACCAUAUCUAAGCAUAUAUGUACUGUAAUUGGCUUGAAAACAAUAGGUGGGACGAGCAUGCAGCUGAACAAGCCCCAACAUACAUGAGGCCUUUCUACAAGGGUACAGUUGCUUCCGUAAAUCAGAUUGAAGCGGAUCUGAAACUUCAGAAGAAUAAACAUGCUGAAUUGGUGACAAAACUGGUAAUUACAUGUCAUAUCUCUAGAAUAGUUGAUUAAAAUUUAUGUAAGAAAAGACUACUACCUCCUUUCCAGAUUAUAAGGCUUGCACGUAUCCCUAGAUUUAUAAUUUGAUUAAGUUAAAAUGAGAUAUAUAGUCUAAAAAUUAUACCAUUAGAAAGUAGACGGUUUGAAGUUUUUAAUGACAUAUUUUUUGUGAUAUAUAACUUGUAUUACGAUGGUCUAUUUAUCAACUUAGGGAUACGCGCAAGCCUUAUAAACCGGAAAGGAGGUAGUAGUAAAUAUCUUCCAGAACUAAAAUCUAGCUAUCAAUAAAAAAAAUCCCAUCAGAAGAAUAGUACGUUUUCAGUAAGUACAAACUGUUAGUCGUGUUGCUGGUUAUUGAUGGGGAAAUAAUAUCGAUAAGGCGAUGGAUUGCAUGUGAUAGAUCUUCACCUCCACUAGGGUGUAUACCCUCUACACAACUCAAACCACUUCCCAAAAGAAAAGAAAAGGCAACCCAUUUCCUCUUUAUUCCCACAUUCCUCUUCCUCAAUUGUACUACACCCAUAUUCAGCAAUGACAUGCAGCCCCCACAAACCCACUGGUCAGCUGUUGUCUGCUUCCUAACCUCUCACCACUCUCCCUUUACAUAGUCCCAACGAGUACCUCAACCAGUGGUGCUUGUGACCGCUUGGGUUGGAGGUCGCUGAGCUGUUGGACCGCUUGGGCCGUCACCCAUAACCCCUUACAUGGCUGUAGCAACACGUAGGAGGAGAGAAAGCACCACCUAGCCUUGUCAGAGAUGUUGCCAACCACGUGGAUUGAUGCCUGUUUUGGAGCCGGAUAUAGAGAUUACAGUUUCAAUUGAACCUUUUGAAUGUUGCAGCUGUCCGUUUUCUUUUUGUUGUCAUCAGAUGUGGAUGAUUCUCAUGAGAUUAUUUUGCUGCCUUUUGUUGGAUGCCAUAAAUGAUUUUGAUCCUCACAAGUAUGAAAUGCAAUUAUGUGAGAUCAUAAGUCAUGCAUAUACCAAUUGUUGCACAUUUUUGCACUAAUUUAUCGAUGAAAACCAUGUCACCUCACCAAGUCAUACAUAUUAGUCAAAUAGUUAGAUUCUUUCGUUAAGUUUUGUGUGGUCAUGGUCGGUAUAUGUGUUAGAUGCUUGCAACAAAUAUAUGUAGGUCAUGUUUCAAAUUUUGGUUAAAAUAUGGUGCACAUUAAGUUCAAUUUAUGAUUCAGCAGAAGUAAAAAUAUAUUGGAGUUGUGGUAUUGACUGGCGUGGGAAAGACUAUAAAAGGCUAUUGAAGAUAGAUUUCCUAGAUGUUGUGUACGUAAAUAACUGAAAUACAUACUAAGAUUAGAAUUUAUGUGGAUUUUUAUAGUUUAUUGACGCGGCAAACUGCUACCAUGCUGAGGUGAAAUGGCGGGAUCAGAACUAUGUUCCAACGAACCUUGAAGAGCACCUAAAAAUCUCGGCGCCAAGCACUAUAUGUAUGCAAAUAUCAAACAUUGCAUUCAUAUUAAUGGGUGACGUCACGUCAAGUGAGACUAUACAAUGGGCUUGGGCAUACCCAACAAUCAUCAGAGCAGUCUGCAUCAUCGCCCGUGUGAUGAAUGACAUCGUGUCCCACGAGGUAAAUAACUUCCAUCCCAAACAUGAUUAGUAGUCUUAAGCUAUAAAUAAACUACAUUAUCUGAUAACAAAAAAUGUUUCCUACCAUUAAAGCGGGAACAAGCUUCGCAACAUAUGGUAUCCACCGUGCAGACCUGCAUGAAUGAAAAUGGGUGCACACUAGAGGAGGCAAAUGAGAAGCUUAAUGAAGUAGUCGAGCAAGCAUGGAUGGACAUCUGUGAGAGCUGCAUCCAGCCGACAGUUUAUCCAUUGGCAGUCUUAUCAAGAGUGGCCAAUCUCGCACGGGUGACAGAUUUCUUAUACAAGCACGAUGAUGGAUACACCCUUGGCUAUUCGGUCAAAGGGACAUUGGACUCGGUAUAUGUGCAUCCAUUGGAUGUUUGAUUAAUUCAGGCAUAUAUAUGGUGGGAGCUUAUCAUGGUCUUUAUAUAUAAACAAUAAACGAUACUCCAUAUAAGAUCCUAUGUAGUGUUUGUAUCAUAGCAAUAAUGCACUUACCAAUUGUAUGCAUUGGUCGAUGACUGAAUGCAAUGCAUGUAAGCACUAAGCAAUUUCUAUGGUGUUUUUCGUCAUGUGUUCAAUGUUUUUCAUCAUAUUUAUAAAUUUUAUCAGGUAUUUACGGAAUAUUCAUCAUAAUUUAUAAAAUGGACAUCAUUUUUUUUAAAGAUCAUCAUGUAAUUGUCACGCAUUAGAAAAAAUAUUCAUCCUGUAUCCCAAAAUCGUUUAUGGCCUAUUUAAAAAGUAUUCAUCACAUGUCUUGAAAGCAUUCAAGUGCAUGCAAUUAGAAAAAUAUUUAAGCUUUCUGCAAAAGGCCCACGAAAGUGUUCAUGAAUUUAGAAAUACCCUUAAAAUUUCACAUGUUAAGAAAAUAUUUGUGUAAUUUUAUAAAAUGUUCACGCAUUUUGAAACUCAAAAAGUGUGUGUUAUGAAAAUGGUUGUACUUACUUUUAGAAGUAAGAAAUAGAAAAUAAAUGGAAACAUUUUUUUUGAGGAAUGUAUAAAAUCUUGAAUAAAGUAUAUUAUUAUACUUCAAAAUAACAUCAAAUAGAAAAUGAAAAUAUAAAGUAAAGAAAUAAAAAUUUUAAACAGAAAUAGACAAUGGAAAAGCCGAAAUAGAAGAAAAUGAGAAAACUGUGGUACUCCCGGAGCGAUCGAGCCGCGUUGGAAACGAAAGAUAAUCACUCCACACUAGAGCGACCGAGCAUAUUGUGCUGGCCCAGGUUGGUGUGUUGUAGGCGAGCAGAUGCUAGGUCUCCUUAUAAACGGGUUAUAUCCCUGCAUAGAUAAAAAGCAAGGUAUAAUAUGGCUUGUGUAUGUAUUUUGAAAAGAAAUAACGUGUCUAAUUGUAAAAUGCACGUACUUUUUAAAAGGGAAAAAUAGAAAAGAAAAGGGAAAAAGAAAGAUAAUUGACAAAUACAGAAAAAUAAAUAAAUAAAGCAUAUUUUAAGUAAAAGAACAUAAAAUAUCUGCAUUCUUUCUUCGAUGUGAACAGUUAUAGAAGAAAUUAAGGAGAAAACAACAUUCAAUCAAUUAACAUGAUAUGGUAACAACAAUUAACUUGGAGACAGGCUGCUAUAUACUCCCUCCGUUCCAAAAUAAAUGUCUUAAGCUUAGUACAACUUUGUACUAGCUCUAGUACAAAACUAAGUGAGUUAUUUGAAAACGGAAAGAGUAUUAAAUAGGAGACUUCGUCCAGGUGCACUACAGCCUACACCAAAUUAACUAGGUAAAGAAAAAAAAACUAACAGAUUGGUUAAGACUACUAGCAUCAGACACUACAACAAGUUUAUUGAUGAUGCUUCUUCGAUCGUUGUUUUCCUUUGCCAAUUACAAUUAUAUCGAAUCUCAACUUCUCAAGAGCUGUUAGGACAUACUAGGAACAAGUAGUACGAGCCUAGCCUUAUCUAACUAUCUUGACAAUCACUGAAUAUACAUAGCUGGCACACGUCUCAAAAAAUAACAGAGGUACCUGGCAAACAAGGGAAUGGCUAGAUGUAAGUUGCUUGAAAAAUGAAUUUGGGUAAGUCGAUCUUGCAGAACCGUCGAAAGAAAAAUAGAGGACCAAAUCAUCUUGUUCAACCUCUUGUUUUCCGCUUCCUUCGAUUGCUUCUGACCCGCCACCUGCUUCAUGCCCCGCGGUGCUACCCCCNGGGGUUCCCCCCCCCCCCCCCCAAAAUGCUGUUGUGCCCCACGGCCAUCAUUUAAUCCCCGCAGGGCUGGCCCUGGGCAUGUGCAGCCAGUGCUGCCGCACAGGCCCCCAACGCCAAGGGGCCUCGCCCUAGUAUCGACCACAUGUAGAUUUUCUAAUUUUUGUUGCAAGACAUGACAUGUAGAUUAGCACUUUUGAUUAAGCAGACUGCAAACCAUAUAAAACACCCCCAUCGCGCAAUGCAGACUGUAGCUAGCGGGCCAACAUGCACUGGCAUAGUCGUCUACAACUACUGGUCGGUGGCUUCUGGAGAUGAGGCCGUGGGGAUCAAGUGGAUCCGGGAAAUGGAUAAGUUCAUGGAGCGGUACGUGAGGCCCAAAUACAAGCUGAGGGGGGCCUCCUUCAACUGCAGGGACCUGGAUCUCGGCACCAGUUGGGGGUCGAAAUACUUUGGCACUAACUAUGAGAGGCUCACAAGGGUCAAGGCUCAGAUCAACCCCGGCAACUAUUUCCAUGAUGAGCAAAGCAUACCGUUGUCAGCAACAUCAACAUGUGUGUGCACCGCCUGCAGCGGCCAAGGCCUCUUUUCUCCUCCUCCUUUUGAUUGAGAAUCGAUCACCAAAAUCAACGUUUCUGUAAUUUUAAUUUGCCUAAAUGCGUGGACAGUAUAGUAGCUAGCUACUAUGCAUCUACAUGCACGCGUUGUAUCUCGAGAAAAUAAAAAUCCAUCAAUAAAUCACACUCUGGUGAUACCCAAUUUGGACAUGCUACCCAUGAACUUUGGGGUCACCAUUUGGACAUGGCCAUGGUGUGAAGAAUGAUUGAAGCGGCUUACCUCGUUGGAGGUGGUGCGUAUGUGCUUAUUUAGGCAGGGGGCUUAUCCCUGAGAUAAAUAUACAAGUUGUCGGUAUUACAUCUUGUGAAUCAAGUCAACUAUGAUAUAGAGAUAAGGCCUAUGGUUACAUGCGGUUAACAUGAAUAACAACUCCUGGCCGGCGUUAAGCCGCCUUAAGAUCGAUAUGAAACUCUUGAUGCCCAUCGCGUCGAUUUGGGCCCCAGCUCGGCGCCGGUUACUUCGCCGCCGCCCGACCUAGAGGGAGCUCCGUGUGGCCAAGGCAAAGGCUAGGAGCACACACAGACCAGCAACUGUCUGCACGUGCCGGCCAACAAACGAGGGCCACGACACCCUACCCGAGCGAAGGGGACGACAACCGAUCUAGACGCGAGCGAGGGUGUUGCACGGCGACGAGAUUGCCUGCACAUUUACUACUCAUAUUCCCGGCAUGGAGAGUGGAACGUGGCGGCCAUCCUGUCCUCUUCAGCGUCGUGGGCGCCGGACGUACUAGCCGUGAGAGGAGCAACAUCUAUCUAUCUAUACAUUUUUUCUUUGACGUCUGAUUCGUAGAAAACUGACAACAUAUCAGCAGGGGGGCAACUUGCCAGGACUGUUGCAGCUGACAUCUAUUACCCUCCUUUCACGACUGCAGAGUGUGAAAAACAAGCGACAAAGACUUUGCCAUGUGUCUAACAGAAAGCUGACGGCAAAUUAGCUCUUUUUCUAUUUACAAUUUGCAAGUCUUUGUCAUCUGUUUUUCAGCCUUUGCCGUUUGUUUGAGGUUGACGGAAAAUUUACUAACUCCUGUGGCGAUUCCUUUGACGCCUUGUGUGUCCGUGGUAUGCCGUCCAAUUUGUUGUGCUUUCACUUUCUAGCAUUUUUAGGCCAUUGAGCAGGGCCCACAAGAGACUGUUAUCGGGCAUCCACUUGUAGCUAAAGGAGUAAUAUAUUUUCCAUACCGGUCGUUUUUAAAAUAUUUAAAAAAAAUGUUCGACGUAGCCCGAGCAUCAAAGCGCGUCACUCAAUUUAAUUUCACUAAUACUUUCCUUAUGUACCAUUUUCUAUGUUCGUACCCACAUAGGUGUCAUAAUCUAAAGUGGUGAUCAUACCUGCAAGGAUUCAAAAACCAUGAACUAAGGUACUAACCGGAACGGCGGAUGCCAGAGGCGAAUCCACCAGCUCACCGUGAAGAAAUAGGGGAGGAAAAGCUAAAGAGGUGAUAGCACUAAUAUUUUCCAUAGCGGUCGUUUUCAAUGCUCACCCACAUAAUGUGUUAUAAUCUAAUGCAGUGAUCACCAUGUGAUUUGUAUGAUGCUCUUCUGCUUAUUGCUGGAUAAAAAUAAAAUAUGUGAAGCGCGGUUCGCGUGGUUAGCCAACUUGUGAACUGGGCGAGUGGCAGGUGAAAACGUGGUUCGCGUGGUCAGCGCAGAUCAUCAUGUAUAAAUACGUACUACAACACAUGAUGGCACUCAUCUCCACACAACUAAGCCAACAAUGUGGUUCUCUGCAUUGCUGGCUUGUAUAGUAGCUGUGAUCACCGUUCAUGUAGUGCACAUCCUGCACAAACACAACAAAAAGAGAGUUUCUCCUACUUGGCCUCCCGGCCCUGCCGGCUACCCCAUCCUCGGCAACCUUCUCUAUGUCAUUGGCCCGCUCCGCAACAACCCGCACUCCGCGCUCGCCUCCCUCGCUCAAACCUAUGGACCCGUCUUGUCCCUCCGCCUCGGUCUGACCCGCACCAUCGUCGUGGUGUCCUCAGCCGCUGCGGCUCACGAGGCCCUUGCCAAAAAUGAUGCAGCACUCGCGUCCAGGCUUGUGCCGGACACCGUUCAUGCCAUGUCGUAUGGCGCGACGUCCAUGGUCUUCCUUCCAAGCUCCAACCCAUUGUGGAAGCAAGACCGCACCAUCAUGGGCGCCCGCUUCUCCUCUGGCCGGGGCUUGGAUACAAUCCGGCCCAUCUUGGAAUGCCAUGCCGGGCAUCUCACCGAGCACUUAAGGGCAUGCUCUGGCACUGGCACGCCGGUCGUAAUCAGGGAGGCCGUGAACCGCACGGUGCUCAAUGUCAUAUCCAACAUCCUCUUUUCUGAGGAUGUGGUGGACUUGUGCAUGCCGGGGCCCCAACCUUUUAGGGGACUCAUAGUGCCGGUUUUAGAGGAGUGGUCAAAAUCCAACGUCUCCGACGCCUUCCCCUUCCUUGCACCAAUUGACCACCUCCUUGGCUCGCGCCGCCGCAUUUCCAUACAUCUCGCCAAACUCUUCAAGUUCUUUCACCAAGAGAUCAUUCAGCGCCGGUUAGCUAGAACUAGCACCGGCGGUAAGAACACCAACGACGUCUUGGACAUUCUCCUCAUGCGACAUGCCAUGUCCAAGCUCACGCGCCAAGAAAUAGUCACGUUCCUAACAGUACGUAUGUUCAUUGUGUACCUUUUCCGUUUGCAUAUAUUGUAUGCAUGUCGAAUGUUCAUUUGUUUUAUUUCUGUACAGGAUAUGUUCAUCGCGGCAAGUGACACGAGCACAGUUACUGUGCAGUGGGCUAUGGCGCAGCUACUGCGCCACCCAGAGAAGAUGGACAAGGUGCGAAACGAGCUCUCAGCAUGCCUUGCAGUUGGGUCCAGUGAUUUUGUUAAGGAGAGCGACCUCGACAACCUUCCCUACCUCCACGCCGUGGUGAAGGAGACAUUGCGGCUGCACCCAGCAGUACCAUUGAUACCACGGGAGGUGGCUGCCGACGGAGUCUCACUGGGUGGAUUCCCCAUCCCGAUCGGAACAGGUGUCGUUGUCAACUUGUGGGCAAUCGGAAGAGACCCUGCGAUGUGGCCUCAACCUGACAAGUUCGUGCCUGAAAGGUUCCUGGCUGUAGGUGCAGGUGAGGCCGUGCACUUUCAAGGCAAGGGCGACAAUACCUAUAGGCCAUUCGGCGCCGGACGGAGGGUCUGCCCUGGAAUGGACUACGCUCUGCGAUCGGUUCCGCUAUUGCUAGCCUCACUUGUCCACAAAAUGGAAUGGAGACUACCUGAUGGGAUUACACCCGAGGAUUUGGACCUCAGCGACCGCUAUGGCACUGUGCUAAAUCUUGCUAUGCCACUACGUGUUAUGCCAGUGUCCAUCGUGUGACGUCCAUGGUUGCUCCAACACCAUUAUGUGCCGACAUACAUAUUUUAUGUAUAUCAAUAAUCUUGCGGGCUCAUAUAAUUAUUGAGAUGCUAUUAUCUGCUGAGGUAUUUCUAUUGAAAAAGAUGUAAGAUUUGUAAAGUUCUAGUCCAACAAAAUUGUUAGAGAAUAAAGUACGGUAGGUUGGGAUUUGUUAAUAUUGAUGUAAUCUCUCCUGUACGAUUAGCUAAACUUUUCGUUGUCGGUAAAGUAUCCGUGGAACAAAACCAUAAAGACAAGACUACGUUGUUAACCUCGCGCUGGUGCCAUUGCGAACUUCACAGUGCAAGCACAAUUGCAUGCCAUUUGAAUAAACAUGGUGCACAAAUUUUAAAGGAUUGACGUCAGAGUUGUGACUCUCUAUUUCCUAUGUACUUCCUUGUCCUCCUCUCUUUCUCAUUGGCCAGGGCGGCAUAAUUAGCUGUCUCCCUGGGAAGAAAAAAAAUCAACUAGUAGCUAGUAUAAUAGGUUAAGUACAAUGGGAAGACAGCAAGAAGCGCCACCAUGGCACAUAAGAUGCUGCCGACACCAACUUAGUGCAGGCUUUGCUUUAUCCUUAUCUUCAAUAAGUUGGCAAGGGUGAUGACGCAUGUAGAGAGCUUGCUACUUUGAUUACAUCUUGAAGCGUAUAUAGGAGGUUUUAAAGUUAAAUUGUACAAUCUUACAAUUGCAUAAAGAAACACUAACUUAGUUUUCUUUGUAAAGGAGGAAUACCCCGGCCUCUACAUCUGAAAAGGAGGAACACUAAUUUUGUGAAGGCUUUUCAUUGCCAGUAAAGUAUCUGUGAAACAAAACCAUAAAGACAAGACUAGGUUGUUAACCUCGCGCUGUGCUAUUUUCCACAGUCAACUCUACACAUUGGUUGAUUCAUAUAAAUAAGAGGGAGUUGUUACUUGCUUGUUGCUCGCGGCAAAAAUGACAUUUCUGACUUUUCAAAUUACUAUGAUUUUUAAGACAGUGCCUUCGCUUGUUAAUGGCAGGCGGUUGAGCUACCUCCACUUGGUGAUCUGGGAGACCUUGUGGCUACACGCGCCGUUGCCGUUCCUGUUGCCGCGGCAGUGCCGGAAGCCAUGCGAGGUGAUGGGACACCACAUCCCGGAGGGUACGAAGGUUCUCGUGAAUGUUUGGGCGGAUGCCUACUGGGAGGAUGCCGAGGCGUUCAAGCCGGAGAGGUUCCAGGAGAGUAGCGCCUCUGCCAUGGACUUCAAGGGCGGCCACUUCGAGUACCUUCCCUUUGGGUCCGGAAGGAGGAUUUGCCGCUCGGCCUCGCUAACAUGGAGCUGCUGCUCGCCAGCCUUCUCUACCACUUUGACUGGCAGCCCCCAGGCGGCAGGAGACCGGAGGAGCUCGACAAAGCUCGUCUUGCGCGCUCGGAAGGAGGAUUUGCCCAGGCGUUUGGUAUCGCCCUCAGCAACAAGACAAAGCUCGUCUUGCGCGCUACGCAGCGUAUCCCAUUCGCAAGUUAAUAUAUUUAGCUCACAUCUUUGAAAAAAAUAGCUCUGGGAAUCGUGGAAGUGUGUGAUCGUGUGUAAUGCAUACUAAGAUCAUGUCUUCUUUUUUCUGUCGUGUUGUCUUGUAAUAGUCUACCUUUGUAGGUCUUAUUUUAUGCUAGUGUUCGUACUGAUGUGUCAAUGAUGAGUUUUUGUAGUACUACUAUCAGAUUUGGUGGUUCCUUUGCUCUUGGGAUACACUAUCUUAAGUGUGACUUUUAGUGCUAAAUUAUUCCCCCUGGUCUUAUUUUCUGGCCCAUUUAUUAUUACAAAAUGAAUAUGGCAUUUCAUAGAUCAGUGAAAUGAGAGCACGUUUGAAAAAAAAAUCAACAGAUUUUGAUACCAGCAUUUCAACUCAAAGCCCCUAAAGUUUUUUUAAUUGUAGCUAGCAAAAUAACCCAUGAUGGCGGAACUGGGCUAGAACCCUUCCGAGCGGCUCUGGAGGCCCUCCGCUUGUCGGACCCUAGAACCCUGGCGAUCUCUUCCACUCAGUUCACAGCUGCUGCCUCCCCAGCGGCGGUGGCGACGCCCAUCCCGUCGAAGACGAUGGGCAGGAGAGGUGCUCCACGACGGCGCAUCACGGGAGAGGUGAGGCGCGGACUGUGGGUGCAGGGUGGUGGUGCGGCACCGUGAUCUCCGGCAGGCAGCGGAUCUAUGGACCUGCUACGAGGAGAUGGUGUCGUGCAGCCGGUGUGGCCGUGAUCUCCUGCACGUAGCGGAUUUGGGCCAUGUCCUGCGCGGGAGGUUGGUUGUGGCCUCGGCUACACUGGUCGCUUCUGUACUACACUGGUUGGUGUGGGGGCUACUGGUCUUGCGAAUAAAGGUGGUGGUCCUAGUUUUCUUCUCACAGCAAGGCAACGGUUUGUGUGAUCGGUUCUUUUUGAUCUGGCCUUUGACGUCUUCCAAAACUUCUGUCGAAAACCUUCAGGGAUUGGCAAAAAAUACCCCUGGAUAAUUGGAUCUGAGAAUUCAAACGUGCGCCUGCAUAUUAACCUACGCGGCUUCAUGAGUACGCGGCACGAAGCUCUGUUGUUUGUUGAAACCAUGAAAUAUGUCGGUAUCUCGAUUUCUAUGGUGUAGACGGCGAUGGAGAAGGGCACGAUGGCUGAGAUUGAAGGACCAGUAAUGGAGGAGGGGGCCUCGGAGACAAUGCUUGACAGGCCGGUGCUCGGAAUCGGCUUGCAGAACAUUCCGUCCUCUCUGGACAUGGUACCCAUCUGCCUGGUGGUUGAUAACUUUCAUGAGCAUCAGUGGCAUGUGAGGGCGGCAGCACUGUCAGUUUUCAUUUUUGGUGGUGCUCCUCGAGUGGUAAGUCUUGACUUUCGGGGUGAAAAUCUAAGGUCCGACCUUUAUUGGUUGUACCUCGCAAUUGCCUUGCUGAAGGUAUUGUUUUGAGAGCUCAUAUUUUCUAUGGUGUGGAAUCCUAAGAUCUUGAAUCGGGCCACGAUGACAUUUGUGCAUUGUUACCUUCUUGGAGGCGUUGCUUUUGGAGACCUUUUUCGUUUUCCGGGUGUUGUCUUUGUUAGUGGUUUGUGUGGUCCUGCUAAGAGGAGUUGAUCAUUAUCACAGGGACUUUUUCUAUUAGGCUGUGUGCAUACUAAAUAUCUUUGUGACAUUUUAUCGAUGGGGAAAAAAAGGAAAAUAGCCCGUGUGUCGAGACGAGAGAAUGCCCCAGGGUUAUUUCAAUGGCCAGUCGCCCCGGCCCCAUCUGCCAAUCUCAUGGAUGGGGUGGGAGCACAUUAUCAAAUUAUAAGAAGUAAACUGCGGGUUAUGAUACAUUUCUCGAGAAUGCAAGAGUCGGAUGCAUAUAUAUUAUAAAGGUGCAAUACCAAUCAAUUUAAACAUGUACCAUGAGGAUUAUGGUGCACAUCAGAUGACAUUGUCGAGUUCAUUUUUUAUGUUCAAAUAAAAUGGUGCCUUAGCUCAUGCAGAGAAGUGAAAUAUCUGAAAAAUAUAACUUCAAUUAAUAUAGAAGUACAUACCAGUAUAACCUUUUAGAAUACAUAAAUGUACCGGACAGAUCCUUCCAUUUAGAAUUAGAAAGGUGAUCUUCAUGCCUUUCUUCCACCCUGUCUUCACGUCGAAGGAUCUCCUACACUGGGUUCGCCUUCCUGCAAGUAGUCGCCAUGAGCAAGUAGUAGCUUUUAGCUUGUGUUUAUUCUAAAAUUCGAAGCUGGCUUAAAGAUAAUCACAUGUAUCAAAUUUACAGAUUCCUCUAUUUGCAUAUGCAUAGAUGUAUUCUAAUGUUUUCCUCAAGCAGCAGGCACACAUGCAUCAACAGCACGCAUGCACAAAUAGUCCAAUAUAUAAUAAUAAUCCAUUUAACCAUUGAGAAAUCAACAUAAGAGCAUCCUUCGAAUAUCCAAGUACCCAACAAUUAUUUCCCUGUACCCAACAAUUAUUUUGUAAUAAUUAUACAAUAAGCUUGUUACUUCCAUAGUUUAACUUUGACCACUAAUUUGAUCAAUAAAAUGUAGGUUAUGUGUCAUAACAAGUAUACAUAUACGAAACUUGUUCUCAAUGUUACUCCCUCUGUUCCAUAAUGUACUGCCUAGGCGCCGCCACCGGCCCCCAUCUCCACCCCCUCCCCGCGUCGUCACCGGCCNNNNNNNNNNNNNNNNNNNNNNNNNNNNNNNNNNNNNNNNNNNNNNNNNNNNNNNNNNNNNNNNNNNNNNNNNNNNNNNNNNNNNNNNNNNNNNNNNNNNNNNNNNNNNNNNNNNNNNNNNNNNNNNNNNNNNNNNNNNNNNNNNNNNNNNNNNNNNNNNNNNNNNNNNNNNNNNNNNNNNNNNNNNNNNNNNNNNNNNNNNNNNNNNNNNNNNNNNNNNNNNNNNNNNNNNNNNNNNNNNNNNNNNNNNNNNNNNNNNNNNNNNNNNNNNNNNNNNNNNNNNNNNNNNNNNNNNNNNNNNNNNNNNNNNNNNNNNNNNNNNNNNNNNNNNNNNNNNNNNNNNNNNNNNNNNNNNNNNNNNNNNNNCCUCUCUCCUGCAGAUUCUUGGUAGUGCCGGCGUGGUUGCCGGGGCCCUACCUGUGGGUCAAGCCGGUGGAGGAGAUUCGGAUUGGGGGAAACCCCUUAGUUGGCCCAGGCCGGCCGCGCCGACGACGACGCUCAAGGGCGCCCUUAUUCUUUUUGAAGACGUCGGUAUACAUCUUCUCCUCUGCUCCCCUUCCGUGCCUCUCGGGUGAAAACCCUAACUCCGGUGGGCGGCCGCGGCGUCCUUGACGUCGUGACCUUCCUGAAGGCGUCGCCUAGAGGGCAGAGUGGUGGUGGGCACUGUGUGGGUCCUGAACGGUUGCUGGUGGUGGGCACUGCUUCGGGGGAAACCCUAGGAUCUGGUCUUCCAGAUCGGACCAUGGCGGUACUGCGGUGCCGUUUCUCUCUUGGGAGCAUCGUUUGUGGAGCAGCGCUGGCAGACUGAGGCAGGAGGUGGAGCGGCUUCGUCUUGCACGAAAUUUCGGUGGAGCUGUCAAGUCAUGCCUGGAAUUUCGGCCGGCAGGUGCUACGCACGAAAGAUCUAUUGGAGUCUUCGCAUGUGGACGGAUGAGCCCAGGGCGGUGGCGCCGUUGGACGCCGUGGUGGCGUCGACGGAUGUUUGGACUGGCAUGGAUGAUGCAGAUCUCUUUCCUGAAGAUGGGUCAAUGGUUCGAUGAUGAUGGCGGCUUGUAAAACGUGUGCGUGAGGUGUGCGUUUUAGGUGUGCUGCACCGGUUGUUGCUCCCGAUACGUUAUGUGGAUGGAUUGGCGACAACAGCGGUCUGAGAUAUGUGGAGUGAGAGCACUUCACAUUAUCGAGUUUGUAGAUGUGAGUGGUAGCUUUGGGUAGAUUGAUGUAUACUCUUGUUAGACCUUUAUGGAAUAAUUAAUAAAGAUAACUGCAUGCAUCGAUUGAUGCAGAGGCCGGAGGUUUAACCUCCUUUUCUAUAAAAAAAAAAUCUACUGCCUAUAUAUUUUUCCAGAAGUUAAAGUUUGUAAAGUUUGACUAAUUUUAGGGAGAAAGUUAUCUAUAUCUACAAAUACCAGUCAUAUAUAGUACGAAAAUAUGUAUCAUGAUGUAUAUAAUGUUGUGUAUUCGGCAUUCUAAAAUGUUGAUAAUUUUCUCUAUAAACUUGGUCCAAGUUUAUAAAAUUCAACUUCCUAACAAGAACUAUAGACACUGCAUUACGGACCGAAUGAAGUAUGUUUUCUACGAGAGCCACUUGCGCAAAAAAAAGUUCUCCACAGUAAAAUAAACGUACCGGCAUGCGCAAGAAGGACGAUAGCUAUCUAGCAGGAUGACACACAGAAAGGUCAGACGCAAAAGCAUGAAAGCUCCAGAUCAUAAGCCAAGUACCAACAGCUCAAUAACCUGUUAACACAGGUUACAGCUACGGUUGGUGCCGUGGAGAAUCCGUCAGGAUACGUAUUGCAUUGUCACGCACAAAAGUAUCAGUGCUUGCUCCAGAUUGACCAGCCAACUGCUUCCGAAGAAAUCGUUGCUAAAUACUCCCUCCGUCCGAAAUUACUUAUCGUAUAAAUGAAUGUAUUUAGAACUAAAAUAUAUCUAGAUACGUCCAUUCCUGUAACAAAUAUUUUCGGACGGAUGAAAUAUUGGGUGUCAAAAAUCAUGCAAAUAUACUACUCUCUAUCGCUCGAGAUUGCGUAUCCAAUUUGCCACACUGGCUUCCAGAAAACUGUUUAGGCAUUCAAAGCAACGCCCGACUACCCACCUCAGUCACGUCUACUGUCUCCUCAUAUGUACACUCUCUUCAAAGUGCAGAUGUUUAUAAAAGACAGCCAAGUUUCUUUUAAAUUGAUGCCAUAAGGUUAUGUCAAUCCGCAAGAAAACAAGACGAAUAUAUAUAAGCUCUUCCUUCAAGCAAUCUUGCACGCAGUAACUCAACACACUUCAACUCGUUGGUCGCACUGUUCUUAGGCCCAAGGCCAAAUAUGAAAAGAAAUAAACUCUUACAAGAACACCCUUGGUACACUUGUUAGUUGCACCUGAUGCACUAGAUUUACAAGGAGAUAUGUAAAAACAAAUUAUAGUUCUGUUCAUAUAACCUUAAUUAGGAUUACUUAAGGGAAGAUCAUGGAGGUGGUACUAUCCCAUUCGGAUACUUCAUGAAUAUAACCUCUUGGCCGUCUCAAUGAGUUGCCAUCAGGUCAGACCUUGUUUCCGUCUCCUUUGACUAGUUUUCUCCUUUGUGAGACCCCUCAAUUGUAAGGUCGUCCGUUUAUGUCCUGUGUGCACUAGUGUAAGGAUUUUCGCUGGGUUUUCUGUAUAUUAUUGGAGCAACACUCUUCCUCUUUCUUAAUGAAUCAAGAUGGCCAAUUUAGAAGAAAAAAAUUAAGAAGAUUGAAAAGAGGAAGAGAAAAGAAGGUAACUCCUGAUUACUUGAAUUUCUCUAUGUACACGCAUAUUCAAAUUCAAGCUGGUACACGGCCGCGUGCCUCGUCCCUCCAGUUUGCCGUCGCCUUGUCGCUGCUGGCCUCCACGGCCGGCAAUCGAGAAUUUUCGUGAAUCCUGCUGCCUAGUUGGCACUCAUGUGUACGACUUGGUCUUCGGCUUGACGAGGCGGGAGGAGGAGCCGUCCUCGUUGAUGACGACGCCGUUGCUGCGCGUUCGCCGCCCGAGCGGGGUCUCCCGUGGCUCCGGCUUGACGGGGAGGAGCGUCGGCGACCCGCAGGAGCGGGAGCGGAAGCCAGACGGGGAGGAAGACGACGUUUCCAUGCGCCUCGGCGUCUAAGAACUGUCGCGGCGGUGGGAGAAGGACGGGGCAUCGGGUAUUCCAAACAUGGCGAGUUGUCGCCCUCAAUGUGCUCGACGACGGCCUCCAACUUGCGACAGGGGACGCCCCAUCAUUGGCGUCGUCCCUCGGAGUUGAAGCGGCCGCGGGGUCAGCACCGUUGGUGGUGGCAAGCUGGUCGACGUGGCGGUGUUCAAAGUACGUCGUCCAUAACGUGUUGUUGUCGGGGGCAUACCUCGGCUGGUUCCACGAGCUCUCCGACAGCGAUGACCGGAUGCGCGUGAUCUCCACGCGUCUGUCAGCUCCAGAGGGCGGCGGUGGCACCGAGACUCCGGCGACGCUCACCCUCCAUGAUCCCGCACCCGCAUGUCCGAUGGCGUUGGGUAGUCCGCCUCGUAGAGGAGACGGGCCUCAGACUGGUGCAGGUGGCAGCGGCCAAAGCUGUUGGCCGCCGCUCCUUCACCGGGGUACGUAGCCCUCGGCCCUUGGUGAAGAGAGGAGCGCCGAUGGCGAAAGGAGCGGGGGAGAGGGGCGUCGGCGGGUGAGAAGCCUGGCGACAGGUGUGCGGCCACCAGCAAGGAAGGGAUGGCUUAUAUAUCCGCGGGCGGCCGGGUAGCGGCUAGCAGCCGUGCGAACGGGUGGCAGGAGUGGACGGGACACGUGUCGGUGCGCCGCCCGUGAGGAAUCAAUGGAAGGCUGACCGACAGCGCAAACUUCGCAUUGAUUCCCGCGAGAAACGAGGCGGUGAAGAUAAUGACCACGCCUAGUCAUUGAAUCGGCGAGUCCACACGCGUAUCGUGCCAAAAUCGUUUCCCCCGGCACCCCUGGGCGUCCCCAGCGCGCCAGGUUCAGACUAGGACCACCGGGGCCAAAUUAGGCCUUAACCCGCCAAAAAUAGGCUUCUGGGCACGGCUGGGCCUUUUUUCACGCCGGCGACCAAAAAGGACUUGGGAGCCUGUUGGGGACACGGCUGGAGAUGCUCUUAUGCAAUCAAGUGUUCAAAGAGCAUAUGCACAGAGUCUUCGUUUUCCUUCGAAAGAGAAGUCUGGAACUCGUCGAUAGAUAAAUCAAAGAGGAGCCACAGACCGAAGGCCACGCAGAUCGUCGAUUUCUCGCACCAAAGCGAUCUGGCCAGCUAAUAUAAUGCCGGGGCUAGGCCUGUCAGGCUACUACGCACUCAGCUUCUUUGUUUGGAACUACACGGUAAAGACCGGGACAGGGCUCCAGAUCCGACCUCCCCCAAGCCGUUGUAGUGAACCUUCAACAAGAAGGCAGGCAAACGGCCAUGGUCGGGGAUGCGUCCUAGACAGGUGAGGUCAUGCUGGAGUAGGAGUAGGGGNNGUCUUCGGCGGGGGCGCCCAGGGAGUUGCCGCCAGCGGGGUCUUGCAGGGGAACCGCCUACGAGAAGCAUCGACUACCGGACCACCGCGCCAACGGCGAGAUCCGCCCUACCGCCACCUUCCUAGGGCAGGCACGGCUUCACCGAAGCGCCCUCCGGUGACGGUGCAGCGAGGGAGGAUGGAGAGAGGACGUCUAGCAGUGCAGGCUAGGGUUUUCCCCUGUGCCGCUAGAGGAGGACGACGCAAGGGUGCCCAAGGAGUCGCCACCUGCGGGGUCCUGCGGGGGAGGCCGCCCGCGAGCAACACCGACUACCGGACCAAUGGACCGCCGCGCCAAGUUACCGCAAGAUCCACCCCGCCGCCACCUUCCUAGGGCAGGCAUGGCUUCACCGGCGCGCCUCCGAUGACGGCGCAACGAGGGAGGAUGGGGAAUUAAGGGACGUCUGGCGGCACAGGCUAGAUUUUCCCCGUGCCGUUAGAGGAGGGCGACGCGGGGGCGGGGUUGGGUAGAGGAAUCGAGAGUUAACUUGAACACCUGACUUAAAAGAGGGUUACACCAAAUGUGAUGUCUUUUGGAGAUUGAGUCUGAGUUUGAUUGGGCUCAGACUGUAGAGGUUGACAAUGCAGCCGCCGCAAUUAAUAGCUUGAUAGGUUGUGGCUUGUGGAUCCAUAUAUAUACUAGCCUUUCCGUAUAGAGCCUGGAAGAUAGCUUGUUAUGCUGACGUGACGAUAAAAAAAUUAGUUUGUAAGCAAGGUAAACUUUUGACCAAAAACAAAUAACUAAGCUUGCAUCCUCGGCGAACACAAGUUGACAUGUUUUUGUCAUGCCUAAAAUUAUGGCGUACACUUGAUAUUUUGAUCCUAAUUAUAUUACGGUCCAUAAAAAUGCUAAACAUACAAAGAGUUAAACAUGGUUACACGCUGACUAAAUUUUUUUCUUUCUAACUAACCAUCCCUGUUUUCAAGGGGGUGGGACCCUCGUCUCCUUAAUCUCCAAUCAAACUCCAUCUAUUUGUAAAAUUCAUGUAAAGUUAUGUAUGUGUAAUAUUGCUGAUUAUGGCCAUAUUCGUUGAUUAAAACUAUUAUUGGCGUAAUGUCUCCCUUGUUUCAUUCUCUUCGUACAUGCUCUCCGAUUCAUUGGAUUCCUCACAACGAAUUAAGUUUGCAAGAUGGCAAGUUGAAGUCGAAAUCAACUUUAUUCCUCCCGAAACCCUUUCGGUCUCUCAACCACCCACGUGUUUGAUCGUCACCGGCUUUUCUUUCUUGCGUUAGUCAUGCAGUGUGUGGCUGGCUGGGAAUAGCAUGUCACCAGCAUGGGUGCGUGUACAAUAUCGAUUUGCUAUUCAUGUUGUCUACUGCAUUUAAUAUGUUAGAGUUUCACAUGUUGGUAGUUAGUAUCAUCAUGCUUUAUAUUCUCAAAUUAAUCAUAGAAAUUGUGUCUAAUUACUCAACAGGGUACAAUAUCGAUUUGCUGAAUACACCUCCGACUUAAGCAUGUGAUAUAAGUAGUCGAUGAACACACGAGCACUGCAUGCAUCCAUGUUUCUCCUUUGCUCCCUCGUCUUGUACUACCAUGGAUUGGUUGGUAGGUGUCGUGGUCUCCCUCCUUUGCUCCCUCGUCUUGUACUACCAUCAUCUCCAGUCCAAGAAAACAUGCAAGGAGGAGCCGACCGAAUGGCCACUAGUGGGCCAUCUUUUCGGCAUGAUCGCUCACAUGAGGAGACCGUUCUACCACGACUGGGCCACCGCCGUGCUCGCCGGCACGCGCCACAACUUCCAAGCUCAUGCGGGGCUCGCCGGCGUGCGGUUCUUCGUCACCUGCGAUCCGUCCAAUGUGCGCCACAUCUUCACCUCCAACUUCCUCAACUACCCCAAGGGCGAGGAGUUCGCCGAGAUCUUUGACGUCCUGGGCCACGGCAUCUUCAACGCCGAUGGUGAUUCCUGGCGGUGGCAACGUGCCAAGUCCCAGUUCCUCAUGGCUGGCCCUCGUUUCCGCUCCUUCUCGGCACGGUGCAGCCGCGACAAGGUGGAGACGAGCCUCCUCCCUUUCCUCGCGCACGCUGCCGACGUCGACGCCCGCUGUGACCUGCACGACGUGUUCCUAAGGCUGACCUUUGACAUGACCUGCAACCUCGUCUUUGGGGUCGAUCCCGGAUGCCUGCAGAUCGGCCUCCCCGUUGUGCCCUUCGCGCGCGCCAUGGACGACGUCCUGGAGAGGGUCAUCCUCCGGCAUGUCAUCCCGCCGGCGUGCUGGAGGCUCAUGUACCGGUAUGAGGUCGGCCCAGAGAAGAAGAUGGCCGUGGCUCGAAGGACCAUCGACCGGUUCGCCGUAGACAUGAUCACCAAGCGCAGAUCCGAUCUCAAGCUCCAGGUUGAGGGCAUCAGUGAAUCCUCCGACAUGUUGUCGUCCUUUAUAUUCAACGGUGAUGCAAGCGACGAGUUCUUGCGUGACACCGCGGUGAACCUCCUACUCGCCGGCCGAGACACCACCGGGACGGCACUAUCGUGGUUCUUCUACCUCCUAUGCAAGAACCCACGCGUGGAGCAGAGGAUCCUUAGCGAGCUAGCACCGAUCGCGGCGACGAAGAAGCUGUCCAACUCCAACGACGACGACAUGGUGGUGUUCGACGUGAGCGAGGUGAGCAGCAUGGUGUACCUGCACGCGGCGUUGUGUGAGAGCCUGAGGCUCUACCCGCCCGUGCCAUUCCAGCACAAGGCGGCAACGGCCGGUGACGUGCUCCCGAGCGGCCACGAGAUAAAGGCAGGUGACAAGAUACUCAUCUACUCCUACUCAAUGGGGAGGAUGGAGGGCGUGUGGGGCAAGGACUGCAUGGAGUUUAGGCCCGAGAGGUGGCUCACCGAUGACGGAAAACUGAGGUACGAGCCGUCUUACAAGUUCAUGGCCUUCAACAGCGGUCCCAGGACCUGCCUCGGCAAGGAGGUGGCCUUCACCCAGAUGAAGGCUGUCGCAGCUGCCGUGCUAUGGAACUUCGCCAUUGAGGUCGUAGCAGGGCAUGUCGUGGAGCCGAAGUUGUCCAUCAUACUCCACAUGAAGAACGGUCUCUCGGUAGAGGUGAAGAGGAGGAAGUUUGCCGGCGUGGAUGGCUAGCUACCAUACACUAGCAGACACGUACAUGUGAUGCUAACACAUAUGGAUAGAUAAAUGGUAGUAGGUUACAGUUGGGCCUGUGGAUUUGAAAUAUGUCUAGAUAAGGUAUGGUGACGUGUUCGAGUAAGACAAUUGUGUUUUAGGCCUCUUAUACAACGUGAGGGUUGACACUGCACGUAACCUAUGCCAGCAUAUAUAUAAUAGCACAGAUACACAAAGGAGUGGGCUAUGUGCGGCGGCACCCAGGUGAAUGUGUGUGGUAUUGUGUCGAUGUAACGAGGAGGAACAUAAAAGUCAUGCCCUAGGAUGUAGCUAUGUUGGUGAGCCAUGUUAACAAAUUUCGGUGUCGUGCCUCAUGCGAUUGUUUGUUCCUCGAAUGAUCGACUAUGAGCCUUGGAUUAUAGGUUGUUUGAAGGUUGUGGACUGUUGAUUUGUAUAAUUAUAAAGGGAAAUCUAUUGUCGUAAUAGUUACUUCGAUCUCCCUUCCCACCCUUUCUCCGCUCAAUAGAAAGACCAGGAAAACCCGUCACACGGCCUGUCCCAUCUCAUUAGAAAAAGGCAAAAGAAAGUAGAAGAAUAGAGACCCACGAACACACGUCCCACACAACUACCUCAUCUCCCCAAUCCCACCGCUACCGAUCUCGUCUCCUCUCAGAUUUUUCGGCGGUAGGAUCCAGUCCCAUCAAGAAAUUCUACACUCCUCGCUCUCAUUUGGAUAUAUCGCAUCCCUACUUCCUGUCCGUAGGUAAGUUUGGUGGCAGGGCAGAAGGAGUGCUCGUAAGCAGCACGAUUGGACGUUAUCCAUUGGGUCGGGACGGGUUCCUCACAACCUAGGUGAACUGUGGCAAAUUGAGUUUUUGACAUCACCGAGGAGCUGGACAUUGAUAAACUUGUACCUUGGAGAAAGAGUGGAUGGCAUCGGAUUUUGAUGUGGUCUUUCCUCAGACUUUGACCUUGCGGGUGUUUACUUGGAGUUUGAUAUCGAUAAACUUGCGGAUGGCAUUGGAUUUUGAUGUGGUGUUCAAGGAAAUUGCAGGACGCGUAUUGGCGUUUUUUCAAAAAGAAGGCAUCGCCCCGGCCUCUGCAUCCAGUGAUGCAUGCAACCAUUUUAUUAAGUACGAAAUAGUCUGAAAGAAAUACAAAGAAGUCCGAAAAGCCGAAGAAAAAUAAAAUGAGAAGGAGUUACAAGACGAUCAUAACGCCAACAUUGAUGAUAACAAUCGGUAUAAAUGCCUAUGGUCCUAUCCUAUGAGCAAUGCCGUCGUCCAUAUCGGUUAAAGAUAAGUUGAGCUACCAUCUUUCAUCGGACACACCCAGUAACCAAAGGCUCCCUGGUUUCCACAGAAGUGAGUAAGGACCACAUGCGGAUCAAGGCAGUAGCCCUGAAGAUGACCUGCAAAAAAUUAAUAUAGUGUUGUCUGUUAAAAACUAGAUCAUUUCUGUAGUUCCAUAUAGCCCACAUAAGAGCACAAGUCCCAACUCGAAUUAGUUUGGCGUAAAGUACAUUAACCCCAUCCAACCACGUCCCAAAUAACAUGUUAAUGCUAGUAGGCGGGGCAAUGUUAAAAGUAAUUUGGAUUGAGCACCAUAAGAGUUUAGCCAUAGGGCAGUCCAGAAAGAGGUGCUUAAUCGUCUCAUGCGUCUGACAGAAGCUACAUCUUCUAUUUCCUUUCCAGUGUCUUUUAGCCAAGUUAUCCUUAGUUAAAACAACUCCUUAAUGAACAAACCACAUGAAGAUUUUUAUCUUAAGGGGAACUUUGACCUUCCAUAUAUUCAUGGACUUUGGAAUAGGUGACGUAUCAAUAAUAUGGUCAUACAUCGAUUUCACUGAGAAAGUAUCAUUGGUGGUCAACCUCCAACGAAUACUAUCAGGAAAAUUAGACAGGGUAAUAUUCAUUAGCCUUCUGACUAGAUGUAACCAUCUAACCCAUCUAUUUCCGAUCAAGGCUCUACGAAACUGAAUGUUAAGAGGAGUCUCUCGUAAUACUGCCGCAACGGAUGCCUGUUUGCGUUGUGCAAUAUUAUAGAGUUGCGGAUACUGAAGAGCCAAGGGCUCUUCUCCUAACCAAGUAUCCUCCCAGAAUUUAGUACUUUCACCAUUGCCUAUGAUGAAUCUAGUCCUGUUAAAGAAAGCAGCCUUUGUCCUCAUGAGACCCUUCCACAAAGGUGAAUUGUCAGGUCUCACAGUGACCUGAGCUAAGGUCUUUUACUGUAGAUACUUGUUCUUUAGAAUGUGUAUCUACAUUCCUUGUGAUUCGACAGACGAAUAGUCACUUGCUAAGCAGACACAGACACCUGUUCUUAACCUUUUGCAUGUAGCCACUUGCAUGUUGACGUAAAAUGGUUGUACAACAACAGAACCCGGCACGUGGAGCAGUUCAUGAACGAGGUGGCGAUCCUGUCGUGGCUGCCCCACCCGAACCAUGUCAUCUUUUACCGGGACAUGUCGAGCUGCAGCAAGGAGUAUGUGCCCAAUGGCUGCCCUGCCACAUGUAGAGGCAGCAGCAGCAAGGAGAGAGUACAUGUAGAGGCUGCAGCAAGGAGUAUGUGCCCAACGGCACCGUGGCCGACCACCUACAUGACCAGCGCAUGGCAUAGCGGGUAUUGUUCGCUCCACCUCAACAUUGCUUUCGAGGCAGAUGUGGCCUUUGGUGCACCGUGUAGUGAAGACCACCACAAUCGUCCUUGAUGUCGACUUCGACAUCAAGGUGGCCGACUUCGGCCUCUACAUCUACUCUCUCCGCCUCAUCAUAUAAGAAUGUUGUUGACACUAAUAAAAGAAUGUUUUUAACACAAAUGUUUUUCAAUAAAGGACCUAGAAGAAGCGGCUUACAUUCUAGGCAUUAAGAUCUAUAGGGAUAGAUCGAGGCUUUGGUAGGACUUUCACAAAGCACAUACCUUGAUAAAGUUUGAAGAAGUUCAAAAUGAAACAGUUCAAGAAGGGAUUCUUGCCAGUAUUACAAGGUAUAAAGUUGAGUAAGACUCGGUGACCAGUAACUGCAGAAGAUAGAGAAAAGAUGAGUAUCGUCCCCUAUGCGUCAGCCGUAGGGUCUAUCAUGUAUGCAAUGUUGUGCACUAGACCGAACGUUAGCCUGGCCAUAAGUAUGGCAGGUAGGUUUCAAAGUAAUCCAGGAAUGGAUCACUGGACGGCGGUCAAUAAUAUUCUGAAGUACCUGAAAAUGACUAAGGAAAUGUUUCUCGUUUAUGGAGGUGACGAAGAGCUCGUCGUAAAGGUUACGUCGACGCAAGCUUUGACACUGAUCCGGAUGACUCUAAGUCUCAAACCGAAUACGUAUUUAUUCUUAAUGAGGGUGCGGUAAGCUGGUGCAGUUCCAAGCAAAGCGUCGUAGCAGAUUCUACAUGUAAAGCGGAGUACAUAGCUGCCUGUGAGGCAGUUAAGGAGGGUGUCUGGAUGAAGCAGUUCAUGAUGGAUCUUGGAGUUGUGCCGAGCGCACUAAAUUCAAUAGCUCUGUUCUGUGACAACACUGGUGCCCUUGCUUUAGCAAAGGAACCAAGGUUUCACAAGAAGACCAAACACAUCAAACGACGCUUCAACCUCAUCCGCGACUAUGUCGAAGGAGAGGACGUAAAUAUUUGCAAAGUGCACACGGAUCUGAAUGUAGCAGAUCCGCUGACUAAACCUCUUCCAUGAGCGAAGCAUGAUCAAUACCAGAACUGUAUGGGUGUUAGAUCCAUUCCAAUGUAAAUCGCAUAGCGAUGCGAGACUAAAUUAUUGACUCUAGUGCAAGUGGUAGACUGUUGGAAAUACGCCCUAGAGUCCAUGAUAAAAUAGUUAUUAUUAUAUUUCCUGUUUCAAGAUAAUCGUUUAUUAUCCAUGCUAUAAUUGUAUUGAAUGAAAGCAUUGAUACAUGUGUGAAUAUAUAGACAAAACAAUGUUCCUAGCAAGCCUCUAGUUGGCUAGCCAGUUGAUCAAGGAUGGUUAAGGUUUUCUGAUCAUAUGUAAGUGUUGUCUCUUGAUAACUGGAUCACGUCAUUAGGAGAAUCAUGUGAUGGACUAGACCCAAACUAUGAACGUAGCAUGUGAUAGUGUCAUUUUGUUGCUAUUGUUUUCUGCGUGUCAAGUAUUCAUUUCUAUGACCAUGAGAUCACGUAACUCACUGACAUCGGAGGAAUACCUUGUGUGUAUCAAAUGUCACAACGUUACUGGGGUACUAUAAAGAUGCUCUACAGGUAUCUCCGAAGGUGUCCGUUGAGUUAGCAUGGAUCAAGACUAGGGUUUGUCACUCCGUGUGAUGGAGAGGUAUCUUGGGCCCACUCGGUAAUACAACAUCACAUACAAGCCUUGCAAGCAAUGUGACUCAAGUGUAAGCCACGGGAUCUUUUAUUACGGAACGAGUAAAGAGACUUGCCGGUAACGAGAUUGAAAUAGGUAUAGCGAUACCGACGAUCAAAUCUCGGACAAGUAACAUACCGAAGGACAAAGGGAAUGAUAGAGAUUAUCUGAAUCCUUGGCGCUGAGGUUCAAUCGAUAAUAUCUUCAUAGAAUAUGUAGGAUCCAAUAUGGACAUCCAGGUUCCGCUAUUGGAUAUUGACCGAGGAGUGUCUCGGGUCAUGUCUACAUAGUUCUCGAACCCGCAGGGUCUGCACACUUAAGGUUCGAUGAUGUUUUAGUAUAGUUGAGUUAUAUGUGUUGGUGACCGAAGGUUGUUCGGAGUCCCGGAUGAGAUCACGGACGUCACGAGGGUUUUUGGAAUGGUCCGGAAAUGAUGAUUGAUAUAUAUGAUGGUUUCAUUUGGUCACAUAAAAGAUUUAGGGCAUUACCGGCAGUGUACCGGAAGUGAUGAAUGGGUUCAGGGUAUUCACCGGGAGGGGCCCACCCACCCGGGAGUUAGCCCAGUAACCCUGGGGUGGCGCACCAGCCCUUAAUGGGCUGGUGAGGCCAGCCCAAGAGGGCUAUGGCGCCACAAGAGAAACCCCCCCCCCCCCCCAAGAAAAAACAAGGAAAGAGGGAGGUGGGAAGGAAGGAGUGGACUCCUUCCCCCAAACCGAAUUGGGGUGGGAGUCCACUUCCUCCCAAUCGGCCGGCGCCCUUGGGGAUCCCUUGAGCCCCAAGGCUAGCCCCUCCCCUCCUCCUAUAUAUAAUGGUGGUUUUAGGGCUUUUGAGACACAACUUUUGCCACGUGCAACUCAAACCUAUACCACGUAGUUCUUCUUCUAGAUCGGAUUUCUAUAGAGCUCGGGCGGAGCCCUGCAGGAGUAGAUCAUCAUCACCAUCGGCACGUCGUCACGCUGCUGGAGAACUCAUCUACUUAUCCAUCUCUCUUGCUGGAUCAGGAAGGCCGAGAUCGUCAUCGAGCUGUACGUGUGCUAAACGCGGAGGUGCCGUCCGUUCGGCGCUAGAUCGGAACGGAUCGUGGGACGGAUCGUGGGACGACUCUGAUUUGAAUCACGAAGCUUUACCACUACAUCAACCGAGUUUCUUAACGCUCCCCGCUUCGCGAUCUACAAGGGUAUGUGGAUCCAAUCUCCCUCUCGUGGAUGAACAUCACCAUGAUAGGUCUUCGUGUGCGUAGGAUUUUUUGUUUCCCAUGCAACGUUCCCCAACAGAUAUCGGCGGCAUGGCGCUGUGGGGACUCGGCAUCCGAUGCAUGGAGAUAGACUCGCGCAGGAGGAGGUAGAUGUAUGGCGUCAUGGUGACAUCGAUGGGAGAGUGGCUACACAAGGUAGAAGCCUCAAUAUUUGCUCUGAAGAUGGACCGGUGGAAGAUGACGGCGACAGCACACGAGUGCGUCAGAUCGGUUGUGUGCCCUAGACCCGGUAUGUGGCAGAUGGCUAGACCGGCUCUGCUAGGGCUUCCGGCUUUUGAUGUUAGGCUUAGGUAAGCGGUCUGCAUAUGUGGCCCAGCUAGCACCCCUUCAUCAUAUGGAUAGGAGUAGCGACAGAUGUUGCGAAGAUGACGGAUUCAGACAUAUUGUUGUAACACUUUGUAGGGUCCUCUAGAAUAAUCAGUAAAAUGACCGCAUGCAUCUACCAGAUGCACAGGCCGGGGGUCAUUUUCCUUUUCUAAAAAAAAUAACGUAGAUGCAGUGGCAGAUCUAAGGGUGGGUUGUUGGGGGCCAUGACCUCCACAAAAAAAUUGUAGAUUUACUUUUACUAGUGCAUAUGUAUAGUCAGUCUUGUGCUGUUCAACCAUCAUUGCCCAAGCUUGCCCUUGGUCAAAUUCUCUUAAAUCCUCUUCAAUCCCCUUCUGAUAGGGAUUAACCGAAGAAGGCCUAAAGUAUUUCAGUGCUUGGUACAAGUCAACAUUCUUUUUCAAAUAAUUUGGGUUGCAUACCACAUGGUGGUUGGUACAGACACAGUUCGACAUAACUGCACUUGAUUGGGUUGGAUGUAUAUUGGUUUCAGCACAGCUAGGCUGAUCGUAAUGAAGCUCCUGUUGGUUUGGUUGGUUGUGAUUAUUGUACUGCUAGAGGUCAGGUAGAGGUCCAUUUAAUUUUAUAUCGAUCUCUUGCCUGUUCAGAUCAGGUAAAGUAAGUACUACGCUUUAUUUGAUCUCUUGCCUGUUCCUUCUAAAAACAAGUUCAUCAUACUGUUUAGGGAUAUAGGGAAAUUAAUUAUUUGAUAUCACUGGGAGUGCAUACUCCCACCUCAACCACCGUCGAUCUUGAUCGUACUGUGCAUACCACCUUUUUGUUUUGCGGGGUUAAAACAGAUUUCAUUGCUUGAGCUGGAAAGAAGAUCCUCAUCCAAACAAAGUUGAGGUACAUCAGCAAGGCCAGACGGAAGCCAAAGUACUGUCCAAACGAAGCUAAUCUCGGACUAACAACAUUUUGGUGCCUACUAAUAUAUAUGAGCAGUAUGGUUGAGCUAUCCCUUUCACCUAGAAGUAACCUGGCUUCAUUGAUCAACAUCGGUUCAUUGAUAAAUUAGUUGAACAGAUUACACCUGUCUGAAUAAAUUUGAAGGCGAUUUGUUGAUGACUAUGUCUGAACCACCGUACCUCUGGUGGUGUUUGUGUUGUCAGAUCGGCCUAGUUGAUUAAGCAUGUGAUAUAAAUACCCGAUGAAUGCAUGAGCAAAUUACAGUAGUAGCUUGCAUGAAUGCAUGCAUGCGUGCAUAAAGCAUAAUUCUCUACUAGAGCAUGGAGCACUGGUACUGGUUUGUAGGACUUGUUUGCUGCUUCCUCUCGUACUACCGUCGUCUCCAGUCCAAGAAAACAACCAAGGAGGAGCCGACGGAAUGGCCGCUGCUUGGCCAUCUCUUAUCCACGCUCGCCAACGUCUCCAACUUGCACGACUGGGCCACCGGCGUCCUGGCUACCACGCGCUACAACUUCGCAGCUCACAUGGGGCUCACCGGCGUCCGCUUCUUCCUUACCUGCGACCCAUCCAAUGUGCGCCACAUCUUCAUCUCCAACUCCAUCAACUACCCAAGGGGCGAGGAAUAUGCCGACAUCUUCGACGUCCUGGGCGACGGGAUCUUCAACGCCGACGGCGAGUCCUGGCGGCGGCAGCGUGCCAAGUCCCAGCUCAUCAUGGCCAGCCCUCGUUUCCGCUCCUUCUCCGCACGGUGCACCCGCGACAAGGUGGAGAGGAGCCUCCUCCCUUUCUUGGCGCACGCUGCCGACGUUGGCGCCCGUUGUGACCUGCACGACGUGCUCCUCAGGCUCAUGUUCGACAUGACAUGCAACCUCGUCUUCGGGGUCGACCCCGGCUGCCUGCAGAUCGGCCUCCCUUCCCUGCCCUUGGCACGCGCCAUGGACGACGUGCUGGAGACGCUCUUCCUCCGGCACGUCAUCCCACCGGCGUGCUGGAGGCUCAUGUACAGGUAUGGGUUUGGCCCGGAGAAGAAGAUGGCCGUGGCUCGUAGGAUCAUCGACCGGUUCGCCGCGGACACCAUCGUGAAACGCAGGUACUCCGGUCACAAGCUCCGCGGCGAGGGCAUCACCGAAUCCUCCGACAUACUGUCCUUCUUUAUAUGCAACGACGACGCAAGCGAACACAGCGACGAGUUCUUGCGUGACACCGCGGUGAACCUCCUGUUUGCCGGCCGGGACACCACCGGCGCCGUGUUAUCGUGGUUUUUCUACCUCCUGUGCGAGAACCCGCGCGUCGAGCAGAUGAUCCUCGACGAGCUAGCGCCGAUCGCUGCAAGGAAGAAGGUUGACGACAUGGUGGUGUUGGACGCGAGCGAGCUGAGCAGCAUGGUGUACCUGCACGCGGCGCUGUGCGAGUGCCUCAGGCUUUACCCGUCCGUGCCCAUCACGCACAAGGCGGCAACACACAACGACGUGCUCCCCAGCGGUCACGAGAUAAAGGCCGGCGACAAGAUACUUGUCUACUCCUAUUCUAUGGGCAGGAUGGAGGGCGUGUGGGGCAAGGACUGCAUGGAGUUCAGCCCGGAGAGGUGGAUCACCGACGACGGGAAGCUGAGGCACCAGCCGCCCUACAAGUUCAUCGCCUUCAACGCCGGUCCCAGAACCUGCCUCGGCAAGGAGGUAGCUUUCACGCAGAUGAAGACUGUCGCCGCCACCGUGCUGUGGAACUUCACCCUCGAGACCGUGCCGGGGCACACCGUGAAGCCCAAGCUGUCCAUCGUACUCCACAUGAAGAACGGGCUGGCGGUGACAGUGAAGAGGAGGAACUUCUUCACAGCCAAGCCUGGCUAGCUAGCAUACAUAAGACAUAUGUACAUGUGAUGUGUGACCACAAUACCUAUAUGUAAGUUGACUGGAUUUGUAAUUUUGGGUAAGUCGAUUAAUUAAUUAGAAGGAGAAUCUGUUAAACAAGUAUGAAAGCUUGAAGAAGGAGAAAGAAUUAUGGCCAAAUGAUAUUAGAAAGAAAUAAUAUUUUCACACACGCACUGCCACUCAGGAAGGUUGGGCACUUAGAGCAUCUCCAACAGCCGCGCUCCGUAAAAAAGACUGUAUUUAGCACGCGCGACGCGGCGGCAGCUCCAGCGCGCGCGCCAUUUCCAAUUGAGCGCGAUGGCCGAAACGCAAUCCCGCGCCCAUUAUUUGCUGCGCCGGCUCCCGCGCGCGCGACUCUCCCGCGCUCGCUCCUUCUUUCUUAUGCGCUCUCUCCUGCUAUCUCCUGCGUUGUGCACUCUCUGUGCUCNNNNNNNNNNNNNNNNNNNNNNNNNNNNNNNNNNNNNNNNNNNNNNNNNNNNNNNNNNNNNNNNNNNNNNNNNNNNNNNNNNNNNNNNNNNNNNNNNNNNNNNNNNNNNNNNNNNNNNNNNNNNNNNNNNNNNNNNCCGCUCGCUGGCGCGCCGCGCCCGCAAGGUGUUCGACAAAACGCCUACAAGGUAUGUAUUGCUUCAAAUUUAUGAAUUUGGUGCAUGUUUUGAAUUGUAGUUUUUUAUAGUAUAGUAUUGAACAUUGUAGAUGAGUUCGUUGUAUGAUUCUUCUGAAGAAGAAUUUGAAAUGGAAGAGGAGGAGGAUCUUGCAAUGAUCAUAGCUAUGCAUAUCAAUAAAAACCGAAGCACGGUGGUUCGGUUAUGGGUCGGGAAAUUUUUUGGAGAGAUAGGAUUGAUGCCCAUAACAGAUUGAUGAAUAACUAUUUCGUGGAGAAUCCCACAUACCCGGAGUCGUAUUUUCGUCGCCGGUUUAGGAUGAGCACAGACUGGUUCAAGCGCAUUGCAGAGAAACUUGCGAGCCAUGACCGGUUUUUCCAGCAAAGGAGGAAUGCCGCCGGAGAGCUCGGGCAUAGCACCUUUCUGAAGGUGACAGCCGCUUUGCGUAUGUUGGCAUACGGUAUCCCGGCUGAUUUAGUUGAUGAUCACUUGGCUAUGGGUGAGAGCCAAGCCAUCAUGUGUGUCAUGCGCUUUGCAGUGGGAAUUGUGCAAGUGUUUGGCGAGGAGUAUUUGAGAUCUCCCACUGCUGAAGACGCCGCAAGGCUAUUGGCGAUGAACAAAUCUCGCGGCUUUCUUGGCAUGCUUAGCUCAAUAGAUUGCAUGCAUUGGAGUUGGAAAAAUUGUUCAAAGACAUGGCAUGGGCAAUUCCACGGCCAAAAAAAGGGUUCCACUAUAAUCCUUGAAGCGGUGGCCGAUCAUGAGACUUGGAUUUGGCAUGCAUUCUUUGGAAUGCCUGGAUCUUUGAAUGACAUCAAUGUUGUCAACCGGUCAUCACUGAUGAAUAAGAUUGCGAAUGGUGAGUUGCCACCGGUGCAGUUUGUAGCAAAUGGCCGUACGUACAACUAUGGCUAUUAUCUAGCGGAUGGCAUCUAUCCAAAGUGGCAAACCUUCGUGAAGCCGUUGAAAAAGCCAGAAGGUAAGAAAAAUCUUGAUUUUCACAAUGCUCAGGCGGCUGCUAGAAAAGAUGUGGAGAGACCAUUUGGGAUUUUACAAGCCCAAUUUGCUAUUGUGAGAGGACCGGCUAGAUUUUGGGAUCAAAAAAUGCUUUGGUACAUCAUGCACGCUUGUGUGAUCAUGCACAACAUGAUCAUCGAGAAUGAGCGUGGCCAAGAUGUAGACUACUCACAGUAUGAGCUCUUGGGACAUCCCGUGCGAGUGCGACGGAGGGCUGAAAGGGUUGCCCGUUUUGUUGCCUCGUAUCAUGCCAUUCGGCGUCCCGCAACACACAAUGAUCUUCAGAAGUAUCUGAUUGAAGAGUGUUGGGCAUGGCAUGGACGACAAAGAGCAUGAUUUGAUUGCUUUAUUUGUAUUGUAUUGUUCAUGAACUAUUGGUUGUGUUUAUUACAUUAUUUGUUGUACUGAACGAGAAACUAUUUGUUUGAGUUGUAAUAACUAUUAUUGUUGAUUUAUUUUGUUUGUUUGAUCGUUUUUCUCACUAUUUUUUGAAAUGUAUAUGUAGUUUGUGCCUGCUGCGCGCGCUGCAUUUUUGGGCACUGCUGGAGCGCGGCGCGCGCUGCAUUAUAGCGCGGCUGUUGGAGCCAGCGCCUAUCCCUGCGCUAAACCAGCUGGCGCGCGCGCUGUAAAAAUAUUUUUUGGGCGUGGCGCAAAGGCCGCGGCUGUUGAAGAUGCUCUUAGAACAGGUUAAAACAGGAAGAAAGCAUUUUGGAGGAAGAAGCAAGAGCGAGGUGAGACGCAGCAGUGAGGUUGAGACAGUGACGCCGAGCCAAACGGCACCGAGGCUCUCUGAGGACGUGAUCAUUAGAGAAUGACGAAAAUUUUCUAACUCUAAAGGUGGAUUAGGCCCUGAGGGAAAAGAUGAAGGAGAGCCCAUAGGUCUUUACACUAGUAGAAAACAGGGCUACCGUUCGGUCCUGAUCAGUCCAUUAGUCCCGGUUCUUCAAGAACCGGGACCAAUGAGGGGUAUUAGACCCGGUUCGUGAGCCAGGGGGCCGGCCGGGGCCUCGUGGGCAUUGGUCCCGGUUCGUGUGGAACCAUUUGUCCCGGUUCGAGCCACGAACCGGGACCAAUGGUCCUCGCUGCUGGCCCACAACCUUUAGUCCCGGUUCAUGCCACGAAUCAGGACAAAUAACUUGCCUACAUAUAUACCCAACGCCGCGGCAGAGCACUCCACAAUGCUCUGUUUUUAUCGAACCGGCGAGGGGGGGCAUUUGGAUGCUCUAGUUCACCUCCUAUGCACAUGAGGUGUUCGAUGAAAUGCCCGAGCCACACUAGUUAAGCUUUCUCCUCUCGAAACUCGACCUCCGAGCUCCAUUUUCAACGAGACUUGUCUAGAUUUAGCGGUCUGUCACGCCCCGUCCCCGCCCCGUCUUCACCGUCGUCGAUCGCCCGCGCCGAUCUCGUCGCCGGCACCACCGUGGUGAGCCUCUUGUUCUUAUAUUCUUUCUGAAAGAAAAAAAUUCUGACUUCGGAUAGAUACUUGUCUAAUUUUCUUACUUUUAUUAUUCCUUGUUAUUAUAUAGUGCGAUGGUUUUGGUAUCCGCCACCGUCGGCCCUCGUCCUGUCUAUGAUUCAGAUGUGGUAUAUAUUAUCUUUUCAUAACUAUUUGGUUCAUUUAUUGUUUAUGACAAUUAUGAUGACCAACGUGACAUAUAUUUUUAAUCUAGGAGGUAUGUGAAUCGGAAAUUCCAACCCACCUAGAAAUGCUUCUCGAGAAGUUAACUUUGGUUGAAAAAGAAAACUUGCAAAGAGUCUGGGGGGAGUAAUAUUUUGACGCUGGGAGUUAGAAAGGAGCAUGACCUCGUUGGACUUGAACUGUUGAUGGUUCCAUUUGAGUUUUUCAAUCUAAAGGCCCUCGAUAAAUUAAUGAUCACUUGCUACUGCCUGUAAGUAGUACUACUUCUGUCAUUAAGUCUCUAUAUAUAGGUCAGCUCUUUCAUUACAUGUAUUUUUAAUUAUCCUCCCUAUAUUACAUGCAGAUUGAAGAUCGUGAAUUGAAGAAAAGACAAAUCGGUAAUAUUGGAUUCAUUAACACAAAUCUCGUAGAUGCAUUUAUGAUUAAAUCUCAGGCCAAAGAUACCGAGGCCAACCUGCUACAAUCGUUCGUAUUGAAUCAAAACAAAGCUAUAAUACUCUUCCCUUACGAAUUCCAGUGAGUGUUACUGUCUUGUGCAUAUUCGGUUUCCCUUAUUAGUCAAGGUUAUAGUAAUGUAAUUGAUGAGUUAUGCAUGCGUGCGCAGCUUUCACUAGUAAACGUUUUAGACUCGAGACGAAAAGAUCCCAACGAGUAUGCGGACAUGACUGAAAUUCUAGAGAAGUAAGUUAAAUCGAUCAUUAUCGCAUCAUAUCAGCAACUUUGUUCAUUUCCUGAUAUCAAGUAAUUGUUUUCUUUGUCUGACAGGGUUUGGAAAAAAUUCACCGCAAAAACUCCGGGACCGCCGAAGAAGCUACAAUUUAAACACCCGAAAGUAAGUACUAUAGUAGCAUUGUUCCACGCAUCUCCUAGUGAUUCAAGCGCUAGUUUCAUCAAUACCAUUUAGCAUGCUUGCUAACUUUCAGUUUGAUUGACCUCUAUUUCUUUUAAAGUGGUUGUGGCAGGAACCAGGGAAUGAUUACUGUGGAUACUAUAUUUGCAAGUCCAUCCGCCACAUGACCUGUGAGCGGGGCUACUCUGACAAACAAUAUGACGUGCGUAAAUAAUAAUAUUCAUAAUUUUAUUUUAUUACCAUCAUUUGUGAACAGUUUCAUUUAUUCAUAUAUAUGUAUUGACCCCCUUCUUCAAAUUAGAUAUAUCGGAUGCGGAAUGAACUCCUACCAGCAGAUCGUAUGCGAGGAAUUCAAGAGGAAUUGGCUGCUGGAAUUAUGCCCUAGAGGCAAUAAUAAAUAUAGUUAUUAUUAUAAUUCCUGUAUCAAGAUAAUCGUUUAUUAUCCAUGCUAUAAUUGUAUUGAAUGAAGACUCAUUUACAUGUGUGGAUACAUAGACAAAACACCGUCCCUAGCAAGCCUCUAGUUGGCUAGCCAGUUGAUCAAAGAUAGUCAGUGUCUUCUGAUUAUGAACAAGGUGUUGUUGCUUGAUAACUGGAUCACGUCAUUGGGAGAAUCACGUGAUGGACUAGACCCAAACUAAUAGACGUAGCAUGUUGAUCGUGUCAUUUUGUUGCUACUGUUUUCUGCGUGCCAAGUAUUUAUUCCUAUGACCAUGAGAUCAUAUAACUCACUGACACCGAAGGAAUGCUUUGUGUGUAUCAAACGUCGCAACGUAACUGGGUGACUAUAAAGAUGCUCUACAGGUAUCUCCGAAGGUGUUAGUUGAGUUAGUAUGGAUCAAGACUGGGAUUUGUCNNNNNNNNNNNNNNNNNNNNNNNNNNNNNNNNNNNNNNNNNNNNNNNNNNNNNNNNNNNNNNNNNNNNNNNNNNNNNNNNNNNNNNNNNNNNNNNNNNNNNNNNNNNNNNNNNNNNNNNNNNNNNNNNNNNNNNNNNNNNNNNNNNNNNNNNNNNNNNNNNNNNNNNNNNNNNNNNNNNNNNNNNNNNNNNNNNNNNNNNNNNNNNNNNNNNNNNNNNNNNNNNNNNNNNNNNNNNNNNNNNNNNNNNNNNNNNNNNNNNNNNNNNNNNNNNNNNNNNNNNNNNNNNNNNNNNNNNNNNNNNNNNNNNNNNNNNNNNNNNNNNNNNNNNNNNNNNNNNNNNNNNNNNNNNNNNNNNNNNNNNNNNNNNNNNNNNNNNNNNNNNNNNNNNNNNNNNNNNNNNNNNNNNNNNNNNNNNNNNNNNNNNNNNNNNNNNNNNNNNNNNNNNNNNNNNNNNNNNNNNNNNNNNNNNNNNNNNNNNNNNNNNNNNNNNNNNNNNNNNNNNNNNNNNNNNNNNNNNNNNNNNNNNNNNNNNNNNNNNNNNNNNNNNNNNNNNNNNNNNNNNNNNNNNNNNNNNNNNNNNNNNNNNNNNNNNNNNNNNNNNNNNNNNNNNNNNNNNNNNNNNNNNNNNNNNNNNNNNNNNNNNNNNNNNNNNNNNNNNNNNNNNNNNNNNNNNNNNNNNNNNNNNNNNNNNNNNNNNNNNNNNNNNNNNNNNNNNNNNNNNNNNNNNNNNNNNNNNNNNNNNNNNNNNNNNNNNNNNNNNNNNNNNNNNNNNNNNNNNNNNNNNNNNNNNNNNNNNNNNNNNNNNNNNNNNNNNNNNNNNNNNNNNNNNNNNNNNNNNNNNNNNNNNNNNNNNNNNNNNNNNNNNNNNNNNNNUCGUGGGACUGAUCGCGGGAUUGUUCGCGGGGCGGAUCGAGGGACGUGAGGACGUUCCACUACAUCAACCGCGUUCACUAACGCUUCUGCUGUAAGAUCUACAAGGGUACGUAGAUCACUCAUCCCCUCUCGUAGAUGGACAUCACCAUGAUAGGUCUUCGUGCGCGUAGGAAAAUUUUUGUUUCCCAUGCGACGUUACCCAACAGUGGCAUCAUGAUCUAGGUUCAUGCGUACAUGUCUUCUCGAGUAGAACACAAAAGUUUUUGUGGGCGGUGAUGUGCGUUUUGCUGCCCUCCUUAGUCUUUUCUUGAUUCCGCGGUAUUGUUGGAUUGAAGCGGCUUGGACCGACAUUACUCGUACGCUUACGAGAGACUGGUUUCAUCGCUAGGAGUAACCCCGUUGCUCAAAGAUGACUGGCAAGUGUCGGUUUCUCCAACUUUAGUUGAAUCGAAUUUGACCGAGGAGGUCCUUAGAUGAGGUUAAAUAGCAACUCAUAUAUCUCCGUUGUGGUGUUUGCGUAAGUAAGAUGCGAUCCUACUAGAUACCCAUGGUCACCACGUAAAACAUGCAACAACAAAAUUAGAGGACGUCUAACUUGUUUUUGCAGGGUAUGCUUGUGAUGUGAUAUGGCCAACGAUGUGAUGUGAUAUAUUGGAUGUAUGAGAUGAUCAUGUUGUAAUAGAAAAUAUCGACUUGCACGUCGAUGGUACGGCAACCGGCAGGAGCCAUAGGGUUGUCUUUAUACUAACGUUUGUGCUUGCAGAUGCGUUUACUAUUUUGCUAGGAUGUAGCUUUAGUAGUAAUAGCAUGAGUAGCAAGACAACCCCGAUGGCCACACGUUGAUGGAGAUCAUGGAGUGGCCCCGGUGACAAGAAGAUCGUGACGGUGCUUUGGUGAUGGAGAUCAAGAAGCACGUGAUGAUGGCCAUAUCAUGUCACUUAUGAAUUGCAUGUGAUGUUAAUCCUUUUAUGCACCUUAUUUUGCUUAGAACGACGGUAGCAUUAUGAGGUGAUCUCUCACUAAAAUUUCAAGACGAAAUUGUGUUCUCCCCGACUGUGCACCGUUGCUACAGUUCGUCGUUUCGAGACACCACGUGAUGAUCAGGUGUGAUAGACUCAACGUUCACAUACAACGGGUGCAAAACAGUUGCGCACGCGGAACACUCGGGUUAAGCUUGACGAGCCUAGCAUGUGCAGACAUGGCCUCGGAACACAUGAGACCGAAAGGUCGAUCAUGAAUCAUAUAGAUGAUAUGAUUAGCAUAGGGAUGCUUACCACUGAAAUAUACUCAACUCACGUGAUGAUCGGACUUGAGCUAGUGUGAGUGGAUCAUGAACCACUCAAAUGACUAGAGAGAUGUACUUUUUGAGUGGGAGUUUAGCGAAUAAUUUGAUUAAAGUUAAACUAUAAUUAUCUUGAACAUAGUCUAAGUCCACUUUGAAUAUAUUUGUGUUGUAGAUCAUGGCUCACGCGACAGUCAUCCUGAAUUUUAAUACGUUCCUAGAGAAAGCUAAGUUGAAAGAUGAUGGAAGCAACUUUAUAGACUGGGCUCGUAGUCUUAAGCUAAUCUUACAAGCUGGGAAGAAGGAUUAUGUCCUUAAUGCUGUGUUAGGAGAUGAACCACCCGCUACGGCUGAUCAGGAUGUUAAGAACGCUUGGUUAGCACGUAAGUAGGACUACUCAAUAGUUCAAUGUGCAGUCUUGUAUGGCUUAGAACCGGGACUUCAACGCCGCUUUGAGCGUCAUGGAGCAUUUGAGAUGUUCCAGGAGUUGGAGUUUAUCUUUCAGAAGAACGCCCGAAUAAAGACGUAUGAGACCUCCGAUAAAUUCUAUGCUUGCAAGAUGGAGGAAAACUCAUCUGUGAGUGAACAUGUGCUCAAAAUGUCUGGGUACUCAAACCGUCUAGCUGAGCUGGGGAUUGAACUCCCGCAAGAAGCUAUCACUGACAGAAUCCUUCAAUCGCUGCCGCCAAGCUAUAAAGGCUUUGUGUUGAACUACAACAUGCAAGGGAUGAACAAGUCUCCCGGCGAGUUGUUUGCGAUGCUGAAAGUCGCAGAGUCUGAACUCCGUAAAGAGCAUCAAGUGUUGAUGGUGAAUAAGACCAGUAGUUUCAAGAGAAACGGCAAAGGCAAGAAGGGCAAUUCGAAGAAGAGUGGCAAGCCUGUUUCCAAUCCGACGAAGAAACCCAAAGCUGGACCUAAGCCAGAAACGGAGUGUUACUAUUGCAAGGGUAUGGGUCACUGGAAGCGCAAUUGCCCCAAAUAUCUGGCAGAUAAGAAGGCGGCCAAAGAAAAAUCAGGUAUAUUUGAUAUACAUGUUAUUGAUGUGUACUUAACCGGCUCUCGUAGUAGUGCCUGGGUAUUCGAUACCGGUUCUGUUGCUCAUAUUUGCAACUCGAAAUAGGAACUGCGGAAUAGACGAAGGCUGGCGAAAGAUGAAGUGACGAUGCGCGUAGGAAAUGGUUCCAAGGUUGAUGCAAUCGCCGUCGGCACAGUGUCACUUCAGUUACCGUCAGGAUUAGUGAUGAACUUAAAUCAUUGUUAUUUAGUGCCUGCGUUGAGCAUGAACAUUAUAUCUGGAUCUUGUUUAUUGCGAGACGGUUACUCUUUUAAGUCAGAGAAUAAUGGUUGUUCUAUUUCUAUGAGUAACAUCUUUUAUGGUCAUGCACCGAAUGUGAGAGGAUUGUUCAUAUUGAAUCUUGAUAGCAAUACGCAUAUACAUAACAUUGAGACCAAAAGAGUUAGAGUUAACAAUGAUAGCGCCAUAUUUUUGUGGCAUUGCCGCUUAGGUCAUAUUGGUAUAAAGCGCAUGAAGAAACUCCAUGCUGAUGGACUUUUGGAGUCACUUGACUUUGAUUCACUUGACACGUGCGAACCAUGCCUCAUGGGCAAGAUGACUAAGACUCCAUUCUCCGGAACAAUGGAACGUGCAAGUGACUUGUUGGAGAUCAUACAUACCGAUGUGUGUGGUCCGAUGAGCGUGGAGGCACGCGGCGGAUAUCGUUAUUUUCUCACCUUCACUGACGAUUUAAGUAGAUAUGGUUAUGUCUACUUAAUGAAGCACAAGUCUGAAACAUUUGAAAGGUUCAAACAAUUUCAGAGUGAAGUGGAAAAUCAUCGUAACAAGAAGAUCAAGUUCCUACGGUCUGAUCGUGGGGGUGAAUAUCUGAGUUUCGAGUUUGGUACUCACUUAAGACAAUGUGGAAUUGUUUCACAGUUAACACCGCCUGGAACACCACAGCGUAAUGGUGUGUCCGAACAUCGUAAUCGUACUCUAUUAGAGAUGGUGCGAUCUAUGAUGUCUCUUGCUGAUUUGUCGUUAUCGUUUUGAGGUUAUGCAUUAGAAACAGCUGCAUUCACUUUAAAUAGGGCACCAUCAAAAUCCGUUGAGACGACACCAUACGAACUGUGGUAUGGCAAAGGGCCAAAGUUGUCGUUUCUUAAAGUUUGGGGAUGUGAUGCUUAUGUCAAAAAGCUUCAGCCUGAAAAGUUGGAACCCAAAGCGGAAAGGUGCGUCUUCAUAGAUUACCCAAAAGAGACAGUUGGGUACACCUUCUAUCUCAAAUCCGAGGGCAAAGUGUUUGUUGCUAAAAACGGAGCUUUUCUCGAGAAGGAGUUUCUCUCGAGAGAAUUGAGUGGGAGGAAGAUAGAACUUGACGAGGUUGUCGAACCUCUCAUCCCUCUGGAUGGUGGCGCAGGGCAAGGGGAAACCUCUGUCAUUGCGACGCCGGUUGAGGAGGAAGUUAAUGAUGAUGAUCAUGAAACUCCAGUUCAAGUUUCUGUCGAACCACGCAGGUCGACGAGACCACAUGCUGCUCCAGAGUGGUACGGUAAUCCCGUCUUAUCAAUCAUGUUGUUGGACAACAAUGAACCUGUAAAUUAUGAAGAAGCAAUGGUGGGCCCAGAUUCCAACAAAUGGCUAGAGGCCAUGAAAUCCGAGAUAGGAUCCAUGUAUGAGAACAAAGUGUGGACUUUGGAGGUACUACCUGAGGGGCGCAAGGUUAUUCAGAACAAAUGGAUCUUUAAGAGGAAGACGGACGCUGACGGCAAUGUGACCGUUUAUAAAGCUCGACUUGUGGCGAAGGGUUUUUCACAAGUUCAAGGAGUUGACUACGAUGAGACAUUCUCACCCGUAGCGAUGCUUAAGUCCGUCAGAAUCAUGUUAGCAAUAGCUGCAUUUUUCGAUUAUGAAAUCUGGCAGAUGGAUGUCAAAACAGCGUUCCUUAACGGUUUCCUUAAGGAAGAGUUGUAUAUGAUACAACCCGAAGGUUUUGUCGAUCCUAAGAAUGCUAACAAGGUGUGCAAGCUCCAGCGAUCCAUUUAUGGACUAGUGCAAGCAUCUCGGAGUUGGAACAAACACUUUGAUGAGGUGAUCAAAGCAUUUGGGUUUAUACAAGUGGUUGGAGAAUCUUGUAUUUACAAGAAAGUGAGUGGGAGCUCUGUGGCGUUUCUAAUAUUAUAUGUGGAUGACAUAUUGCUGAUUGGAAACAACGUGGAGUUUUUAGAGAGCAUAAAGGAUUACUUGAAUAAAAGUUUCUCUACGAAGGACCUAGGAGAAGCUGCUUACAUUCUAGGUAUUAAGAUCUAUAGGGAUAGAUCAAAACGCCUCAUAGGACUUUCACAAAGCACAUACCUUGAUAAAGUUUUGAAGAGGUUCAAAAUGGAACAGUCCAAGAAAGGGUUCUUGCCAGUUCUACAAGGUACGAGAUUGAGUAAGACUCAGUGCCAAGCAACUGAUGAAGAUAGAGAGCAUAUGCGCUCCGUCCCCUAUGCUUCAGCCAUAGGUUCUAUCAUGUAUGCGAUGCUGUGCACUAGACCGGAUGUUAGCCUGGCCAUAAGUAUGGCAGGUAGGUUCCAGAGUAAUCCAGGAGUGGAUCACUGGACAUCGGUCAAGAAUAUCCUGAAGUACCUGAAAAGGACUAAGGAGAUGUUUCUCGUGUAUGGAGGUGACGAAGAACUCGCCGUAAAAGGUUACGUCGAUGCAAGCUUUGACACAGAUCCGGACGACUCUAAGUCACAAACCGGAUACGUAUUUAUUCUUAAUGAGGUGCGGUAAGCUGGUACAGUUCCAAGCAAAGCGUCGUAGCAGAUUCUACAUGUGAAGCGGAGUACAUGGCUGCCUCGAAGGCGGCUAAGGAGGGUGUCUGGAUGAAGCAGUUCAUGACGGAUCUUGGAGUGGUGCCAAGCGCACUGAAUCCAAUAACCUUGUUCUGUGACAACACGGGUGCCAUUGCGUUAGCAAAGGAACCACGGUUUCACAAGAAGACCAGACACAUCAAACGACGCUUCAACCUCAUCCGCGACUACGUCGAGGGAGAGGACGUAAAUAUAUGCAAAGUGCACACGGAUCUGAAUGUAGCAGACCCGCUGACUAAACCUCUUCCACGGCCAAAACAUGAUCAACACCAGAACUGUAUGGGUGUUAGAUUUAUUACAAUGUAAUUCACAUGAUGAUGUGAGAGCUGGAUUAUUGACUCUAGUGCAAGUGGGAGACUGUUGGAAUUAUGCCCUAGAGGCAAUAAUAAAUAUAGUUAUUAUUAUAAUUCCUGUAUCAAGAUAAUCGUUUAUUAUCCAUGCUAUAAUUGUAUUGAAUGAAGACUCAUUUACAUGUGUGGAUACAUAGACAAAACACCGUCCCUAGCAAGCCUCUAGUUGGCUAGCCAGUUGAUCAAAGAUAGUCAGUGUCUUCUGAUUAUGAACAAGGUGUUGUUGCUUGAUAACUGGAUCACGUCAUUGGGAGAAUCACGUGAUGGACUAGACCCAAACUAAUAGACGUAGCAUGUUGAUCGUGUCAUUUUGUUGCUACUGUUUUCUGCGUGCCAAGUAUUUAUUCCUAUGACCAUGAGAUCAUAUAACUCACUGACACCGAAGGAAUGCUUUGUGUGUAUCAAACGUCGCAACGUAACUGGGUGACUAUAAAGAUGCUCUACAGGUAUCUCCGAAGGUGUUAGUUGAGUUAGUAUGGAUCAAGACUGGGAUUUGUCNNNNNNNNNNNNNNNNNNNNNNNNNNNNNNNNNNNNNNNNNNNNNNNNNNNNNNNNNNNNNNNNNNNNNNNNNNNNNNNNNNNNNNNNNNNNNNNNNNNNNNNNNNNNNNNNNNNNNNNNNNNNNNNNNNNNNNNNNNNNNNNNNNNNNNNNNNNNNNNNNNNNNNNNNNNNNNNNNNNNNNNNNNNNNNNNNNNNNNNNNNNNNNNNNNNNNNNNNNNNNNNNNNNNNNNNNNNNNNNNNNNNNNNNNNNNNNNNNNNNNNNNNNNNNNNNNNNNNNNNNNNNNNNNNNNNNNNNNNNNNNNNNNNNNNNNNNNNNNNNNNNNNNNNNNNNNNNNNNNNNNNNNNNNNNNNNNNNNNNNNNNNNNNNNNNNNNNNNNNNNNNNNNNNNNNNNNNNNNNNNNNNNNNNNNNNNNNNNNNNNNNNNNNNNNNNNNNNNNNNNNNNNNNNNNNNNNNNNNNNNNNNNNNNNNNNNNNNNNNNNNNNNNNNNNNNNNNNNNNNNNNNNNNNNNNNNNNNNNNNNNNNNNNNNNNNNNNNNNNNNNNNNNNNNNNNUGGAAUUAUGCCCUAGAGGCAAUAAUAAAUAUAGUUAUUAUUAUAAUUCCUGUAUCAAGAUAAUCGUUUAUUAUCCAUGCUAUAAUUGUAUUGAAUGAAGACUCAUUUACAUGUGUGGAUACAUAGACAAAACACCGUCCCUAGCAAGCCUCUAGUUGGCUAGCCAGUUGAUCAAAGAUAGUCAGUGUCUUCUGAUUAUGAACAAGGUGUUGUUGCUUGAUAACUGGAUCACGUCAUUGGGAGAAUCACGUGAUGGACUAGACCCAAACUAAUAGACGUAGCAUGUUGAUCGUGUCAUUUUGUUGCUACUGUUUUCUGCGUGUCAAGUAUUUAUUCCUAUGACCAUGAGAUCAUAUAACUCACUGACACCGAAGGAAUGCUUUGUGUGUAUCAAACGUCGCAACGUAACUGGGUGACUAUAAAGAUGCUCUACAGGUAUCUCCGAAGGUGUUAGUUGAGUUAGUAUGGAUCAAGACUGGGAUUUGUCACUCCGUGUGACUGAGAGGUAUCUCUGGGCCCACUCGGUAAUACAACAUCACACACAAGCCUUGCAAGCAAUGUAACUUAGUGUAAGUUGCGGGAUCUUGUAUUACGGAACGAGUAAAGAGACUUGCCGGUAAAAGAGAUUGAAAUAGGUAUAUGGAUACUGACGAUCGAAUCUCGGGCAAGUAACAUACCGAAGGACAAAGGGAAUGACAUACGGGAUUAUAUGAAUCCUUGGCGCUGAGGUUCAAACGAUAAGAUCUUCGUAGAAUAUGUAGGAUCCAAUAUGGGCAUCCAAGUCCCGCUGUUGGAUAUUGACCGAGGAGUCUCUUGGGUCAUGUCUACAUAGUUCUCGAACCCGCAGGGUCUGCACACUUAAGGUUCGACGUUGUUUUAUGCGUAUUUGAGAUAUAUGGUUGGUUACCGAAUGUUGUUCGGUGUCCCGGAUGAGAUCACGGACGUCACGAGGGUUUCCGGAAUGGUCCGGAAACGAAGAUUGAUAUAUAGGAUGACCUCAUUUGAUUACCGGAAAGUUUUCGGAGUUACCGGGAAUGUACCGGGAAUGACGAAUGGGUUCCGGGAGUUCACCGGGGGGGCAACCCACCCCGGGGAAGCCCAUAGGCUAUAAGGGUGGCGCACCAGCCCUUAGUGGGCUGGUGGGACAGCCCAAAAGGGCCCUAUGCGCCAUAGAGAUAAAAAUCAAAGAGAAAGAAAAAAAGGGAGGUGGGAAGGAAGGGAAGGACUCCCACCCACCAAACCAAGUCCAACUCGGUUUGGGGGGGGAGUCCUCCCCCCUUGGACUCGGGCGACCCCCUUGGGGCUCCUUGAGCCCCAAGGCAAGGUCCCCUCCCUCCCACCUAUAUAUACGGAGGUUUUAGGGCUGAUUUGAGACGAUUUCUCCACGGCAGCCCGACCACAUACCUCCACGGUUUUUCCUCUAGAUCGCGUUUCUGCGGAGCUCGAGCGGAGCCCUGCUGAGACAAGGUCAUCACCAACCUCCGGAGCGCCGUCACGCUGCCGGAGAACUCUUCUACCUCUCCGUCUCUCUUGCUGGAUCAAGAAGGCCGAGAUCAUCGUCGAGUUGUACGUGUGCUGAACGCGGAGGUGCCGUCCGUCCGGUACUAGAUCGUGGGACUGAUCGCGGGAUUGUUCGCGGGGCGGAUCGAGGGACGUGAGGACGUUCCACUACAUCAACCGCGUUCACUAACGCUUCUGCUGUAGGAUCUAGAAGGGUACGUAGAUCACUCAUCCCCUCUCGUAGAUGGACAUCACCAUGAUAGGUCUUCGUGCGCGUAGGAAAUUUUUUGUUUCCCAUGCGACGUUACCCAACAUUGGCGGCAUUCUUUCUUGACCACGUGAUCCGUGAAGACGGAGAAUACCAUGUGAACCAUAAUCAGUUGAAUUUUAAUUAGGAGAUUAUAUUGUAAGAGAUAAUUAUAUAGUAUAUAUGUAGCCAGUAGCGUCGGAUAGAUAUACGAGAACUUGUUGUUCGACCAAUCUCUCAGAGAAGGAGAGGUGGUCGAUAUCACUUCUCUUUGUAUGCAUAUGUUCAUGACGAUCUUCUGUUUCCUUCAUUUGCUUAUUAGCUAGCGUGUCUAAUCCUCUCCAUACGUAUAGUAUGUAGCGUCGACCAAGCACGGAGAUAAGAGAGCACACUUCUCUCUAUUCAUUAGCUAGCUAACACAAUAUAUGAAACACCUAAAUUAACCCUCCAAAACCCCCUAAACCCCCUCCCCCCUUUCAAAAGAAAUCCCAACACCUGAAAUGCUGACGCGUGGAUGCCUUUUGGUCCCGGUUGGUGUCACCAACCGGGACUAAAGGCUCCGCUGCCCGGGCUCGCCGCACCAGCCACGUGGAGGCCCAUCUGUCCCGGUUCGUGUAAGAACCGGGACUAAAGGCCAAGGACAUUAGUAACGACCUUUUAGUCCCGGUUCCGAAACCGGGACAGAAGGCCCUUACGAACCAGGACAAAAUGCCCUUUUUCUACUAGUGUUAAAAUGGGCUGACUUCAAUUUUUUUUUAUCCUUAUCGAAAUUGUCCAUCCGAUAAGACAAUGGAAUAAAUGGAGCCAGCCAGCCACACAAUUAAGAGCAUCGAACGUGAUUUAAUAUCUAGCCAUAUUGGUAGUUGUGUGUCUAGUUUUUAUCUAGAUGAUAAAUAACUACUCACUCCGAUUGGAUGUAUAAUAAGGCCUAUGUCAAUGCAUCGUCUCUUAACACGUAAUCAUAUGCGUAAUAAAAACAUAAGAAACAGAUAAGUACUCCCUCCGUCACGGUUUAGAAGGCACACUUAAACUUGCGUGCAUUUUUAAAAUAGACAAGGUUUAAGGCGCGAAAGCAAUUACUCUUAUGAAUUAGUACUAGUACUACUCAUGCAUGCGUCCUCUCAAUUUGCUGCUCACGAAGUAGUACUGGUAUUUUCUCAGUUGAUUAGGCGCAUUAGCAUCUACACCUACUACAUCUCACAAUCAAUCGGUGACUACCUUGGUCCUAGAGAUUUUUCAAGCGUGCCUUCUAAACCGUGACGGAGGAAGUAGUACAAUGCAUUGUAUCUUAUGUGUUGUAUUUAAAUUUAAUGAUUUAUGGCUCAUGCAUGCAUGUGAUUGGGUUAGCAUCUCAUUUUUGUCUAUGAUCACGUGCCAAGGUUGUAAAUUAGCUAAGGCUGCUCCCAAUGCUCCACCUUGUAUAGGUGCUAAGACUGCCACAUAGGCAAAAAAUCUGAUGUGACAAGCUAAUUAAUAGGAAAGAGAUGAGUGUGGUGACCCUAGGAAGAAACAAUGCUAAGCGCGUGAAGCAACUAAAUGAAAAGAAAUGCACCAAUGCAUGCACAAUUUUAGUUGGAAAAGCAUUAAAUAAGAAGCCUUAGCUACUCCGUCUGUCAUGUUUUUGAAGGCGUGCAUGAUAAUUCUCUAGAACCUAUGUGGUUAUUGAUUGGCUGUGAAAUGAGUUAAAAAAUAACAUUCACACUACGCAUGCAUAUAAAAGUAGUACAACGGAGUACUAUUUGGUUGAUAGAAGUAAAUGCAAUGCGCCUUAAACCAUGUCUAUUAUGGAAAUGCACGUAAAUUUAACCGUGCCUUCUAAACCAUGACGAAAGUAGUACAAUAAGUUAAGCAACUAUGCAUUGGGAAUUUUAGUUCCUAAACUAUUUAAUGUGAUUAACACCUCAUCAUUGUUGGGGAACGUCGCAUGGGAAACAAAAAAUUUCCUACGCGCACGAAGACCUAUCAUGGUGAUGUCCAUCUACGAGAGGGGAUUUCCGAUCUAUGUACCCUUGUAGAUCGCACAGCAGAAGCGUUAGUAAACGCGGUUGAUGUAGUGAAACGUCCUCACGUCCCUCGAUCCGACCCGCGAACCGUCCCGCGAUCAGUCCCACGAUCUAGUGCCGAACGGACGGCACCUCCGCGUUCAGCACAAGUACAGCUCGACGAUGAUCUCGGCCUUCUUGAUUCAGCAAGAGAGACGGAGAGGUAGAUGAGUUCUCCGGCAGCGUGACGGCGCUCCGGAGGUUGGUGGUGAUCUAAUCUCAGCAGGGCUCCGCCCGAGCUCCGCAGAAAUGCGAUCUAGAGGUAAAACCGUGGAGGUAUGUGGUCGGGCUGCCUUGAAAAAGUUGUCUCAAAUCAGCCCUAAAACCCCACUAUAUAUAGGAGGGAGGGAGGGGAGGAGGCAGCCUCAAAAUCUAAAGGUUUGGCCGAAAUUGGAGGUGGAGGAGUCCUACUCCAAUCCUACUUGGAGUAGGAUUCCACCUUCCCACUUGCAAACUCUUUCCACCUUGUGUUUUUUCCUUCUCAAACCUUAUGGGCCUUAGUGGGAACUUAUUCCAGCCCACUAGGGGCUGGUUUAUCUCUUCCCAUAGCCCAUGAGACCCCUUGGGGCGUGAUACCCCUCCUGAUGGUCCCCGGCACCCCUCCCGGCACUCCCAGUACACUACCGAUGAGCCCGAAACUUUUCCGGUAAUGCACGAAAACCUUCCAGUAACCAAAUGAGGUCAUCCUAUAUAUCAAUCUUCAUUUCCGGACCAUUCCGGAAACCCUCGUGACGUAUGUGAUCUCAUCUGAGACUCCGAAUAACAUUCGGUAACCAACCAUAUAACUCAAAUACGCAUAAAACAAUGUCGAACCUUAAGUGUGCAGACCCUGCGGGUUCGAGAACUAUGUAGACAUGACCCGAGAGACUCCUCAGUCAAUAUCCAAUAGCGAGACCUGGAUGCCCAUAUUGGAUCCUACAUAUUCUAUGAAGAUCUUAUCAUUUGAACCUCAGUGCCAAGGAUUCAUAUAAUCCCGUAUGUCAUUCCUUUGUCCUUCGGUAUGUUACUUGCCUGAGAUUCGAUCGUCAGUAUCUGCAUACCUAUUUCAAUCUCGUUUACCGGCAAGUCUCUUUACUCGUUCCGUAAUACAAGAUCCCGCAACUUACACUAAGUCACAUUGCUUGCAAGGCUUAUGUGUGAUGUUGUAUUACCGAGUGGGCCCCGAGAUACCUCUCCGUCAUAUGGAGUGACAAAUCCCAGUCUUGAUCCAUACUAACUCAACGAACACCUUCGGAGAUACCUGUAGAGCAUCUUUAUAGUCACCCAGUUACGUUGCAACGUUUGAUACACACAAAGCAUUCCUCCGGUGUCAGUGAGUUAUAUGAUCUCAUGGUCAUAGGAACAAAUACUUGACACGUAGAAAACAGUAGCAACAAAAUGACACGAUCAACAUGCUACGUCUAUUAGUUUGGGUCUAGUCCAUCACAUGAUUCUNNNNNNNNNNNNNNNNNNNNNNNNNNNNNNNNNNNNNNNNNNNNNNNNNNNNNNNNNNNNNNNNNNNNNNNNNNNNNNNNNNNNNNNNNNNNNNNNNNNNNNNNNNNNNNNNNNNNNNNNNNNNNNNNNNNNNNNNNNNNNNNNNNNNNNNNNNNNNNNNNNNNNNNNNNNNNNNNNNNNNNNNNNNNNNNNNNNNNNNNNNNNNNNNNNNNNNNNNNNNNNNNNNNNNNNNNNNNNNNNNNNNNNNNNNNNNNNNNNNNNNNNNNNNNNNNNNNNNNNNNNNNNNNNNNNNNNNNNNNNNNNNNNNNNNNNNNNNNNNNNNNNNNNNNNNNNNNNNNNNNNNNNNNNNNNNNNNNNNNNNNNNNNNNNNNNNNNNNNNNNNNNNNNNNNNNNNNNNNNNNNNNNNNNNNNNNNNNNNNNNNNNNNNNNNNNNNNNNNNNNNNNNNNNNNNNNNNNNNNNNNNNNNNNNNNNNNNNNNNNNNNNNNNNNNNNNNNNNNNNNNNNNNNNNNNNNNNNNNNNNNNNNNNNNNNNNNNNNNNNNNNNNNNNNNNNNNNNNNNNNNNNNNNNNNNNNNNNNNNNNNNNNNNNNNNNNNNNNNNNNNNNNNNNNNNNNNNNNNNNNNNNNNNNNNNNNNNNNNNNNNNNNNNNNNNNNNNNNNNNNNNNNNNNNNNNNNNNNNNNNNNNNNNNNNNNNNNNNNNNNNNNNNNNNNNNNNNNNNNNNNNNNNNNNNNNNNNNNNNNNNNNNNNNNNNNNNNNNNNNNNNNNNNNNNNNNNNNNNNNNNNNNNNNNNNNNNNNNNNNNNNNNNNNNNNNNNNNNNNNNNNNNNNNNNNNNNNNNNNNNNNNNNNNNNNNNNNNNNNNNNNNNNNNNNNNNNNNNNNNNNNNNNNNNNNNNNNNNNNNNNNNNNNNNNNNNNNNNNNNNNNNNNNNNNNNNNNNNNNNNNNNNNNNNNNNNNNNNNNNNNNNNNNNNNNNNNNNNNNNNNNNNNNNNNNNNNNNNNNNNNNNNNNNNNNNNNNNNNNNNNNNNNNNNNNNNNNNNNNNNNNNNNNNNNNNNNNNNNNNNNNNNNNNNNNNNNNNNNNNNNNNNNNNNNNNNNNNNNNNNNNNNNNNNNNNNNNNNNNNNNNNNNNNNNNNNNNNNNNNNNNNNNNNNNNNNNNNNNNNNNNNNNNNNNNNNNNNNNNNNNNNNNNNNNNNNNNNNNNNNNNNNNNNNNNNNNNNNNNNNNNNNNNNNNNNNNNNNNNNNNNNNNNNNNNNNNNNNNNNNNNNNNNNNNNNNNNNNNNNNNNNNNNNNNNNNNNNNNNNNNNNNNNNNNNNNNNNNNNNNNNNNNNNNNNNNNNNNNNNNNNNNNNNNNNNNNNNNNNNNNNNNNNNNNNNNNNNNNNNNNNNNNNNNNNNNNNNNNNNNNNNNNNNNNNNNNNNNNNNNNNNNNNNNNNNNNNNNNNNNNNNNNNNNNNNNNNNNNNNNNNNNNNNNNNNNNNNNNNNNNNNNNNNNNNNNNNNNNNNNNNNNNNNNNNNNNNNNNNNNNNNNNNNNNNNNNNNNNNNNNNNNNNNNNNNNNNNNNNNNNNNNNNNNNNNNNNNNNNNNNNNNNNNNNNNNNNNNNNNNNNNNNNNNNNNNNNNNNNNNNNNNNNNNNNNNNNNNNNNNNNNNNNNNNNNNNNNNNNNNNNNNNNNNNNNNNNNNNNNNNNNNNNNNNNNNNNNNNNNNNNNNNNNNNNNNNNNNNNNNNNNNNNNNNNNNNNNNNNNNNNNNNNNNNNNNNNNNNNNNNNNNNNNNNNNNNNNNNNNNNNNNNNNNNNNNNNNNNNNNNNNNNNNNNNNNNNNNNNNNNNNNNNNNNNNNNNNNNNNNNNNNNNNNNNNNNNNNNNNNNNNNNNNNNNNNNNNNNNNNNNNNUGUGUGAUGUUGUAUUACCGAGUGGGCCCCGAGAUACCUCUCCGUCAUAUGGAGUGACAAAUCCCAGUCUUGAUCCAUACUAACUCAACGAACACCUUCGGAGAUACCUGUAGAGCAUCUUUAUAGUCACCCAGUUACGUUGCUACGUUUGAUACACACAAAGCAUUCCUCCGGUGUCAGUGAGUUAUAUGAUCUCAUGGUCAUAGGAACAAAUACUUGACACGUAGAAAACAGUAGCAACAAAAUGACACGAUCAACAUGCUACGUCUAUUAGUUUGGGUCUAGUCCAUCACAUGAUUCUUCUAAUUAUGUGAUCUCGUUAUCAAGUAACAACACUUGCCUAUGGCCAGGAAACCUUGACCAUCUUUGAUCAACGAGCUAGUCAACUAGAGGCUUACUAGGGACAGUGUUUUGUCUAUGUAUCCACACAAGUAUUGUGUUUCCAAUCAAUACAAUUAUAGCAUGGAUAAUAAACGAUUAUCAUGAACAAAGAAAUAUAAUAAUAACUAGUUGUUAUUGCCUCUAGGGCAUAUUUCCAACAGUCUCCCACUUGCACUAGAGUCAAUAAUCUAGUUCACAUCACCAUGUGAUUUCAACGAAUCCAACACCCAUAUAGUUCUGGGGUCUGAUCACGUCUUGCUCGUGAGAGAGGUUUUAGUCAACGGUUCUGAAACUUUCAGAUCCGUGCGUUCUUUACAAAUAUUUAUGUCAUCUUAUAGAUGCUGCUACUACGUGCUAUUCGGAAAUGCUCCAAAUAUCUACUCUACUAUACGAAUCCGUUUCACUACUCAUAGUUAUUCGGAUUAGUGUCAAAGCUUGCAUCGACGUAACCCUUUACGACAAACUCUUUAACCACCUCCAUAAUCGAGAAAAAUUCCUUAGUCUAUUUAGUUACUAAGGAUAACUUUGACCGCUGAUCAGUGAUUCAAUCCUGGAUCACUCUGUGUACCUCUUAACAGACUUGCUGCAAGGCACACAUCAGGUGCGGUACUCAGCAUGGCAUACUUUAGAGUCUACGGCUAAGGCAUAGAAGACGACCUUCGUCUAUUCUCUUUAUUCUGUCGUGGUCGGGUUUUGAGUCUUACUCAAAUUCACACCUUAAAACGCAACCAAGAACUCCUUUAUUGAUCUAUUUUGAACUCCUUCAAAAACUUGUCAAGGCAUGCAUCUUGUUGAAACUUCCAUUAAGCGCUUUCGGUCUAUCUCCAUAGAUCUUUGAUGCUCAACGUUCAAGUAGCGCAAUCCAGGUACUCCUUUGAAAACUCCUUUCAAACAACCUUGUAUGCUUUACAUAAAUUCUAUAUUACUUCUGAUCCACAAUAUGUCAACCACAUAUACUUAUCACAAAUUCUAUAGUGCUCCCACUCACUUCUUUGGAAAUACAAGUUUCUCAUAAACCUUGUAGACACCCAAAAUCUUUGAUCAUCUCAUCAAAGUGUAUAUUCCAACUCCGAGAUGCUUGCACCAGUCCAUUGAAGGAUCGCUGGAGCUUGCAUACUUGUUAGUAUCUUUAGGAUCGACAAAACCUUCUGGUUGUAUCACAUACAAUGUUUGCUCAAGGAAACCGUCGAGGAAACAAUGUUUUGACAUCCUACGUGCAAUAUUUCAUAAAUAAUGCAGCAACUACUAACAUAAUUCUAACAGACUUUUAGCAUCGCUACGAGUGAGAAAGUCUCAUCAUAGUCAACUGUUUGAUCUUGUCGGAAACAUCUUUGCGACAAGUCGAGCUUUUCUUAAUAGUGACUUAUCACUAUCAUCGUGUGUCUUCCUUUUAAAGAUCCAUCUUUAUCAAUAGUCCUAUGACCAUCAAGUAGUUCUUCCAAAGUCUACACUUUGUUUUCAUACAUGGAUCCUCUCUCGGAUUUCAUGGCUUCCAGCCAUUUGUCGGAACCCAGGCCCACCAUUGCUUUCUCCAUAACUCGUAGGUUCACUGCUGCUCAACAACAUGACCUCCAAGACAGGGUUACCGUACCACUCUGCAGUAGUACGCGAUCUUGUCAACCUACGAGGCUUGUAGCAACUUGAUUCGAUGCUCGAUGAUCACCAUCAUCAGCUUUCACUUCAAUUGGUGUAGGCGCCACAGGAACAACUUCCUGCGCCCUGCUACACACUGUUCGAAGUGAUGGUUCAAUAACCUCAUCAAGUUCUACCACCCUCCCACUCAAAUCUUUCAAGAGAAACCUUUCCUCGAGAAAGGAUCCGUUUCUACAAACAAACACUUUGCUUUUGGAUCUGAGAUAGGAGAUGUACCCAACUAUUUUGGAUAUCCUAUGAAGAUGCAUUUAUCCGCUUUGGGUUCGAGCUUAUCAGACUGAAACUUUUUCACAUAAGUGUCGAAGCGCCAAAUAUUCAAGAAGCGACGGUUUAGAUUUCUCUAAACCUCAGUCUAUACUGUGUCAUCUCAACGGAAAUACGCGGUGCCCUAUUUAAAGUGAAUGCGGUUGUCUCUAAUGCAUAACCCAUAACCGAUAGUGGUAAUAAGAGACAUCAUAGUAUGCACCAUACCAAAUAGUGCAUGGCUAUGACGUCAGACACAUCAUCACACUAUGAUGUUCCAAGUGGCAUGAACUGCGAAACAAUUUCCAUUUUGUCUUAACUGCGUAUCAAAACUCGUAACUCAGAUAUUCAUUUCUAUGAUCAUAUCGCAGACAGUUUAUCCUCUCGUUACGACGAACUUCACUCCGAAACAGAAUUGAACUUUUCAAUAUUUCAGACUUGUGAUUCAUUAAGUAAAUACUCUAGUAUCUACUUAAAACGUCAUUGAAGUAAGAACAUAAUGACAUCCACUGCGUGCCUCAGCACCCAUUGGACUGCAUACAUCAAAAUGUAUCACUUCCAACAAGUUACUAUCUUGUUUCAUCUCAAUGAAAACUAGGCCUUGCUCAUGUGGUAUGAUUAGCAUGUCACUAGUGAUUCAAAAUCAAGUGAAUAUAAAGAUCCAUCGGCAUGGAGCCUCUUCAUGCAAUUUAUACUAACAUGACUCAAGCGGCAGUGCCACAAGUAAGUGGUACUAUCAUCAUUACCUCGUAUCUUUUGGCACCAAUAUUAUGAACAUGUGUAACACUACGAUCGAGAUUCAAUAAACCAUUGAAGGUGAUUAUUCAAGCAAAUAGAGUAACCAUUAUUCUCUUUAAAUGAAUAAUCGUAUUGCAAUAAACACGAUCCAAUCAUGUUCAUGCUUAACGCAAGCACCAAAUAACAAUUAUUUAGGUUUAACACCAAUCCCGAUGGUAGAGGGAGCGUGCGACGUUUUGAUCAUAUCAAUCUUGGAAACACUUCCAACACGUAUCGUCACCUCGCCUUUAGCUAGUCUCCGUUUAUGCCGUAGCUAUCAUUUCGUGUUACUAAUCACUUAGCAACCGAACCGGUAUCCAAUACCCUCAUGCUACUAGGAGUACUAGUAAAGUACACAUCAUGUAUAUCAAAUAUACUUCUUUCGACUUUUGCUAGCCUUCUUAUCUACCAAGUAUCUAGGAUUGCUCCGCCUCAGUGACUGUUCCCCUCAUUACAGAAGCACUUAGUCUCAGGUUUGGGUUUAAUCUUGGGUCUCUUCAUUAGUGCAGCAACUGUUUUGCCGUUUCACGAAGUAUCCCUUCUAGCCCUUGCCUUUCUUGAAACUUAGUGGUUUUACAAACCAUCAACUUUCGCAAUGUCAAACAUCGUGAAUCGCUCAAGGAUCAUUGUAUCUAUCCUUGAUAUGUUAUAGUUCAUCACAAAGCUCUCACAGCUUGGUGGCAGUGACUUUGGAGAACUAUCACUAUCUCAUCUGGAAGAUUAACUCCCACUUGAUUCAAGCGAUUGUCGUACUUAGACAAUUUGAGCACACGCUCAACGAUUAAGCUUUUCUCCUUUACUUUGUGGACAAAGAAUCUUGUUGGAGGUCUCGUACCUCUUAACAAGGGCACAAGCAUGAAAUCGCAAUUUCAUCUCUUUAGAACAUCACUUAUGUUCCGUGACGUUUCAAAACGUUUUCGGCGCCUUGCUUCUAAGCCAUCAAGUAUUUUGCACUGAACUAUCGUGUAGUCAUCACAAACGUGUAUGUCGGAUGUUCACAGCAUCCACAGACGACGCUCGAGGUGCAGCACACCGAGUGGUGCAUUAAGGACAUAAGCCUUCUGCGUAGCAACGAGGACAAUCCUCGGUUUUACAGACUUAGUCUGCAAAGUUUGCUACUAUCAACUUUCAACUAAAUUUUCUCUAGGAACAUAUAAACACAGUAGAGCUAUAGCGCAAGCUGCAUCGUAAUUCGCAAAGACCAUUAGACUAUGUUCAUGACAAUUAGUUCAAUUAAUCAUAUUACUUAAGAACUUCCACUCAAAAAGUACAUCUCUCUAGUCAUUUGAGUGGUACAUGAUCCAAAUCCACUAUCUCAAGUCCGAUCAUCACGUGAGUCGAGAAUAGUUUCAGUGGUAAGCAUCUCUAUGCUAAUCAUAUCAACUAUACGAUUCAUGCUCGACCUUUCGGUCUCAUGUGUUCCGAGGCCAUGUCUGCACAUGCUAGGCUCGUCAAGCUUAACCCGAGUGUUCCGCGUGUGCAACUGUUUUGCACCCGUUGUAUGUGAACGUUGAGUCUAUCACACCCGACCAUCACGUGGUGUCUCGAAACGAAGAACUGUCGCAAUGGUGCACAGUCGGGGAGAACACAAUUUCGUCUUGAAAUUUUGGUGAGAGAUCACCUCAUAAUGUGUCACGCCCGAGAUGCGACCCUAUCCUCAAUUUGGCACGAAGGCCUCGUCAGGGAUAGAAGCGCAUCUCGUCGUGUCGCAAGAAUGGAUAUCGUUACAAGUACAUGUACUGAAAAGAAGAGUUAUAUACAGAGUUGGCUUACACUCGCCACAAGCUACAUCAGAGUCACAUCCGUACAUUACAUUAUCAUCAAGAGUAAGAGCAGGGUCCAAAUAUGGAAGAAAACAAACGACAAAAGAAGAACGACGUCCAUCCUUGCUAUCCCAGGCUGCCGGCCUGGAACCCAUCCUAGAUCGAUGAAGAAGAAGAAGAAGCAACUCCAAAUGAACAAUCAACGCGCUCGCAUCAAGUAACCUUUACCUGUACCUGCAACUGUGUUGUAGUAAUCUGUGAGCCACAGGGGACUCAACAAUCUCAUUUCCAAAGGUAUCAAGACUAGCAAAACUUAAUGGGUGAGGUAUGGUUAAGUGGUGAGGUUGCAGCAGCGGCUAAGCAUAGAUUUGGUGGCUAAACUUACGAGUACAAGAAUAAGAGGGGGUAGAUCUAGGCAUAUCGGUCGUGAACUACUUAUGAUCAAUUGAAUGAUCCUGAACACCUACCUACAUCAGACAUAACCCCACCAUGUCCUCGAUCGGAGAAGGAACUCACGAAACAGACAGUCACGGUUACGCACACAGUUGGCAUAUUUUAAUUAAAUUCACUUCAAGUUAUCUAGAACCAGUGUUAAACAAAGUUUCCACGUUGCCACAUAACCGCGGGCACGGCUUUCCGAAAGAUUUAACCCUGCAGGGGUGCUCCAACUAGUCCAUCACAAAUUACCACAAGCCGCAUAGAAAUCAUCAAUCACGAAGUUCGCGAUCUCGUCGAAUUACCUAGUGGAAAACCUCAACUCUGAGAUUACUCAAAGCAUCACCGGAAUCCCGAUGCACAAGAUAUCUCGUCAAAGGUAAAACUAAUCCAGCAAGGCCGCCCGACGUGUCGACGAUCCCGAUAGGAGUCGCGUACCUCGUUCUCAGGACACGGCGGAUAAGCGACGCGUACAAGUGCCAAACCUCGAGUUUCCUCACGGUGGCCCCGCACAGUGCUCUGUUUUGGACCAACACUCAUGAGGAGCACUGGCCUGGGGGUUGAUUAAAUUAUCCUCGGGUCCCGGGAAGUCCCUAUGCAAUUUUAUUAGGUGUUUAGGCAAAUAUAGUACCAAAGUUGGGCCUUGCCAGACCAGCUUUAAUCUAAAACGAAUUAUCAAGGGGGUCCCCAUAACAACCCCGAUCUUGUUAGGAGCGCUCAAUUAUGGAACAUAACACCGGUAGCCGGAAACUAAGGGGGCAAAGGUGGAACAAAACACCAGGCUAGAAAGGCCGAGCCUUCCACCUUUUACCAAGUAUAUAGGUCCAUUAAAUUAAAUAGCAUGUAAAUAUGGUGAUAUAACAAGGAACCCAUGUUGACACAUGGAAGCAAAUGCACCUGUAACUAGCAACGCUAACACAGGGUUAAGCAAGCAGUAACAUAGCCAAUCAGUGGUCUGCUAGGUUGAACAGGUUGAAGGUUUCAUGGCAUUGUUGAGAGGCUGAUAUUUAACAUGUGGUAGGCAAUGAGACAUAAACGAUAGAAACGGUAAUACUAGCAUGGCAAUGAUAGUAAUGAUAUCUGGGGAAAUGAUCAUCUUGCCUGAGAUCCCGCUUGGAAGAAGAAUGUCUCCGUGAAGCAGACGAACCGACGUGGUCGAACGGGUCCUCACAUCCGACACGCUUGCGGAACUCUAUCGAGACGGGGAAACCGGAAACAAGCAUCAACACAUGAUAUUCACCACACGAUGCACAACACAUAUGAUGCAUGAGCUACUUAAUACAUGCAAGUCACGGCAUGACAAAUCACACAAUCACACCUACACAUUAAGUGAAGUUCAAUAUGCACGAGUUGCAUAUUGACGAAACUCCACGUUAAUUAUUUAGUUCACUCCCGGUUAUCUACACGGCAAUAUUAAUGUUGUCAAGCAUGCAAGAGGUGAAGCGGAAAUUAAACUACCUAUCUAGGCAUUUUAAGUGAGGUCGGAAAUGACAUAUAGCAUCUCCGAGACGACCUCAUAUGUUAAUUUACGAUUCUGUCCAGAUCUGAACUAAUGCAUAUAAUUAGUUGUUAAACAGCAAAACAAAUAGGUUCACGUGAUUCUACGCGUCAAGGCAAGCAAUCUACACGUAAAGAACAUCUCCAACGGAGCUACGGAUCAAAAGUUACAAGCACCGCAAGAUAUGAUGGCAUGAAUGCAAUAUGUGUGCAACGACGGCUACGAGCACUUCAAAACAACCAACCAGCAAGAGAAAAUGAAACUACACAAGAUUCUAAGAAAGUUUCAUUUAGGACACGAUCAAAACGGAGCUACGGUUCGAAAACUACGAGCAUGACAAGAAAACACUACAAUCUGCCAAAAUCAGCCACNNNNNNNNNNNNNNNNNNNNNNNNNNNNNNNNNNNNNNNNNNNNNNNNNNNNNNNNNNNNNNNNNNNNNNNNNNNNNNNNNNNNNNNNNNNNNNNNNNNNNNNNNNNNNNNNNNNNNNNNNNNNNNNNNNNNNNNNNNNNNNNNNNNNNNNNNNNNNNNNNNNNNNNNNNNNNNNNNNNNNNNNNNNNNNNNNNNNNNNNNNNNNNNNNNNNNNNNNNNNNNNNNNNNNNNNNNNNNNNNNNNNNNNNNNNNNNNNNNNNNNNNNNNNNNNNNNNNNNNNNNNNNNNNNNNNNNNNNNNNNNNNNNNNNNNNNNNNNNNNNNNNNNNNNNNNNNNNNNNNNNNNNNNNNNNNNNNNNNNNNNNNNNNNNNNNNNNNNNNNNNNNNNNNNNNNNNNNNNNNNNNNNNNNNNNNNNNNNNNNNNNNNNNNNNNNNNNNNNNNNNNNNNNNNNNNNNNNNNNNNNNNNNNNNNNNNNNNNNNNNNNNNNNNNNNNNNNNNNNNNNNNNNNNNNNNNNNNNNNNNNNNNNNNNNNNNNNNNNNNNNNNNNNNNNNNNNNNNNNNNNNNNNNNNNNNNNNNNNNNNNNNNNNNNNNNNNNNNNNNNNNNNNNNNNNNNNNNNNNNNNNNNNNNNNNNNNNNNNNNNNNNNNNNNNNNNNNNNNNNNNNNNNNNNNNNNNNNNNNNNNNNNNNNNNNNNNNNNNNNNNNNNNNNNNNNNNNNNNNNNNNNNNNNNNNNNNNNNNNNNNNNNNNNNNNNNNNNNNNNNNNNNNNNNNNNNNNNNNNNNNNNNNNNNNNNNNNNNNNNNNNNNNNNNNNNNNNNNNNNNNNNNNNNNNNNNNNNNNNNNNNNNNNNNNNNNNNNNNNNNNNNNNNNNNNNNNNNNNNNNNNNNNNNNNNNNNNNNNNNNNNNNNNNNNNNNNNNNNNNNNNNNNNNNNNNNNNNNNNNNNNNNNNNNNNNNNNNNNNNNNNNNNNNNNNNNNNNNNNNNNNNNNNNNNNNNNNNNNNNNNNNNNNNNNNNNNNNNNNNNNNNNNNNNNNNNNNNNNNNNNNNNNNNNNNNNNNNNNNNNNNNNNNNNNNNNNNNNNNNNNNNNNNNNNNNNNNNNNNNNNNNNNNNNNNNNNNNNNNNNNNNNNNNNNNNNNNNNNNNNNNNNNNNNNNNNNNNNNNNNNNNNNNNNNNNNNNNNNNNNNNNNNNNNNNNNNNNNNNNNNNNNNNNNNNNNNNNNNNNNNNNNNNNNNNNNNNNNNNNNNNNNNNNNNNNNNNNNNNNNNNNNNNNNNNNNNNNNNNNNNNNNNNNNNNNNNNNNNNNNNNNNNNNNNNNNNNNNNNNNNNNNNNNNNNNNNNNNNNNNNNNNNNNNNNNNNGAUCUACACAACCAUGGAUCGUCGGCAGCGUCAGAUGUGUAUAAGAGACAGGGCAGGAGGCGCUGGGCACGGGAGCACGGGAGGCAGCGGCGGCGGCGGCGGACUCGGGCCGAGAUGGGCUCGGGCGGGCCGCGCGCGGGCCUAGCGGGCCGUCGGCUGGAGGAGGGAGACAGGUGGGAGGAGAGAGGCUAGGGUUUGGUGGGGUGGCACGGAAAACGAGGAGGGAUUAGUGGGAGGCUGUCUAAAAUACACGGGGAACUAUAUAUAGACAAACGGGGGGGCUCGGUUAACCGGAAUCGCGCUCCGGAUCCAACCGCGGGGUCGGAUUCGGACGAUUCCGAACGUGGGAACGGGUACGUGGCUGUGUAAAGGGGAUAUCCGGAGACGAGAGGGAGAGCGGGCGGCGCGGCACGAAUUUAAAAACACCGACAGACGUCCGACGGUAGACCGAAUACGGUGCCGCUACGUUCGACCGUUCGGGUACCAGACGGUCUCCGAUCGCGACGAAAUUCGAUAGGCGGCCUAUCUAUAACUAAUCACGACCGCGUGCCAAGUUUCACCUCGAUCAGAGAAAGUUUAACGCACACUUUUAAAAUAGGGUUUCGACGGUGCCGCGGGCGCGUGCUUGUGCGGUCGGACUCAGAACGAACAACGACGCGAACCGACAACUAACAACGAAUGCAAGUUUUGAAAACUGGCGGCAACAGAGAUGCCGAUGCAAUGCUGAUGAUGCGCAUGAUGCGAUGAUGAUACGGCAACUGAAAAUACCCACACGACGAAAACAGAAAGAAAAGGGGAAGCUUCUGGAACGUCGGCAUCGGGCUGUCACAACUCUCCUACACUACAAGAAGAUCUCGCCCCGAGAUCCAAGAAUGAAAGGGGGGAGAGGAUGAGAAAGAACAAGAGGUAAAACUUAGUCGCUUGUAUGACAAUGAGUGAAACAAUGAUCCCUGAAGGUUGCAAGGCGGUGAGGAACGAAAUGAGAAAGAAGCAAGAAUUCACGGAAAAUUUCGGCAGCACUUCGGUAGGAAAAUGGGACAAAAAAUUCAAAAAGGUGGAAGAAAUAGACAAUAUUCACCACAAACAAGUAAAUAGAGCAAGAGAACACCAUGAUCUUGGUGGCACAACAUAAUAGACCCAAAAGAGCAACAUCACAAAGCCUCCGGAACAACAGAAUAGGAACUAACUCAAGCGGAAGAAGAGAAUGAAGAAAAGAAUGACAGCUACCAUUACCAUAGAAUAGAAGAGCCUCCGGUCAUAGAAUUGACAUAGUAGUUGGAAACCCAACAGUGAAAAGAGCAAGAUAGUAGUGGGCUUACGAAGAUCAACUCAAGAUAUAUGAGGUGACAACCAACCACUAAAAGGAACAAGGAUUAGCUGAAGUAAAGAUAUCAAAACUUCUUACACCAAGAGGGUGCAUUGAGAACUGGUAUUAAUGACAAGCACCAUGAUAGCAUAAUCCAUAGGAAAAGCUUUAGGUGAAGUCCAAACCAAGAUAACUCAAAGACGAAAUCAUGAGUUGAGAAUAUCUCAUGAUCAUAGAAUUGGUGGGUUUAAUUAUCUCAUUCUUGAAAGGAAAACUCUCUGAGUCACCUACACUAACAAGAAGGCUAUAAUACCACCUCAAAGGAUAAAGGAAGAACAAAUGCACUUGGGAAUGCAAGAGAACGAAUACUUGAGAAAAGAAUUGCUAUCAUGAGUCACUUUGGAAGAAAAAUUGAAAUCCCUUGAAAGAAGGAAGAACAAGAAUAAGAAUUAUGUUAUGCUUAUCCUUCAUCAAGUUAAAUUGAUGACAAGCAACGGAUCUAGCCUACAACUUAUUCUACUAGAAAUGAAUCUUGAAGAUGCACAGAGAUAUAAGCACCACUUGAUGCAUAAUUGAAGGCAACACCGGUAAGAACUCACAAUUGAAUGGGAACACCACGAAUUAAUGGAUAAACAUGAGAAUAAAGAGAUCAUGAGCCACCUGAGAGAAAACUUGAACAAGGCACCGGAUAACCGGGAGACGAACGAAGGGACAACAAUGGAGAAGAAUUGAGGAUGAAAGCUGAAAGCUGAGAACGAAGAAUCUUCUAAAAUGAUGGCCUUCGGAGGAUCGAGAAUGAAAACAACUGAGAAGUGCACCGGAUAGCAAGAAAGGGAUUACUCAUGAUUGACAACAAUUACAGAUGAUAACGCAAGGCUGAAAUGAUGAAUAUUUAAGAGAAUGAACCAAGAUUUACGAGAAACACUCCUUCGAAUUGCAGGGUGAGAAUGAUGACGAGAAACAACACCACGAACAACUGAGACACUCCGGAAUAAAGAAAAUUGCAAGGUUGAGCCAAACAUGAGAAUUAAUCCAAAUUGAUCUUGAAGAAAGAAUAUGACUGAUGAAAAACAUACUUACGUCAUAGUUCAAAAGAAUUAAGGGUCUACGGAAAAAGAUUAAAGAGCCAGGUGAGAUCCUGGGAAAACCUGUGGGUUAUGGGCCCACUCAAAGAAAAUCACCGUUGAAACAAUAGCUAGAACGAGAGAUAUUGCACCGGAAUAAGAAAACUAGAUGAGGUUGAGAACCUUGAAAUAAUGAAAGACCUGAAACAAAAAACUCUGAGGUAUCUUCAACGCUCCGGAUGGAAUAGCGAUAACUGAAUAAACAAGAUAGGCUGAAAUGAAUCUCCAACAUAGGAAAGAAUUACAAGGAUAAUUAGGAUAUGAUGAACACAGAUAGCUGAAUUAAAAUCACCGGUAAGGAUGACAAGAUUGAACAAAUAUGACACGAAUCUGCUGAGAAUCUUCAUAAUGAAACACCGGUUACGAAAGAAAGAAGAGAUAGCGGAAGCAUCGCUGAAAUGAAAAGCAGUUGGAUGAAAUCCAAUCACUGAAGAAAAAGGGCGGGAGGGCGGGAAAAAACAAAGACAACUUGGAAUAGAUGAGACAAACUCCGGUAAAACUUGAGAGAAUGAUCUGCAACAUUUUGAGAGGAUUGAAUUCACUGAAGAGAAGCACACCGGUUGGAAAGAAUUUACAUGACUACUCCGGUUGACAAGAAUUGACAAAAUAAUUGAACGAACAAAAGAAUUUGCAUUCUCACAUAAAAAUAUGAGAACACCUCUUAGGAAAGAUCCGAAAUCACCACUUGACAUCGAAGCAACUUGAAUUACCAUAUUCAACAAAACAAGGAUGCGGCUUGCAAUUAGCCAGAACAAACUCAUGAGAAAGAUUUCCGUUCGAUAUUUUCGUGGACAGGAUCGCACGGGCACGAUUUACAGAAGCCAUCAAGUGCAAGGCAGUGCACCUGACAUACGAAGCGUCCCCGAGUCGUAGCAAGCUACAAGGACUCUUUAAGACACAACGUGUACCGCUGUAAGUCACCGUGAACAAACGAAUCCACUAGAUGUCGAACCCCAACCUAACAUCAUGCAUUUGUUGGAAGAUUGUCCUAUAAGCAACUACUUGAAUUCCCACCUAUGAAUUCCCGAAAUAUCUGGUCAUGCAAUCUGGUACACGGAUACAAGGAGUAAUAAUCACACAACUCAUAUACUAAACCAUCACUUGUAUCACAUCCGUCAACACACGACCAGAAUCUCGGACCUUCAUCUACAAUGGAUCCUCGUGAUCACAACGAUACAAAGUAUGGCAGUACUCCCGAACAAUCUGCACCAGUACUGAGGACAUCGGGGUUAUCUCGCCACUACUAGUAUUGAAGCAAUUACGAACAUCCUUCGUUCUGAGAUACUAAGAAAUCUGAAUGAUAACGAUGUGCUCAAGAAUCCCCUGGAGCUCAACUCCCCGGAAGAAGAUCAAGGCAGACAGGAGGCACCAAGAAAGAACUCCGUCACAUCGGCAUCAUAUAGAUCCCAAGAAUAUCCGCGUGAUCCUAAAAAAAAUUUGAGUGGGAAGAGGAGUAGAAUAAAUUAUUACGUCAAGAUUCCUCACCAGAGCAUAGAAGAGGAGAAAAAAGAAUCCUACUCUCCGAUAUAUAACUAGACUCAAAGUAUUUUUUACUAGACUCGACUCGGCCAAGUUCGAUCAAUCAAGGGGGCUCCUAGGUCGGUACUGCUCUGAUACCAACUUGUCACGCCCGAGAUGCGACCCUAUCGUCAAUUUGGCACGAAGGCCUCGUCAGGGAUAGAAGCGCAUCUCGUCGUGUCGUAAGAAUGGAUAUCGUUACAAGUACAUGUACUGAAAAGAAGAGUUAUAUACAGAGUUGGCUUACACUCGCCACAAGCUACAUCAGAGUCACAUCAGUACAUUACAUUAUCAUCAAGAGUAAGAGCAGGGUCCAAAUAUGGAAGAAAACAAACGACAAAAGAAGAACGACGUCCAUCCUUGCUAUCCCAGGCUGCCGGCCUGGAACCCAUCCUAGAUCGAUGAAGAAGAAGAAGAAUAAGCAACUCCAAAUGAACAAUCAAUGCGCUCGCGUCAAGUAACCUUUACCUGUACCUGCAACUGGUGUUGUAGUAAUCUGUGAGCCACAGGGGAAUCAGCAAUCUCGUUUCCAAAGGUAUCAAGACUAGCAAAACUUAAUGGGUGAGGUAUGGUUAAGUGGUGAGGUUGCAGCGGCGGCUAAGCAUAGAUUUGGUGGCUAAACUUACGAGUACAAGAAUAAGAGGGGGAAGAUCUACGCAUAUCGGUCGUGAACUACUGAUGAUCAAUUGAAUGAUCCUGAACACCUACCUACAUCAGACAUAACCCCACCAUGUCCUCGAUCGGAGAAGGAACUCACGAAAGAGACAGUCACGAUUACGCACACAAUUGGCAUAUUUUAAUUAAAUUAACUUCAAGUUAUGUAGAACCAGUGUUAAACAAAGUUUCCACGUUGCCACAUAACCGCGGGUAUGGCUUUCCGAAAGAUUUAACCCUGCAGGGGUGCUCCAACUAGUCCAUCACAAAUUACCACAAGCCGCAUAGAAAUCGUCAAUCACGAAGGUCGCGAUCUCGUCGAAUUGCCUAGUGGAAAACCUCAACUCUGAGAUUACUCAAAGCAUCACCGGAAUCCCGAUGCACAAGAUAUCUCGUCAAAGGUAAAACUAAUCCAGCAAGGCCGCCCGACGUGUCGACGAUCCUGAUAGGAGUCGUGUACCUCGUUCUCAGGACACGGCGGAUAAGCGACACGUACAAGUGCCAAACCUCGAGUUUCCUCACGGUGGCCCCGCACAGUGCUCUGUUUUGGACCAACACUCAUNUCAAUCACGAAGCUCGCGAUCUCGUCGAAUUCCCUAGUGGAAAACCUCAACUCUGAGAUUACUCAAAGCAUCACCGGAAUCCCGAUGCACAAGAUAUCUCGUCAAAGGUAAAACUAAUCCAGCAAGGCCGCCCGACGUGUCGACGAUCCGGAUAGGAGUCGGGUACCUCGUUCUCAGGACACGGCGGAUAAGCGACUCGUACAAGUGCCAAACCUCGAGUUUCCUCACGGUGGCCCCGCACAGUGCUCUGUUUUGGACCAACACUCAUGAGGAGCACUGGCCCGGGGGUUGAUUAAAUUAUCCUCGGGUCCCGGGAAGUCCCUAUGUAAUUUUCUUAGGUGUUUAGGCAAAUGUAGUACCAAAGUUGGGCCUUGCCAGACCAGCUUUAAUCUAAAACGAAUUAUCAAGGGGGUCCCCAUAACAACCCCGAUCGUGUUAGGAGCGCUCAAUUAUGGAACAUAACACCGGUAGCCGGAAACUAAGGGGGCAAAGGUGGAACAAAACACCAGGCUAGAAAGGCCGAGCCUUCCACCUUUUACCAAGUAUAUAGGUCCAUUAAAUUAAAUAGCAUGUAAAUAUGGUGAUAUAACAAGGAACCCAUGUUGACACAUGGAAGCAACUGCACCUGCAACUAGCAACGCUAACACAGGGUUAAGCAAGCAGUAACAUAGCCAAUCAGUGGUUUGCUAGGUUGAACAGGUUGAAGGUUUCAUGGCAUUGUUGAGAGGCUGAUAUUUAACAUGUGGUAGGCAACGAGACAUAAACGAUAGAAAUGGUAAUACUAGCAUGGCAAUGAUAGUAAUGAUAUCUGGGGAAAUGAUCAUCUUGCCUGAGAUCCCGCUUGGAAGAAGAAUGUCUCCGUGAAGCAGACGAACCGACGUGGUCGAACGGGUCCUCACAUCCGACACGCUUGCGGAACUCUAUCGAGACGGGGAAACCGAAAACAAGCAUCAACACACGAUAUUCACCACACGAUGCACAACACAUAUGAUGCAUGAGCUACUUAAUACAUGCAAGUCACGGCAUGAUAAAUCACACAAUCACACCUACACAUUAAGUGAAGUUCAAUAUGCACGAGUUGCAUAUUGACGAAACUCCACGUUAAUUAUUUAGUUCACUCCCGGUUAUCUACACGGCAAUAUUAAUGUUGUCAAGCAUGCAAGAGGUGAAGCGGAAAUUAAACUACCUAUCUAGGCAUUUUAAGUGAGGUCGGAAAUGACAUAUAGCAUCUCCGAGACGACCUCAUAUGUUAAUUUACGAUUCUGUCCAGAUCUGAACUAAUGCAUAUAAUUAGUUGUUAAACAGCAAAACAAAUAAGUUCACGUGAUUCUACGCGUCAAGGCAAGCAAUCUACACGUAAAGAACAUCUCCAACGGAGCUACGGAUCAAAAGUUACAAGCACCGCAAGAUAUGAUGGCAUGAAUGCAAUAUGUGUGCAACGACGGCUACGAGCACUUCAAAACAACCAACCAGCAAGAGAAAAUGAAACUACACAAGAUUCUAAGAAAGUUUCAUUUAGGACACGAUCAAAACGGAGCUACGGUUCGAAAACUACGAGCAUGACAAGAAAACACUACAAUCUGCCAAAAUCAGCCACNNNNNNNNNNNNNNNNNNNNNNNNNNNNNNNNNNNNNNNNNNNNNNNNNNNNNNNNNNNNNNNNNNNNNNNNNNNNNNNNNNNNNNNNNNNNNNNNNNNNNNNNNNNNNNNNNNNNNNNNNNNNNNNNNNNNNNNNNNNNNNNNNNNNNNNNNNNNNNNNNNNNNNNNNNNNNNNNNNNNNNNNNNNNNNNNNNNNNNNNNNNNNNNNNNNNNNNNNNNNNNNNNNNNNNNNNNNNNNNNNNNNNNNNNNNNNNNNNNNNNNNNNNNNNNNNNNNNNNNNNNNNNNNNNNNNNNNNNNNNNNNNNNNNNNNNNNNNNNNNNNNNNNNNNNNNNNNNNNNNNNNNNNNNNNNNNNNNNNNNNNNNNNNNNNNNNNNNNNNNNNNNNNNNNNNNNNNNNNNNNNNNNNNNNNNNNNNNNNNNNNNNNNNNNNNNNNNNNNNNNNNNNNNNNNNNNNNNNNNNNNNNNNNNNNNNNNNNNNNNNNNNNNNNNNNNNNNNNNNNNNNNNNNNNNNNNNNNNNNNNNNNNNNNNNNNNNNNNNNNNNNNNNNNNNNNNNNNNNNNNNNNNNNNNNNNNNNNNNNNNNNNNNNNNNNNNNNNNNNNNNNNNNNNNNNNNNNNNNNNNNNNNNNNNNNNNNNNNNNNNNNNNNNNNNNNNNNNNNNNNNNNNNNNNNNNNNNNNNNNNNNNNNNNNNNNNNNNNNNNNNNNNNNNNNNNNNNNNNNNNNNNNNNNNNNNNNNNNNNNNNNNNNNNNNNNNNNNNNNNNNNNNNNNNNNNNNNNNNNNNNNNNNNNNNNNNNNNNNNNNNNNNNNNNNNNNNNNNNNNNNNNNNNNNNNNNNNNNNNNNNNNNNNNNNNNNNNNNNNNNNNNNNNNNNNNNNNNNNNNNNNNNNNNNNNNNNNNNNNNNNNNNNNNNNNNNNNNNNNNNNNNNNNNNNNNNNNNNNNNNNNNNNNNNNNNNNNNNNNNNNNNNNNNNNNNNNNNNNNNNNNNNNNNNNNNNNNNNNNNNNNNNNNNNNNNNNNNNNNNNNNNNNNNNNNNNNNNNNNNNNNNNNNNNNNNNNNNNNNNNNNNNNNNNNNNNNNNNNNNNNNNNNNNNNNNNNNNNNNNNNNNNNNNNNNNNNNNNNNNNNNNNNNNNNNNNNNNNNNNNNNNNNNNNNNNNNNNNNNNNNNNNNNNNNNNNNNNNNNNNNNNNNNNNNNNNNNNNNNNNNNNNNNNNNNNNNNNNNNNNNNNNNNNNNNNNNNNNNNNNNNNNNNNNNNNNNNNNNNNNNNNNNNNNNNNNNNNNNNNNNNNNNNNNNNNNNNNNNNNNNNNNNNNNNNNNNNNNNNNNNNNNNNNNNNNNNNNNNNNNNNNNNNNNNNNNNNNNNNNNNNNNNNNNNNNNNNNNNNNNNNNNNNNNNNNNNNNNNNNNNNNNNNNNNNNNNNNNNNNNNNNNNNNNNNNNNNNNNNNNNNNNNNNNNNNNNNNNNNNNNNNNNNNNNNNNNNNNNNNNNNNNNNNNNNNNNNNNNNNNNNNNNNNNNNNNNNNNNNNNNNNNNNNNNNNNNNNNNNNNNNNNNNNNNNNNNNNNNNNNNNNNNNNNNNNNNNNNNNNNNNNNNNNNNNNNNNNNNNNNNNNNNNNNNNNNNNNNNNNNNNNNNNNNNNNNNNNNNNNNNNNNNNNNNNNNNNNNNNNNNNNNNNNNNNNNNNNNNNNNNNNNNNNNNNNNNNNNNNNNNNNNNNNNNNNNNNNNNNNNNNNNNNNNNNNNNNNNNNNNNNNNNNNNNNNNNNNNNNNNNNNNNNNNNNNNNNNNNNNNNNNNNNNNNNNNNNNNNNNNNNNNNNNNNNNNNNNNNNNNNNNNNNNNNNNNNNNNNNNNNNNNNNNNNNNNNNNNNNNNNNNNNNNNNNNNNNNNNNNNNNNNNNNNNNNNNNNNNNNNNNNNNNNNNNNNNNNNNNNNNNNNNNNNNNNNNNNNNNNNNNNNNNNNNNNNNNNNNNNNNNNNNNNNNNNNNNNNNNNNNNNNNNNNNNNNNNNNNNNNNNNNNNNNNNNNNNNNNNNNNNNNNNNNNNNNNNNNNNNNNNNNNNNNNNNNNNNNNNNNNNNNNNNNNNNNNNNNNNNNNNNNNNNNNNNNNNNNNNNNNNNNNNNNNNNNNNNNNNNNNNNNNNNNNNNNNNNNNNNNNNNNNNNNNNNNNNNNNNNNNNNNNNNNNNNNNNNNNNNNNNNNNNNNNNNNNNNNNNNNNNNNNNNNNNNNNNNNNNNNNNNNNNNNNNNNNNNNNNNNNNNNNNNNNNNNNNNNNNNNNNNNNNNNNNNNNNNNNNNNNNNNNNNNNNNNNNNNNNNNNNNNNNNNNNNNNNNNNNNNNNNNNNNNNNNNNNNNNNNNNNNNNNNNNNNNNNNNNNNNNNNNNNNNNNNNNNNNNNNNNNNNNNNNNNNNNNNNNNNNNNNNNNNNNNNNNNNNNNNNNNNNNNNNNNNNNNNNNNNNNNNNNNNNNNNNNNNNNNNNNNNNNNNNNNNNNNNNNNNNNNNNNNNNNNNNNNNNNNNNNNNNNNNNNNNNNNNNNNNNNNNNNNNNNNNNNNNNNNNNNNNNNNNNNNNNNNNNNNNNNNNNNNNNNNNNNNNNNNNNNNNNNNNNNNNNNNNNNNNNNNNNNNNNNNNNNNNNNNNNNNNNNNNNNNNNNNNNNNNNNNNNGAUCUACACAACCAUGGAUCGUCGGCAGCGUCAGAUGUGUAUAAGAGACAGGGCAGGAGGCGCUGGGCACGGGAGCACGGGAGGCAGCGGCGGCGGCGGCGGACUCGGGCCGAGAUGGGCUCGGGCGGGCCGCGCGCGGGCCUAGCGGGCCGUCGGCUGGAGGAGGGAGACAGGUGGGAGGAGAGAGGCUAGGGUUUGGUGGGGUGGCACGGAAAACGAGGAGGGAUUAGUGGGAGGCUGUCUAAAAUACACGGGGAACUAUAUAUAGACAAACGGGGGGGCUCGGUUAACCGGAAUCGCGCUCCGGAUCCAACCGCGGGGUCGGAUUCGGACGAUUCCGAACGUGGGAACGGGUACGUGGCUGUGUAAAGGGGAUAUCCGGAGACGAGAGGGAGAGCGGGCGGCGCGGCACGAAUUUAAAAACACCGACAGACGUCCGACGGUAGACCGAAUACGGUGCCGCUACGUUCGACCGUUCGGGUACCAGACGGUCUCCGAUCGCGACGAAAUUCGAUAGGCGGCCUAUCUAUAACUAAUCACGACCGCGUGCCAAGUUUCACCUCGAUCAGAGAAAGUUUAACGCACACUUUUAAAAUAGGGUUUCGACGGUGCCGCGGGCGCGUGCUUGUGCGGUCGGACUCAGAACGAACAACGACGUGAAUCGACAACUAACAACGAAUGCAAGUUUUGAAAACUGGUGGCAACAGAGAUGCCGAUGCAAUGCUGAUGAUGCGCAUGAUGCGAUGAUGAUACGGCAACUGAAAUACCCACACGACGAAAACGGAAAGAAAAGGGGAAGCUUCUGGAACGUCGGCAUCGGGCUGUCACAUAAUGCUACCGUCGUUCUAAGCAAGAUAAGGUGCAAAAAGGAUUAACAUCACACGCAAAUCAUAAGUGACAUGAUAUGGCCAUCAUCACGUGCUUCUUGAUCUCCAUCACCAAAGCACCGGCACGAUCUUCUUGUCACCGGCGCCACACCAUGAUCUCCAUCAACGUGUCGCCAUCGGGGUUGUCAUGCUACUCAUGCUAUUACUACUAAAGCUACAUCCUAGCAAAAUAGUAAACGCAUCUGCAAGCACAAACGUUAGUUUAAAGACAACCCUAUGGCUCCUGCCGGUUGCCGUACCAUCGACGUGCAAGUCGAUAUUAUCUAUUACAACAUGAUCAUCUCAUACAUCCAAUAUAUCACAUCACAUCGUUGGCCAUAUCACAUCACAAGCAUACCCUGCAAAAACAAGUUAGACGUCCUCUAAUUUUGUUGUUGCAUGUUUUACGUGGUGACCAUGGGUAUCUAGUAGGAUCGCAUCUUACUUACGCAAACACCACAACGGAGAUAUAUGAAUUGCUAUUUAACCUCAUCCAAGGACCUCCUCGGUCAAAUCCGAUUCAACUAAAGUUGGAGAAACUGACACUUGCCAGUCAUCUUUGAGCAACGGGGUUACUCGUAGCGAUGAAACCAGUCUCUCGUAAGCGUACGAGUAAUGUCGGUCCAAGCCGCUUCAAUCCAACAAUACCGCGGAAUCAAGAAAAGACUAAGGAGGGCAGCAAAACGCACAUCACCGCCCACAAAAACUUUUGUGUUCUACUCGAGAAGACAUCUACGCAUGAACCUAGCUCAUGAUGCCACUGUUGGGGAACGUCGCAUGGGAAACAAAAAAUUUCCUACGCGCACGAAGACCUAUCAUGGUGAUGUCCAUCUACGAGAGGGGAUUUCCGAUCUACGUACCCUUGUAGAUCGCACAGCAGAAGCGUUAGUAAACGCGGUUGAUGUAGUGGAACGUCCUCACGUCCCUCGAUCCGCCCCGCGAACCAUCCCGCGAUCAGUCCCACGAUCUAGUGCCGAACGGACGGCACCUCCGCGUUCAGCACACGUACAGCUCGACGAUGAUCUCGGCCUUCUUGAUCCAGCAAGAGAGACGGAGAGGUAGAUGAGUUCUGCGGCAGCGUGACGGUGCUCCGGAGGUUGGUGGUGAUCUAAUCUCAGCAGGGCUCCGCCCGAGCUCCACAGAAACGCGAUCUAGAGGUAAAACCGUGGAGGUAUGUGGUCGGGCUGCCUUGAAAAAGUUGUCUCAAAUCAGCCCUAAAACCCCACUAUAUAUAGGAGGGAGGGAGGGGAGGAGGCAGCCUCAAAAUCUAAAGAUUUGGCCGAAAUUGGAGGUGGAGGAGUCCUACUCCAAUCCUACUUGGAGUAGGAUUCCACCUUCCCACUUGGAAACUCUUUCCACCUUGUGUUUUUUUCCUUCUCAAACCUUAUGGGCCUUAGUGGGAACUUAUUCCAGCCCACUAGGGGCUGGUUUAUCUCUUCCCAUAGCCCAUGAGACCCCUUGGGGCGUGAUACCCCUCCUGAUGGUCCCCGGCACCCCUCCCGGCACUCCCAGUACACUACCGAUGAGCCCGAAACUUUUCCGGUAAUGCACGAAAACCUUCCAGUAACCAAAUGAGGUCAUCCUAUAUAUCAAUCUUCAUUUCCGGACCAUUCCGGAAACCCUCGUGACGUCUGUGAUCUCAUCCGGGACUCCGAAUAACAUUCGGUAACCAACCAUAUAACUCGAAUACGCAUAAAACAAUGUCGAACCUUAAGUGUGCAGACCCAGCGGGUUCGAGAACUAUGUAGACAUGACCCGAGAGACUCCUCAGUCAAUAUCCAAUAGCGGGACCUGGAUGACCAUAUUGGAUCCUACAUAUUCUACGAAGAUCUUAUCGUUUGAACCUCAGUGCCAAGGAUUCAUAUAAUCCCGUAUGUCAUUCCCUUUGUCCUUCGGUAUGUUACUUGCCUGAGAUUCGAUCGUCAGUAUCCGCAUACCUAUUUCAAUCUCGUUUACCGGCAAGUCUCUUUACUCGUUCCGUAAUACAAGAUCCCGCAACUUACACUAAGUCACAUUGCUUGCAAGGCUUGUGUGUGAUGUUGUAUUACCGAGUGGGCCCCGAGAUACCUCUCCAUCAUAUGGAGUGACAAAUCCCAGUCUUGAUCCAUACUAACUCAACGAACACCUUCGGAGAUACCUGUAGAGCAUCUUUAUAGUCACCCAGUUACGUUGCCACGUUUGAUACACACAAAGCAUUCCUCCGGUGUCAGUGAGUUAUAUGAUCUCAUGGUCAUAGGAACAAAUACUUGACACGUAGAAAACAGUAGCAACAAAAUGACACGAUCAACAUGCUACGUCUAUUAGUUUGGGUCUAGUCCAUCACAUGAUUCUCCUAAUGAUGUGAUCCCAUUAUCAAGUAACAACACUUGCCUAUGGCCAGGAAACCUUAACCAUCUUUGAUCAACGAGCUAGUCAACUAGAGGCUUUUUAGGGACAGUGUUUUGUCUAUCUAUCCACACAAGUAUUGUGUUUCCAAUCAAUACAAUUAUAGCAUGGAUAAUAAACGAUUAUCAUGAACAAAGAAAUAUAAUAAUAACUAAUUAUUAUUGCCUCUAGGGCAUAUUUCCAACAAUCUUAGCACCAAUGCAUUGAACGUGGCCUAAUACAACCUCACUAUCUCUCUUUAUUAAAUACAGUGACACAUAAGCAAAAUGCCUAUGAAACCGUGCUAAGAGACUUGCAUUGACAUAGGCCUAAGUCAUCUUACGAAAAUCAGAUUUUUCCAAAACACUUAGGCGCGAUGCAUUAAUUCUCACCUCGUUUCUUGUAUCGUAACAUGAAUAAAGGAAUCAUGCAACCAAUAAAAAUUACGGGAUGUGUAUAUUUUUAAUUACUUGGGACUACCUAACAUUGCACGCAUUGGUUAAUUUAUUGCAUGCAAUGAUAAUAAUUAGCUAAUAAAUAUUAAGUUCUCUUUUUUCCCUUUGCCUUGAUCGCAGUGCACAUCGUAAGAUGACUUAUACAUGAAGACAGAGGGAGUAAGCCUGUUCUAACUCCAAUUUGGUUUAUGUGGAGUUCAGAGUGAAUUUUUUUUUCUCUUAUUUUCUUUUUGAUGAAUUAAAUAGUGUAGGAGUUAGAUGGGCUUUUUUAAAUUCUCAUGCAGACGAGAAUUAGUCAACUGGUAAAACAAAGACCUAAAUAUGUUUCCAAAUUCACUUAUACGAUUAUGACUGAAACCAUGUUCUCCUCUUUCUGUUCCCUACUAUAUAGUCAUUGUCAUAGAAACUGUAAUAACUGCCUGGUCAACAGUGAUGAACACCGUGCUCAUCACUAGUAUUACUCUUCUUCUGUUCCAAAAUAAAUGUCUUAAUUUUAUAUACAUUUUAGCAUAGAGUUACGUUAAAAUUAAGACACUUAUUUUAAGAUGGAAGGAGCAUGACUUAACAUAGACGGCCAUGGAGACUCUCGUCGCUGUUUAGUGGCAUGUGGCUGUAAUAAUAAAACACGGAAGCUAUAUAUUUGUCGGUUGCUUAAAUUUGCAUUCGCUGUUUAGUGGGUGGAAGAAGCAAGAGCGAGGUGAGACGCAUCGCUGAGGUUGAGACAGUGACACCGUGCCAAACAGCACCGACGCUCGAGGAUGGGGUCAAGGCUAAGAAGGUGUUUGGAUCCAAAAGACUAAAAUUAGUCUGACUAAAACUAAUCUCUUUAAAAAGCUAAAGUUCCAAGCAUCCGUGACUAAAGAAAGGCUAAAAGCCAGGCACCCAACUUACAGGCCCCAGCCCCUCCCUCCUCNGUCCGCCGCCACACUCCCUCCCUUCUCCUCCCAUCCCCUCCCCUCUCAUCCUUCUCCCCGUGCAUCUCCUUCCAGUCCACCCUUCUUCCUCUCCUCCCAUCGGCCUCUCCGACCCGGGGGACCCCGGCCCGGAUCCGCUCACCGACGCACGGCCUUUGUUCUCUGUCUCGUCGCCCUGGCCACCUUGAGCUCGAGCCAAGGAGCGGCUCGGGAGGACGAGGGGGGCAGCAGCCAGUCGUGCCUCGUCCGAGGAGUGGCUCGAGAGGGCGAGUGGGGCACCAACAGCAGCACCACGCCGGCUGCUGCAGCAUCGAGUUCAACAACGGUGGUAAAACGGCGACCNCUCCUUCCUUCCUUCCUUGCAACGAUUUAAUUUUCACUUAGCUCGCUAGAUUGGUUUGGUUUGGGGGUGCUCUCAUCUGAUCCCUUGAAGAUGGAUUCACUUGACAUGGAUGGAAACGGAUGCCCUUUAUUUUGUUUCUGUUAUAUUGUGUUUUUGUGCCAUGGACGACAUUGGCUAUCCUCUGUGUGAACAUUUAACCUACUUUUGCAACUAACUGUGAUUUUACAUUUAUACAUUUAGCUUACAAUAAUAUAAUAGCUGGUCCAUUUCAUUCCGAAGUUAAUCUGCUACGUCGCCUCAAAUUUGCAGCAAUGCUAUUGUUCCUUUGGAAAUGCUAUUGGAUCUGUUAUUCAUUCAAAGACUGUCAGCUAGCUCGCCCUUUGGAGUAAAUCUUCAAGACGGACAAAGGUAUCCUCCCCAAAUUUAUUCGGGGAAGGGAGCUGGGUGUUGUUAAGAGAGAUGUUGUUCAAGAUGGAUUUGAUGUUACUGUUAUUCGGUUUGCGGGUAGAGGAUGUGAUUCCAGCAAUCCAGAGACGACGCCGAUGACAAGUGAGAUGCAUGUGAAGCAAUAUUAGGAGAUGCUCACAUGAUCACUAGAAGCAUAUAAAGGUAUCCACAAGGAUGGUUGCUUUCUUAUCGACUUAGAAUUGUCUUUUCACUGGAAGCAUAUAAUUGUUUGACAUCGUGACAUGUCUAUGUUUUUUUGGUUUACAUUCUUAAGUUAGCCUCCAUACUAUAUGCAUUGUCAUGGUAGCUUUGGUAGGUUAUAAUGUGCAGAUCAAUAAUUCCGGUUCAGUUUCAGCUUUCCAUGUGAUUUUUUACUCGAAUUUUAGGAUCACAACUUAUAACUUGACUUAAAGUAGCAGUAUAGUGUCAAUGUGUCAUCUGAAGCUAAUAAGAUGUUGUUUACUGAAGAACAUCCCCUUGCUACUUGCACGGUACGUGAAACUAACAUCCUAAAUAGAUUAAACAAGUUAUACUUGACUAUGAUUGCAUUCAGUAGACCAAGUGGGUAAUCUUCUAUAUUUCAAGUCCAAGCUUUCAAUGCAUUUUUCUAUCUUUUCUUUUUCAUGUUUUAGUGAUCAUCUCCACAUCUGCAGGACUGAAUUAUUCCAUUGUUGAUGGUGCACGGGUCUGUUGCAUGGUAACGUCAAUGCAAAACAGUUCUCCACACCAGGUUAAAAAUAUGCAAUAAUCUAAUGGAAUCAGGGCGGUGGGUCUGCAGGUAGAAUGUAGCUAUAUAUGUUCUCAGGGAUCAUUGACACUUAUUUAUCUUACAAGUUCUUUUUUCUUAAAUUAAACUCAGCACUCAGCAGCAAAGAUUUGAGAGGCAGGGAGGGAUUGCUCAAGUGGAAACAGAGCAAGAAUCACAAGGAGCUCAAUAUUUUGCUACUACAUUACUAAUAGCUUUGUGAGGUAAUUAAGCUAGCUAUACGCGUGUUUGUUCUCUGCUAUACCGAGGUCACUAUUCUAAUUCAGAAAAUAGAAACAUGCAGUAGAAGAUGGAAAAUUCCGAAUACAUUCCAAUCAAUGAUGCAUUGGCGUGUGAGUUGGCAAAAGGUUUGCUCCUUAUCCGAUCUUAUCUAAUUAGCCGUCACUAUAUUAAAAGUAAUAAGUCUGACUAGUAUCCGCCCCUAUGUCAUAUAAUAUAAAACAUUUGCUCAGCUAAUAAACGCUUUCCUAUUUUCAUGUUGUCUUCUGCAUACAUUAUAUAAAUUCAUUGCUGACACUAAACAGUCUUAACAAAUCCAACUAUCAACGCACAUAAACCAGAAGCCAAUAGGACAAGCAUAUCCAUAUGAUAUAGCUAGCUAUGUAGUUUGCUUUAUAAAGGCAGUGUAAAUGAGCUAUCGCAAAGUACAUCCGUAGCUUUCUUUCGAUGUAAGUUGUUGUUUUUCUUCUAUCGAGCUGCCCAUUCUAUUACCAGGCAGGAUAUGCCUGAGACAAUUAUGUAUAAAGAUGCCAUCUAAGUCUUGCAUAGUAUGCCUGAACCAUGAUGUUAUCAUGAUGGAUAAAUAAAUAUGCCAUCUAAGUAUCUCCUCCAUACUAUUUAAAUAAGCUACAUAUGUCUGAUUAUGUAUAAAGAUGCCAUAUAAAUACCAGCUUUCAUAAGGUUCCAAUGUUUGGUUUGCUUUGGUUACUUGCGCGAGUGGUGCAACGGGUCAUCGAUGACAACCCAUCAACACACCUAUCAUGAAGAGUUGCUUGGACGAUCUGGUCAUUUUUCAUAUCGAUGAAAAUGCAGCGAUGGCUAUCUAAUGUCGACAACUACAUGUUUUGGUCAUACAUAGCAGGAGAAGAUUAAAAAAGCAUAGGUUGGAAGAUGAGAGCUAUCUAUAUGAUAUAUGGCUACCUAUAUAGCUUGUUUUGCUUACCAUGAACUCAUUUCAUGGCUUUUUCUUGGGUCUUUGUAUCAUCACUAAGCAUCUAUCUACCAGCAAUAGGUACUUAUUUUUAUAUGUUUCAAUAUGUGCUCAAAUAAUAUUAAUGUACACUCUUUCAAUACAUGGCUUGCUCUUGGCCUUUGCGCCAUCGGCGCAACGGGUCAUCUAGUUUGUAAGAAAUAUGAAGUAUAAUACAUCAUAAGUGGUACAUGCUACCUGAUCAAACAAUUAGAACUAAUAUUAAAACGAUCAUUAAUGCUUGUUUUUCCCUCAGUAUCUUCAAAGGGAUAAGAGACAGAUAGAUAAACCUAAUUUUGAGCUAGUUGUGUAUCUCAUCUCAAUAUAAUGGGAGGUGGGAAGCAAAAAAGAAGGACAAUUAUUCUCCAUUAUGUAAUACCAUUAUACCAGCUACAAAAUCAACAACAUAGUUUACAUUCCAGGAUAAAAAUUGUAUUGAAACCUACAUUCAUUAUUCUGAUACAUCAUGCAUUCAACUAUUAUUUUACUACUGAUGUUCUCAAUUUGCGCCCAUCCACCUAAAGCCAUGGUUGCAAGCAUGUAUUAAAGCAUGGUACAACCGCCCUCACAGAUAGAUAAUGGCUGGAAGGAUCUGUGAAACUGCACCAUUUAUUCGUACAAUGACAUCUUUCUUCACAUAUAUGUAUUCCUAAAUAUCUUAUGAUACGAACAAUAUGUACUAAAACAUCUUAUAAGAUACCACCAUAUUGGACUUGCAAAAGGAUUGCUUUCACUUACAUAUUUCUUUAUAUAUUUCCCUAAUCAGCCGAUUCAUCACAAACAUUUAUGAUGGUCUAGAGAAGCACAAUCGCAUAAUUCUUCUUUCAUGAUCCUCAAGGGAGAGACAUCAGAGGUGGCAACCUUACCAUUGGACAAAGGGGGUCAGGGCAGUGCCAAAACCCCCUCAAUCUAGACCCACUUCCAUGUCGGGGAUGAGGACGGCCACUGGAUCUAUCCUGACUUCGCAGAUUGAGCAGAUAAAUUUUCUUUCAUGCACUUUUGGCCCAAACAAAGUUCUAACCAUUACAAAGAGCUUGGCUAAAAAAUAACUCCUAACUUGAUUUUAAGAAAUAAGACAUGUGACUAAGAAAAAAUAAAAAACAAUCAGAUAAACAGAGAGUUUAAGUGACUGGUACUUAUCAUGCUAGCGGUUGUUUGAAAAAUAGUUUACCUUUUUAUUGCGAAGGCGUCAUCUUCACAGAUCCUUCCACUGUCAUCUACGCACAAUUAACAAGUUAACAUAUUGAAGGCAGUAAUCUAGUUUCUAAGAUAUAUCAAUGCAUUAUCAACUUGAAUUUUUGCUGCUCCAUAUCAGCAAUACAAUAUGGUAUUAUUGCACACAGUGGCACAAAGAAGAAUGUUUACCUUGUCCUUUCAUGAAUUCUUCUCGAGUUCUCCAUUCUCUUAGACUUGUGAAUGCAUCAUGUUGCAGAAAGAAGUAAUUAGGUGAUACACCUUAAAUCUGAUCUGGCCGUCACAAGAAAAAUAUCUAAGUAAAACAAAGGGUUUGUUUUGUUGGGCUUAACUUUUGCUUUUUCAUUUUGGCUCAGAAGGCAAAAAAAGCACAUGUAUGCAAUUUUGCCUUGUAACUGUAUUUUGUUACAUGGUGGUAGGUGCAGGAUUGCACUUCAUGUUUGAUGUAAUUUAUUUGUUAAUCUAUGCUGACUGCCAAUGGAGAAACCGGAGGAGUAUGUGCAAGACCUUAAACAUAAUCAGCAAGAUUCAAAAUACAAUCGGCAAGCUAUGCAAUAGCGAGCUUCUCCCAGUGUUUGAUCCAGAUGUCAAGUAAACCAAAAAAAUCCUGAAAACAAAUAUAGGCACGUGCAUACAUGAUAAGUUCUCUUGAAAAUAGCAAAAGGGUUAAAAUUAUUGAGCUUGCAUAUAAAAAAAUUGUAGAUAAGAUAAGAACUUCCAUCAAACAAUAUAACGGUUACUAAAUAGGUCAUAUUCUUUUUUGUGAGCUUAAGUCAAACCUGGGGUUUGUUAAUUUGCACAUGAGAGAAGGCUUGCGUUCUUUUGUUUCCUGCAGCUAGCUCAAAAAUAAAAUAGAAGUUAACUUAGGUGUAAAUCCUAUUUUGGACCGAGAAAUGAGAAUUACAUCUUUAUAACACAUAUUCUACAUGGUACGAUGUGUUUUCGGUUUAUUGUGGCGGCUCCGAUCAUCUCCUGCUGUUCAUACAGGUCUGUCAAUUUGUAGCCUACAAUGCCAAGAUGGUCAACAACGUUGACCAGGACCUUGACAGCAUAAUCUUUUAAGUUUCCCAGCACCCUAAUAACAUGAAGCAUGUGAAAAAUGAUGAGACAAUCUUUGACUGCAUGUUCUACUUCUUCCCAGUGAUCACUUAGCAUAGACUUUACAUGUCCGUUUGUUCUCCAAUAUUUAUAUAAGUUCUCUUUUCUUUUGCAAUGGAGUCAGAUGCAAGUGAUGGGCACAUCCAAAACUCUGUCUUGUUGUAUUCCCCUUCUUUCACGAUGAUAAGUUCACUGCAAUUCUAAACAACACAAUGACUGGACUAUUUCUUUUGAUAACAUAAUGACUGAACUAUUUCUUUUGAUAAUAGUUAAGUUUACUCAAUUAUUUUCCUUUUAGAAUUGCACAUCAUCCAAUGGAUGCUCCUCUUUUCAAUGGAAAAAUAUAAUGACGAUAAUCUGAUAGAGUGUAUUGCCUAUAUGGCAAGCAAGCAAGAUAAUCAUAUCUGAAUAAAAACUGUAGAGGUGAAAAUCUCCUUCAAUGCAAUUCUAAAUUGCAUUAGAAUUUUAGUAACAUCUAUAGAAAAUAACCGCAUAUUGUAACACGUAGAGCUUAACUUGUUAUUCUUUUCUUGUAAAAAAUUCUGGCGCUAUGUAUGCUGGAGUAUAAAUAGUUGAUUUUAGUUUAGAAUGCAACAAAGAAGACAUAAACCAUGAUGCCAUAACUUGAUCAAGUAUUCAAAGUCAGGUCAAUAUAGCAAUCUAGGUUCAUCCAUCGAGCAACAAAAACAUAUAGUAAUCAUCACCAUACUUCCAUCAAGGAUCAGCACUCCAAAAUCAUCCGAAGAUGGGGCAAAACAUAUUUGGCCAAACAUAUUUAACGAAUCAUAUUCCACUAAAUAUACAAGAUACUUCAAAAUAUGAAAGAAGAAAAGGUGCAUGACUGAUAGCCCCUAUCUAAAUUGCAAAGCAUUUAAUCUAACCCACAAUUCAAGUUUCUAAACUGAAUAUUAACUUCCAUAUGUAAGGUAUAUAGCUCCCAAAGUAUACUGCUGAGGGUUGACUACUAAACAAUUUUUUCACAUGGCCAAAACAAUAUAUAGGAUAGAGAUAUGUGCAAUUCUUAAGUAUCAUCAGAAUAGAUAAAUAGUACAAGAAGUGGUUUAGUUUGAAGAGGGGGCACUGAUAUGUUACGCUCUUUCAAGAACCACAGAAGCAUUGCAACGGCAGUUGAGCAGUCCCGGUCCCCAACUCAAUCCAACGUAGUAAAUUGUUGUUCCCGGAGGAAGGAACAUACAUUAGUCAAAGUAAUCAGCCUGUUGUUAUAAAAACGGAUUCUUACAGGAAAGGACAUGCAGGAAAUAAUAUUCAGAACCUGAACUCCUGAAGGGCUCGAUGAUCGAGCUGAAGCUGGCCUGAAUUGUGGCAGACACGGUAGCUUCCAGCCAUGUUAGCGGCAAGGACGGUUCCUGCGGCAACGUACGAUCGCUUUCAGGCACGAGAUGACAACGUUCGCCUCGGCAAGAGAAGCGACAUCCUCAAGCGAGGCAGUGGCAGAGGUGGGAGGAGCAACACGAUCGGCUGAGGAUGGCAAUGACGCGACGAUGCCUUCAGGAAUAAUACCACUGCAUCAAUUUACUAAUUAGACCAUGUGUGCAUAAAGAAAAACCUUCCAAUUAUAUCAAUUAGCAUGGUUUAUAAUAUACAAUGUUUUUCCCUUCAUCGUGCACUCUUUUUUUUAUAGAAUGAAUCAAAGAAAGAUUGCAUCUGAUUGAUAUGGGCAGGCUACUUAGUAAGAAAUUCCGAAGGGUGGAAUGAAAAGUCAGGACCUAUAUUUCCCAGUUUCUUCUCAAUGACAGAUAAAGCUACCAGAUAACGGAAAGUACUAGAUAACUUCACAUUGUACUGUGAAGAAUAGAAUUGUUAGCAAGUCAAUUUUUCCAAUAAAGGUGGUUGUGCAAUGUAGGAUUAGUGGAUUACUCCACUGGAUAUAUUAGACCGUGCUAGAACUCAAGACCUAGAUACCUAAUCAUUUUUUCUUUACACAUUUACAUGAAGGAUAACAUCAAAUUUCUGCAGCUUGGCCAUGGUUUCUCAGAGGGGUGAUUUGGUGGGAUGAAGAGGGAGGGGGAGGAGCGAUGGGAGAUGAAAACGAUGGGGUGCGCCAGUGCGGGAGUGCAUGAUAUAGGAUUAGAUGGGGUGCAAGGGAUUACCUGGGUCGUCGUCCAUCGUUGCCGCUGACGCGACGCUCCUACAGGUCGCCCUCUCACAUCGUGCUCCUCGAUCUUGGACUCGAUGAAGGAGAGAUGAGGUGGCAAAGGCACACAGCCACGCAUCCACCGCUUGAGUCUUUUGGCUCCACCCUGUUUCCGUUCGAGGUCGCCGUAGUCGGGAGGCGGGGCGGUGCUGCCGUUCAAGGUCGCCGUGGGCAGGAGGGCGGCAGCGAUCUAAAACCGCCCCAAUCUUUUGGACGCACUGCAUUGUUGUUCGAUGUCGUCGUUCACGGGAGGAGGGUGGCGGCUGCGAUUCCCGUGUGGAGAGACACGAGAUCUGGAGCGAGGGAUUCUGGGAAAGGGGAGUGGGAGGUGUACGUGGGGUGUUUUUUUUCUUUUCCGGUUUUUACUUCGUGCAGGGAAAGGUGGGAGGACGUCCCUUUUUUCUUCAUCAUGGCCUCGUGCGUGCGGUUCGGCCGGUUUGGGGUAAGCAAUGUGGGAUGAGACUUCUUUCUGUAUUUAAUCGAUCGGUUUAUGGAGGAAUGAAAAAAAAUCGAUGGAACUGCUAAUGGUGGCAGUGCUAGCGAGGGGAUCUGUCAUGGUUGAACCAUCACGACGGCAGAUCCCCCUUUAAUAGUAUAGAUAAAGUCCGGCGAGGUAUAUUAAUUAAGCCUCUGUUGAUUAGAUGCAUUUGAUUUAUAUGUAUAUAUAUUAAUGUUUUUUUAUAUAGCCUUCCGGAUCGAACCAAUCUUCUGUAAAGAGACAAGGUACGAGAAAAAAAGGUUAGACGAGAAUGAAAGGUUCAAGAUCGAAGAAAUCGUUGAAGAUGACAAACCGACUCUUCCCGCGCAGAACGCAAAUCGAUUUAUACAUCAGGGCGGAGUUGUUGUUAGGGAUAGCAUCUCCAUCAGCAUUCAAGAAAAUGAAAUAAGCCAAAGGAUAUUGGAGUUACUUAUGUCGAUGAUAGAUCCAAAUAAAUGCUUUGAGAAACAUUCAUGACAAAUUUCACCCUAUCGCCAAAGGUCGAUCCAAAUAACAAUGUUAUAGAGCAAAAAGUUAAGGCGUGUGCUCUUUAAGAAGAUGGUCCAAUAAUUCUGCAACAGAAAGAAAAGAUUGGACCAAGGUUAUAUCAAGAAAAACAAUACUCCAACAUUCACCAGAGCACUUGAGAAGAUAAGAGAUCACUAGGAUGCAUUUGUGGCGUAUAAGAAAUCUGAUGCAGCUAAGAAAAGAUCAGGCACAAAUAAGAAGAAUGCUGCAAAGAAAGAAUAUCACCAUGUUAUGGGGUCAGGUGGCUAUAAGGCUGGCAUGCCUAAGUGGGAGAAAACUGAGAACGACAUGAUUGCUAAAGGAAUCGAUCCAGAGCCAUUGAAGUGGACCGAACGGACAAGGAAUUGGUUCUACGGGCAUUCAGGCAUUGAUUCAGGGAAGUAUAUUUGUACAAAAGUGCAACUUGCAACACCCCUCAAAGCCAUUAAAGAUGCAACAAAGGAUGUGCCUACGACCUUUUCUAGGUCGGCGGUUUUUUUUUGAGACCGUCAGCAUAGCUCAGCAUAUGCCGAUGGCCAGCAAAUAACCAUCGACAUAGAAAAGUUGUCGGCAUAGCUGGAGAUUUGGUUUUUGUUUACACGUCAUCUCUCUCCGCAUGCUCCAUCUCGCUUCCUUAUAUAAAGGGUUAAGAUUUAUGAUUUUUCAACACAUCAUUUUUCUCUACCGACGUACCAAUACAUAGCCGCCUCGAUUAUCUCCCGCUCCUUUCGGUGAUCGUGUUGUCGAGGCACAAAAUGACAAACGGAACAACAUUUUAGCAUGAACAAUAAUUCAUAGAAAAAAUAAACCCACUGCCAACUACAAUCCAUUUUACACCACGACAAUAAUGGAUAGUAGACCAACAAUUACCUAAAAAGAACAAAAAAAUCAGAAUAAAGUCUGAAAUGUUAACCGAAACAAUAGCCAAAAUAGAAAUCAAAAAGUAAAACCAAUUAAACGGAGCAAUACUUGAAUAAACCAAAAACAAAAUGAAAUAUUGUUUGCUAGCAACUAGAUACGGAAUAUAGGUGAAAAUUUGCAUAAACUGGAAAAGAAACAUUCUUCUACUAUAGGGUCUAUGCAUUGGUAACAAUUCAAUUGAAUCUCAUUAUUCACCAAACAUGGCAUAUUAGAACGAAUCCGGAUAAAUCGCGCCCAUCAUAUUUUUUUCUUAUAUACCAAAGGGGAAAUAUGUGCUUACAAAAAAAAAACAGUAACAGGCCAGCCGGCUUACUUAAUUUGUCAAUUCAUUUCAUGGUCGUCUACACAAAUCAUGGGAUAAAAAUAAAAACUAUGUUUUUUUACAUUAUAUUUUCUUACAUAAUACAUAUUGUUGCCUUUGCUUAUUCCGAUAAAUACCGGCGGAAGCGGUCACGGGCUCGGCGCAUGCCGCGCUUCUUCGGGGCUAGCAGUAGUACUGCAUGUCCUAAAACAUUGAGGGAGGCCAAUAAUUAGGGUGGGUCUAACCUCUACUAUCCCCCUGCCUAUACCCUUGGUCAUACGUUCCUAGCCUGCCCCAUGGCAAUGUAGGGAUGUGUGAGUAGAAGUGAUUGGGACAUGUCAUCGGAAUCCCUAUUUGGCGAUGUAGGUGCAUAUUCUUACCCUUUUUUGCAAAUGGGCGCUGAAAGGCAUGUUAUCCGGACCCGACCCACUUGCAUUUUUUGUCUGCUGCUCAAAACUUUUCAAAAAAUGAUGCAGUGCCAGCCUUCAAAAACCCACGGCCAGCUCGAAGGAAAUGAUCGUAAACACCAGGCCACCGAAGGACUAUUGCUUUCUACCCUUCUUUCUUUAUUUUAUUUCUCUAUUCAAUCGCGGGAAUCCCCGGUUUUGGGAAGCCUUCAGUUUUUUACUGAUUCGCUUCUCACUUCNUUUUUCAAAUUUGGAUGAUUCUGUUUUAAAUCGAUGACCUUUUUUCAAAUUCAAAUAACAUUUUCAAAUUUGAUAUAUUUUUUCUGAAAUUGAUGCUUUUUUUCAAAGUUGAUGAAAGUUUUUUCGAAACAAAUAAACUUUUUACAAAAUUGAUGAAAAUUUCUUUUUUGUUUGUAUUUUUUGAAAAUUGCUGAACUUUUUUCCAAAAUCAAGAAACAAUAUUUGAAUUUGAUGAACAUUUUUUCGAAAUCCAUGAACUUUUUGAAAUUCGAUGAUGUUUUCUCAAAAAUAAUGAACUUUUUCAUCGUAAUUCAUGAUUGUUUUAUUUAGUUUUGAAUAUUUCGUGAACUUUUUUGACCCAAUAACUUUUUUAAUAAAUAUAUGAAGCUUCAUUUAUUUCACAAUCAAAUUCAAAAAUCAUAAAAAAUCAGAGACAAGUCUUUUUCUGGAACAAGCAGGCAGCUUAGCCGAAAAAAGAAAUACUUCUUCCACGGGCGGCCACAUGUCAUCAGAUUAAACCGUUAACUACAUGGCGUGCAUUGAUUCAUGGACCAGGCCCAAUACGUAUUUAGUCAUCAAGGAAAACAUCUAGCUUGCUAUAGGCAAGAUAUGGGCGAGCACUUCAACCAGCCGGUGCAGAAUUCCAUAUUUGAUAAUUUCGUGUGACAAGAAAAUGUGUCAUGCAAUGAAAGAUAAAGAGCGAAUCGAGCAAAUAGGUCUGCCCAAACAGCUGUUCAACUAAUUCUAGAAGUUUAUUGUCAAGUUUUUUAAUUUAUACUUUUUUAUCUCCAUCUUUUAACUGCAUUUCUUGUUUUAUUUGUUUUUACUCUUUAUUUAAAGAAAUAAUACAGAUUAAAAAGAAGUUACUAAAGUUUUCAAAUUGAUAUUGUUUUCUUGAAAAAUGUUCAUAAUAUAUAAAUAUGCACAUUUAAAAAAUAUUGAUUAUGUUAGUAUGAAAAUAUAUAGAGAGUUCGAACACAUAUAUAAAUUUACAAAAAAAAUGUUGGAGACAUGAGCGUACAUACCUGAAAAUUAGUAAAACAGAGAAAGGGUAGAAAAAUAGUAAAACAUAGAAAGGGUAGAAAACCGGAGGAAAUAUGAGCGCCAAACGGUCUGGCCAUGAAUGCACAAGCAUGUGGUGUUGCCUUGACAAUCUAUCACAUUUAACGAUAGAUAGGUACUCCCAGUUGGAGACAGGAGUGUACGUACACUGCAGGCACACAUGGGACACAAGAGCUAUGUUUCGCCAACUGCGACAGAACUAUCUUGCAAUAGACUAUGUAAUGUGUUAGUGAGAUGUUUUGCGAACGUUCUAAGCACCGAUUCAUGGAAACACCCAUCAAUUUUUGCCAGUUUUGGGAUGGUACCAUGCGUUUUUAAGUAUUUUAUGUGUUUUAUAUAAGGCUUUCGUUGGUUUUUUAUUUUUCUUUUAUUUUUGAUAUUACUUUCUUUUUUAAAACUUUUGUUUUGCAUUUUUUUCAAAUGUAUAACGAACAUUGUAACAUAUGUUGAGCAUUUUUUUAUACAUGCGGAAGAUUGUUCUUUAUACAUGUUGAAUCAUGUUCUAGUACAUUAUGAAUAUCUGUUUCAAAUACAUGUUAAAUUUAUUAAGUACAUGUAUUUUUAUUUAAUAGGCAUGAAAACAAAUUUGAAUAGUCCCUCCAUUUUUAUAUACAAGGCCACUAUCAAAAUUCAGAUAUUUUAUUUAACGUUAGAAGUAUUCUGAAAAGAUGAGAAACACUUUGAAAAUACACCUUGAUCAUUUGUUUGAGUGCAUGUAACAAUUUGUAAUACAUGUUAAAAUUUUCUCAAUUGUCCGUCAAUCAUUUUAAAUACACGGUGAAAUUUUUUAUGCAACCGUCAAACAUUUUACAAAAAAAGAAUUUUCUUAAAAGAAAAAUAUUGGUUUAGUGUUUUAAACAUUGUUAAUUAAAAAACCUUUUUAUAUGUUAAGAACAUUUUUACAUUGCAUAAAAAUUUUAAAACCCACCAACAAAUUACAAAACAUGUGAAUUUUUUGUUGAAACCAUAAGAACAAAAAUUAUACAUUCCAUGAAUACUGAUAAUAUGCAUGAGAUAAUAUUUAGAAAUAUGAACAAAGUAUUUUUUCAUAUAUAGGUAUAUCUAUAUUUGUAGCAAUUUCGAAACAUAGAUUUAAUAAAAAGAAGAAAUAAAACUUGGCUGAAAAUAGAAAAAAGAUUAAAAGGUUCCUACUCGAACGACCCACUACUGGCUGCCCUUGAGACUAGAGUACCUUUGCUUCACGAUAAGGAAGAGGUACACGCCGGCAGAUCUUAUUCGCUGCCCAUAGCCGAUACCUGCAGGGGUGUGGGGUUUCAUGUGCUUGUUCUUAUUUUCUUCUCGGUGUUAGCUGUUUUUUGGUUUUCUAUUUUCCGUGAUGUUUUUCCAUCUAGAUGUAGUUUUCCCCCCCCCCCCUCUUGUUUUUUCUAGUUACUUUGUAUUAUAUGUCUUCUCAAUAUUAUUUAAGAAUUCAUAUAGUGACAUAUUUCAACAGUAACCUUUUUUGAAACAUGAGUAUUUUUUGAACUUAACUACAUUUUCUGAAAACGUAUACCUAUUUUAGAAAAUGAAGAACAUUUUUUAAAAAUUCCUAACAUUUUCAAAUGAUGAACAUUUUCAGAAUUGGUGAACAAAAAAUGAACAACUUUUCAAUUUGUGAACAAAUUUUAAAAAAAGAGAAACAUUUUACGUAAAACAGGAUUGUUUUUCUGAAAGUGUGAAAACAAAAACAUUUUUAAAAAAAUAUGACCAAUUUAUGAGAAAAUGAACAUUUUCUGAAAUUUGUAAACAAUUUUUGAGGCGAGAACAUUUUUUCAAUUUAUGUACACUUUUUGAAACACAGACAUUUUUUGAUCAUAUGUACACUUUUUCAAAAGGCAAACAUUUUUUAGUAAAAGAAGACAAAUUUUUAAAAUUCCAUAUUUUCAAAUCGUGAAAAAAAUAGAUUUGGUCAACAAAAUCGGAACAAGUUUCCAAUUUGUGAAUAAAGUUUUAAAAAGAGACAUUUUUCGUAAAACAGUAACAUUGUUUUAUAAAAAUGUGAAAACAAUAACGUUUUUUUUAAAUUGUGACCAAUUUAUAAAAAAGGAUGUUUUUUAAAUUUUGUAAAUAAUUUUUUGAAGUGGGAACAUUUAUUCAACUUAUGUAAAAAAAAUUAAACAUGAACAGUUUUCGAACUUACAUUUUUUCAAAAGGCAAACAUAUUUAGAAAUUGAAGAACAUUUUUUUAAAUUCCCAAAAAAUUUCAAAUCAUGAACAUUUAUAGAAUUGGUGAACAAAAUUUGAACAAGUUUUCUAUUUGUGAACACAAAUUAAAAAAGGAAAACUUUUUUCAUAAAACAGGAACAUUAUUUAUAAGAAUGUGAAAACUAGAACAUGUUUGGAAAAUCGCGACCAAUUUAUGAAAAAAGGAACAUUUUUUAAAAGAUCCUGCAGUUUUGUGUAUAUGAGAACAAUUUUUGAAACACGAACAUUUUUGAAAACGAAAGCAAGAACAUUUUUUGUAUUUCGUGUUUACAAUUUGAACCACAAUCAUUUCAAUAUAAACUGUGAACAAAAUUUUGGACAUGAGGACAAUUUUAUAAAUUCAAAACAAAAUAUAGAAAAUGUGAACCAACAAAAUAGAAUAUUUUUUAAAAAAUCACGAACAUUUUUUGAAAAUAUCAAACAUUUUUUAAAAAUCUCUAACAUUUUUCGAAGUUAUGAUUUUUUUUAAACGGCAAUUAUUUGUAAUUUUAGAAAAAAUAUAAAAGCAAGAACAUUUUCUGUACUUCAGGAAUAAGUUUAAACAUGAACUUUUUUAAAAAAAUAUAACCUUAAAACAGAAAAAGGAAAGGAAAAAAAAGGUGCGGGUAACAUUCGUUAAGUGAAACUGGGCCGGCCCAAGUCUUCCCAAGAGGGUGUGCGGAGACCCCGACUAUUUGAACAACAACCUGAGUCCAUAGCCCGGCCCAUAUUUGGUAUACGGUUUGUGGUGGGGUACGUCCAGAUGUAGUUUUGAAAGGGCCCAUGGAAAUACAAACCAAACUAGAUACAAUUUUUUGCCUAAAGAAUAGUAGAUGUACGAAUUUACAAGAAAACAUGUUUGUUGGGUCCCUGUAUCAUUAUGAUUGGGUUAGUACAUUAGAACGGGAACAUGAAAUUGGUUGUGAUUAGACCACAGUUGAUUCCAGGUCGCUGUGAAUUUAUCCAAGGAAUCUUUAUUUAAUUUACUUAAUUAAUCCAUAUUUCAUUAUGCCUUUUCUCUGUGUGCACUGAUAUUUAUUUUCAUUUCAUGCAUAGAGAAUUUUUAAUCACUACUUACAGACUUACUAUAUGUUAAGUUCAUUUUGAUUUGUUUCCGGUCCAACACAGCUCUGCUUCUCUACCAUGUCCAUUGUGAACGUAUUACAAGAUAUGCCAUAUUCUUCUUCUUUUUUGGGAGGGAAAAUGUGCGACAUUCGUUUCCAUAUAAUUUUAUUGAAAAAGAGGCUAAACUCCGGCCCGCUGCAUCAAUCGAUGCAUGUAGCCACCUUUAUUAACCAUUUCACAAAGGGCUGACAAGUAUAUAUAUCAAUCUGUCCGAAGUUAUAACUCACACCUACAAACUCGAUAAUGCGGAGUGCUCUCACUUUUCAUAUCUAAAAUCGAUGUCGUCGUUAAUUAAUCCACAUAACGUAUCGGGACCAACAGUCGAUGCAGUCUACCAAAAGUGCACACCACAUGCACACGUUCAGAAGCCGCCAUCAUCAUGAGACCAUUGUCCCAUUUUCAGGAAAGAUAUCCGCCUCAUCCUUGCCAGUUCGGACAUCCGUCGACGCCACCAGAGUGCCCAACCCCGCCACUGACAUGCGCUCGUCUGCCCAGACAAAAGACUCUGGAAGAUAUGCCGGGCGUAGCACCUACCAACUAGGCACGACUCAGCGUAGCACCUGUCGGCCAUGCAUGACUUGACAGCUCCAUCGAACCUUCGUGCAAGACGUAGCCUCUCCACCUCCUGCCUCUGUCUUUCAGCGCUGCUUCACAAACGAUGCUCCCAAGAAAAGAAAUGGCACCGUAGUACCGACAUCGUCCGAUCUGGAAGACCAGAUCCUAGGGUUUUAUCCGAAGAAAUACGAGUGGGUCGACGACGACGCCUUCAUCAAGGUAACGACGCAAAACGCCGCCAUCGCCCGCCAACGGCCCGGUUUUCACCGGCAACUAUGUCUCGCCAACUCGUAGCCGGAACUAGANNNNNNNNNNNNNNNNNNNNNNNNNNNNNNNNNNNNNNNNNNNNNNNNNNNNNNNNNNNNNNNNNNNNNNNNNNNNNNNNNNNNNNNNNNNNNNNNNNNNNNNNNNNNNNNNNNNNNNNNNNNNNNNNNNNNNNNNNNNNNNNNNNNNNNNNNNNNNNNNNNNNNNNNNNNNNNNNNNNNNNNNNNNNNNNNNNNNNNNNNNNNNNNNNNNNNNNNNNNNNNNNNNNNNNNNNNNNNNNNNNNNNNNNNNNNNNNNNNNNNNNNNNNNNNNNNNNNNNNNNNNNNNNNNNNNNNNNNNNNNNNNNNNNNNNNNNNNNNNNNNNNNNNNNNNNNNNNNNNNNNNNNNNNNNNNNNNNNNNNNNNNAAAAAUUAAAAAAAAACUUGGUUUGAACACUACCAAUCGAAUACCAUCCGGUUCCUCACUCAUAUAGCACACCACAUUAGACCCCUAAGCCACCAUCUUAAUUACCUUCAAAGCCCCUCCAACAAGAUAUUUACCUCCCUCACGACUCUGUAAUUAAGUAGACUCUCAUAGCUAGCUCCUUUACAAUGUCACGUGCAUCCGCUCUAAUGUCGAGCAACACCGGCAAACUAAAACCCUACUCACGAUCAUUGUCUAUAUGAUCCCAACACCAGUUGUCCAGUACAGCCCUGUUACGUGGCUUUUGUGAACCCUAACUAUACCAACCAUGAAUCUUGCCAGCGAGGUCACAACAGCUUCACCAUCUGAUCAAGCAGACUUGAAGACAGAUCUUGUGUUUGUAUCUAUCUAUAUGGAAGAAUAUCAGCUGGGAAUUGAAACUCAUCCCAAAACUGUUGGUGCAUGUGCACCAUCAACUAAUAACUGAUACAGUACUAUACUCCCUCCGUUCCUAAAUAUAAGACCUUGUAAAGAUUUUACUAUAGACUAUAUACGGAGCAAAAUGAGUGAAUAUAUACUUUAAAAUAUGUCUAUAUACAUUCGUAUGUAGUCCAUAAUGCAAUUUUUACAAGGCCUUAUAUUUAGGAACGGAGGGAGUACAUGGCUGAUGGCUUUGCAUCAUGCAUGCAUGUUUCCAACGGAUAAAACGAAUGCUAGCUAGCUCAUGCACAGAAAGCAUAUUCCACAUAACCACCCCCACAUACACACAUACAGGCAUACAUGCAUGUAAUAUUAAUUGUAAUUCCACUGGACAAGUUGNNNNNNNNNNNNNNNNNNNNNNNNNNNNNNNNNNNNNNNNNNNNNNNNNNNNNNNNNNNNNNNNNNNNNNNNNNNNNNNNNNNNNNNNNNNNNNNNNNNNNNNNNNNNNNNNNNNNNNNNNNNNNNNNNNNNNNNNNNNNNNNNNNNNNNNNNNNNNNNNNNNNNNNNNNNNNNNNNNNNNNNNNNNNNNNNNNNNNNNNNNNNNNNNNNNNNNNNNNNNNNNNNNNNNNNNNNNNNNNNNNNNNNNNNNNNNNNNNNNNNNNNNNNNNNNNNNNNNNNNNNNNNNNNNNNNNNNNNNNNNNNNNNNNNNNNNNNNNNNNNNNNNNNNNNNNNNNNNNNNNNNNNNNNNNNNNNNNNNNNNNNNNNNNNNNNNNNNNNNNNNNNNNNNNNNNNNNNNNNNNNNNNNNNNNNNNNNNNNNNNNNNNNNNNNNNNNNNNNNNNNNNNNNNNNNNNNNNNNNNNNNNNNNNNNNNNNNNNNNNNNNNNNNNNNNNNNNNNNNNNNNNNNNNNNNNNNNNNNNNNNNNNNNNNNNNNNNNNNNNNNNNNNNNNNNNNNNNNNNNNNNNNNNNNNNNNNNNNNNNNNNNNNNNNNNNNNNNNNNNNNNNNNNNNNNNNNNNNNNNNNNNNNNNNNNNNNNNNNNNNNNNNNNNNNNNNNNNNNNNNNNNNNNNNNNNNNNNNNNNNNNNNNNNNNNNNNNNNNNNNNNNNNNNNNNNNNNNNNNNNNNNNNNNNNNNNNNNNNNNNNNNNNNNNNNNNNNNNNNNNNNNNNNNNNNNNNNNNNNNNNNNNNNNNNNNNNNNNNNNNNNNNNNNNNNNNNNNNNNNNNNNNNNNNNNNNNNNNNNNNNNNNNNNNNNNNNNNNNNNNNNNNNNNNNNNNNNNNNNNNNNNNNNNNNNNNNNNNNNNNNNNNNNNNNNNNNNNNNNNNNNNNNNNNNNNNNNNNNNNNNNNNNNNNNNNNNNNNNNNNNNNNNNNNNNNNNNNNNNNNNNNNNNNNNNNNNNNNNNNNNNNNNNNNNNNNNNNNNUAAGUUGCGGGAUCUUGUAUUACGGAACGAGUAAAGAGACUUGCCGGUAAACGAGAUUGAAAUAGGUAUGUGGAUACUGACGAUCGAAUCUCGGGCAAGUAACAUACCGAAGGACAAAGGGAAUGACAUACGGGAUUAUAUGAAUCCUUGGCACUGAGGUUCAAACGAUAAGAUCUUCGUAGAAUAUGUAGGAUCCAAUAUGGNGCAUCCAGGUCCCGCUAUUGGAUAUUGACCGAGGAGUCUCUCGGGUCAUGUCUACGUAGUUCUCGAACCCGCAGGGUCUGCACACUUAAGGUUCGACGUUGUUUUAUGCGUAUUUGAGUUAUAUGGUUGGUUACCGAAUGUUGUUCGGAGUCCCAGAUGAGAUCACGGACAUCACGAGGGUUUCUGGAAUGGUCCGGAAACGAAGAUUGAUAUAUAGGAUGACCUCAUUUGAUUACCGGAAGGUUUUCGGAGUUACCGGGAAUGUACCGGGAAUGACGAAUGGGUUCCGGAAGUUCACCGGGGGGGGGGNNNNNNNNNNNNNNNNNNNNNNNNNNNNNNNNNNNNNNNNNNNNNNNNNNNNNNNNNNNNNNNNNNNNNNNNNNNNNNNNNNNNNNNNNNNNNNNNNNNNAUACGCAUAUACAUAACAUUGAGACCAAAAGAGUUAGAGUUAACAAUGAUAGCGCCAUAUUUUUGUGGCACUGCCGCUUAGGUCAUAUUGGUGUAAAGCGCAUGAAGAAACUCCAUGCUGAUGGAAUUUUGGAGUCACUUGACUUUGAUUCACUUGACACGUGCGAACCAUGCCUCAUGGGCAAGAUGACCAAGACUCCGUUCUCAGGAACAAUGGAGCGUGCAAGUGACUUGUUGGAAAUCAUACAUACCGAUGUGUGUGGUCCGAUGAGCGUGGAGGCACGCGGCGGAUAUCGUUAUUUUCUCACCUUCACUGACGAUUUAAGUAGAUAUGGUUAUGUCUACUUCAUGAAGCACAAGUCUGAAACAUUUGAAACGUUCAACCAAUUUCAGAGUGAAGUGGAAAAUCAUCGUAACAAGAAGAUCAAGUUCCGACGGUCUGAUCGUGGGGGUGAAUAUCUGAGUUUCGAGUUUGGUCCUCACUUCAGACAAUGUGGAAUUGUUUCACAGUUAACACCGCCUGGAACACCACAGCGUAAUGGUGUGUCCGAACAUCGUAAUCGUACUUUAUUAGAGAUGGUGCGAUCUAUGAUGUCUCUUACUGAUUUGCCAUUAUCAUUUUGGGGCUAUGCAUUAGAAACAGCUGCAUUCACUUUAAAUAGGGCACCAUCAAAAUCCGUUGAGACGACACCAUACGAACUCUGGUAUGGCAAACGGCCAAAGUUGUCGUUUCUUAAAGUUUGGGGAUGUGAUGCUUAUGUCAAAAAGCUUCAGCCUGAAAAGAUGGAACCCAAAGCGGAAACGUGCGUCUUCAUAGCUUACCCAAAAGAGACAGUUGGGUACACCUUCUAUCUCAAAUCCGAGGGCAAAGUGUUUGUUGCUAAAAACGGAGCUUUUCUCGAGAAGGAGUUUCUCGAGAGAGAAUUGAGUGGGAGAAAGAUAGAACUUGACGAGGUUGUCGAACCUCUCAUCCCUCUGGAUGGUGGCGCAGGGCAAGGGGAAACCUNNNNNNNNNNNNNNNNNNNNNNNNNNNNNNNNNNNNNNNNNNNNNNNNNNNNNNNNNNNNNNNNNNNNNNNNNNNNNNNNNNNNNNNNNNNNNNNNNNNNGUGGGAGGGGGUGUGCUGUGGGCUCUUUGCCGUCUUCCCUCCUGCUCUUUGCCGUCUGCCAACAGACGGCAAAGAGAAUCUUAUGGCAAAGAGUAUCUUUGCCAUCCGUGUGCUCUUUGCCGUCAGUUUUCUGGUGACUAACGGCAAAUAGGGUCUUUGCCAUCAGCCAGCGGACGACAAAGAAGGGGCAGACGGGAAAUAACUGAAUUCCAGUAGUGAAUCACUCUCGAAGUAUCACAGUUUGGAACGAGAACUCAUCUAUUACAAAGGGAUUUCAUUUUUUUGAACUUAUUUGGGUUUAACUCCAUACUUUUUGUGUGUUCAAAAUGCACCAUUCAAAGGCACAUCACAAGUUUUCAACAAUUUCUGACUUAAUUUGGUAUUUUCCGUGCAUUUACUUUGUUUUUUUGAGCUAGUUGACCCUGAAAUUAAAAAGCACUACAAAUGAACUCUGAAAAUGUUGAAAGUUGGCAUGGUAUCAUCAUUUCACCCACAUAGCAUGUGCUAAAAAGUUGAGAGGGUUACGACAAAAACUGGAUGCACUUCGUGUACAAAACGGACAAUCUCUCUCCAUACUUUUUUCGUGUAUCACGGUUUCGAACGAGAACUCAUUUGUUACAAAGGGAUUUCAUUUUUUAUAACUUAUUCAAACUCCAUACUUUUUUUGUGUUCAAAAUGCACCAUUCAAAGGCACAACACAAAUUUUCAACAAUUUCUGACUUCAUAUGGUAUUUUUCGUGCAUUUACUUAUUUUUUUGAGCUAGUUGACCUUCAAAUUGAAAAGCACUACGAAUGAACUCUGAAAAUGUUCAAAGUUGGCAUGGUAUCAUCAUUUCACCCACAUAGCACACUACAAGAAAUAUGCUCAUACAUGAUGUUUUUUAAGACGCCAUUGAUGAAUUCAUCAUAAAUCUAUGAUGAUUUCAUCCGAGAUUGUCAUAUGCCGUUUGAGGCGAUCAAAUCUACAUAUAAAUUAUGACGAUGUGAGACAAAAACGUCGUAACCGCAUAAGAUGAGAUCGUCAUACGAUUAUAAAAAUGUCGUAACAUGUUCUAACUAUGUUGACUUGUCACUCGUGGGUCCAUUAUAUGUCACGCGCCAAACACAAUUAAAACGUAAAAAAAGCUGCGAUUACCUCAUUCGUCGAUCCAAGAGGGUAGAAAAAAUUAGAAGUUAUAAAAAAAUGGAAAACACAAUUACAUGAGCUGGAUUCCUAUUGGUGGAAACGUUUGUACCACGGAUCGAUGAGGUCGCACGUAUCCAUCCAUCCAGCUUUCCAACCCACAUAUCCAUCCAUGCAUCCACGAACUCCUCUCCCUCGCCGCACAUAUCCACCUAUCUACAGAAAANNNNNNNNNNNNNNNNNNNNNNNNNNNNNNNNNNNNNNNNNNNNNNNNNNNNNNNNNNNNNNNNNNNNNNNCCCCCCCCCACGAACUCCUCUCCCUCGCCGCCGCCACCUUCCAUGUCUGCCUGUUCUGGCGAGCGCCGGCAGUGGGAAGCACUCCCCCGACCUCCCGAUGCUCCGCACCUCCUUCCCUUCCGGCCAGCAUCGACGCCCAGGUUAGCCCCUCUCCUCGUUCGCCGCACCCUCUUCUCCCAUCUGACCUAAACUUUUUCCUAUGAUUUUCUUUGCUGCAGAUCCAUCGCGCGGACGGAGGAGGAGCAGAACGGGCACCAACAAAGGAGCAGGAUGGACAUCCAUCCACCCCCUAAUCACCGCCGCCNNNNNNNNNNNNNNNNNNNNNNNNNNNNNNNNGCUCUACCACGCGCGCAAUGGCGAAGACAGCGACGACUCUAGUGGAGGUGCCCGCGGCUGCACUGGUUAGUGCCCACAACCCCUCUUCCCCUGGUCCCCUCUAGACGUCUGAAUCUUCUCCUCGGUCGUUGUUGCCGCUGGAUCUGGCAACGACGCCCGUGGUUUCGCCGGCGCCCGCGCCCCUUGCCCGAGCUCCGUUGGUUAGGUUUAGGGUUUCACGAAUCCACGUGGUAGGUUCCAACCCCUAACCCUAACCACCAGUUCCGAUCCGCAGGGUAGAUUCCAACCCCUAGCCCUAAUCAGUAGCCUCGAUCCGCAAGGUAGGUUCCAAGACGGCCGGUCUGCCGGAUUUCUCGGUUCUUUGAUGAUUGAUGCCUCCUUGUGUACAGGUCUUCGAUGAUGAUGGCGUCUCUCCGCGCAGCGGCGACGAGGAUCCUGCCUGUGGCGGGGCUUCGCCGGCUCGUCCACACCCAGCCACAGCUAUCUUCUCCCCUGGCCUUUGGUCUCCGGCUCACUGUUUUCCUAGCCCAGGUCUACAGCCUCACGUUGUAUAUUAUACGUAUCUAUCAUAUCAUAGGGAUGAACACCUAUCGUUGAAGCUAUCUAUUGCCUAUUGGUUGAUGUGAUGUGCUAGGUCUCUCGCUCCUUUUUUUUCCUCUUUAUUUUUUCAACUAGUAGCAGAUUGUUGCUCUCAUUGCUGGAGGUCCUCUGUUCUUCCCUACAUACUAUUGUCUAUUGCUACGUGGUAUAUCAUAGGGAUGCAUGGGUAUUCUUAAAACAAGCAUUUGUUUCAUUGAUUUCCAUUGAUAGAUGAUCAACUGCCUAGCAUGAACGUGUUGGCAUUUUGGUCAAACCAACAUCUUUUGGUUCAACUAACUUAGUAUUUUGCUGUACCAUUGGUACACUAUCAACUGCCUGGCAUGAAUAUGUUGAUGUUCUGGUAAAAAGCGACUUCAUUUGCUCUCCAACUUGUUUUGUAUUGUAUUUUGCUGUGACAUUGGUACAUGCUCAACUGCCUAGCAUGAUUGCCUUGAUGUUUUUGACAAAAUGGACAUCUUUUGGUCCCAAAUUAGCUUUAUAUUUUGCUGUGACAUUGGUACAUGCUCAACUGCCUAGCAUGAUUGCCUUGUUGUCGCUAAGAUAGAUAGAUGUUACUACCUGUUUUUUCACAAGAAUCGACGUUCGUUCUACAAAGUGUGCAAAUAACUUUCUCUAAAUUAGAUUGCGAUAGAAAAUAUAUUAUGUAAAUGCAUCCUUUCAAAAUUCUUUACUAGUAGUAAGAUAUUUGUGUAAAAACAGUCAAAUAUGCAUCUAUUUCCUGCAAAAAAAAGAAAAAAACUGUUAAAGCUGCAUCUGUUGAUCUACGCCAGUGUUGGUGUGUACUUUAGAAUGAGGGCAUAUGUAUUCCUGUGUUGGCCCAUUUAUAUUUGUAUUUAUAUGAUUGUCAUCAUACGCGUCGGCCUCAUCAUGUAUGUCAUGCUAGAAUUUCGUAUGAUCUCUACUAUUUUCCGUUGAACGAAUGAUCUGCUCUAACUCGGACCAUUCUAAUUAAUUGUACAGCCUGCAAGUUGCCAAUUUUAACAUUCAGGUCCACUCCACAGUCCAUGUCACUGAAAUGACAGUUCUAGUGUUUACGUGAGGCAACUAACUAAAUGAGAAUAAUUAAUUUACUAAGUAUUCCCUUGAUAAGGAUUAAUCUGACUCGCAUAUGCUAAUUUUUUAUUCCAUUCCAAGGUGAUAGUUCGAAAUUCUUUUAUGUCCGUGUGAUUGCUAUUUCUUCAAGUUAACUAACUUCUAGAGAAAUAAUUUCAUAAAGUAACCAGAUUCCUGCGGAGAUUGGCUACUGAAUUAGUUUAAUCAAUCAAUGGAAGCCUUCUCAGCUUAACCUACUUCAUAUGAGAUUGACCAUUUAAGGAAUGGAUAUGUUUUCACUUUCAAUUGUUGGAUACAUACAUGAACUUGCACUUACCAUAUGAACCUUGCCAUCCUUAUUUUUUUCAAAAGAUAGGAAGACUGGGUGCUAUGUAGGGUGUUCUACAAGAGCAGAACAACAGGUGGUGAUUGACUUCACUGCAUCAUGGUGCAGACCAUGCCGCAUUAUGGCUCUAGUUUUCGCUGAUCUCGCCAAGAAGUUCCCAAAUGCUAUUUUCCUCAAGGUCGCCGUUGAUGACCUGAAGGUAUCAUCGAUAUUCACCUAUUUCUGUUGAAAUUUCUGAGAUAUUUGAGUUCUUUAGUUUCUUAAAUAAACAAAUGAAAGCUACCAGUGACUAAAACUGACAUGAAGAAAAUAAAUCAGUUUUAUUUGAAAAUUGAUAUUGUAUCUUUGUUGUUGCUCCUUUGGUAACUACUAUGAUAAGUUUUUGUGCUGCGGUUAAUGGCACUGGAAUUUAUUAUAGUAGGGCUUAUAGUCAUGGGAUCGCUGAACUGUAUGUACCUGCAGCUUAUAGGGCUUUAGAGCAAUCCUUUUGUAUCUCCGUAUAUAUAUGAUAAAAAUACUCUUGUAUCCAUUGAUUGGUUAAUAUGUUUGUUUUUAUGACCUGCUACACUUAUCAUUUACUUGCAGUUGUAAGGAAAUUGUAUAGUGGAACACUAACCUGCAAGUUCUGAACCUCAUUAACUGCUAUUUGAUUCUGCCACACAACACUUCACUUCCUAUAAUCAGUGAUUUACUAUUCUAGUGAAAUCAAUGCACCAGGAAAAUGUACAUCUACCUCUCGAAAUUAUAGAACUGAAGAAACCUCUUGUUAUUGUUGCUGUUGUGUGUUAAAUGACUAAGGGAGCAGUUGCACAUUCUGUUACCACCAUUCUUUAAUAUGGGCACUCUUGAUGUGUUUGAUUUGGCCAUUGGACUCUACAGUCCUGCUUUGUGCUUUCCUUGUUUGCCGAGAAUGAAUAGGAAUAAAUGGUGCUACUUUUUGAUAAAUCACAUGUCUAAUGAUGGAUUCUAGUAUUCUCUUUUUUCGCAUAAAAUAUUUUCAGCAACCGCGAGCCGUACAUGGUUUUGACUUCGUUCCGUAGAGCUUCCCACCUAGCUCUUUACCACUAGACUGGUUCCUUUGAUUAUUGCGUGCUACGACACAAAGUCCAUGUUAAACGCAUGCCUAAUUUUCAAUAUAUGUUCUGUACUUUAAAGGUUCAUACUUUUGCUUGAGUUCUUGGAUGUGUACUUUUGUGUUCCUUUGUUGCUUGCUUAGUACUUGUCGUACUCCCGCUGUUGUAUUCAUAUCCACACCCAUCUUGAACAUAAGAGAACCUCCUAUACUGUAAUAUCUUAGGCUAAGCAAGAGAGGUAUUAGCUUAGUUCUGCGAAACUUGACAUGCCUUUUAGUGUAUUUUUUUUUACCAUUUACUUAAUUGUUAACUGAGUCUAUGCUCUACCUGUCGAAUAUACAAUGUCAUGGGAGUAGUUUUCAGCAAUUUCAUAUACAUCUGGCUUAAUGGUACAUUGGAAGCUGAACGUAUAGAUUACAUACUGAUUCUACACUUUAUUCUUUAUUGUGUUCAUUUAGAUGAUGACCAUAUCUAGAAUAUUCUGUUCUGAGAAAGCUUGCUGAUGAAAUAAUAUCUAACUGUCAGAAUGUGCCUUCUUGUCAUGCCAGGUUUGGUUUGAAGCAUUGACGCUUCGGUGAUGCCGACCAUAUGGAAAUGUUUCUUUCUUUGUUGGAAAGGUUUGGAGUAGCUUUGGUUGCAGCAUUCAAAUAUGCUUGCAAGGGGCUAGUGAGUCCUUGCUAGUAUUUCUCAGACUAGGAUAAGUCUCAUCUGGUUGGUAUGCUCUUGCUUUCAGCUAGCAGCCGGUUCCAUUUGACUCGUUUUAAUUCCUACUGCAGAUGUACCAAUUCAGACCUGGUGUAAGUUACACUUGACAAGAGUAUCUUGCACAUUUUCUGUCUUAAUUCCUACUGCAUAUGUACCAAUUCCUACUACAUAUAUACCAAUUCCUACUGCAUAUGUACCUUGUUUUAAUUCCUACUGCAUAUGUACCUCGUUUUAAUUCCUACUGCAUAUGUACCAAUUCAUUUCUAAAUCCGGUCUCAGUCUCAGGCAUGAUUUAUUCCAGCAGUACAAGUAUGGAUUCUGCUAAGGACAGCAUCCACUAGUAGAAAACAGGGCUAUCGUUCGGCCCUGGCCAGCCCAUUAGUCCCGGUUCUUCAAGAACCGGGACCAAUGGGGAUAUUAGACCCGGUUCGUGAGCCCAGGGGGCCGACCGGGGCCUCGUGGGCAUUGGUCCCGGUUCAUGUAGAACCAUUUGUCCCGGUUCGAGCCACGAACCAGGACCAAUGGUCCUCGCUGCUGGCCCACAACCAUUGGUCCCGGUUCGUGGCAUGAACCGGGACAGAACGGGUGGCUUUAGUCCCGGUUCAUGCCACGAACCGGUACAAAUAAGUUGCCUAUAUAUACCCCAUCGCCGCGGCAGAGCACUUUAUUUUUUUUGGCCGGCGAGGGGAGGGCAUUUUGGUGCUCUAGCUCACCGCCUAUGCACAUGAGGUGUUUGAUGAAAUGCUCGAGCCACACUAGUUAAGCUUUCUCCUCUCGAAGCUCGACCUAGGAGCUUCAUUUUUUCCGAGAUUUAUCUAGAUUUAGGGGUCCGUCACGCCUCGUCCCCGUUUUCACCGCCGUUGAUCGCCCGCGUCGGUCUCGUCGCUGGCACCACCAUGGUGAGGCUCUUGUUCUUAUCUUCCUUAUGAUACUUGUCUGAUUUUCUUACUUUAGAUAGAUAUUUGUCUGAUUUUCUUAAUUUUUACACACAUAAUUCUAUGUAUUGCACGCAGAUGAACCAGCAAUGGAUUUAUGGUGACAGACACACCUCCGAAUACAUUAAGGGCGUGCAUAUUUUUUCUCCAAGUGGGUGAGGCAAACANCAAGUAGAAUGGUUUUAUGUGUUGUCCAUGCAGUAAAUGUGGGAAUACGAAGUCUUACUCUGAGCGGGAAAUCCUUCACACCCACCUGCUUUACAAGGGUUUCAUGCCACACUAUAAUGUUUGGACGAGGCACGGAGAAAUAGGGGUUAUGAUUGAACACGGCGAAGAAUAAGAGGAUGAUGACAACUAUGUGCCCCCUGAAUACGAUGAUGCUGCAACAGGGGGAGCUGCUGAAGAUCAAGAGGAACCAGACGAUGUGCCCGAUCAUGCUGCAACAGAGGAAGCUGCUGAAGAUCAAGAGAAACCAAACGAUGUGCCCGAUGAUGAUCUUCGUCGGGUCAUUGUCGAUGCAAGGAUGCAAUGCGAAAGUCAAAAGGAGAAGCUGAAGUUCGAUCACAUGUUUGAGGAUCACAGAAAAAAGUUGUACCCCAAUUGUGAAGAUGGCAACACAAAGUUGGUUACCGUACUGGAAUUGCUGUAGUGGAAAGCACAGAAUGUUGUGCCUAACAAAGGAUUUGAGAAGCUACUAAAAAAUUGAAGAAGAAGCUUCCAAAGGAUAAUGAAUUGCCCGACAGUAUGUACGCAACAAAGAAGGUCGUAUGCCCACUAGGAUUGGAGGUGCAGAAGAUACAUGCAUGUCCUAAUGACUGCAUUCUCUACCGCGGUGCGUACGAGGAUUUGGACGCAUGCCCUGUAUGCGGUGCAUUGCGGUAUAAGAUCAGACAAGAUGACCAUGGUGAUGUUGACGGCGAGCCCCGCAGGAAGAGAGUUCCUUCGAAGGUCAUGUGGUAUGCUCCUAUAAUACCACGGUUGAAACGACUGUUCAGAAACAAAGAGCAUGCCAAGUUGAUGCGAUGGCACAGUGAGGACCGUAAGAAAGACGGUAAGUUGAGAGCACCCGCUGACGGGUCGCAGUGGAGAAAAAUCGAGAGAGAGUACUGGGCUGAGUUUGCACGUGACCCAACGAAUGUAUGGUUUGGUUUAAGCGCGGAUGGCAUUAAUCCUUUCGGGGAGUAGAGCAGCAAUCACAGCACCUGCCCCGUGACUCUAUGUAUGUAUAACCUUCCUCCUUGGAUGUACAUGAAGCGGAAGUUCAUUAUGAUGCUAGUUCUCAUCCAAGGCUCUAAGCAACCCGGCAACGACAUUGAUGUGUACCUAAGGCCAUUAGUUGAAGAACUUUUACAACUUUGGAAUGGAAACGGUGUACGUGCGUGGGAUGAGCACAAACAGGAGGAAUUUAACCUGCACGCGUUGCUGUUUCUAACCAUCAACGAUUGGCCCGCUCUCAGUAACCUUCUAGGACAGACAAACAAGGGAUACCACGCAUGCACGCACUGUUUAGCUGACACCGAAAGUAUAUACCUGGGAAGCUCCAGGAAGAAUGUGUACCUGGGCCAUCGUCGAUUUCUUCCGACCAACCAUCAAUGUCGAAUGAAAGGCAAGCAUUUCAAAGGCGAGGCAGAUCAACAGAAGAAGCUCGCCAUGCAUACCGGUGAUCACGUACGUGCUAUGGUCAAUGAUUUACACGUAAUCUUUGAAAAGGGUCCCGGUGGACUAGCUGUUCCGAGUGACGCUGGGGGACACACACCCUUGUGGAAGAAGAAAUCUAUAUUUUGGGACCUACCCUACUGGAAAGACCUAGAGGUCUGCUCUUCGAUAGACGUGAUGCGCGUGACGAAGAACCUUUGCGUCAACCUGCUAGGCUUCUUGGGUGUGUAUGGGAAGACAAAAGAUACAACUGAGGCACGGGAGGACCUUCAACGUUUGCACGAAAAAGAGGGCAUGCCCCCAAAGCAGUAUGAAGGUCCUGCCAGCUACGCUCUUUCCAAGGAAGAGAAGGAAAUCUUCUUCGAAUGCCUGGUUAGUAUGAAGGUCCCGACUGGUUUCUCGUCGAAUAUAAAGGGAAUAAUAAAUAUGGCAGAGAAAAAGUUUCAGAACCUAAAGUCUCAUGACUGCCACGUGAUUAUGACGCAACUACUUCCGGUUGCAUUGAGGGGGCUUCUACCGGAAAACGUACAAUUAGCCAUUGUGAGGCUAUGUGCAUUCCUCAAUGCAAUCUCUCAGAAGGUGAUCGAUCCAGAAAUCAUACCAAGGCUAAGGAGUGAUGUGGUGCAAUGUCUUGUCAGUUUCGAGAUGGUGUUCCCACCAUCCUUCUUCAAUAUCAUGACGCACGUCCAAGUUCACCUAGUUGACGAGAUUGUCAUUCUGGGCCCCGUAUUUCUACACAAUAUGUACCCCUUUGAGAGGUCCAUUGGAGUCCUAAAGAAAUAUGUCUGUAACCGCACUAGGCUAGAAGGAAGCAUCUCCAUGGGCCAUCAAACAGAGGAUGUCAUUGGGUUUUGUGUUGACUUCAUUCCUGACCUUAUGAAGAUAGGUCUCCCUAAAUCGCGGUAUGAGGGGAGACUGACUGGAAAAGGCACGCUUGGAGGGGAGACAAUAAUAUGCAGGGACGGAUAUUCUUGGUCUCAAGCACACUGCACAGUUCUACAGAACUCUACCUUGGUGACCCCUUAUGUCGAUGAAUACAAGAACACUCUGCGGUCCAAACAACUGGAGCACUGCGACGACUGGAUUACAUGUGAACACAUCAGGACUUUCAGCAGUUGGUUGGAAACACGUCUCAGAGAUGAAAACACUGUUUGUGAUGAGUUGUACUCGUUGUCCAGGGGACCAUCUUCGACUGUUACAAUUUGGAAAGGAUACGUCAGAAAUGGGAAUACAUUUUACACGAUCGCCCAAGAUCAAAACAGCACCAACCAAAACAGCGGUGUCCUCUUUGAUGCAGCCACCGAGAGGGGAAAGGACACAUAUUAUGGUUACAUAGUGGACAUAUGGGAACUUGACUAUGGAGUAGAUUUUAAGGUCCCUUUGUUUAAGUGGAAAUGGGUCAAUCUGUCAGGAGGCGGGGUACAGGUAGACCCACAGUACGGAAUGACAACAGUGGAUCUGAACAAUCUUGGGUACACUGACGAACCGUUCGUCCUAGCCAAUGAUGUGGCACAGGUUAUCUAUGUGAAGGACAUGUCUACCAAACCGAGAAAAAGAAAAAAUAAGGAAGCGAAUACAUCAUACGAUGAGCCAAAGCGCUACAUGGUUCUUUCAAGAGAAAGGGACAUCGUGGGAGUGGAGGGAAAGACAGACAUGUCCGAAGAUUAUGAAAAGUUUCAUGAAAUUCCUCCCUUCAAAAUCAAGGCUGACCCAAGCAUCCUGAUAAAUGAUGAAUAUUAUCCAUGGUGACGGCGCAAUAAGGAAAGAACACAAGCGAAGAAAAAGUGAAGAAUUUCUCCACAACUAUUAUGAUGAUACCAUGCCAACUUUCAACCUUUUUGUAGUACAUUUGAAAUGCAUGUUGUAACAGACAGGUGAGCACUACGCUUCUCCCUUCAUCAUCUCUAUACUCAGGUCUUAUAAACCGCUGCGAGUGCCUCUCGCUUGGUGAGGUGGGACUAAAAAACAGCUGCAGAAAUAAUCAACUAAAAAACUGUUUUACCGGUUCAUGCCACGAACCGGUACUAAAAGGUGCUUGUGGGGCCCAGCCUUAAAAUCUGUACCAAAUAAAAUGCCUUUGUACUAAAAUUAUAUAGAAUUUUGUUCAAAACAUUAAAAGCAAAAAUAAUUAUCGUAGUAGAAAAUAGAUAAGUAAUUAGAAUUUUGUUACAAACUUUAAUAGAAAAAAGAGUUAUCAUAAAAUAAAAUACAUAAGUAAUUAGAAACAAAAAAGAAAGCAAAAAAAACUGGGAAAAAAUUGAAAUAAAGGAAUCAACUGAAAAGCUUUUAUAAACCUCUAGUAUUAUUGAAACUAAAAUUAUAUAAAAUUUUGUUACAAACAUUAAUAGCAAAAAGAAUUAUCAUAAAAGAAAGUAAAUAAGUAAUUAGAAAUGAUGUAAAAUGAAAAAAUAAGUAUUUUGUUGUAAGUAGAAACAAAACAAAAUAAGCUAAUUACUAGCACUUUCAAUUUAAGUAGAAACAAAACAAAAAUAAUGGAAAAAAAUUAAAAAAAUAGAUUCGAAUUUAGAGAGAAAUUCAACCUAAAUUCAAAGUGCUAGUUAGCCUAACUAGCUAUUUGAAUUUAAAGUGCUAGUUAGCCUAACUAGCAGUUUGAAUUUAUGUUGAAUUUUGUCUCUAAAUUCGUACCGCUCGACAUUGCAGCCGCGACAGAGCUUAUAAACAGGCUCGGCAACCCUCGCUUGGCGAGGUGGGACUAAACAUCCAACCGCACCGCGGCUGUGGCAGGCACUUGCCUUUAGUCCCGGUUGGUGGCUCCAACCGAGACUAAUGCCCCUCUUUAGUCCCGGUUGGUGGCACCAACCAUUACCAAAGGCCUCUUUUCGGCAGCCCAAAGGGCGGGAAGCAGAGGCCUUUGGUCCCGGUUGGUGCCACCAACGGNNNNNNNNNNNNNNNNNNNNNNNNNNNNNNNNNNNNNNNNNNNNNNNNNNNNNNNNNNNNNNNNNNNNNNNNNNNNNNNNNNNNNNNNNNNNNNNNNNNNCUACUAUAUGCUUAAGUUGUUUCCUUUCUCUCUAAAGGAUGAUGCUAAAGCCUGGUUCACCUCUCUUGCUCCUGGAUGUGUGCGUAGUCCCGAGGAGAUGGUCUAUUACUUCUGUGAGAAAUAUUUCCCUGCCCAUAAGAAGCAAGCUGCCUUGCAGGAAAUAUACAACUUUGCUCAACUCCAAGAAGAGAGUCUUCCACAAGCUUGGGGAGGCUCGUCCAGCUACAGAAUGCUUUGCCUAAUCACCCUCUUAAGAAGAACGAGAUACUUGAUAUCCUCUAUAACGGAAUUACCGAUGCCUCUAGAGACCACCUAGAUAGUUGUGUCGGUUGUGUUUUUAGUGAACGAACUGUAGAACAAGCUAAGACCCUACUGAAUAACCUCUUGAUCAACGAUAAUGCUUGGACUAUUCCCGCACCACCUCCUAAGCCAACUCCUAAGAAAAGAGGUAUUCUAUUCCUUAGUCCUGGAGAUAUGCAAGAAGCCAAGAAAUCUACGCAAGAGAAAGGCAUUACAUCUGAAGAUGUCAAAAAUCUACCACCUAUCGAAGAGAAGAUCCACGGUCUCGAUAACCCGAUACAGGUAGUGGAAGUGAAUUCUCUGCGUAGGUUUGAUGAGAGUGAUAUUCCUUUUGAUAAACCUGCUAGCCUAUGCUUUGAUGAAUUUGACAACUUUGUUGCCGAACAACAGAGUUUCAAUGAUUAUGUUAGCAGACAUUUGGAACAAAGUACUCGUAUACUUAGCCAUUUAAGUGCUUGUGUAGACAGAAAUGUCAAUGCCCUAAAGCUUCUGAGUAAACAUGCCUCUGUGAUUAAUACUCAGGUAGAACAAGUACUUAAAGCUCAGAAUGACUUGCUCAAUGAAUUAAAUGACAACUCUGUCAGAGUCAUUACCAGAGGAGGCAAAAUGACUCAGGAACCUUUGUAUCCUGAAGGUCAUCCUAAGAGAAUUGAUCAAGAUUCUCAAGGAAUCAAUGCUGAUACACCUAGUCAUCCUAAGUAGAAGAAGAAGGAUGAUAGAAACCUGCACGCCAGUUUACCAAAUACUGUCACACCUAAAGAACCUAAUGAUAUUUCUGCGUCUGAUGCAGAAACACAAUGAGGUGAUGAACAUGAACCUGGUGACAAUGUGGACAGUGAUGUUUAUAAUAAUGCUCAACCUAGCCAUGAUGAUGAUGUGGAGAUUGAACCUACGGUUAAUCCUAAUAAUCCACAACCUAAGAGAUACGACAAGAAUGACUUCACUGCUAGGAAGCAUGGUAAAAAAAGAGAGCCAUGGGUUCAGAGACCUAUGCCCUUUCCUCCUAAGCCAACCAAGAAAAAGGAUGACGAGGAUUUUGAGCGCUUCAUUGAGAUGAUAAGACCCGUCUUUCUGCAGAUGCGGAUAACUGAUAUGCUCAAGAUGUCUCGGUAUGUGAAGUACAUGAAAGAUAUCGUGACUAAUAAACGGAAGAUACCACAUCUUGAGAUCUCCACCAUGCUUGCCAAUUACACUUUCAAAGGUGGAACUCCUGAGAAACUUGGUGAUCCCGGAGUGCCCACUGUACCUUGAUCCAUUAAAGGAAACUACGUAAGAACUGCCUUUUGUGACCUUGGAGCCGGUAUUAGUGUUAUGCCGCUCUCUCUUUAUCGUAGGCAUGAGUUGGAUAAGUUGACACCCACUGAAAUUUCUCUGCAAAUGGCCGACAAAUCAACUUCAUUCCCUAUCGGCAUUUGCGAGGUGAUGCCUGUUGUGGUUGCUAAUACCACUAUCUUAACAAACUAUGUUAUCUUGGAUAUUCCCGAGGACGAUGCCAUGGCUAUCAUCCUCGAAAGACCCUUUUUAAACACUGCAGGGGCUAUUAUAGAUUGCAACAAAGUCAAUUUCACUUUCCACGUCAACGGUAAUGAGCACACAGUGCACUUUUCGAAGAAACGAUAUCCAGUACAUUGCAUCAAUGCUAUCGAAAAGACUUCAUCGAUUCUCAUUGGGAGCUUUGAAUGCCUUAUUCCUCAUGUAAAGAUGAAGUAUGAUUUUCUUGUUGGGGAGAUUCAUAUCCCCAUUGAGGUGACUUAGUGGCUAUUCGAAAAUUCUCCGUUCUCUCUUGCGAUUCGAGAAGGUUUUGUCAUAGGGUCUUGAUCAAUCCCAUUGACGGAUUUCUUUCGAUGACCAUGAAACGGAUGAAUCAAAGAGUCACAUACCUCUGUUUUGAGUUUUCCUUUUCUGUUGCUUAGAAGAAAAAUGAUAGAAUUAGUUUAGCUUUUCCUGUGUUCUGUUUUAGCUUCCCGGAGAAAAAUACCUCGAAAAUAAAAGUUCUCCGAUGGUCCUGAAAAUUUAGUAUGAUUUUUCUGGAAUUUUUGAAAAAUUUUGGGCCUGAGAGCUGGUCAGGGGGCCUGACCAGUGGGCCACAAGCCCACCCCCCACCGCCACCUACCCCCCUGGUGGCGGGGUGCAAGCUUGUGGGGACCACAGGCAUCUCCUCCACACAUUCCAGCUCCCAGCCUCUUCUUCCACCUCCAGAAAAAAUUGUUUCGCAGCUCAAACCCGUGGUCUUGCUCAUUUGGCUGUGAUUUUCGAUCUCUUUGCUCAAAGCACCAUUCUCAGAACUGUUUUGGGGAAAUUGCUCCUUGGUAAGUGACUCCUCCACUGGUCCAAUUAGUUUUUUCUCUAGUGAUUUAUCCUUCGCGAAUUCUUGCUACCUUAGUGACCCUGUUCUUGAGCUAUAAAAGUUGAUUUUAGCUGGUCCCAAGUAGUUUUUGCGUGUGAUAUGGUCUCUAUGCACUAGUAGGAGUAGUUGCCAAAAGUUGGGUUAAUCUUCAUUCACUUUUCUUUCCAAGUGUCUAAAAAUUUCAGAAUUUUUCAGAGCUAGAAAAGGGAAAAGAUGAGGAGGUUCUUGAGAGGAUCUUCAAGCCCGAACCCCAAGGAGGAUGAGAAGAACCACCCCAAGUAUGUAGUCCCUCGAGUCACAGAAGUUCGAGCGUGCGAGUGGCCAAGUGAUGAAUUUUUGCGCGCCGUCGGACUUUAUGAAGACUUUUAUUACUUGGUGGAGAACGCAUGUCUUACUGCGUUCAUUGAAGAUAAGUGCCCACAAUACCUCCUCCUCACCAAUAUUUUCGUUCAAAGCUUCAACUUUUAUCCGAGGAAGAAUCCUCCCAUGGUUGAGUUCAUGAUUUACGAUGUCCCCCAGUGCAUGAUGUUGCAGGACUUUUGCAAUGUAUGCAAAUUACCUUAUGUUGGGGAUAUCCGUGACCCUCGUCCACGGGACUUGGAGGACUUCAUUGGUUCUAUUGUUGUUGGGGAGGAGAGAGGAGUGUCUCGCGCUAGAAUUGCUAGCAUACAUUUUCUUGUGCUUCGGUACUUCUCACUAUUUGUAGGAAAAUAUUUGAUUGGCCGUGGGGAGGCUGGAUCACUUAGUUCUCCAGACAUUGCGGUUUUGCGCGAAGGCCUUUAUAACGAUAAGACUUAUAGCCUGGGCGCUAUAGUAGCUCAAUGGUUGAACCUGAACCGUUCUAAAGGUGUCGUCUAUGAAGGUAUCUAUCCUACCCGUCUUGCGAGACACUUCGAGAUACCCAUUAGACUGGGAGAGGAAGGAGAGAUGCUCCUCCCUGAGAGAUAUCUUGAUUAUUAUCGCAUGGUUCGCCAUGAUUUUUUGGAUAGAGAUGCUAGUAGACGGAUGAUUUAUAACCUGAUAUUUAGUCAGGGUACUCGAGAGACUAUUACUUUUCCUGCUCCUUCUUUGUUCGAUCUUCAUGCUGGUAGGUACACUAUUAUGCCCGCGGAAAUCUACGCAUAUUGGGGUUGGCCCAACCACCGACGCCCGUGCCCGAGCCGCCACUCGAGUACCAGACGCCAGUCCAUCAGUGGGAGCCAGAGGAGCUCACAGAGCAGUAGCAUCCACAGUCUGCUCCGGAGUAUCCUGGAGCUGGUUAUUUCCCACCUUGGGAGUAGACCAAGCUAGGCCACAAGCCUAGGCUUGGGGGAGUACGUGUUCUCACCGACUUUACAUUCAUGCUUAUGCUUUCACUCUAUUGACCGGUGAUUACACUUUGCCACUUUAUUAUCCAUGCUAGUUUCUUUUCGUUUUCUUGUUUUCUUGUUUUGUGUCCUUUUGAUAAAACCCAAAAAGAUUUUCCUUUCUUCUUUUGCUUGUUGGGAGCUUUCCUGUGUAAUUAGUUUUCUUUUUCUUUCUGUCAAGGUAGAAGAUAUUGGUUACAAUGUUUAUUAGUUCUUACAUGCUUACCUGUUUAGCUUUCAAAGAGCCAUAUUACUUUGUCUUCUCCUUUGUGUUUGCCUGCAGAUUCAGCUUAGUCUAAUGCGCUUAUUAUCGUUUACAUCGUUAGAUCAUGCAAAUGAAAGGCAACAAUGAUGAUAUAUGAUGAAGUGACUGAGACUGAAAAGCUGGUAUGAACUCUAUCUAUUUUGUUUUUGUAAAUAUGACUAGCUUGUCGACCCAGAUUUAGCGUUGUUGUGAGAGAACCAUGUGUGCAAUGAUAACUUAGAGAUCAUAGUUUCUGAUGCCAUGCUUAUUUAGCUGAGAGCUUAUAAUGGUUUGUCUUGAUUGCCAACAUAGAUUUUGAGAUGACUGUGAUGUAGUAUGAUAGGAUGGUAUUCUCCUUUGAAUGUUUGAAGUGGCUUGACUUUGCGCAUGUUCAUGCAUGUAGUUGAAACAAAAUCAACAUAGCCUCUAUGAUGUUCGUAUUCAUGGUGAUUUAUAUCAUGUUCAUGCUUGCAGUCAAUGUUAUUUAAACUCAUUGCAUCUUGAUGACUGUUGUCGCUCUCUAGUAGGUCGCUUCCCAGUCUUUCGCUAGCCUUCACUUGUACUAAGCGGGAAUAUUGCUUGUGCAUCCACUUCCAUAAACCCAAAAGUUUUUCCAUGAGAGUCCACCAUACCUACCUAUUUGCGGUAUCUACCUUCCGUUCCAAGUAAAUUUGCAUGUGCCAUUCUCUAAACCUUCAAGAAAUAAUCUGUUUUGGAUGCCCGAACUGCUCAUGUGGUGACAGAGGGCUAUUGGUAUCUUCCAUGCUAGGAGUGUUAUCCUUGACAUGUGUUUAUUCACAGCCAUUCACGAGAAAGGGGCCGGUAUUUGGGAUGCCCAGUUGCAUGCUUAAAUCGAAAACAUAACUGUAAAACAAGCUCCCCCCGGAUUGAUGUUAGUAUGGACGGUACCCGAGGAUUCGGCUAGCCAUGGAGUGUGAUUGAUUGGUGGUGGGGGAGUUAAAACUUUACUUUUCUGUUUGGGAACCGCCUAUAGCAUGAGUAGUAUGGAAGAUAUUGAGAACUCUUGGUCAUUGCGUUGACAAUGAAAGCAUGCCACCCAAAAUUAUUAUCUCUGUUUUCAAAGCUUGAGCUCUGGCACCUCUCCAAAUCAAUGCUUCCCUCUGCGAAGGGCCUGUCUAUUUAUUUUCCUGUCGAGUCAUCCUCCUCUUAUAUAAGCACCAAUCAGAGAGCACCUCUGUCAUUUUUAUGCUUUGCUUUUGAUUGAUAUUGAGUAUGACUAUGACUGGAUCUUCGUUGCUAUGAAUUACAAUGUUUAGUCAGCCCUUGAUCUUUGAAAGUGCUCUGCAUUUAUGUUUUGCGGUCACAGAAAGAGCUAGCGAGAUACCACCUAUUCAUAUUGCUUCAUGCUUGUUUUGCUUGAAGUGUUGGUAUUUGAAACUCAUUAUUAUUUGCUCGUUAGCUGAUUAUGCCAUUAAUAUGAGUUUACUGUGAGACCUUUGUGUCAUUUGCUUAUGUGGUUAACUUGUGAUCUUGCUGAAAUUAUGGUUAUGAGUUAGACAUAGUUGUAACAACAAGAUCAAACAGAGUUUGUCAAAGUUAUUCUUUCUGUCUUAGUUUGUCAACUGAGUUGCUUGAGGACAAGCAAGGUUCUAAGCUUGGGGGAGUUGAUAUGUCGCCAACGUAUCUACUUUCCCAAACUCUUUUGCCCUUGUUUUGGACUAUAAUUUGCAUGAUUUGAAUGGAACUAACCUGGACUAACGCUGUUUUUAGCAGAAUUGCCUUGGUGUUAUUUUCAUGCAGAAAUCAAAGUUCUCCAAACGUCCCAAAAAUAUACGGGUAGCAGUUUUGAAAAAUAUAAAAAAUAUCUGCACCAAGUUCCACCUCAGGGGGUGGGCGAGUGGGCCACAAGCCCCUGCUCCACCACCACCCCCCUGGUGGUGGUGGGCAGGCUUGUGGGGCUCAUAGGCACCUGCCGCCCCCAAUUCCAGCUCUAUAAGUUGUCUUCCGUCCGAGAAAAAAUAAAAAGAGAAGUUUUCUUUGCGUUUUCGAUACGGAGGCGCCGGCACCACCUGUUCUUCAUCUGGAGGGCAGAUCUCGAGUCAGUCUUGGGCUCCGGAGAGGGGAAAUCGUCGCCAUCAUUAUCAUCAACCUUCUUCCCUCUCCAAUCCCAUGAAGCUCUUCGUCGUUCGUGAGUAAUCUAUUCGUAGGCUCGCUGGGCGGUGAUGAGUAGGAUGAGAUCUAUCAUGUAAUCGAGUUAGUUUUGAUGGUGAUUGAUCCCUAAUAUCCACUAUGUUCUCAGAUUUGAUGUUGCUACUACUUUGCCUUGCUUAAUUCUUGUCACUAGGGCCCGAGUGCCAUGAUUUUAGAUCUGAAAUUAUUAAGUUGUCACCAAUAUAUGUGUGUUUUAGAUCCGAUCUUGCAAGUUGCAGUUACGUACUAUUUGUUAUGAUCCGGCAACCCCGGAGUGACAAUAAUCGGAACCACUCCCGGUGAUGACCAUAGUUUGAGGAGUUCAUGUGUUCACCAAGUGCUAAUGCCUUGGUCCGGUUCUUUAUUAAAAGGAGAACUUUAAUAUCCCGUAGUGUCCUUUUGGACCCCGCUGCCACGGGAGGUAUGGACAAUAGAUGACAUGCAAGUUCUUUUCCCUAAGCACGUAUGACGACACACGGAAUGCAUGCCUACAUCACAUUGACGAACGAGAGCUGGCCACAUAUCUCUCCGUCUUAUAGCUGUUGCAUGAUGAAUAUCAUCCAAACAAAUCAUGGACCCAUUGCCUAUGAGUUUGUCCUACUACUGUUACUUGUCUUGCUCUGCUGCUGCUGCUACUGUAGCUACUUUUGUUACUUGUCUUGCUCUGCUGCUCUACUACUAUUGCUAGUACUGCUGUUACUUGUUUUGCUCUGCUACUGCUGUUGCUACUACUGUGGCUUGCUACUGUUGCUACUUCCUACUUCUGUCACUACUACUGUUCCUUGCCACUUCUAUGGCUCGUUACACUGCAGCUACCUGCUACACUGUUGAUUCGCCAGACCGUUGACGGGAAUUGACAACUUCCGUCAACACGGCAACGGAAGGGCCUUUGAUACAAUCGUUAGGAAUAGUCUGCUAUCAACAGAUCAUUUCUGACACCAUUGUUAUCAUAUUACUUUGUUGUCACUACUGUGCUUGCAGAUACUAAUCUUUCAGGUGUGGUUGAAUCUGACAAAUUCAGCUGCUAAUACUUGAGAGUAUACUCUCACCUCCUGAGCCUUAUCAACAAAUUGGGUCGAAUACUCUACCCUCGAAAACAGCUGUGAACCCACGCGCUGGUGGGCCUUCAACAACAUUCUUCUAGUUUCAUUACCGGGGAGUGCUAUCAGCAUUCUUCUGGUGCCGUUGGAGGAGAAGGUUUGUUGUUAUAAGCAUUCGUCUGGUUAAUGCCAGAGAUUGCACGAUCAGCGGCGACAUUCGGUUUCGAUAACCUUUGCCGUGUCUUCCUCGUAUCCCUCCUGACACCUGUAGUAGGUCUGCAAACGAGACAACACCUAUAAGUACAAUAAAUAUCUAUGGUUGCUUUACAAUUGUGUGAAGGAGAAAUUACCCAGAACUUUUGGAUCACCAUGUCCGCCCUCGUGUCGCACAAAACUCCGUCGAUCUCCACCUCCGGUGGGGCCGGGGCACCCAAGUAGUGCUCCCAGGUCAUUCCUACCUCUCGCUCCCGACCGGGCAACGUAACAAACCCUGGGAAGUUUUUACGGCAAAGCACACCAAGGACGCUUUUGGGCUUGCGGACACCCUUGGCAACAAUCCAACCCCUACAGUAUGACAAAUUAAAUCCAAAACAUUAGAUAUUUGAGAAAACGCAAAGGCAAAUGGUUAAAUAAGAGUAAAUUAACUUACUUGUCCCCAUUUGGCCUAAUCGACCACCUCUGCUGGGGGGUCGCCGGCACGAGCGGGAACCCCGAACUACCACGCUGGUAGACGGUAGCCUCCUCACCCAGUUCCUCGUCGCUACCAGCAUGGCCACUUGGCUCAGCCCAUGUAUCCCACUGGGUCUCUUGGGACGUACCCUCAUCCCUGCUUUGCUCCAGAGUCGCCUGGAAUGAAGCCUUUGGGACACGAGUCUCGUGGGUCGAAGGCUUGUUGACCUGAGGCUCGUCGACCCGAGGCUCGUGAACCGGAGACCGUGUAGCCUCCACCUCAGACGAAUCCACCCUGGAAGUCUUGUGCUCAUGUGAAUCAGCUUGGGGUGGUGGCGGAGACCGUGUAGCCUCCACCUCAGAAGGCGUGGCAGCCACCGCCCUACCUCUCCUGCGGCCACGUGUACCUUUAGUACAACAUAAAUACAAACAUGAGUAAUAAAAUGUAUAUAAAUACCAAUAUGCAUACAACAUGAGUACAACAUAAAUACCAACAUGAAUACAACGUGUACCUUUAGUACCUCUCGGUUUCACGAGGGGUCGACCUCCUCUCACGGGGGGCGCUCCUUGCAGAGUAGAGAGCAACGCUCUCCGAAAAGGCAGGCAGGAAUGGAAGUACCCAUCCCAUGACCCGCCGACGAAGAAGGAGCCACAGAGUGCUUUCGACCCUUUCCCACCAUCUUUCAACACCUGUCAUGAAAGAGAGUAAAUGAAAUUAGUACAACAUAAAUACCAACAUGAGUAAUAAAAUUUAUAUAAUUUAAGUGUAUCAUCAUCAUAAAUACCAAAAUGACUAAUCAAAAUUGAAUACCUAACAUGAACUCAAAAUUUAUAUAUAGUAUAAUCGUUGAAUACCUCACAUAAACUAAUAACAAUCGUGCUCGUCUAUAUAUGCUUCGGGGUCAAUAAAUGCAUCAUGAUCGUCACUAUCAUCAAUAAAUGCAUCAUCAUCAUCACUAUCACCAAGAACAUGUGGAAGGCCACCAUUAUGUAAUCGGUCAAGAAGUGACAGGUCAUCCGCAGCAGUAACCUCCUCUUCUGCCAGCUCUUCCUAUUGGGGCUCAGGGGUUAAGAAGGAUUCACUAUUGUUGUCUACUUCAAUGUUCUGGGGUGAAGUAGAGCGGUUCUUGAAACGUUUCUUGGACAUACGUGUUUCUUGGAAGAAUUCUCCUUCAUAUGUGUCAGGGUUAAUGUCAGGUUCGUAAUCCUCUUCAUUGAGGGUAGGUGGUCUAAAAUGUGCUGGCACUUCAUAAACGACAUCUCAACCUUUGAGAUUUGGAUCAGUUUGGCAGGCGCACGGUAGAUACAAAACUUGUGUCGCCUGUUGAGCCGUAAUAUAGACAUCGGGAACAUCUAAGUGGGUGAUUUGGUUGAUUUCGACUAGUCCUAUAUGUUCAUGAGUCCUUCAAGUGUCCCUCGGCUCAAACCAAUAACAUUCGAAGACUACGAUGGUCGGUGGGUUUUCACCAUAGAAUAGAAGUUCAUAAAUUGCUUCAACUCUUCCAUAAUACUCGGUGUCUCCUUCGCCGAUAGCAGAGACAGAACAAUUUCUAGUCUUUGGGUCCGGCGUAGAUAGCUCUUUUCCAAAGGUACGAAAGUGAUACCCGUUGAUGUUGUAUUUGUCAAAUGAACGGACCUUAUAGUCAAAACCAUUAGCGACUUGUCUCAACUCGGCGUCCAUAGACUCGGCAUCAGCCUACAAGUUUAAUACGAAAGAAUGGAUGCAUUAGCCGCAAAUCAGACCAAGAAAUCAAAUGGGCCCUUAAUGGUAAUUAAUUACCCUUUGUUUGAACCUAGAGAUGAAACCGGGAUAGUCGCGUCCAUGCUUUGCGAGAAGCUCAUACUCUUCGACGGAAUCCUUUUCGAUGACCUCUCCAUCCGAGAAUUCGGCGAUGUAUCGACUAUAUCAAAUAUCCGGGAAUAAGAGUAGUUCAAAGCAAUUAGAAGUUGCGGAACAAUAAAUUACCGAGAACUUACUCGAUGUACGGCCGCACUUCUGUUAGGAUGGUGAAGAUAUACAAAGAAAUGGUCCACCAUUCUUCGACAUCCAACGAUUUCCCUUUCGAAGCACCGGAUGGUGCGAGCUUACCUUUGAAUAGGCUGAGGUUGGAUCUGACUUUUUUUGGAUCUCCAUCAUUAUACCGAGGCUUUGGGUUAUGCAAAUGAUGAUUUUGGGCUUCGUAGUGUGCUGUCACGAAGUUUGCCGCCUCCUCAGUAAUGAAUGCCUCGGCCAUCGAUGCUUCAAUUCUACGUUUAUUUUUACACUUAGCUCGAAGCGUCUUCCGCAUCCUCUCAGUUGAGUAGCACCAUCGAUUUUGAACGGCCCCCCAUUCUUGCCUCGGUCGGGAGAUGCAAAAUCAAAUGUUGCGUGGGAUUAAAGAAGCCCGGUGGAAAGAUCUUUUCUAAUUUGCAGGUCAAGUUUGGCGCCAACUCUUCCAUUUCAUCUAGCACACCAGGCGAUAGUUCCUUCGCACAAAGAGAAUGGAAGAAAUAGCUCAGCUCUGCCAGUACUAGCCAUUCAUCCUCAGGGAUAAAGCCACGCAACAUCACCGGCAUUACCCGCUCAAUCCAUAUGUGCCAAUCAUGACUCUUGAGCCAAAAUAUUUUCAAUUUCUCAAGACUCGCUCCCCUCUUUAGAUUCGCAGCAUACCCAUCGGGGAACAUCAACCGCAUUUUCACCCACUAUAGCAUUUCCCUCAUAGCUCGCCUUUCAAGAUUGAACCAUGCCUUUGGCUUCGCUAUGCUUUGCUUUCCUUUCUGUUGUCGGAUGUUUUUCAACGGUCUAUCACAUAGAGCCUCUAGGUCUAUUCUAGUCUUAGGAUUAUCUUUUGACUUCCCCUCUAUGUCGAACAAUGUACCAAAAAUGGCCUCUGCAAUAUUCUUUUCAGUGUGCAUCACGUCGAUGUUGUGUGGGCAAAGGAGGUCUUUGAAGUAAGGCAGAUCCCAUAAGCAUGACUUGUGAGUCCAGGAGUGUUCCGUAUUAUACCCUUUGAAGUAUCCUAGAAGCAAAGGAUCAGGCUCGAGAGCAUUUAACUGAUCAAGGGUCUGUUGGCCUGUCAACGCAGCUGGUGCAGUGUUUUUGACAACUCUACCUUUGAUGAAAUUAUUCUUGUCUUUUCUGAACGUACAGUCAUGAUCCAGGAAUUGUCUAUGCAUGUCGAAGCAAGAAUACUUGCGACCAGCCUGCAGCCAAUGGAACUGAAGAGCUGCCUUGCAUGUGGUGCACGGGAACCUUCCAUGCACACACCAGCCAGCGAAUAGCGCAAACGCCGGAUAAUCAUGCGUCGAGUACAUGUACCACACAUGCAUUUUGAAAUUUGUUUUGGUAGCCGCGUCAUAGGUCUUGAUCCCAUUAUAUGAGGCUUCUUGCAACUCAUCCUUAAGCGGCUGCAUGUACACAUUCAUAUUCUUCCCCUGAUAGUUGGGCCCUGGAAUUAUCAAUGUUAGGAAAAUGUUCUUUCUUUUCAUAAUCUCUCCGGGUGGCAAAUUUAGUGGAAUGACAAAUACAGGCCAACAACUAUAGUGUCCAGCCGUCAUACCAUACACAUUGAACCCAUCCGUGUUGAUGGCAACUCUAGGUUGCCUUGGAUCUUCCGAUUUAUAUUUAUGUAAUGCAUCGAAGUGCCUCCAUGCAAAACCAUAUGAAGUGUGUACCAGCAUCUUGUUCCGAUCCGCAUCUAGUUCGGUUCUUUUGCCCGAUUUGUGCCAUGUCAUCUGUCUGGCCGUCUCUUCGACCAUGAAAAUACGUUGAAGUCUUGGUACGAUUGGCAGAAACCAAAGAACACUAAUGGGGAUUUUGGACUGAUUCUUCUCACCCAUACCGUUGUCUACCACAAUAUACCUGGAAGAAUUGAAAAUGGGGCAAUAGUUCAAGGCCGCAUACUCAAGCCAAAGUAAGGCACAUCCAUUCUGACAGGCAUGUAUCUUCUCAUAGGGCAUCUUAAGUACACGGAGGAUUUUCUCUGACUGGUAUAGGUUUGCAGGCAGUACAUGGCCUUUGGGUAGAAAGCAUCCAAAUAUCGUCAUCAUCGCGUCGUAGCAUUCUCUGCCUAGGUUGAAUUGAGCCUUCGGAGCCAUUACUUGCGCGAUGGCAUCCAGCUGACAAAGCUCAGUCUGCUCGUGGAGAGGACGUUUUGAAGACUCCAACAUUUCAUAGAAGGCCUUUUUAGAUUCCACCAUCUCAUCUCCGAAUCCCGAGCAUCAUCAAAGUCUUGCACCAUGUCUUCAAUCCCGGUACCAUGCUCGUCGGUGCGACGACGAAUCACGAUAGCUCUGGCACGUUGGUCAGACUCACCAUGAAAAGUCCACACCAUAUAAUUAGGCGUAAAACCCCACUUCUGCAGGUGCUUACCCAUUUCAAACUCUGGCUCCUUUUUCUAGUUGUCGCAGUUGGGACAGGGGCACCAUGGUUUUUGCUGGCCAUUUGCAAAUGCGGCUCGCACAAACCCCCUGGUUUUUUUAACCAUUCAUGGGUCAUGUCUUUCUGACUAGGGUGACCAGUGUACAUCCAAGCACGAUCACUCAUGUUGCCUAGCUACCUACGGGGGCACAAGAAAUAAAUAUAUAAUUCAUCAUCACUAUUCAUCCGUUAAUCAAGUUUGUCAACUUUAUUACGUCCAUGCAACCUACACGCUAAUAGGUAAAGAUAGGUCCUAAUCCCACCCGAGUAUGUGUAGAUUGGGUUCGUUUUCCCAUGCUCUGCUCCAGAUGCGACGCAGAAUUUCGGCAGCACCUCCCCGUUGUUCUCCUGAUACACGUCCCAGUAAUAAGCAGAGAGGAUGUGUACCCGGAGAACAACAGGGAGGCACUGACGAAAUUCCUCGUCGGAUCGAGAGCACGGCAUACGGGAAAAUGAACCCAAUCUACACAUACUCAGGCUGUCCAUGGAUAACGUUGGACAAUUCGAAAGGAUGGCGGUUAUAAAUAUGCAAACACAUACAUAUUAAUAGAUGCCGCCCUUUCGAACGGGAGACGCAUACUGGUCACGCAUACUCAUGAUUGAAGAAACCUAUAUCUAGCAAGUUUCAUCAACACAAAGACCAGAACAGAGCAAAUUAAGGGGGUAGGAGGAGAAGUCAUUUAUGCUCACCAACAAACGCAUGGGUGUAGCUCGUCCAAUGCACGUGGAGGUCAUCGAACAACUGCACAUUGAAAUUCACACGAUCAACACAAAUAUGAUGUUUUUAAAACAUAUUCGGAAAAUAUGUGACCUAACUUAUAAUUAACAAAACUAUGACCCCGUCGGUUUGUGGAAGGCUGAAAAGCACCUUCUCGUUCAACCGGAGGCAGAAGAGUUGUCGGGGGUCGGGGGUUAGUGGCGUCGGGACUUAGUGCCGUCAAGGGUCGGUGGUGUCUGGUGUCGGUGGCGUCGGGGUUCGGGGGUUAGUGGCGUCGGUGGUCGGGGGUCAGUGUCGUCGGGGUCAAGGGUCAGUGGCGUCAGAUUUCGGUGGUCGGGGGACUUUUCGGUCAACAAGAGGCCCAAGAGGUGUCGGAGGUAGGGGGUUGGGGGUCAGUGGCGUCGGGGGCUGCGUAUUCUGCCAGGGUGUCGUCGGGAUGCCGUGUCGGGGUUUCGCGCAUCGUGUCGGGGUGUCGAGGUGUCAGGCNNNNNNNNNNNNNNNNNNNNNNNNNNNNNNNNNNNNNNNNNNNNNNNNNNNNNNNNNNNNNNNNNNNNNNNNNNNNNNNNNNNNNNNNNNNNNNNNNNNNUUCAUUACCGGAAAAGUUUCGGGCUCAUCGGUAGUGUGCUGGGAGUGCCGAGAGGGGUGUCGGGGACCAUCAGGAGGGGUAUCACGCCCCAAGGGGUCUCAUGGGCUAUGGGAAGAGAUAAACCAGCCCCUAAUGGGCUGGAAUAAGUUCCCACUAAGGCCCAUAAGGUUUGAGAAGGAAAAACACAAGGUGGAAAGAGUUUUCAAGUGGGAAGGUGGAAUCCUACUCCAAGUAGGAUUGGAGUAGGACUCUCCCACCUCCAAUUUCGGCCAAACCUUUAGGUUUUGAGGCUGCCUCCUCCCCUCCCUCCUAUAUAUAGUGGGGUUUUAGGGCUGAUUUGAGACAACUUUGCCACGGCAGCCCGACCACAUAUCUCCACGGUUUUACCUCUAGAUCGCGUUUCUGCGGAGCUCGGGCGGAGCCCUGCUGAGACGAGAUCAUCACCAACCUCCGGAGCGCCGUCACGUUGCCGGAGAACUCUUCUACCUCUCCAUCUCUCUUGCUGGAUCAAGAAGGCCGAGAUCAUCGUCAAGUUGUACGUGUGCUGAACGCGGAGGUGCCGUCCGUUCGGCACUAGAUCGUGGGACUGAUCGCGGGAUAGUUCGCGAGGCGGAUCGAGGGACGUGAGGACGUUCCACUACAUCAACCGCGUUCACUAACGCUUCUACUGUACGGUCUACAAGGGUACGUAGAUCACACAUCCCCUCUCGUAGAUGGACAUCACCAUGAUAGGUCUUCGUGCGCGUAGGAAAUUUUUUUGUUUCCCAUGCGACGUUCCCCAACAGUGGCAUCAUGAGCUAGGUUCAUGCGUAGAUGUCUUCUCGAGUAGAACACAAAAGUUUUUAUGGGCGGUGAUGUGCGUUUUGCUGCCCUCCUUAGUCUUUUCUUGAUUCCGCGGUAUUGUUGGAUCGAAGCGGCUCGGACCGACAUUACUCGUACGCUUACGAGAGACUGGUUUCAGCGCUACGAGUAACUCCGUUGCUCAAAGAUGACUGGCGGGUGUCAGUUUCUCCAACUUUAGUUGAAUCGGAUUUGACCGAGGAGGUCCUUGGAUGAGGNNNNNNNNNNNNNNNNNNNNNNNNNNNNNNNNNNNNNNNNNNNNNNNNNNNNNNNNNNNNNNNNNNNNNNNNNNNNNNNNNNNNNNNNNNNNNNNNNNNNGACUUUGUCAAGCAGAACAAGACUCCGGAUUUCAAAGGACAAUAUGAGAAACUGAAACAUGAUUGGCCAGAAUUUGUGAAGCAAAAGAAAUCGGAGCAGUUCAUUCAAAUAUCGAAAAGAAAUAAGGAAAAUGCGGCUAAGAAGGAGUACAAUCAUAUUAUGGGGCCAGGAGGGUAUCGCAUUUGGGUGCCUAGGUUGGAGAAGAUGGAGAACGAGCUGAGGGCGCGAGGAAUCCGUCCAGGUACGGAGGGAUGGGACCAAAGGGCCAAAAGCUGGUGGUACGGGCAUGGGGGAACGCUGAACCCGGAGACAGGGGAGUGUGUUUACCGGGGCAAAUUAAUUAAACCCACCCAAGCCCUUAUUGACGCAAUGAGGGAUGCUCAAGAGGGGAAGAUCAAGUUCAACAGAGAGAACAACGCGCUGACAAAAGCCCUCGGGAAUCCUGAACACGGAGGACGUGUACGAGGCAUGGGGAACAUUCCGUGGAAAAUAGGGUUCCCCCAGAACGAUGACCCGUACGGUUACAGAAGCCGUAAGAGAAAGAUGGAUCGGGAAGCAGAUGUUGUGGCGCGGUUGGCAUCGGAAAUGGAUGUGAUGAAGAAAACCGUGAGUGUACUAUUAGCCGAAAGAGAUGUUCGGGCGCAGCAUGAAGAUCAUCCAGCGGAUCUCGGAAGCCAGCAGCGGAGAAGCAGCGUGGCUUCCACGGAGGCCCCACCAGCUGGUGCAGAUGCACCGACGAUCGAAAUUACUGCACCGGAGCCUCUGGUGGUCGAAAUUACUGCACCGGAGCCUCCUCGCUACCCCGUGGAUGAUAUAAAGGAGAUGAAAGAAUGUCAUCUGUAUUAUCCUAUCGGGAACAUGUCCAUGAAGGUAGCCAUCGGCAGUGCUUUACCAUGUUUACCUGGAGCACUCCACCACAACAACCCCAUUCAAGAUGGCUAUGCUCGUGUCACGGUGGAGGACAUAGUCCAAGGGUUUGAGGACCUGGAGAUUGACAUUGCUACACCUGAAGGGGAGAAAAGACUUGGAGAUGUCAAGCGCCAUUUCAUUCUAUGGCAAAAGAAGUUUAUCAAGUUUCCAGGCGAGGCGCCAAGGACAACAAGUCCACCCCCCUACGGUGGUGGUGGUGGCGGUUCCCCUCCCCCUCCGUCACGNNNNNNNNNNNNNNNNNNNNNNNNNNNNNNNNNNNNNNNNNNNNNNNNNNNNNNNNNNNNNNNNNNNNNNNNNNNNNNNNNNNNNNNNNNNNNNNNNNNNGCAGUUUCUUAUAAAGCAGGAACUCAAAAGUGAUAUUCUAUUUCCUUACCAUUUUGGGUGAGUGUUUCUGUCUUGAGCACAUUCUCUUUUGUUUACUCCAUGCAUGAUAUGUGGCCGGCUAAUCGAUGAGUUAUGCAUGACGUACUGUGCAUGUAUCGUGUCCGCAGGUUCCACUGGAUUCUGCUAGUAAUUAAAGUUGACACCUCAGAAUGUCUCGUCCACGACUCUCUGAAUAUGGAUCCAAAGCUUUGGGGCGGCAUGAGAAGAAUGCUGCAGAAGUAAUUAUUUUCAUUCAUUUGCGCUCUAUAUCGAUCGGCCUAUUUCGUUCAUUUCCUAAUAUCAAGUAACUAAUAACUCUCUUGUUCAUUUAAUUUUCUUUGCCUCGUAGGGUUUGGAGACGGUUCGUAGAUACAAAGGUCGGUGAAUUCAAAAAAGAGCUAGAAUUCAAAAGGUCAAAGGCUAAGAAUGGUGGGGAUAUUCAGCCAGCGGGGACCAAUCUAUGUGGAUACUAUGUCUGUGAGAUGAUCCGGAGAUACACCUCUGAGCGGGUUCCGAGUGAUACCAAUGCUCAGCGGAAUAACCUCCGGGUGAUGCUUAGUCCAGAAGCUCGCUUCCGACCACUUCAAGAGGAACUAGCUGGAUGGUUCAGGAGGGAAGUCCUCCAUCGUAAAGGAGAACACCAUUACGAGGACGUAGAACUUCAUAUGCAUUAAAUUAUGUAUGGAAACUUGUUCAAAAUUGUAUAUGGUCAUCCGAUGAUAUUGAUUAUAUAUUGUAUAUUCCUCUUGAAUUCUUUUUGGUUCUAAUUUCAAAUUUGUUUGAAAUUGUACAUUCAUAUGCAUAUGUAGUACCGUAGAAUAUGUGAAACUCCUUCAAAAGAAAGCACAAAAGAAAUAAAACAAUACAAAUUAAACAGAAAACAGGUUUAGGGGGGGGGGGCCUUUAGUCGCGGUUGGGCAGAAGAACCGCGACUAAAGGUCCUCCGCCCCGACGGCCGCCUGGCGCCCACGUGGACGGGCCUUUAGUUGCGGUUCUUAAGCAACCGCGACUAAAGGGGGGGCCUUUAGUCGCGCCUAUUUGAUCGCGGUUGCGCAACCGCGACUAAUGGCAGUUGCGAACCGCGACCAAAGGCCCUUUUUCCACCAGUGGUGGCGGCUAUUUUAGCGUCGCUCUUUUAUUUUUCAUGUCGAAUGGAGGACGGGGGACGGUGCGAUCUUGGCCCUCGCACGGCACUAGGAGAUUUUAAGUCGAUGACUGUGGUAGCCUAGUAGGUGGGAAUGAGAAGGUCGAACUAUCACAACGACAACAUAUUUUUUUAUAAUAGUAGAGAUCUUUGCGUAAGCUAGAGCCUAGCUGGCUGCAAUGUGUUGCAACCCAUCUACAAAAGAAGCAGUAUCCGAAUCAGAAAAUGCAUACAUCUCAAUUUAUUUCAUACACCAGUAUUGUCGUGCUGAGGGAAAAUUGUGAAAGGCAAUAGUGUUGCGGCAACAAACAUGUUCAGGCCCACAAGGUUGUUGUUGAACACUCCUCCUGUUCCAUGGUGGGCUCCUAAUUAAUAAAUAAAUAGUAAAAAGUAGAUAAUUAGACUAUGUAAGGAAAAUUAUUUAGCGCUGGUAAUAAAUUAAACCAAAAGAAACUAAUUAAAACAAGGGCCGGCGUGGAUGCUUCAUUACGUAGGUAUACCUGGCACCUGGUAAGGAACUCGUGAUAGUGGAGGUCGGCGAAACGGUCAAGGGAUAGUCGAUACGGGGAGAAGGAGACGAAGGCGGCGUUGUUGUGCUUGUGGACACGUACUAGGUUGAUCUUGAACCGUAUGAAGCGGCGUGCAAACUCGGUAUGGGAGUCGUACGUCUUGCCGUGAAUGGCCAUCCAGUCAUCGAACAUCUUCCAAGUCUCCUCAUGGCUCCUCGUCGGAAGCUCCUGCAUCCAUCCAUCCAUCCAUGUUGGACAAUCUUAUAUAUGCAUGCAGGCAAAAAAAAAAAGGGGAAGUGAAAUCAUAUGCAUCUUUGUUGUAAACGUACGAGGCCGUCUAGAUAUAAGUUAGUAUAGUAGAGAGAGAAGGCUAGUUUGUCUGCGGUCUUGAUGGAAUCCUUGAAGGCCGCGUACCGGCGCUCCUGCUCGAACAUGACGUCGUAUGUCUUGCCAAACUUGGUCAAAAACUCGGCGAACAUCUCUCUGUACACCUCCUCGCUCCUCGGUCCUCCUAUGUAUUCGCUCCUCUCAACUCCUCCGCUGUGGGAGGAAGACAGCCAAGCCAUGAGCAGCACCGCUGCCGCCGCCAUGAGGGCCGACGUGGAGCUCCUCAUCGAUCAAGACGUCCGUCCGUCCGUCCGUGGACGUAAUAAAUUUCUGAUGCGGUGUGAGAGAAACAGAUACUAUUGGGGAACGAAGAUGGUUAGGGUUAAUUUUGGGUGCUAUCAGAUGAUCUUUAUACAACCACAGGGCAGGAGAUGAGGAAAGUUUGGCACGUACGAUCGGCCACAAGGAAAGCAGAAGCAGGGAAAGUACUCUAGGAUCGGCCGGAGUCGGAGAGAUACGAGAAUCACUUACCAUCUUACGGCCGGCUGCUAGCUAGAAGGGCCGGCGAUCGUGGAAUUCCUGUCCAUAAAGCUAUUCCAACUAUAGUACCCUUUAUCCCCGAAGAGACUACGUAUGUGGUUGCAUGUUGAUCUCUCGUUAGGCACACUCUUGAUGGAAUGGUAAGCGCUAGAUGAAACGAAUGGGGACGACAAGAUGCGGUGGGUGGAGAGAAAAGGAUGGAGUUUGAGUGACCGUGUUCUAUUCCUUGGUUCCCCGCGGUGAUCAGCUUCACCAUGGACGCCACAGAUCGAGCUAGGCAUGGAUGACAGGUGUGCCUACUUUGUGUGUGGGAACUGCAUCUUUGAUAAAUGACAUUUUUAUUAUGUCAAAAUGUAGCAUCAAGUAGAUACAAAACAAUAAAAGUAUCACCCGGUCUCUAUAUAAUUAUAAUGCACACAGCCAAACACCACCAGUCUGUCAAAUAGAAAUGUAAAAGACCGACAAACCGGCAACCGUAGAGUCAUAUAAACUGACCUUAUGCCUAUGUACAAAAGGAUGAUGGAUCGAUCUGAAGAUUAUGAUCGAUGUCAUCCAUGUUGGAUAAAAACUUCCGUGUCCACCUGCUUCAACUGCGUACACAUCGCCUUGAAAAUCGGUUGAUACUCCACUCGUUGUAGCACAGGCCACAUAAAAAACGAGUGCGUACAACAGAAAGCAACCUGGAAAGGAGAAGCAUUUUUUUCACUAUAAACAACAUUAUUUCUACAUAGUCAAAGCGACCAUAGUAAGACAUAUGCUCAUAUCCUUAUUAGCGUUUUGUACCUAUUUGAAAUACCGUCUAGCCGCUGACGAAAAAUAUUGGCAAUACUUCUCGGCGGAUACAAAUUUAGUGCUAUUUGGAUGACUGACUACGUGGAACGCGCAAACUUAUAUUUGAAAAAGAGGUGUUUGAUUGUCUCUUCAUGAGUACAAAAAAACAUUUCUUACUUUCCGACCAGUUGCACCAUGCGAAGGUUGUCUUUGGUUACCACAACACUCCUAUGAAGAUACCACAUGAAGGUUUCAACUUUAAGUGUUGCCUUCGCUUUUCAUUUUUUAAUUACUAACCGGUAGCUCAAAAUGUGUGACUGCAUGAUACAUAAAGUCUAUUAUGAAUGACCUCGAUGUAGUAAAAUUCCAAUGAAACACAUCUCACAUCUCAGCCUUGUGUCAGGUUAAUCGAAUCCAGAUGGGACCUGAGAUUAUUCCAUGACAUAAGUCGGGUGCCAAUAAGAUCCCGACUAAACGAAAUAUUUGGCAGGGAUGAGCUGAGCACCCGCGCAGUCAUAUUAUUCUUAUCACGUGCAAUGUUGUGUAAGAUGGGUAUUGUUCUCGGAGACUAGCAUUACCUAGCCAGAUGUCUUUCAGAAAUGAGUCUCCGACCCCUCUGUUAUCCCGAAAGACACAAACGGAAAGAGAUGUUUCUUUACCGCCAUUAGACACUUAAGCCUUGUACAAUGCUAGAUGCUUAGAAAAAUAAAUCGGAUUUUUUUCCUGAUGCACCGGUGCCUGUUUCUCCAGGAGAGAUGCCUAACUAGGCAUCUACCCUCUAUAAAUAAGCACCAAUGGUUAAAUCAAGACUGGUUUAAUUCUUUAAACACCCCUUUAAGAGUCUUGCAUUGUACAAGCCCUCACAGUACAUCCAUGUCUGACUGAAGUCUAUAAAAGUUCGAUCAGCGUGAGGCGCAUACAAUCAGGGACGGAGCCAGGAUCCAUGAAGGAGGGGGCCUCUAAAUGGCCUGAUUAUUUCACGGUUGGACUCUAAAUGGCCUCCACAAUUCUUUUGUUUAAGCUCAUUGCCCUCCACGGUUCAAUCUACGGGGAUUAACCCAUGUAAGCUUUUUUUUUUUCUAUAGAAUCCCAUGGCUCUUUCACGGAUGGACUCGGUAUGGCUUCCAUGAUUCUUUAUUGAAGCUUUGUGGCCUCCACGAUUCAACCUAGAGAAAAUAUACCCUUUCUCCUGUGGACUCUAUAUGCCCUCUAUGCUCAAUCGAGGAUACUCGGGAGCACACAUAAAUGUCUCUCCCGAUGGACAUCUUCAAUUGGCCUCUCUCGCCUCACAUCAUCCCGCGUACCCUAAAGAUGUUUGCCCUCAUGAUCAACAUUGCGGCGCCCUCCAGGUCCUCUUGAUAAACUUCUAAAUUCUAUCCGCCACGCUUCACUCUGACGACUUGGUUUCCAGUAUUUGAAUUACCCCAGCUUCAAUUUCGACAAGUUACAAACUUGGCAUCUUUUUGCAGGAUCAAUUCCUAUGAUUGGCAGAUGCAAGGGAUAAGGUAUAUCGGCAUCAACUUAGUGCAGACAUGGCAGCUGCGGGACUCCUCACAACAGUCCCGCUCACCCUCCUCCUGCCAGCAAAGAAGCCCCACCCGCCUCUACAUACAGGGAUUCUUCUUUGGGUAGUGUACACUUCGGGUAUCAGCAUGUCAAGAUUCUCAAAAGAAACUGGACCACGAUUGCUCAAUUAUUUUUAGAAAACAUUGUGCAGAAGUGAUAUGGUAUGUGAUUGUUUGCUUGCUGUAGUCAUGAGUGAUUAAGCCACAGCCCGCCUCCAAAAACAGGGAUUCCUCUUUGGGUAGUGCACCCUUUGGGCAUCAGCACGUCAGAAUUCUUAGAAGAAACUGGACCACGGUUGCUCAAUUCUUUUUGGAAAUGUGUGAAGAAGCAAUAUGGACAUGUGAUUGUUUCCUUGCUAUAGGCAUGAGGAAUUAGUUCACGUUAAGAAAGACUAAAAGAUACUGUUGGAGCUGAAUAUGGGGGAGGAUGGCCUGGAUAUUGACUAGAUUACGCACGAGGUGCUAAGCAUUAUAAAAAAAUAGUACUUGAAGUUCUGCCGAUAGCAUCACAUAUAUAUCAUUAAGCUGAGACCAGUGAACUAUAGCUCAUGUUAUGUAUUUUUAUUCCCCAAUGCUGAAUUUUUAGCUCCACAAUCGUCUUAGCACUAGCUCUUUAAUUUCCCUCGCAUCCUUGAUAUAUAGUUAUAUCUGCUUGAUGAUUCCACCAAAAAGCCAGGGGAAGCUUUUAGUUUGUAAUGGAACUCCUUAUUAGGCCUUUGCGACAUACAUAAAUUCAGUUUUUAUGCCUUAGUCUUCCAAACUCUUUCAUUUAGCGGAACUUGCAUAUACAUUCUGGAAUCGGUCACAUUUGGGAGUGCAUUCCUCAGGUAAGAAGGAAACAAUGAUACACAAGAUGGGUAAGUAAACAGAUUUUAAUACCGAAAGGAUUAUUGUUGCUUUUCUCAUGUUGCUCGCAUGCUCUUAGUUAUGUGGGGUCUGUGUAAAAAGUCUAAUGUGGUGAACUCUACAAUUUUUUGUAUUGCCGGCCAUACUUAUAUCUUUAAACUACUGAUUCAUUUGGUGCUUCACAGUUUUGUGCAAUACAUACAGUUACGCGAUAAGAUUACUAAUAAUCUUAUGAUUUAUGUAAGAUGCUCACAUAGUGGGUUAUUAUAUGUUUAGAUGAAACUACAAAGGCUCCCCUACAAUGCUAUAGUAUUACUUCACAUAUGAGAAUAUCUGCAUUGGCAGUGGGUCCCAGUGGGUCAGCACGGCGGUUCUGAAUAAACAAUAGCAAAGGAUCUCAGUGCUCUAUCCGGGCAUGAUUUAAUAGAAGGUUGAGGUCUGUGACGAUUCCCGUGAGAAAUAUCUUCUAUUUCAUUUCUUUUAAUUAUUCCACACGCUAAGUAUCACACUCUCAACUAUACUUAUGGAUACAAGACUGUCAACACUUAGACAGUUGGAUACUUGGAUUGGCAACUUCAAUGGGAAUCUUAAUUUCAUAUAUUUGUGCUUUUCCAUCUCGGAUGCAAAAUUUGCAAACUGUUUGGCUAAUAAAGUCUUGCUAUGUGCUGGAGUUAGCAAGUAGUGAACACUCGAGCUAUAUAUUUUGACCAUUUGUUUUCAAAAUUAUUUGCAUGUAUAUGUUCAGUGUCCUAUUGUCUUUUAUCUCUUAUUCCAAGUGGACAAUAACAAAUAUGCUGAGGAUUAUGGCAUCACAUACUUAAGUUACUUCACAAUUAGUGCUUUUCCUCCUUGAUUCUUCUAAGCCAUGGAUUUUUUUCUUCUCUUUCCAUUAUACGUGAUUAUCAAUAUUAAAAAGUGCAAAUAUUAUUUACAUCAUUCAAAGUAGUAUAACAUUUGAAAAUUUUAAUGUGGUGAAUGCAUGCCUCUUAUUAAUAAUUCUUUCCAGACUUGGUAUUUUGUACAUAUUCUUCCAUUGGACAAUCAUGCUGAUCUUUGCAUGCUACUUAUUAUAUAUUUUGUUAAUAAUAUAAAUCAACUGUGUGCCUUUUGGAUAAUAUCCCACCGGAACAACUAUUUUUUUACAAACAAUAAUUGAUAUUCCGAUUAAAUAACCAUAUUACUUCUGCUUCAAACCCUAAGAUUUAUGAUUUCAUCCUAGCUCGUGCAUAGGAGUAAAUGAAACUGAAUGUAUCAAAAUGUGAUUUAUUUAACUACCCCAUGCAUAGUAGUGUAUUCAACCACUUGGCAUGCUCCUCAAAUGACGCAAAAAAAUAUGGUUAAUGUGAGGCAUACAUUAAAUAGAUUUUUUAUUUGUAAUUCCUUUUGUUCAUAUAGUGCAAAUAGAAACAAUAUAAAUAAUGUCAGUAUGCUAUCUUAAGAGAUAUAGUUUUUGUGCCGACUUAGUGUGACAGCCCGAUGCCGACGCUCCACAAGAUUCCCCCUUUGUUCCGUUUCCGUCGUGUGGCUAUUUUAUUUCGUUGGUUGCAUCGUCAUGUAGUUUGCAUCAUCGCAUCAUGCAUGGCAUCAUGUCAACUGUGUUUUGUCGGUGUUGCUUGUUGCCGUGUUGUUGGGUGUUAGUGCUUUGUGAGUGUGACGUCGUUUGUUGGCGUGAUGUGAAUGCGUGCGUGAGAGCCACCGCUAAACCCUGUUGCACCGCCGACCUAAACCUUCUCCCCUAGUGCUCCCAGCGCCGCAACCCUCUUCUCCUCCCUCAUCCUCCCCCCUCACGCAGUCUCCUGCCCGCCGCGAGCGUCUCCUUCCCCCAGCGCCGCCCUAUCCCCGAGCCCCUGCCGUCGGCCCCUCCUCGCCGCNCCUCAUGUGCCGCUCCCCUGCUCGAGCUGGCCCUGUCCCGAGGCGCCGCGCUGCCGGUCCUCGCUGUCCCUGUGUGCGCCUCCAGUUCCCUGCCCGGUCUCCUCCUGCCGAGCACCCCUGCUGUUGCUGUGGUUGUCUCGUGAUGUCCCGAAUUGCUGCUGUUGUUGUGCGCCGUGAUGUGGUGGCGUGUUCCUGUAGGUUGCUGCUGCUACCGUUUGUGUUGCUGGUGUUGUGCCGUAGUUGUUGCAUGCGCGCUGCUUGCUGCCGCCGUGGCCUAGUUGCUGUAGGUUGCGGUGCAUUUUGCUGCUAGCCGCUGUUGCUGUGCGUGCUGUUGCCGCCUUGCUGUCGCUUUGUAGCUUGCCUGCUGUGUGCCUGCCGAUGCGUGUGCCUGCCGAUGCGUUUUGCUGUUGUUGGUGUAGUUAGCUGCCGGGCUUUGCUGUUGCUGAUUGUUGUGGAGCUGUUGUGCCAUGCAUAGAGCUGCUGCCGUUUGCUUGCUGCACUGUAGCUGAUUAGGCUAGGUUGUUAGUUGUUGUUAGUAGCUGCCGUAGUAGUUUGUUGCUAGCUAGAUGGUAGCUACUGUUGUAGUUUGCGUGUUGCUAUAGUAGUUGCUGCUGCUAGGCUAGGUUGUCGUGCUUGCUGCUUGCCGAGGUUGCUGCUAGACUAGUUGUUGUGGCCGCUUGCCGAUGCCGAAGUUCGCAAGGACCAUCCCCUCCUUCUUGGGACCGACAAGAUCGGGGGUACAACCACGUCCUCGACGACCCCGGAAGCGAGUCCGACUUCCUCGACGUCGCCGAAGACCCGUGAUCAACUACCGACGCCGAAGACCUGAGAACCACGACGCCGAGCGAACGACUACCGUCGACGAGACCGUGUACCACUACUUCAACUACCGGCGCGUGUACGACUACUUCCACGACGACCAUUGGUCCGCUACGGCCCGAACCGCUCCGAUAUGCACGCGUCCAAGGUAUAACGUUGAGACGUUGUCAUGUACCGUGUACAAGUGAUGUAUGAAUAUAUGCAUGUAUGCACCGUUGUUUGCCCGUGCACGUUGUCUUCCUUUUCGUCGUGCCCUCCACACAUGGGAACCCGGUAACCGGGAUCACCCCAUCUUAUUUAGCGUUCCCGCACACGCUUCCUAUACGUUGGCACGAUACCCCGUUGAGUUAUCGGGAUAGGAACGUUGCCGUGGCAUCGUUUCCGAUUUGCCGCCAUGGGUUCCUCUCGCUCGCCGCGGCGACACCUUGCUUCUUUCCCUUCUUGCCGUGAUGUUGUAACUUGCAUACAUGUCGCAUUCAUGGCAUAUAAUCUUGUGUCGCAUGUCUCUUGUGCCGUAGCUCCGUUCUAAGUCCCGCGUGCUAUCGACUAGUAUGACAGGUAGAAUCAUUGCUUCACCCCGUGCCAUGUUAACAAACAAUGUAAUAUUGCCGCGAUAAUUAACGGGAUUGAACUAAACAAUUAAAUGUGGAGUUUCGUCGAUAUGCAACUCGUUGCAUAUCGAGCUUCACUUAAUGUGUAGAGUUGGCGUGAGAUGAAUUGCCAUACCAUCCCUUGCAUCUUUGAACUGAUCAUGCAUCAUAGUAGGUUAUGCCUCAUGUUGUGCAUCGUGUGGUGAAUAUCGUGUGUUGAUGUUUGUUUCCGUUUCCCUCCGUCUCGAUAGAGUUCCGCAAGCGUGUCGGAAUGUGAGGACCCGUUCAACUACGAUGGAUUGCCGACUCCACCGAGUCAUUCUUCUUCCAAGCGGGAUCUCAGGCAAGAUGAUCAUUUCCCCAGAUACCAUUACUAUCAUUGCCAUGCUAGUUUUACCGUUGCUAUCGUUUAUGUCUCGUUGCCUACCACAUGUUAAAUAUGAGCCUCUCAACAAUGCCAUGAAAACCAUCAACCUGUUCAACCUAGCAAACCACUGAUUGGCUAUGUACUGCUUGCUUAACCAUGUUGUUAGCGUUGCUAGUUGCAGGUGCAUUGCUUCCAUGUGAAAACAUGGGUUCCUUGUUAUAUCACCAUAUUAAAUGCUAUUUAAUUUAAUGCACCUAUAUACUUUGUAAAAGGUGGAAGGCUCGGCCUUUCUAGCCUGGUGUUUUGUUCCACCUUUGCCCCCUUAGUUUUCGGCUACCGGUGUUAUGUUCCAUAAACGAGCGCUCCUAACACGAUCGGGGUUGUUAUGGGGACCCCUAGAUAAUUCGUUUUAGAUUAAAGCUGGUCUAGCAAGGCCCAACUUUGAUAAUACAUUUGCCUAAACACUAAUGAACUGCAUAGGGAGUAAUUAACCCGAGGAUAUUUAAUCAACCCCCGGGCCAGUGCUCCUCAUGAGUGUUGGUCCACCCACCUAGCAGUCGGCGGUGCCACCACGGGGCAACUAGAGGUUUGGUUCCCGUCCACUUUGCAUAGACGGUGUGUCCCGAGAACGAGAUACGCGGCUCCUAUCGGGUUCGUCGACACACCGGGUGGCCUUGCUGUAUUAGUUUUACCUUUGACGAGAUAUCUUGUGCAUCGGGAUUCCGGUGAUGCUUUGGGUAAUCUCAGAGUUGAGGUUUUCCACUAGGGAAUCCGACGAGAUCGCGGGCUUCGUGAUUGAGGAUUUCUAUGCGGCUUGUGGUAAUUUGUGAUGGACUAGUUGGAGAACCCCUGCAUGGUUAAAUCUUUUCGGAAAGCCGUGCCCGCGGUUAUGUGGCAACGUGGAAGCUUUGUUUAACACUGGUUCUAGAUAACUUGAAGUUAACUUAAUUAAAAUAUGCCAACUGUGUGCGUAACCGUGACUGUCUCUUUCGUGAGUUCCUUCUCCGAUCGAGGACACGGUGGGGUUAUGCCUGACGUAGGUAGGUGUUCAGGAUCAUCAGUAGUUCACGUCCGUUAUGCGUAGAUCUUCCCCCUCUUGUUUCUUGUACUCGUAAGUUAGCCAUCAAAUAUAUGCUUAGCCGCUGCUGCAACCUCACCACUUAACCAUGCCUCACCCAUUAAGCUUUGCUAGUCUUGAUACCUUUAGAAAUGAGAUUGCUGAGUCCCCUCACCGAUUACUACAACACCAGUUGCAGGUACAGGUAAAGGUUACUUGACGCGAGCGCGUUGAUUGUUCAUUUGGAGUUGCUUCUUCUUCUUCUUCGAUCUAGGAUGGGUUCUAGGCCGGCAGCCUGGGAUAGCAAGGAUGGACGUCGUUCUUCUUUUGUCGUUUGUUUUCGUCCGUAGUCGGACCCUGCUCUUACUCUUGAUGAUUAUGUAAUGUACUGAUGUGACUCUGAUGUAGCUUGUGGCGAGUGUAAGCCAACUCUUUAUAUAUCUCUUCUUUUCAGUAUAUGUACUUCUAACGAUAUCCAUUCUUGCGACACGACGAGAUGCGCUUCUAUCCCUGACGAGGCCCUCGUGCCAAAUUGAGGAUAGGGUCGCAUCUUGGGCGUGACACUUAGUUUAUAGCCAAUCAGACAUAUCCAUAACUUUUUCAAAGAAUUGUAUUCCUCUAUGUCGGGUCACUAUGGUUGUACAUAACACAUUUCUACUUUCUAUGGUAUAGGAUUCUAAGAUUAUAUUUUGCAACUAGCCUGUGCGAAUGCACGGGUUCAGGACUAGUAUUCCUAAUUCAUGAACAAACUUUUAAAAUUGUGAUUAGUUUUUUGAAAAUGAGAGAUCUUUUUUAAACACGAACAUUUUUUGAAAUUUUGAAACAAAAAUUUGAGUAUGGGAACAUUUUUGGAAUCUGCGAACACAAUUUGAAACGGAGAACAUUUUUCAAAUUGUGCAAAAAAAUUAAAACAUGAACAAAUUUCAAAUUUGUGAACAAAAUUUUAAAAGUAUGAACAUUUUUAAAAUUGUGAACUAAUUUUCAAAGAAAAGGAACAUAUUUCUAAUUCAUGAAUAAAAUUUUAAAAUUGUGAUUGGUUUUUUGAAAUGAGAGCAUUUUUUGAAAACACGAACAUUUUUUGAAAUUUCAGAAAAACAAAUUGAAAAUGGUAACAUUUUUUGAAUCUGCGAACAAAUUUUGAAAAAUGUAGAACAUUUUUUGAAAAUCUAGAACUUUUUAAAAAGCAAAGCAAUUCAUAUUUGAAGAACAUUUUUUAAAAAUACAGAAUAUUUUUUGAAAAUAUGGCAUAUUUUUUUUAAAUUGAGAACAUUUUUUUAAACAAGAAAAUUUUCUUCAAAUUUGAAGAACGCUUUUUGAAAAUGCAGAACAUUUUUUGAAAAAGCAAAAGGUAUUUUCCCAAUUUGAACUACACUUUUUGAAACGAAAACAGAAAAGAAAAAAAGNNNNNNNNNNNNNNNNNNNNNNNNNNNNNNNAGAAAACAAAACAGAAAAACUGGUUCAGGGAACCUUCUAAAAUUUUCGGAAAACCGGGAAAAACGGCUGGGAACCUCUACAGUGUGUCCCAAAACCGAAGGUGUUGAAACUAUAAAUGGGUCGGCCCAUUUCCGAACACUCGCUGGGUGCGCGUGUACGAAGCCCCGACAGGGAGACGCAGAGUACGACAAAUAGGUUUUUCCAUCGUUCGGGUGGGGUGGGGGUGGGGGUCGGGGGCAGGCUCGUCCCCUUUCAUCCGUCCCUGGAAGGAGGGGUGGUGGACACUAGUAGAAAAAGGGCAUUUAGCCCCGGUUCGGUUGGGCCAUUAGUCCCGGUUCUCGAACCGGGACUAAUCAACCGGGACUAAUGCUAGCCCCGGUUCGGUCCCGAACCGGGGCUAAUGGCCUUCCACGUGGCGGGGCGGGGAGCGAGGGGGAGGGGUAUUAGUCCCGGUUCGUAUUACGAACCGGGGCUAUUUCUUCGCUGUUUUUUGAGCAAUUUUUGGGUUUAGGGUUUUGCACUAAAUUGGAUGGGGAUAUUUUGCUGCUCCCUAUUUUCCCAUUUAUUUGUUCUGGGCAUUUUUAAUUUUCGUUUUGCACUAAAUUGAAUUGCACAUACACACCAAUAAAGGAACAAUUUGCACAUCGUCACGAUUAUAUUACACCAUCUCAUCCGUCGUGCUUUGUCGAACGUACUUAUAAAAAUGUAGACACGAGUUACAUGCACAUAUAUGCAUCUUUUUUACACUAUAUCAUUUCAUAUCUUUCUUGUCGAAUGGCAAUAGUAUUCUCCCUUGGGAUUUAGGACCUCUUCAUCAAAGAAUCCGGCAAUUUCCUCUUGAAUUGCUCGUAUACGUUCCUGUGGUAGAAGACCGUGCCGCAACCGUUCGAUCUAAUUUAAAGAAUGGGUCAAUAUAUAUAACAAUGAAAUCGAACACAAUUCAUGGUAAUAAAAUAAAGCUGUGAGUAUUGUUUAUCGUACUUUGAUUUUUUGAUGUCCCGGGUUUUGCCCUUCUCAUGGGUCGUGUGGCGAAUGAACUCGCAAACAUAGUAUCCACAUAAAUUCUUCUCAUGUUCCUGCCUCAAGCACUUUACGAGAACAGAGUUCAAUCAAAAACAUAAUCAAGAAUUAUAAUGGUAUUGAAACUAGAAUAAAGAUAUGCGCGGAUCUAACUAGUAGUUACUUACAUUUGUUAGUUUAAAUAUAAGCUCUCGCUUCCAAUCACCUCGAGUCUUGACGGUGAACCGUUUCCAAGCCGUGUCAAAAAAAGGAAAUGAAUAAAGGAGUUAUAUAUUAAUUCCUGUUGCUAUGAGGAAAUGAACGAGAAGUUGCCGAUGUAGUGUCAUAAUGAUUGAAAUUACUUCUAGAGGCAUUCAUGCAUGUCCGUCCAUGCAGUGAGGGAUGUGUGUUUCGGGUCCAUGAUUAUUACUUCUCCUUUGUCAGGUACAAUGAUUAACAAAAUAAAAUGGAACAUGCGCGCGCAUAACGAAUCAAUUAUACGUACACUUAUAAUAACAUCGAGUAAGCGAAAAUAGAAUGUGUAUAUAGUAUAACACUCACUUGAAGUUGUAAGGAAAUAGUAUUUCCCUUUUGGUACUGGAAAACCUUAACGCUUUUACCAAGUUAUUCUCUGUAUCGUGGGGAUUCGUUUCGACACUUUGGUGAUGAUUGUAAUAUGGGUCAAUGAACCCAAUGUCAUAGAUUUGUCCUCUUUUGCAUUCGAAAAUCUUCAUUCUGCAAAAUUAAUAUAGUGAUGAGUAAGAUUAUACAUGCAAGAACGAGCUGAGUAAGAUUUAAUGACAUAAAUUAAUAAUACUUACAAACAAUAGGCACUGAUGAUAGCUUUGUCGAGGGCGUCUUAUUUGUAUAACUGAUAUAAUUCUUCGAAUUCGAUCAUAAUCACGCCUCGUCCAGUCCCGAAAUGCUCGUCUUCAUAUGCUAAGUAGAGCCAGUUUUCCGAUUCAUGACAUGCUUGCACGUACCAGUCAUGCACUCUUCGCAUUUUUGUUGGUAGAUCUUUGACUAACUAAGGUUUGACCAGAGGAUGCCCGUACCGGUACGUGUAUGCUAAGUCAGUGAAUACCUCCACAUGGGUUAAGUACUCAUCAAUAGACAUGCCUUGAGCCUUGGCCGCUUCUUCGUAGGUUGCAACAAAUUCCGGAUCGAGAUCGGUUGUCUCAUCUUUCUUCCUGGACCGCAGCUCCGCUCGAGCACACAUUUGUAUCGGAAUACACUUUGAGCGGGGGGCACGAUUGGUUUUUCUGUUGUUCGAGCUGUGCAACUGAUUUCCCGCUGGACGUACUACUCUUCAACUGCUGCUUUUUUUCUUGAGCCAACUUGAUAAUAGAGCGUUCAUAGUCUGGUCGCAAAGGUGGCGGGGGAUCUUCAAGGUUUUUCAGCAUUUUCACUACCGGGCGUGCUCUCCUGGGGUGGCCGGAUACUCUGCUCUUUCGAUUUAUUCUUGUUAGCGACUUUAGCCUUCCACUGUUCAUGAUGGGCGUCUGCCCUCUUAAUAUUGUCCUCUCCACUAUAGUCCCAAGGUCUCUUCACCAUAUUCUUAUGAGAUACUGUUGGGAGGGGCGACAACUUACGUUUUGGUGAUCGCAUCUCCUUUCUGCCUCCACAACUAGCGGUGGUGUGUUUCCUCUUUUUGCUCUGAUCCUGGGUGGGUGGAGACGUCUGACGGGGCGGUGGAGACGGCUGACGGGGCGGUGGAGACGACUGACGGGGCAGUGGAGACGGCUGCGCUGGAGACUGGUGAGGCGGCGAAGACGACGACUGCGCUGGAGAUUGGUGAGGCGGCGAAGACGACGGUUUCGCUGGAGACUGGUGAGGUGGAGGCGAAGAAGGAUUGCUGCUAUGAGGAGUCGGUGGCCUUGGCCUCCAAUUUGAAAGGAAGAUGUCCUCCUUCGGCCAUACAACGGUUUGGGAUUUGACUUCUCCAAGUUGAGUUAAAUCCCUAUCUUCACCUGCAGAGUGGUCGAGCUUCAGCUCCUCAUAAUCUUUCAUCACUUCAUCCACCGCGACAAUAGCGUACCCUUGUGGAACCGGAGAGCAAUGCCAAGUUGGAUGUGGUCCAAUUGGUAAGGCCAUGUCGACCGCCACCGUCAACCUUAAGUUAGCAACUUUCACCUUUAGCUCACAAUGUGUGCUCUCAGUGAUAUCAUCCACUAGGUAGUGACAAGGAGGACUUGUCGUAGGUGCAUCAUCACCAUCAUCCUGGAGCUGCGUGGAAGCGACACCGCUUUUCCGAUUCGAUGCAGCUUCUAUCAUGAGCCGGUGAGAUUAGUCGCUACCUUGAUGUCUCUCGAUUUGAUCCUGCUGCAGCCGCUUUACUGUUUCUUCUACAUUACGCAACCGGUCUGCAGCAGCCGCUUUCUCAGCUGCCUCCUUUUCCUUUCUCCUCUAAUUGCUUCUAUCGGGAAAUCUCUUUCUUUCGUCGGAAAACGCAAGCGUCCACGGCAGGGAGCCUGGUAAGCCUCGUGCUCGCCCUUUGUGUUCCUUAUUCCCAAGGACGCGUGUGAGCUUGUCGUUCUCUCUUUCGGGAACAAACCGUCCCUCUUCAACAUCCUGUACUUUCUCUCUUUCGGGAACAAACCGUCCCUCUUCAACAUCCUGUACUGCACGUCUAAUCUCCUCGAUGGGUAGGGGGUUAUCUUUAUGUAUUUGGUUAUAUACUGCCUUUCCUUCUUUGUCCAACUUGCCCCCAUGCCCGUAAAACCAGUUUCUUCCUCGUGGGAGCCAUCUUAAGGGCUCUGGAGUGAUUUUUUUUUCCAGAUAUGAUGCCUCAAGUGCAUCCCACUCAGCCAUCUUACCGCCGUAGCCACCAGGCCCCAUAAUAUGGUGGUACUUCUUCUUGCCUGCAUCCGCCUUAUUUUUUCAGACUUUUUCAAGGCGUCCUCCGAUUUCUUGUACGUCACAAAUUCAGCCCAAUAGUCUUUUAUCUUCGCAUAGCCGUGAUCGAAAUCUGGAGUCUUCUCUUUCAAGAUAAAAUCGUUGUGCAAUCUUUUUUUCCAGCCCCUAAAUAGAUCGGCCAUCUUCUUAAGAGCCCACUCCUUGACUUUUUUCUCUAGGAUCUCUUUUCGCCUAUUCAUUUCCUCCUCAUUUGGCUCCUCAUUUGGAUCCACCUCUGGCGCCGACAGGGUGAAAUUAAGCAUGAGCUUUCUCCAAAGGUUUUCUUUGGCUGCUUCCCCGACAUAUGAGACUCCUUCCUGAUCCCUUGGCUUAAUCCAUUCUCUAAUGGUGAUAGGGAUGUGGUCCCUAACAAUAACUAUGCAUGCCUUCACAAACUUCUGCUUUACAUCCGCGGGAGCAAUUGGUUCCCCGGCAUGUGAGACUGUUUCGAUCCUGUACCUCUGACCGUCAUCCAGCUUCUUGGUUGGGCCUCGUUUCGUCGUACUGAAGUUUUGCUCGAUAUGGAGGGCUAAAAGAAACAGCGUUAAUAUAUGUAUACAUAUAGCAGAGGAUUAAUUUAUUAAUAUAUAUAUGCACCUCGAUGCAGCGGUCGGCUUCUCCCUCUUCGGCUUCUUCCUCAUUGGAACCGUCGAUUCCUCCCUCGCCCGAGGCGGGGGCGUCUACCUCACCGGAGCUUCUACCUUGUGUUUUGAGAGACUCAUCUCCCUCGCCGGACUCGUUCAGAAACUGAUUGGUGACAUCGACAUCGCCAACUAAAAUAUUGUCCCCGCGGAUGACACCAAGCAUCACGUCUUCCUCAUAUUCGUCUCUACCGUGUGUAUCCAUAGUAUCUACAAAUUAGUUAAACAUAAAAAAUAAAUUAACUAACAACUAAAACUAUAUACAUCAAAUAAUCCACUUAAUAUUAUCGAAUAUAUAAUCUGAAAUACAUAAAUAAUGCAUCUCUCGAAUACAGUAAUACAUCGAAUAAUAAAGACUGAUCAGUCAACAAAGAGCCGUCGUACUACUGAGGCGCGGGCGGUGGACACCCAAAGAGCAGGGACCAUCACCAAAUCAUAUCUCCGGUGAGAUCCCAUAAGAACCUGCCAGGUCAUGUCGAACCUGGCAUCCAACGCCUCCAUGUACUGACGGACGUGCUCGUCCUCUCUCUGACACGGCGACGUACGUCCUCCUCGGGGGCCGGCAACCUAGGCACCGAAAGUGGCCCCCGCGACCGCCACCAAAGAAGCUCCGGGUCGACGGUGGGAGCCUGGUUCCUCACCAAGCUGCGCGCCCCAGAAGCCAACUCCUCCCAGUGCCAGCCCGGCGGAGCCCAGUCCCGCACACGCUGGCGCAUAUGAAGCAGGUAGCCGCCACCGAGUGGACGACGAGGAUGCUGGCCGGGCAUCGUAUAUGUCCUACUGUUUAAAUUCCUAUUGUUUAAUAAAAUUUUCUAAAUAUGUACACUCCUUCCGUUCCAAAAUAUAAGACCUUUUAAAGAUUUUAUCAGAAAACUACAUAAGGAGCAAAUGUCAAAAUUCUCAUCAAACUUUUGCAAAAAAAACUAAACAACUAAAACAACUAAAUUAACUGAAACAAUAUGAAACACUUAAUUACCAAAAACAAUAUGGACACACUUAAUUAACUGAAACAAUAUGAACACUUAAUUACCUAAAACAAUAAUCCUAAUUUUCUGUUUUACUAUAUAAUUAACUAAAUUUAUUUCUUAACAAUAAUUUUUUUCAGAGUGUUUCUAAGAGAGUGUGUGUAGUGUGUGUGUGUAUGUGGAGCACCAGCGGCUCGAACGUCGGAGAUGGAUCGGGCAUCUCCGGUGGUGGCUAGGUGGGGGAUGGGAUCGGGGAGGGGCGGCCAUGGCGGCAAUGGCGCGCGCGCAGUCGAGCUCGUCGCGGCCGUGGAGGAGAGGGAGAAGAGGGCGGCUCACCUCGGGGGAGAAGAGUCCCGCGCAUAGAUCCGAUGCGGGCGAGGAGGACGACGGGCGUCGGCGAUGACGACUGCGAGGCGGACGUCGGGGCAGCCUGGCGGCGUCGAGAUCGUCGUCGCGUGCGGCGUAGGAGAGCGAGAGGAGGAAGAAAACGACCUGGCGAUGUUGGGAGUUGGAAAAAUCGAAGUCCCGCUUAUAUAGGACGGGCUUUCACCCCGGUUCGUGGGAAGAACCGGGACUAAUGACCACCCUUUAGUCCCGGUUCGUCCCACGACCCGGGGCUAAAUGUAGUUUUCAUCAGGCGAAGAGGCGGGAAGGAGAGGGUCUUUAGCCCCGGGUCAUGGCCAGACCCGGGACUAAAGGGUGUCUUUAGUCCUGGUUCUAGCAACGACCCGGGGCUAAAGCCCCGCAAAAUGUUUAGUCCCACCUCGCCGAGCGAGGGACGCUGGCACUAGUUUAUAAGCCCCGCCGCAGCAACUGCAUCGAACUCCUCUCUAAAGCAGGCCUCCGGGCCUAUCUGUCCUCUCAUUGCCUGUUGGUCCUAUAUUGGGCUCGCGGGCGUGCAUCCUGGACCACCUAUCGUGUAGGGUUUCUAGUCGUAUGCAGGCUGUGAUGGCCCAAUAGCCUGCAUUUUUUUCCUUUAAUAAUUUUUCUCUUUUAUUUUUGUUUUCUAUUUAAGAUUUUAACAAAGGGAUUUCAUUCUUUUGAACUUAUUUAAACUCCAUACUUUUUGUGUGUUCAAAAUGCAUCAUUCAAAGACACAUCACAAAUUUUGAAAAAUUUCUGACUUCAUUUGAUAUUUUCGUGCCUUUACUUAUUUUUUUAGCUAGUUGAAAUUGAAAAACACUACAAAUGAACUCUGAAAAUGUUGAAAGUUGGCAUGGUAUCAUCAUUUCACCCACAUAGCAUGUGAUAAAAAGUUGAGAGGGUUACGACAAAAACAAGAUGCACUUCGUGUACAAAACGGACAAUCUGCUGACAUAGUACAUAAAGUUUAAUACAUUACAUAGAUUUUAAUACUUUUGUACACAUCACAUAAAGUUUAAUACAGUAGUACACAUCACAUAAAGUUUAAUACAUUAGUACACAUCACAUAAAGUUUAAUACAUUACAUAGAUUUAUAUUUCGAUUCCUUGCCUAUGAUUGCUUAUGCCGUAACCAUGGAGCAUCUUCAUUAUUUAACGGGAUGCUUGGGUCAAUUCUUACUAUGAAGGGCGGAAUUUCAUCAAACUUAUUAUAAUCUGCUGACACGUCUGUCUUGUCCUCGAUCCCCAUGAUGUUUUUUUCCAUGAAAGAACUAUGUGACGCUUUGGCUCAUCGUCUGAUAUAUUCAUUUGCUUAUUUUUUCUUUUUUCGGUCUAGAGGACAUGCCUUUCACGUAGAAAACCUGAGCCACGUCAUUGGCUAGGACGAAUGGCUCGUCUUUGUAACCAAGAUUCUUGAGAUCAACUGUUGUCAUUCCGUACAACUGGUCUACCUUUACCCCUUCUCCAUUCAUGUUCACCCAACUACACCGAAACAAAGGGACCUUUAAAGUAGGUCCGUAGUCAAUUUCCCAUAUAUCCUCUUGUUGGGGAACGUCGCAUGGGAAACAAAAAUUUUCCUACGCGCAAAAGACCUAUCAUGGUGAUGUCCAUCUAAGAGAGGGGAUUUCCGAUCUACGUACCCUUGUAGAUCGCAUAGCAGAAGCGUUAAGAAACGCGGUUGAUGUAGUGGAACGUCCUCACGUCCCUCGAUCCGCCCCGCGAACCGUCCCACGAACCAUCCCGCGAUCCGUCCCACGAUCCGCUCCGACCUAGUGCCGAACGGACGGCACCUCCGCGUUCAGCACAUGUACAGCUCGCUGAUGAUCUCGGACUUCUUGAUCCAGCAAGAGAGACGGAGAGGUAGAUGAGUUCUCCGGCAGAGUGACGGCGCUCCGGAGGUUGGUGGUGAUCUAAUCUCAGCAGGGCUCCGCCCGAGCUCCGCAGAAACGUGAUCUAGAGGAAAAACCGUGGAGGUAUGUGGUCGGGCUGCCGUGGCAAAAGUUGUCUCAAAUCAGCCCUAAAACCCCACUAUAUAUAGGAGGAGGGAGGGGAGGAGGCAGCCUCAAAACCUAAAGGUUUGGCCGAAAUUGGAGGUGGAGGAGUUCUACUCCAAUCCUACUUGGAGUAGGAUUCCACCUUCCCACUUGGAAACUCUUUCCACCUUGUGUUUUUUCCUUCUCAAACCUUAUGGGCCUUAGUGGGAACUUAUUCCAGCCCACUAGGGGCUCGUUUAUCUCUUCCCAUAGCCCAUGAGACCCCAUGAGGCGUGACACCCCUCCUGAUGGUCCCCGGCACCCCUCCCGGCACUCCCAGUACACUACCGAUGAGCCCGAAACUUUUCCGGUAAUGCACGAAAGCCUUCCGGUAACCAAAUGAGGUCAUCCUAUAUAUCAAUCUUCGUUUCCGGACCAUUCCGGAAACCCUCGUGACGUCCGUGAUCUCAUCCGGGACUCCGAACAACAUUCGGUAACCAACCAUAUAACUCAAAUACGCAUAAAACAACGUCGAACCUUAAGUGUGCAGACCCUGCGGGUUCGAGAACUAUGUAGACAUGACCCGAGAGACUCCUCGGUCAAUAUCCAAUAGCGGGACCUGGAUGCCCAUAUUGGAUCCUACAUAUUCUACGAAGAUCUUAUCGUUUGAACCUCAGUGCCAAGGAUUCAUAUAAUCCCGUAUGUCAUUCCCUUUGUCCUUCGGUAUGUUACUUGCCCGAGAUUCGAUCGUCAGUAUCCGCAUACCUAUUUCAAUCUCGUUUACCGGCAAGUCUCUUUACUCGUUCCAUAAUACAAGAUCCCGCAACUUACACUAAGUCACAUUGCUUGCAAGGCUUGUGUGUGAUGUUGUAUUACCGAGUGGGCCCCGAGAUACCUCUCCGUCACACGGAGUGACAAAUCCCAGUCUUGAUCCAUACUAACUCAACGAACACCUUCGGAGAUACCUGUAGAGCAUCUUUAUAGUCACCCAGUUACGUUGCGACGUUUGAUACACACAAAGCAUUCCUCCGGUGUCAGUGAGUUAUAUGAUCUCAUGGUCAUAGGAACAAAUACUUGUCACGCAGAAAACAGUAGCAACAAAAUGACACGAUCAACAUGCUACGUCUAUUAGUUUGGGUCUAGUCCAUCACAUGAUUCUCCUAAUGAUGUGAUCCCGUUAUCAACUAACAACACUUGCCUAUGGCCAGGAAACCUUGACCAUCUUUGAUCAACGAGUUAGUCAACUAGAGGCUUACUAGGGACAGUGUUUUGUUUAUGUAUCCACACAAGUAUUGUGUUUCCAAUCAAUACAAUUAUAGCAUGGAUAGUAAACGAUUAUCAUGAACAAAGAAAUAUAAUAAUAACUAAUUAUUAUUGCCUCUAGGGCAUAUUUCCAACACCUCUAUGUAACCAUAGUAUGUGUCCUUUUUUCCCAUUAUCGUCUUUGGCAUCAUAGCGGACACCACUGUUUUGGUUGGUGUUCUUUUUAUCUUGGGCGGUCAUGUAAAAAGUAUUCCCGUUUAUCUCGUACCCUUGGAAAUGUAAUACAGUCGAAGAAGGUGACGCGGCCAAUAAGUAUAGUUGAUCUCCAACAAUGUUGUCAUUCAUGAGACGUGCUCGCAACCAACUGCCGAAAGUAUCCAUGUGUUUUUCUUCAAUCCAGGAGAUAGCCUUCCCCGGGAACUCGGAGCGUACAAAAUUCUUGUGCUCCUCGAUAUACGAAGCCAUGAAGGUGGAACUUUUUAGAACUAUGUAGUGUGCUUGAGUGAAAGAAUGUCCGUCCCUACAUAUCACUGCUUUCUUUCCUAGUGUGCCUUUUCCACUCAGUCUCCCCUCAUGCCGCGAUUUAGGAAUACCAAUAGGCUUAAGGUCAGGAAGAAAGUCUACACAUAACCCAAUGACCUCUUCUGUUCCAUAGCCCUUGGAGUGCUUCCUUCUGGCCUAGCACAGUUAUGAACAUAUUUCUUUAAGACUCACAUGAAUCUCUCGAAGGGGAACAUGUUGUGUAGAAAUACAAGACCGAGAAUGGAAAUCUCGUCGACUAGGUGAACCAGGAGAUGCAUCAUAAUAUUGAAGAAGGACGGGGGAACACCAACUCGAAACUGACAAGACAUUGGACCACAUCCUUCUGUAGCCUUUCCAGACGUUCUCGAUCAAUUACCUUCUGAGAUAUUGCAUUGAGGAAUGCACAUAGCUUCACAAUGGGUAAUCGAACAUUUUCCGGUAGAAGCCCCCUCAAUGCAACCGGAAGCAACGGCGUCAUAAUCACGUGACAAUCAUGAGACUUCAGGUUGUGGAAUUUUUUCUCUGCCAUAUUUAUUAUUCCCUUUAUAUUAGAUGAGAAGCCAACGGGGACCUUCAUAUUGCUCAGACAUUCAAAAAAGAUUUCCUUCUCUGCUUUGGUAAGAGCGUAGCUGCUUAAGUAUUGACGUCCUUUAUCAGUCUUCUUGUCGUAUGGGUCUUUCAUACGUUGUUGCUCCUUCCGUGCUUCUGUUGUAUCUUUUGACUUCCCAUACACGCCCAAGAAGCCUAGCAUGUUCACACAAAGAUUCUUCGUCACGUGCAUCACGUUGAUUGAAGACCGGACCUCUAGGUGUUUCCAAUAGGGUAGCUCCCAAAAUAAUGAUUUCUUUUUCCACAUGGGCACGUGUCCGGUAAUGUCGUCUUUCGGAACAGAUUGACCACCAGGACCCUUUCCAAAGAAUACUAUUUGAUCCAAAUCCUUGACCAUAGCCAAUAACUCAUCACAGUAGGUAGGUUAGGCUUCUUCCGGCGAUCUGCCUCACCGUUGAAAUGCGUGCCUUUCUUUCUUACGGGAUGAUUGGUCGGUAGAAAUUGACGACACCCCAGGUAGACAACAUUGUUAGAUUUUUCCAAAUAUGUACCUUUAGUCUAAUCUAAACAGUGCGUGCAUGCAUUGUAUCCCUUGUUUGACUGUCCUGAAAUGUUACUAAGAGCAGGCCAAUCAUUGAUGGUUACGAACAACAAUGCUCGUAGGUCAAAUUCCUGCUGUUUGUGCUCAUUCCACCCACAUACACCUGGUUUGGCCCACAACUGCAAAAGUUCAUCAACUAAUGGCCUUAGGUGCACAUCAAUGUCGUUGCCGGGUUGCUUCAGUCCUCGGAUGAGCACUGGCAGCAUAAUGAACUUCCGCUUCAUGCACAACCAAGGAGGAAGGUUGUAGAUACAGAGAGUCAUGGGCCAGGUGUUGUGACUGUAGCUCUGCUCCCCAAAAGGAUUCAUGUCGUAUGUACUUAGACCAAGCCAUAAGUUCCUUGGGUCAUCUGCAAAGUUCGGCCACUCCCUCUCGAUUUUCCUCCACUGCGACCCAUCUGCGAGGUGUCUUAACUUUUUCUCGUCUUUCUUACGCUCGUCUUUGUGACAUCGCAUCAACUUGGCAUGCUCAUUGUUUCUGAACAAACGUUUCAACCGUGGUAUUAUAGGAGCAUACCACAUAACCUUAGCAGGACCUUCUUCCUGUGGGGCUCAUCAUCGCCCUCAACAUCACCAGGGUCAUCCUGCCUGAUCUUGUACCAACUUGCAGUGCAUAUCGGGCAUUUAUCCAUAUUCUUGUACUUCUCACCGCGGUACAGGAUGCAGUCAUUAAUGCUUGCAUGUAUCUUCUGCACAUCUAAUCCAAGAAGGCAGAUAGCCUUCUUUGCUUCGUACGUAGUCUCGGGCAAUUUGUUAUCCUUUGGAAGCUUCGGCUUCAAUAUUUUCAGUAAAUUCUCAAAUCCCUUGUCAGAUAAACCAGUUUCUGCCUUCCAUUUCAAUAGUUCCAGUGUGGUACCGAGCUUUGUGCUGCCAUUUUUGCAAUUUGGGUACAACAACUUUUUAUAAUCCUUUAGCAUGGCCUCCAACUUCAGCUUCUCCUUUUCUGUAUCGCAUUCUCUCUUUGCAUCAGAAAUGACCCGACCAAGACUAUCAGCGGACUUAUCUGAUGCUGGUUGUUCUUCACCUCCUUCUUCUUCAUUGUCUUCCAUUUUAGUAUCACCGUGUUCUUUAGUGAGCAUAGGAUAGUUGUCAUCAUCAUCUUCUUCUUCAUUGUCUUCCAUCGUAACCCCUCUUUCUCAGUGCAUGGUCCAACAAUAAUAUGAGGGCAUGAAACCUUUCUGAAGCAAGUGGAGAUGAAUGGUUUUCGAGUUAGAGUACUCCUUCACAUUUAGACAGCCAACACAUGGAAAAGGCAUAAAAUUAUCCACUUUGUUUGCCUCAGCCACAUCGAUAAAUUUAUGCAGGCCUGCAAUAAAUCCGGAAGCGCGUCGUUCGCCGUACAUCCAUCGCUUCCGUGCAUCGAUCUGGCAUCAUACAUGAAUAGUGAAAUGACCAUCGUACAUUGACACAUGCAAUUUUAUUUUAUCAAUUACACAUGAAGAAAGUUGCUAACCUCGGGAGAGGAUACCAUUUCGUGUGAACUUUAGUGUGACUCAGGCAUUAAUUAGUCCCGGUUCGUAAUGUACUCCGAAGUGCGCCGGUCACCGUACAUCCAUUAGCGGUUCAUCUCUAUUAUGAAAUUAAGUACAUCAAAAAACCAUUGCAGAACAUCAUGAAUAAAGAAAUGGCCAAAUUAAUACAAGUUCAUCAUCAUAUUAAAACCAAAGCUCAGUAGUGAUCAAACGUUAUUAUUGGAAAAAUAAAUACAUAAAGUUCUCUUAUAAAACAACACACAACUAUGUAAAACAUUUAAAUGCAACAAUAAAUGUGAUCAAAAUCGCAACUAAGGCAACAAUUGACCCAACAACAUAAUGAUACCAAGCCUAUUUAUCAAUGGCAUAUUUUCUAAUAUUCCUAAUUUUCAAUCGCAUUUCAUCCAUCUUCGAGCGCAUUGCAUCCAUCUUCAAGUGAUGUGCAUCCAUCUUCAUCAACAUCGCAUCGAUCUUCAUCUUGCGAUCAUCGAUGACAUCGACGACAUGCAACUCUAGUUCCAUAUUCUUGUCCUCAAUUAUUUUCAAUUUUUCCUUCAAGUAUUUGUUUUCUUCUUCAACCAAAUUUAACUUCUCGAGAAGAAUUUCUAUGUGGGUUGGAAUUUCCGGUUCAACUACCUCCUAGAUUAAAAAUAUAUAUAUGUCACGUUGGUCGUCAUAAUUGUUAUAAACAAUAAAUAAAACAAAUAGUUAUAAAAGAUAAUACAUACCACAUCCGAAUCAUAGACAGGACGAGGACCGACGGAGGCGGAUACUAAACCAUCGUACUAUAUAAUAACAAAAAAUAAUAAAAGUAAGUAAUUUAUACAAGUAUGUAUCUAAAUUAUACAGGUAAGAAUUUUUUUUCUUUUAAAAAGAAGACAAGAACAAGAGGCUCACCACCGUGGUGCUCGCGAUGAUAUCGGCGCGGGGCGAUCUACAACGGUGAGGACGGGCACGGAACGACACCCUACCCAUGUGUAGACUCUAAUAAGUUAAUUUGAGCAUUUCAAAUGAGCUAAACUAGCACUGACACAUGAAAGGAUGAAGUAGCUAACCUUUUAAAACACUUGUGAAGUUGGUGCACGGCCAAACGUAGACAAAUAUUAAGGAAAAUAGAGUUUGGAGGUCGAGUUUGGAGAGGAGAAAGCUUAACUAGUGUGGCUCGGGCAUUUCAUCGAACACGUCAAGUGCAUGAACUAGAGUGGCAAGGGUGGCAUAUGGCAUGGGCACAUUUCAGCCAAAAAACAGAGAGAGUGGAUAGGGGGGACGGUGUAUAUAGGCAGAACUUUAGUCCCGGUUUUUCUCUAAAACCGGGACUAAUAGCCUUCCUUUAGUCCAGGUUCGUGCCAAAAACCGUGACUAAUGAUCCGCGGCACGCCACGUGUGAGUCGCUGGAUCUUUAGUCCCGGGUUUUUCCUCGAAACGGGACUAGUGAGGUGAACCGAACCGGGACCAAUGCUCCGGGAAACCGAACCGGGACCAAUGCAUGCCAUUGGUCCCGGUUUUGAUUUGAACCGGGACUAAUGGUCGAAAGACCCUUUUUCUACUAGUGGGAGGGAAGGGAGGGGGCUUGGGGCGAUGACGGACGUCGACGACGGCGGCAGCUACGUGCUGGCCGGGGAAGCUGACGGCGGCGCUAGAAACCCUAGACAGGCUAGGGAAAGGGUCUAUGGAAUAUAAUUAUAUAAAAAUUCUUUACUUGUGCUUGUGCUCAUCACAAACUAAAUAGUGGAGUGCUGCUGUAGCACAACAGGCAACACUCUAGUCCAGUCACCAACUAGCAACCCAACGAAGACAUAUUCUUCCUUUGUUAUUAAAAUAUAAGUCUUUUAAAUAUUUUAUUAUAAAGACUUAUAUUUUUUUAAAUAUAUGUUUGUUUAUUUUCGGGAAUUAUUUAAUUGAAANNNNNNNNNNNNNNNNNNNNNNNNNNNNNNNNNNNNNNNNNNNNNNNNNNNNNNNNNNNNNNNNNNNNNNNNNNNNNNNNNNNNNNNNNNNNNNNNNNNNNNNNNNNNGUUUAUUUUAUUUUAUAUGUAGUCUAUAGAUAAAAGUACUUCCUCUGUAAACUAAUAUAAAAGUAUUUAGAUAACUAAAAUAGUGAUCUAAACAUUUUUAUAUUAGUUUAUGAAGGGAGUACAUGGCAAAGCUCUUCCUCAUAGUCUAUAAGAGCAACUCCAACAUACGACCCUGGCAUUCAUUCGUGUCUGCGUAGAGGAAAAGGUAUGCCCAAUGCGCAGACUCAUUUCUAUUUUCUGUCUGUUUUUUGUCCGUGCGAAUCCAUUUCCAUUUCAAAUCUGAUAUUAAUUUAGAUUGGAAGCGGACACAAAGUGAAUGUUUUUUUUCUUCCUUUUUUACUAUAAUCAUCGUGAUCCGAUCCUCCAGGUGAGGUACGUACUGUAGUAGGAGGUCUCAAUAAUUAUUACAGUACCAGGCAACAGUGCGCGUCCGAUCCAGAUCUAACAGCACUGUGACGCUCACUCUCGAGCUGUUUGCUCCUCUGUCUUGUCUUCUCCACAUACGGCCGGCGGCGCUCCAUCUCUUCUUCACCUCCGCCUCGCCGUCCUCCUUCACCCGAGUUGAGACCAGCAGCAGGUCAGUAGCCUCCUCCCGGUCGACGCAAUUCGAUCGGGUCAUCCAUCUCGCCCUCUCACCACGGCCACGGAUCUGAGACCUUACCGUUGGCGGACAGCACCAGGUCAGCAGCCUCUCUAUCAUUCCGUGCUCUCUUUCACUGCCUCCAUCUCCAUUCCGUGCUCCCUUCCUUCCCCUGGGCCCUGACCUGGUGUGACUCACUCAACUCAAUCCCCCAUUUCCAUUGGCAUCUACAUGUAGAUCUAAGCAGGCAGCCGGCAUCCGUCACCGGCAAACCUCCCACGCCCAUGUUUCUGUUUCCCUUCUCUUGUCAAGUUGUGAUUGAAAAUUACGUGGCCUCCUCAUGCCUUAAUUAUAUACUUAUGUUUCUCUUGUGAUUGCAAAAUUCCCAUCAGGAACAGCUACACACUUCCGCCAUGGCCUGCUGUGCCGAGACUGCGGCUCAACCCCCCAUUUGCGGUGGACGCUGUGGGAGUUAAUACUACCUACUCCCUCCGUUCCUUGUCCAUCGAUCCAUCCUGGCCUGAACUGAGAGCUCAUCCAUUGCUAGCUACCCGGUUUGCAGCAGGUACGUCCGAGUCAUUCACUCAUUCAUCUUGUAUGUAGUCCUCCAGUCAUUCAUCUUGCCUGCUGUGUGGUUUAAUUAUUUGGUAGCUAUCUGUUCGAAGAUGAAUUGAAUCGAUCUACGCUGUGCAUACGUACGUACGUGUAUAUCGGAAAAGAAGUGACCCGGUGUGUCAAUGGAUCUCCAACCUAAUAGGAGUUUUACUAAAAAUGACCUGGAGUCCGUGCUACUUGAUGAAGCUGCAGAGCCCAUGGCCCUUCCGUUCUCACUUCUGGAAAAUAUCACAAACAAUUUCUCUUAUAAGCAGGAGAUUGGUAGAGGUGGGUUUGCGGUGGUUUAUAUGGUAUGGUAACUCUCUCAAUUACACUACUCAAAUUAAGUUUGCUUGAAAUGAAAGCUAGGUUUAUCCAUGCGUGUUUUGUGGCUGCAGGGAAUGCUUGAGAAUAGGGCAGUAGCUGUAAAGAGGUUAUCCCAUACUUAUAAGUAUGAGAGCGAAUUUCUCCGAGAAGUUGAAUGUCUCAUGAAGGUGAAGCACAAAAAUGUCGUACGAUUCCUUGGAUAUUGUUCGGACACACAAGGGCACGUGGGGAGCUACGACGGAAAAUUUGUCAUGGUUGAUAUGCAAGAAAGAUUGCUCUGCUUUGAGUAUCUGCCUAAGGGAAGUCUUGAUAAUUUUAUCAAAGGUAGGAUCAUGUGCCGCGCAAGACUGCUCUUUACUUUUGUUAUCUCCAUAUCUCAGUUGAAGAUUUGAUUGAAAUUAUUUACCAUGCCAUACCUAUGUCGCAAUAAAAAAAUAUGAAGACCCCCCUCUCCCAACCCUUAACUCAUCUCCCAUAUGUAGAUCCCUCUGGUGGGCUUGAUUGGAAAACCCGCUAUCAGAUAAUUAAGGGGAUAUGUGAGGGGCUACAUUAUCUCCACCGUAUAAAUAUUAUGCAUCUGGAUUUGAAACCUUCGAAUAUAUUGAUGGAUGAUGAUAUGAUUCCAAAAAUAACUGAUUUUGGUCUCUCGAGGAGCCUUGAGGAAAUGCAAACCCGAGUCCUUGCUACAAAAAUGUUCGGCACAAUGUAAGCAUGUUAAAGCAUAUGUUAAGCUAAACUUUUAGUUUUUGCAUGUAUGCUUUAUACUGCUAUAUUAAGUAAUCGUUCUAUUUCUUUAUUUAUGCAGGGGAUACUUGGCACCAGAAUUCACCAGCAAUGUAAUCACACACAAGUUUGACUUGUAUAGUCUUGGUAUUAUAAUCAUGGAGAUACUAACUGGAGCAAAGGAGCAUCCAGUUGUUGAGAAUGUAAGGACAAUUUAUCCCAAUAUUGAAAAUAAAUAUUCAAUCAAUUUUAGAUCAAUCACCUUAGUCUUUAACUUUGCAUUAUACCAUAUCCUCUUUUCUUGUAUUUUCAAUUUACUAUGAUUUGUGAAAGUGUACAUCUAGCUAGUGAUGCAAAAUAGCAUCAAGGAAAAAAUAUACAAGGAAUUUUGUUAACUUCUUCCUUCCAGAAAAAAUGAUGGAAACUAAUAGUAUAAAUGUGAAGCAUUGGAAAGUAAAGUACCCAGAAAAUAGUUAAUUGCUCUCAUGGCUGAAAAUGGCUGGUCGUCCAAAUAUAUAUAUUUGUGUUGGACUCAUGUGAAGCAUUGGAUUGUUUUUGUGUUGGACUUCUUGGAGUAACACUAGUAUUGAAAAAAAAAGUGAAAUGUGUGUGUGUAUGUGGUCCUUAACUUGAACUUGAUGCAUACGUGCACUUUGGUGAGGCCUGCUCAAUGUCUGUCUCAGGUUAUGCCUCCCAUAGUCCUGUAUAUUUUUGAUCCGGGUUGACUGCAUACCCGAGAUUCCUCAUCAUCUCUGUUUUAUGUGUACACUUAGUUCCUGACUUCCCCACAAUCAUGACAACGCCAUAAUGUAUCCUCGUAAUCUCCAACACGAUACAGCAUCAUCAGCUCCAUAGGCAACCUCACCGUACAUGUAUAGGGCUUGAUGGUUAUCGCACGCCAGCACAUCGGGCUUGAUACCGCCCUCUUGCAACUCAAGGGAUGUUGCCAUGGACCAUGGCGACCUCGAUCGUCCUAUGUUGGGCAUAUGGCCUGAUGAGGAUGGUGCAGACAGCCACGUUAGGUAAGUUGCCUAGACAGAUGGUAUUAUAAGGAUGGCUUAUUUUUUAGAAAAUGACAAUAAUUUUGCUAACGAGGUUUUUGUAACAUUGUCCCUCUUACCAUUUCUUUUCACACGAGAGGUAGGAGUAUACAGUAGAUCUGAACCGUUCAUUACAUCAAAUAGAGGUCUCAUUAACUCUUCUUUCUUGUCUAAUCCGCUUACAUCUUAGCUAAAACAUGUUGCAUGUAAAUAAACAAUAUUGCAUCAGGACAGAUUAACUAAAGGAAAGUUUUGUUCAUUUGCGGAAUUUAUUUAUUGGAAAAUGUGGUGGUGCAAAUCUAUCCAUCUCCAAUAUUUGGGGGUUACCAGUAAAUUUGCCAAAUUAUAGUAUGAAUUUCUUGAUUGUAGAUGCAGUUUUGAAAUCAUAAUGGAUGAUUAUUCUUUUCAAAGAUCAUUCUCAUCUUUUUAGGUUGCGACAAGUGAUGCACUACAUGUGUGCCACUUAUCACAACCCGGAAGUUUUCCUUUUUCUCGUAAAUUAUGUAUUUUCAAAAUGUUUUCUCUCUUCAAACAUGCGUACAAAUCUUGAACGGUUUUCAUUGCUGGAUUCCCCGUGUCGAGAUCUUUAAAACUAGAUCUAAUGUUGGUAGGUUUUGAUAAACUUUUUUUCAUGAAAAAAAUCAAAUAAAAAACCGUGCCUCUUGCGAAAGGAAAAAAAAUGUGUUUUUCUUUUCCGUUUCCGGGAGACACUGCCGUGCCUCUCACGGAAGCAAAACCCGUGCAUCCCGCGGAAGCAAAACCGUGCCUUCCCAAAAGAAACAACAGAAAAUCUAUGAGUUUUUUUCCAUUUCCGAGAGGCACGGCUGUGCCUUUCGCAGAAGGAAAUACAUGCCUCUCGCAAAAGAAAAAUAAAUAGAAAAUUCGUUUUAGUUUUCGCUUUCGAGAGGCAUGGCCAUGUCUCUCGCGAAAGCAAAUCCGUGCCUCUCAUGAAAGCAAAACCUUGCCUCUCGCGAAGAAAAAAAAUUAAAAAACGUGUUUUUUUCGUUUCCGAGAGUCACGGUCGUGCCUUUUGACAAAAGAAAUUUGUGUCUCUCGCAAAGGGAAAUAAAAUAACANNNNNNNNNNNNNNNNNNNNNNNNNNNNNNNNNNNNNNNNNNNNNNNNNNNNNNNNNNNNNNNNNNNNNNNNNNNNNNNNNNNNNNNNNNNNNNNNNNNNNNNNNNNNNNNNNNNNNNNNNNNNNNNNNNNNNNNNNNNNNNNNNNNNNNNNNNNNNNNNNNNNNNNNNNNNNNNNNAAAAUAAAAAAUGUUUUUUUGGUUCCAAAAGGCAUGGGCAAAAAAAAAGUGCUAUUUAGAAGCAAAUCCGUGCCUCUGAUAAAAAAAGUGCUAUUUAGAAUAAAAAGAAAGCACAUUUUUUGAAAUGUUUUUUUUGUCCAAAAGCAAAGAAAGACCGAUUAAAACCGAAACAGCAAAAACCCCACCCCAAAAGCCGAAAACGCGGGCCAAAAAAUAAAAUGAAAUUUUGAAAUAAAUGCUCAGAACACAACAUGCGGUGGUGGCUGAGCACGCGCAAAAUGGCGGCGCAUGGGAAAGGUCUUCAGAAGGAGCACUUCCAACUAGUUGCUCUCACGCAGUUUUGGGGCAUGGAACGUCUACCGAAUGGUAAUUUCUGUUGCUUGGUUACCGUGGUCUGCCCAACCUUUUGCUCGGCCACUACAUGCGAAAUCACUAAUUGAGGACCACUACUUUUAAAGAUCACUCUCACCUUUCAAUGUUGCGACAAGUGGCAUGCUGUAUGUGUGCCACUUGUGAAAUUUUUUGCUUUUUUUAUAUACCCAUAGUUUUAAAACGUUUUAUAUCUUAAAACAUGCGUCCAAAUCUCAAACCGUUUUCACCGUUGAGUCUCUCAUGUCGAAAACAAAGCCGUGUUUUCUGUGCAAUUUGUUUUUAAUUUUUUGGUCCAAAAGCUAAGAAAUACCGGUGAAAACCCCGAAAAAACCAUUCAAUAAAGCCAAAAAUAUGUGUGGAAAAAUAAAAAGAAUAAAAUCGGAAGGAAACGGUCAGAAUGUGACACAUAGCGGCGGCUAAGAACGCACCAUAUGGCGGUGUGUGAGAGUAAUUGUUCGGAGGCUCCCGAAGGAGCGCUCGUCAACUAGUUGCUCUACACUACAUGUCCCAUCUAUCAUCUCAAGCAACACGUAUAGUUGGGCUGGCCCAGUAUCGCAAUGUACAUGUCUUAUGUAUUCUAGCAAUUAUCUUUUUUUUCUUCUAAAAAAUCAGUUUCCUUUUUUGAUAAAAAACUAGUUUCUUUUUAUUUUAUUUACUAACUUCGCGUUUCUCUAAAAAAGUUCAUGUUUUCCUAAAACAAACUGUUUCUUAUUUCAUUUUAUUUAACAACAAAAAUAAGUUAUAUACGUAAUUUUUUUAUUAAUAAUUAUUGUAGUUUUUAUAAAUUUAUUUUAAAAUGGGAGAAAACAAAAUUAAACACAUACUUGGAAUAAAGGAAUAAGAAAACCGGUAGUUGGGCUUAUAAUUGGAAAUAAAUUACAAUAAAUUUUUGAACCAUCUUCCAAGUUAAUUCAAAUAAUUGCUAAAUGUUGUAAUAAAAUAUGGAACUUGGGAUGCAGUCCUAAUAUUGGAAGAUAUGUGUUUGUCACAAGAUUUAGUGAAGAGUAUGUAAACUUGAAAUAUGUCCCUCGAUGUGUGAUACCCAUAAUUAUAAGGGAUCACAAUUUUUGUCAACAUGAUGUGAGCAAGAGAAUAUUUUUUAGAGGUUGAGUUGUCAAUUGUACCACACCUAGAAACAAAUAUAUACUUGCUUGAAAUAAUUUUUUAGUAGAGACUGAAGGGGAUCAACCGUUGUAUGAUUGUAGAAAAGGAAAUAAAAGCAGCAAAUACGCAUGAGUUGCAAAGUAUCAAGUAUUUGUAGGAGCAACGAUUAUAGAAUUCAUAGGUUUGCGAUGUAUGAAGGAGACAUUGCAAUGAUAUAAUCAAUAUUCAUAGGUUUGUGAUCUGUGAAGGAGACAUUGCAAUGAUAGAAUCAAUAUAAUAGUGUAAAUCACAUGACAUGACUUUCCAAGGUCAAAUUCUUUCAUCAUGUAGGCAUGUAUUCCCUCAAUAGUCUUAUGUGCUAAUAAAAACAUGCAGAACACGUUUUUCCCUACCCACCCUUCUCACUGGCAUCAUAAUUGAACUUAAGAGGAAUUAAGGUGCUCCUUUUACAAAGCAACUGGAACAAAACAGUAUAACUUGAUGAAUACAUAUAAUCCUCAAAUCAUGGCCACUCCCAUUUUGAUCGGUCAAAUCAGGGUCUCCCGUGCUAAACUAUAAUGUGUGCAUACAACUUGGAGGUAUAAUCCAAACAAGUAGAUAUUCGAAGAAAAUGGUUAAGAUCUGAAAUCAUAUCACUAGGGCCAUAGUGAAUUUGAUAACUAUACAUAAUGAAUAUCCUCCAACUCCACCGACCCCAUGUACCUAUAGUAGAUUACUCAUACAUGAAUGGAAAAACAUGAUAAGGGUGUUCAAGAAGUUGCUCAUGGAGUAGAUGGCGGUCGUUAUCCCUUUCUAGAUGCGAAAUUUACCUCCAGACAACCCUUUACAAAGAAGAUAAAAGGUGGAGAUAGUCUCUGCCCCAUAGAAAUCUAGGGAAAAAUCACCUCUACCGUUAGAUUGUAGGUGGUCCCUCAUCGCUCCUACAUGCACCCAAGACCAAAGCAUGCGCGCCCCCUCUAGCCCAUCUCCGGCAUCCGAGCUUUAUUUUCUGUUAAAUUUUAAAUGUGUUUUUCCUACUCAAGUUUAUUUUCCUGCAUGAAAUAGAUAACACCAAACAUAAUCUAUACAAAAUAACGCCAAUCCAGUUAGUGCAUAUUCAGUGAUACAAGUUAAAGUGCUAAAUCAAAUGAAAAGUGCUCAUGAAAGUAGAAACAUGUAGGACGUAUCAGUUGGCAUUGGGACACAUCUGUCAAGGUUUCUCGACAUCGACACUAUUAAGAUGUGCGUUGUGCCUCGUUAUGAAAGAGCAUCGGGUAUGGGGAAGUGCCCCUGCGAGUAGGAUGAGGAUGAGAUGGGAGAGUGGGACUAGGAGAUGGUGACUUCUCACCAUUAUCUUUAUGAGAGGACCAUGUGAUGAAGAUUGAAGUCACUGUGGUGGUCACUUGAUUGCUAGGAAGUAGAACGCUAGACCCCAGACGAGAAGGAUAGGAUCACCAAUGUCCUUGGAUCUCCGCGUGUCCUUUGCCUUGACCAUCAAUAUUUGCAGAGGCUCACGAUAAGCAUUAGUAGUAGCUCCAUCAGGUCUAUGGGGCCAACAACUACGUUUCCACCUCCACCGCUAGUAUCCCCACCUCAACCAACAAAGCCUCGAGAGGGUCAAAGAUGGUGGGGGAAGCUGCAAGUGGUUGGUAGGGGACUGCCACCGAUACAGAAUAGGAAUAUAGUAGAGAUGUCGAAAAUUUGGGGAGCUUAAGGUCCUUAGUGCACAUAGGAUAUAUGUUUGGUGUUUAUUUGUCACGUGCCCAUGGUGGAGUCACAAAUUGAUGAUCUACAUGGUCAAGCAUAUGAAGUUUAAUCAAAAUGCAUAGGCUAUGUGAAACAAUGAUCAUAGAUGAACAUUUUGAUCAUUUGAAAUGACAGUAGCAUAAGGUUUUGCAAGUACAAUGAUGAAUGUGCACGAAUGAGUCACUCUUUAGUUUCAUAGAUGCAUCUAAAUCAAAAACAAUAUGAGCAUGGUACCGCUACUAAAAAGGUUGGAAGUAACACCAUAUAAUUUGUAAUUUGAAAGCCAUACAAAUACAUAGCCACAUAAUUAUCAUUAUUCCAAGGAAGUAGUGUAACUUUUGUUUUUUUAGUUUUAAUCAAGUGUAAAGGCACCAUUCCCUAGUGCUAGACCACACGAGAAACUACGACAGACAUGUUAAUUUUCAAGAAUCUUUAUUCGUUACUUUGUUGUAGUUUCGAAUUUAUAUGUUUUUUUAUUAACGUAAGGUGUGGGUUCAUAUAUAUGAUACACAUGUGCCUUAAUUGAUAUGUUAAGAGAUGUUCCUUGUCAAUUUCACAUACCAUAUGAGUAAUCUCUUAGGUGCUUAAAAGUUGGGACAAUUGGCCAGAGCUAUCACAAGGAAACCCACAUUAUGAACAAAUACGAGUAUGUGCUGAGAUUGGGAUCGAGUGCAUAAACUUCGAUCCAACAAUGCGACCAGAUUGUAUGUCACAUAUAAUGGACAGGCUUGCUGAAACAGAAAGGACAAAGGUAUAGCUCAGAACCCCCUUUUUAAAAUAAAGAUUUGUUGAGCCUGUAUAUUUUGUUCAUCUUUCCUAGGCACAUAUGAUGAAAUCUAUGUAUUUAUCAUGUAGAAAAAUCACAAUACAAAAUAGAAAAUAAAAUGUGCAGGAAAUUUAUACAAAAAACAAAACAUGUAUCAAUUUAGUGGAUGAGCAAAGCAUAAAUAUUAGAUGUUGAAAAUAAUUUGUUAACAUUACAGUUGAAAGAAAUUUAGCCACAUAUGCCCUCAACUUAUUUUUAUUUUGGGAAACACUAUUUCUCUUGAACCCUAAAAUAUUCUUUUUUUGAGAAAUAAGCCUAAAAUAAUAUUUUGUUGCCGGUAAGUUGGUGGGGCUUCUAUCUUCGAGAUAAUAACUUACCCACAUUCCAGUGUUGUCUAACUUUCUCCCAAUCUUGGUAUUAACUCAACGAGUGUACAUUCUUCAAUUUUCCAAAUGAUUUACUUGUAGUUGCAUCACUUACCAAAAUAUUAUAUUAUUGAAAGUGUGCAAUUUAAAUAAGGCAUAACUAGAAUUUAUGGUCUGUAGAUCACUAGUUGGUGUCUCGGGCAACCUGGUUGUGGUCCUCAUCCUUGCAUGGGAACUAGUUGGUGUCGUUGCUAGGUUUGGGAUGGCUUUUUAAGGUAGAUAGAUGUUAAAGAAAUUCAAAAAAAUUAUACCUCGAUUUGGACCUAUAGCAGCCACUCACUUGUGCCUACCCUUAUCCUCUGGGCUCUAAGACCAUGAUCCAACCCACACCAUCGAAGUAUAACUCCAACCUACCAACAAGCUUGGUGGGAUCCUGGCGCGUAAGACCGGUCCGUAUGAGAGAGAGAGAGAGNNNNNNNNNNNNNNNNNNNNNNNNNNNNNNNNNNNNNNNNNNNAGAGAGGGAGAGAGAGAGCAAGAGAGAUCACCAAUCACGAAAAAACGUGUUGUUGGCCUUGUAGAUAGACUAGAUGAUAGGCUAUUUCCAAUCCUCAUUAGUUAUCCCAGCCCAGAAUAUAAAAAGGCAAGAGUAGAUCUUCGGCUCAAUGGUGGAAGUCGCAAGGGUACAUGAUUACCGAAAAAGGGGAAAACCCCCGUUUUAUAUUAUAAAGCAACCAACACCGAUACAUAGAUAGCUGGGACGAGCAGCACAACAAAACCAAAAGAAAAAGAAGAAAAAACAAAUGCCAACAGCGGCAACACGAGAAACUGCGGAUGAUCCGCCACCGCUGCGCUCAUCGGAAACAAACCACCAAACGAGGCUUCAAUCCUCCGCGUACCAAGUAGCACCUCCAAGAAGGAAUGCGACGCCGACGACGCUGCUGCCCGGACGGGUCCUAGGGUUUCCCCCGGCACGCGGAGGGCGGAUGGGGAUGGAUACAACCGACAUCCUCCAGGAAGGAACGGUGGCACCCACAUGCGUCACCGCAUCGGAGCCGUAGACCGACAAGGAUUUCUCCCGUACCCCAAACCCCGUCGCCCAACCAAACCGGAGCCGACCGGCCAAACUUCCGUCCACCACCAUGCGCCAUCUCGGUUGCACCACCACCCACGCCGCCGCACUGCGAACACCACCACGAGGCCAAGAGAACCGACCAGAGGCACCAAACGGUGGAAGCAACGACACCGUUACCAAGCAGGAGGGAACCACCUUCCCCGCCGACGAGCAGAAGGCCUGAGCCCCCGACAUCGCAGCGGUCGCCGUCUGGACGUGGCAGCGGGGCACACCAGGCCACCCCUGGCCNNNNNNNNNNNNNNNNNNNNNNNNNNNNNNNNNNNNNNNNNNNNNNNNNNNNNNNNNNNNNNNNNNNNNNNNNNNNNNNNNNNNNNNNNNNNNNNNNNNNNNNNNNNAGAUAAAACUGAAAGGGGUAUGUCGAGGGGGCCGCCACCGCCAAUGUUGCCCGGGCCAGGCCCGGCAGCCAGUGCCGACGACGGCUGUGGGGAGGGACGGAGGGAGGGGGGAGCUUGAGGAGGAAGGUCGGGGGCGACGCGGUCGCGAGAGGGUUUUUCUCCAACCGCCUUUUCCGAAUCCCAAGGGUACAUGAUUUGAUGCAUACAGUGUGAGGUUCCCACCACGUAUACACACACGUGGAGUUAAGGUCCCUGCGAACUCUCUUUAGGAAAACUUCCGGACCGACCGUUGGAAGACAUCUUCCACAAGGUGACGCAACUUAUCGUAGAUGAUGGCCAGAAAGACACUACUGGAGAGAACCUUGAUGAGGGCUAGGUUCUUUGGAACCAGCAAUGCCGCAUCCCCAAUGUCAAUUAAGAAUACCCUGGUCAUUUAUCCCACGACUCAAUUCCUCGAAUUCAUAAAUAUUAACUAUUCUAGGCAAUUCGCCGUCGUGUAGAACUCGUCUACGUAGGGGGUGUUUGUUUUCAGUGAUUUUUUGAUGUAUGGACUAAAAUUAAUCUCUUUUAGUCCCAUGUGAAACAAACAUGAGGGACUUUUAGGGACUAAAAGAGAGUAUUUGGGACUAAGGGAAGAAGUCCCUAUGGAAGGGUCUUUUUGAGACUUUUUUGACACUUUUUCAACCGUGUCCCUACUUUUAGCAUGUUAUUUAAUAACUUCUAGUACAUUACUAGGGAUAACAUGGUCUUUUUGCAUGUCAUUUAAUGACCUCUAGUCCCUAUUUAGUCCAUGAAAACAAAGGAUAGAGACUAGAGACUUUUUAGUUAGGACUAAAAAAAAUUUUGGGACUUCUAAAACAAACAGGACCGUAGAUAUAACAAGAGUCCCGCUUCGGGGACAUUAAACAGUAUUUAAAAACACAUUGAAUAUUUUUGUAAUACAUGCAGAGCAAUAUUUAAAUACACAUUGAACAUUUUAUUUCCAUAUAUGCUGAACAAUAUUUAAAUACACAUUGAACACUUUUGUGACAAACGCUAUGCUGAAUUUAACUAUGCAUGAAGACUUAAAAAAUACAUUAUACACUUUCUUAAUAUGCGGUGAUUUUUUUAGAUUGUAUGAUAAACAUUUUAUUAAUACACGCGUAAACUCUUUUCAUAAAUAAACAAUGAGAUUAGAAAAAACAAUAGAAUAAAUAAAACGGAAUGAGAAGCCAUAGGAAGAACCUUUUGAAAGGGGGUUGUACCAGCCAACGGAGCUAGCAGGUCAGAUUGACUUAUACGCAGCUCUGAAGUUUAAGUAAUAUCUAAACAAAGUAAUGUACAUUCAUUCUUUUACUUGUUCAAUAAUUUUUUAAAUAAAUGUGAAAAAUAUUUUUUUUAAAUGUGAAGAAAUUUCGAAAUAUAAACAAUUUUAUCAAAAAGCGAAUUAAAAUACACACUAAACAUUUUCAUAGUAUACGGUGACCUGAAUUGAAAUACACACUAAAUGUUUUCGAAAAUAUAUGACUAGAGUGCAUGUAAUCGUCGCUAGAUGGUCUACCCAUCAGAAUGCAUUUUUUGGUAUUCAUUGUAGUUCCAUAAUUGAAGAUAAAGAUAUAGAAAAAUCUAGCAAAAAAAAGAGCUCAUUAAAAUUGGUGUCGACCCAUGUGAACGCCGUAAUAAACACAAGGCGAGGGGCUACACAUAAUACAUUUUUGUUUUUUCUUCUUGUGUUCUUAUAUUUUGUUUCUUUUUUUUUACUAUUUUACUUUUUCAUAAAUUCAACAAAAUGUUCAGAAUUUUCAUUUCGUUCUAACUUUUCAAAUUUGUUCAUAAUUUCACAAGACAAAAAUUAUGUUUUCCGAAAUUUAAUCAUUUUUCAAAAAAGUGUUUACAUUUACAAAACAAAGUUCGGAAUUUCUAAAUAUUAACAAAAAAAUUAAUAAAUGUUUGGAAAUAGAAAAAAAUCAUCAAUUUGUGAAAAAAAAUCACCUAUUUUGAAGAAAAAUUGACGAACUUGAAAAAAAAACAUCAUUUUAAAAAACAAAUGGUGCGAGGUUUAAAAAGCUAACACAUUUAGAAAGGAAAAGGAAAUCAAAAAAUAAAGAGGAUGUGUGCGAAUGAAAAAAAUACAGCGUAUACAUGAAUAUGACCAUCCUGGUCCUUGUGUUUAGGGGGUGUACCGAAGCAGAAGCGAUAUAACACUUAGUCGGUACCCUACACUACAAUCGGUGGUGUCGGGAAAUGCUUAAUGGUAGCGAGUGACCUCCUCGACUUGCAUCCCGAGCAAUGCUUGCUUAAGUUCAUAUCAAGGAUUUUCACUCGUGUGGUGCCGAUAUAAUACGAGUGUUAUUUCUAACUGUAUAACAUAUUUAGGCAACCAUAGAUUUAUUUCUCAUACAUUUUAACAUACUAAGAUGAUGCCAUCACAUUUCUGAGGGCCAAUGUGCAAGUUUGUUAGAAUGAUGGAUGCCUUACAAAAAUAUACCAUUGAAUUUGUAUUCAAAAUAAGUUUCCAACGUUAUAUUUGUAGGCACACCACUCAUAAAACAUUAGUCUAAACCGACGUGAAAGUAAAUCUCAAAAUGUGUGCUGGCAUCGUAAACCUAAAGAGGGUUCGUGUGUAAGUAGAACAAUGAAUUAAAUAAUGUAGUUGAUCAUAGUUAGCACGGGGCAGUCAUGACUGAAAUAAUUCAAAAAGCCAAGUCAUCUAUUGUUGAUUAUUUUUAGAUAGCUCACAACCCAUGCCAAAUGGUAAAAAGCCAGGGCAUCGAUGAUAAUAUAUUGACGGAAUAAUGUUCUCAGACUAGGGUAUCAAUAAUGUCGGACUAGGGUAUCAAUAACUAGGGUAUCUAUUGUUGCGUAAAUAUGCUAUUGUCCGGUAGGUGGUGGUUUGGGGGUCGAAAGAAAUCCUUGUCAUUUGACACCGACACGGUGACGCUUGAGAGUGUUCGGGUGUACCUCCUCCCCACUCCUUGGAGCAUAUCGGGGGAAACCCUAUAACCUGUCCGGCCAGCAGUGUCCUCGUCGUCAUUAUCCUUCUUGGAGGUACUACUUGGUAUGCGAUGGAUCAGAGUGCUUGGAUCAUGGUGGCAAUAUUUCAAAGGGAACGCAGCGGUUGCGGGUCAUUGUCGUUUUCGUUAAUCCACCGGUGUUGGCAUUGUUUUCUCUUUUUUUUUUUGGCGUGGAUGUGUUGUUUGCCUCAGCAGUGGUUUCAUGUUGUAUCAUGUGGUUGCUAUAUAUGUAUAGCGGGGUGAAAUUCUAUUUCAAUGAGGGUAUCAAUAAUUACUAUCGAAUUAUUCAUUAACCUCUGAAACCUAGAUAUAUAUUUCUACUCUCAUGCCAGAAACAACAGAAUAGUACUGAAGCCCUUGAUCUCAAAAUAAACUUAGUCGAGAACGAUUUCAACGGCCUUCCGUCGCAGUUAAUAUAUCCAUCUUCUGAAUCCAUCAUGCAGGUACUUCCCGCUCAGUACUCCCGUGGGGCACUGCAGGUCCAUCCACUGGAGCUCCGGUUGCCGUUCAAACCUAACAAGCCCAUCUCCUGCUUGUUUCAUCUAACAAACAAAACUGAGGAACACGUGGCAUUUAGACUUCAAAAUAAGGGAGGGAGCUGGAUGGAUUACUUAGGAGAACUGCUGACGCAUGGAAUUGUGCCGCCAAUGUCCACUUAUACACUCAUGGUGACAACAAGGGAGAUGGAGGAGUUACCAAGAGAAACAGAGACUGGUCUCAUUCUACAAACCGGUGUGACUGGUAAUCAUAUUCGUGCAUUCAGACAAUAUGAGGAGUGCGUCCAGUUUUUUGAGCGAGUCGCAGAACUGGGGGAUGAGUUGAAUGAGGUGGCAUUGAAAGUUGUUUGUGAUCCACAUGAAGAAACAACGUCCAAGGUGAGUUUGUUCAAGUACUGAUUAGUAUUCAUUAACUAGAUGACAUCUCGCGUGUUGCUGCAGAAACAUUUUUUUUUUUUUCGUAAAGGACCCAAAUCUAUUAUAAAGAUUCCUCAAACUGCAAAGCAUCUCAAACAUGAUAAAAAUAACAUCGAUAUUUAUAGAACACUGGACGACCACCGCUGCCGCUAUAACCAUCCACCGACGUCACUAUGGUCGCUCUCAUACUGAAAUCAGCCUAACCUUUGCUGCGAGAACCUUGUUAAAACAAAAAUAUCGAUAGGCAUCACAAUAAAAACCAAAACUACAACGGCAUGCGACCGUUAAAUGUGUGGGUAAUAGGUACCACAAUAUAAAACAAAACCGUUACGGCCUGCAAGCAUUAAAAAGACGCUCCCGUGUCGCUCCAGGGACUGACACCAGGGUUCACUCCUGCCUCAAUCUGUGCUGCCUUGUAAAAAAACUGGGCUGGAUCCUAGGAGCUGUUCUUUUUUUUAGGAAAGCCAGAUUCCGCACCGAGCAUGCACACAAUCACUUUGUUACAUUAUUCAACAAAACCCGGCAAAACAAAUACGAGAAUGAACCCAAAGCUAUCUUUAUGACAACUACUGAUACUAUAACUAUUAGUUUGAUAAUGUGUCCUAACCUCGAAUUAACACACACUAUCAAUUUCGGUGGCCUCAUAAAGCUGUCCGGCGGCAAGCUGAGAGCUCCGACCGGUCUAACUAGACCCUAUGCUUGCACCAUAUGUGCAAGCUCUAGGAUCAGGCGCCAUCAUCUUUGGUCCUCCUACUUUCAAGGAGCGAUCAGCUAUUCACCUCAUCAGGUCAUUCUAUCAUCGAUGUCACUGUGACAAAAUACAGCGCCACCAUCUUGCGCUUUUCCAUCCACACGUGCAUGUCGCUGAAAGUCCGCUGCACAUUACCGCCUAGACUCGUCGUUAACCUUGCGGUAAAUGUAACACCGUCUCUCCUUUUGUCCCCUUCAGCCAGCUCAUGCUCUAAAACGAUGAUUGCAGGAGGAAGAACGACACCGAAGAUAUGAUGUUAUCAUCGUCCGAUCUGAAAUACACAGAUAUAGGUUUUCCCCGGAGCAUCCCUAGCCAGGUGACGCAACCUGCCACGACGGUGCCUCUAUUGGAAUUUGCCCAAGGAUCAAUCACAUCAAAACACGAUAAACACACGUGCAUGAAAAAAAACUGAUAGCCAAGGGUCUUUGUUGUGUCCUCUUCCCCCCCCCCCCCCCCCCUUUUUAUUUUCUCCUCUUUCUCACCUCCGUUACAAAUCUCAUAGCGUGACAUGCAUAUAUAUAUAUAGUCGACCAAGCUUACUAAUCUAAACCUAUACGUACUCAAUCCCAACUCCACACAGACAAGAACUAAACUUAGCCUAGACUAGCUAGUACACGUACUCAAUCUGGAUUACACUAGUACUAGAACAGGACACAUGCCUGAACACUAGACCUUGCCGGACUCACCAAUUUCCUAGCAGGAGAUAACACUGUCCUAACUUGCACCAAUAUGUUUAGAUUGCUCUAACAUUCACCCUCUAAUCUUCUAAACAUGUCACCUUUUUGUGAUCCUUCUGGUUUGACUUGUUGGAGAUUCGUUACUUGUCAACACAAUCUCGAACACAUGAUCCGGAGUACCAACCUAUACCAUCACAUCUACCAGUGCAACAUGCAAGAUUGGACGCAUUAUGAAUCUUCACGCGUUCAACAUAACUGGUCAUUGUCUCAUCAUAUGCUUAAGCUUGAUCUUCAAGUGUCAUAUCUGUACACAAAGAAUGACCUCUCUGGAAACAUGCAGCACCUUUCUUGCUCUGUCAUGUUAUGCCACCGUCAUUGCUUGGCCGCUACCUUGUGUUGAUUCGCACCAUACUCCUUGUAUUUGUAUGCAGUAGAUUCACUCUUCACUCACACACCUCCUUGCUUUAUGAUGGCUUCACCUACCAUCGUCCGUCUUUGACAUCACACCGAACCCAUAUUGGCUGCAACCAGGACGCUCUGUGAGGAUAUUGACAUGACUCACGGAACACCGUGCACACUGCUUCAACUGCGACGAAUCAUCACCAAGCCGAGCACCUGGACACGACAACGACUCAUUGACAUGAUACUGACCAAACAUGCGAACUUGCACUACUCCUUGACUCAUCUGACUCACCCGGUCAACGAUAUUGAUGAGCUCUAGCGCCACACCUCGGCACUACCUCUCUCAUUAAUGAUCAUCUUUCACCACCUUGCCAAUGACAACCUAUUGUCUCCCUCCUUGUCGCUCCACCGAACGACGAUCGCCUGAAGCUCCUCAUCCAUCGCUCCACAAACAACUAUUUCCCGCUCCUCCUCAUCGCUGCACCAUCCAACAACCAUAUCGCCCAUCCCGAGACGCUAGUCGGAUCGCUACCCCGGGGCAAGCGCAGCUUCACCUCGACCUUACUCUAGAUAUCAAUUAUUGGAAUUCAUCCAAGGAUCAAUCACAUCAAAACACGACAAACACACACGCACAAAAAAAUGAUAGCCGAGGGCCCCUGUUGUGCACUAUUUUUUUCCCUCUUUAUUUAUUUUCUCCUUUUUCUCACGUCCGUUACAAAUCUCAUGUCGUGACGUGCAUAUAUAUGCACAACCAGCCGACCAAGAUUUAUCUCUCCCUAAUAAUAAAGCGUCUAAGGCUUCUGUCGUUCGUUGUGGCUAUUUUACAGAAAAGCCCCUGAUGUUUGCUGAAAUCAACCCGCAGUCCUGUUUUAAGUCAGAAAAACGAAUCGUUUUUUUUAAUGUUUUAGAAAACCCCCUGAUGUUUCAGGUAAUCAACCCGCAGUCCGGAUUUAAGUCAGAAAACGAAUCGUUUUUUGCUUUUCUCAAAAAAAAACUUGAUGUUUUAGGUAAUUAACCCGCCCUCCGUUUUUAAGUCAGUCGAAACGUUUUUUUGUUUUAACAAAAAAAACCCUAACUUUUCAGUUAAUCAAUCCACAUUUUAUCUAAAACAAAAAUAUUCAUAUCUUUUAAACCGUAACUCCGAUUUUAACAUGUUAUAUAUGAAUUUUGAUUAAAAAAAUAUGUAGAAUCUAAAUAGGAUGUUAUUUUUAGCUGUUGAAUACUUCUUAAAUAUUAUUUUUGAUGCAAACUUAAUCUAUAGUGCACAAUCCUUUUUUCUCUCUCUUUCCGACGACGAUACAAAUUGCAAUAAACAUCCAUUAAAUUAAAACCAAAUUGAGAGGAAAGAAAACCAUCGUUAAUCAUACAUGCACAUCUUUGGUAAACCUCAUGGGGAGAAAUAACAUAUUUCUCAUCUUAUUCCGAGUGAUUGUACAUUCAAACGCGUUUUCGUUGUAUGAGCACUAAGGUCAUCGUCGGCAACACAAAUAUGAUGUCAUGUAAAAAUAUAUUACGUUCAGAGCGUGUGUUAUUUUCUCUUCGGUUGCAACGCACGGGCUCUUUUGCUAGUACUAACCUAAACCUAUAUGUACUCCCAACUCGACACGGACAAGAACUAAACUUAACCUAGACUAGUUCACGGACUCAAUGUGGAUUACACUACUACUAGGUACUAGCACAGGAAACAUGCCUGAACACUAGUCCUAGUCGGACUUCAUCAAUUUCCUAGCAUGACAUAAACACGUGUCCUAACUUGCACCAAUAUAUUUUGAUUAUUCUAACAACCUCAACAUGGCAACCACGUUAAUCAGUACGGUUUUCAACAGAAGUCACGUCACCCCAACCUAGUACUCCUUGGUGUCUAAAUAAUUGUAGUUGGAAAAAACUCGAUUAGUUUUUCUCAACUAAAAUUAUUUUGGUACAGAGGACGUAGAUGACUCGAUUCACACGGAGCCUCACCAUGAAAAUGCACAUCGCCGCCGGAACUCUAGCAGUGAGCCACCACCCGCCCCUCACUGGAUCCAUGCCCUGCCGGGCAGCCAAGUCUAAUGAGCUCUUUUUUUGAAAAGGAAGUCUAAUGAGCUCUUGCAUUUGCAUAUUUAAAUUUACAUGGUUUUCCCGUUCAUAAACCCCGCCACACCUGGAAAUUAUUCGUCGGGUCUAUCUAUAUCUGGCCAUGGGCAGAGACGGGUCGGGCUUGGGCCGGGCCCUAAAAAGCCCAUGGCAGAAAACCGAGGUCCAGGCCCGGCCAUCGGGCCUACUUAGAAGCUCAAGCCCGGCCCAUCUGUUGAAAAGCCCGUUGGGUUUGGGGCCAUGGGCCGGGCCUCUUCCUUAAAAUCCCAAUAUGUCAAGCCCAAGCCCGGCCCAUCUGUCGAAAAGCCCGUCGGGUUUGGGGCCAUGGGCCGGGCCUCUUCCUUAAAAUCCCAAUAUGUUAAGCCCAAGCCCGACCCAUCUGUUGAAAAACCCGUCGGGUUUGGGGCCAUGGGCCGGGCCUCUUCCUUAAAAUCCCAAUAUGUCAAGCCCAAGCCCAUAGGGCCUAGGCCCUAGAUUUUGGGGUCGGGCUUGGGUGGGCCGGCCGGGCCGGGCCGGAGAUGCCCAGGUAUAGGUUUAUCAUACUUUGGUCUCUUCGUCACAUUGGCACUCGCAUGCGAGCAUGACCUCCUGAGCACUUGUAUUUGCUGUCAAAUGUGUGAAACCUGUAGAUUUCAGUGUGUUGAAAAUGUGCUAAAAAGUUGUGGUUUUGUAUGAAAAUGUUUGAAAGGUUUUGUAGUUCGUAUGAGUUGCACUGGAGUCGAGGCUUUGCCUAACUAUCUCAUGAAUAUUAUUUGAAUGCAUGUUUACCAUCCCAUGACAUGAUUUAAUUUAUUUUUCUUUCGUUUCAUUUGUCCAUAAUGUGUACAUGUUAACAUGUCUGUAAUUUUCAAUCAGACCAUACCACUUCUAGGAAUUACUUCCUACCUAUGCUGUCUUGAUGCACAUCCGGCAGAGCCAUGGUAAGUGCAUACAUAAUAGUUGGACUUCGAUAUUUUCCUAUAUUGCUUGAGUGAGUGCUUGAUGUGGUUUCCCGAUAUCAAAUUUCUUCUCAUCACAGGAUUAUAAUUGGUGAUUCUUAUGGACUAGUUCAAAUAUGGAACUAUGGUACUCAGGCAAGUUAAUGCAUUAUUUCAGAAAAGAUUUUUGCUGAACUCUUUCAGUGUAGUUAUCAGAAUGAAGUUCCAGUAUCAGAUGAUUUGUUGUAUGAAGAAAAGAUUACUUAUAUAAUAAAUCAAUUCAGACUAAAACAUAUGUGCUACAAGAAUACCCAAGAGAAAUCCCUCUGAAGUUUGUGCAAGGGCUUUACAAGGAGAUUUCCUUUUGUGCAUGUCAUUAAAUCUAUUGGAGUCGUCGCAUCUGGGAAGUAUUAUUUUAUUAAAAUGUACAUUUCAUCGCAUUGGAUUAACUAUACCUUCGACUAUAUUCACUGGCAGAGUAUCGGGAGUUCAUCUGAAGUCUCAGCGGCUGCAGGUAUACUUAUAUAUGCUUUCUGACUUGGGUAUUAUCAUAAUUUUGUACAGAACUGCAUGCUAUACUAACAAAUUAUCACUCUAAACGUACAGUUUUCUCCUCAAAAAUUGUUGUGCGAAAGCAAUGGGUUUUGGCUGGGGAUACUGCUGGGUACAUCCAUAUUUAUGACUAUGGAGCAGAACCAAAGAAAAUCUGGUCACUUAAAACUUCAACUCUUUUCCAUAUCACAUCACUGGCCAUUCAUCCUACCAAACCGUACUUGCUGUCGUCGGCUAACAAUAUUAUAGAGCUCUGGGACUGGGACAAUGGGUGGAAGUGUAUACAAACAUUCAAGGGACACUCCAGAUACGUGCGUCAGGUGGCAUUUAACCCAAGGGACCCUGACAAUUUUGUUAGCGCUUCAGGGGAUAACACAGUAAAGGUUUGGCUGCGUCUCCAUCAAUUUCUUAAUCUGCUUGACCACAACGAGCCAAUGCAGACUUUUAAAAAAAAAGGAGGAACACAACCCCCGGUCUCAGCAUCAAUCGAUGCAUGCAUCCAUCUUAUUUUAGCCAAUGCAGACAUAAAUUUGUUAAUUGGCUGCUUUUUCUUUGGUGUCCAGGUUUGGAACCUUGAUUCUCCUGAGUCUAGUUAUACACUGGCAGGCCACUCGCGUGAGGUGACAUGUCUGGAUUUCUUCACACACAAUGAUCAACUGUAUUUGAUUACUGGUUCUAAUGACCGGACCGCCAAGGUACAUUACCAUUAAUUUAUUUCUAUUCAUAAUCGUCUCCCGUAGUAAUUACACCUGCGAGAGGUAUUGCUAAUUAAUAUGCCUCCUUGUGUCGUAUAUUUUCUACAAGUUAGGUUACAUCAAACUUGGUAUUGCACAAGUGUGGGUAGGAUACGUUUACAGUCAAAUUCGGACAUUGUUGCAUCAUCGGCCUGCUAUGUCGAGUAGGUUUUUUUCACAUCCAACCUCUGCAUCAGAAAGAUGCAUACGGCCACAUGUAUUUAAAAUCUCGGGUAAUGUUUGUAGUCCAGAAACAGCCUAUGAAAAGGCUGAAAAGUAAAUAAAUAAAAGUAAAAGAAGCCACAACCGGCAUAAAAUAGGACUAGAAAUCUAUCCACCUAUUCUACUAUUGACCGUCAUCCAAACCGGUUGAAGAAGUCCUGAGCUACCAUCUCCCAUCGGGUAGAUCCAGUAGCCAAACACUCCCCGUUCUCUGCAAGAGUGAGUAGGGACCAUGUACGGAUCAAAGAAGUUGCCCAGUGUAAAACCUACAAAAAAUUGGUUUUAUAAAUCCUGUCAAAUACCAUGUUAUUUUGGCAAUUUCAUAUAGCCCAUAGUAACGCAGAGACUCCUAUGCAAAUCUGUCUUGCCACGUUGAUGUCUACUCCGUCCAGACUAUAUGAAGGUUAGUUGGAGGUGUGAUAUUGAAGGCUAUAUGAAUUGAAGUCUAAAGAAUUUUUGCUAAUGGGAAUUCGAGAAAGAGGUGUUUGAUUGUCUCUAACUGAUUACAAAAGCCACAACUUUUGUCUCCGGGCCAAUUACGUUUUGCCAAAUUAUCCUUCAUGAGAAUCACUUCCUUGUGAACGAACCAGAUGAAUCACCUCCUAACUAGAUCAAUCCAAGCAAUCCACCGAUCGCCCUGUAAACUCCGUCUGAACUGAAUGUUCAGAUGAACAGACUGAAGAACAUUAGCAACAUAAGCCCCCCUAUGUUGCACAAUGUUAUAUAGAGAAGGCUAUUGCAUGGCUCUAGCGGUGUUUCACCCAGCCAUGUGUCCUCCCAAAAUCUCGUAGUCCCACCAUUCCCAACGGUAAACUUAGCCCUCUGAAAGAACGCCGACUUCGUUCUCAUUAAACCUUUCCAGAAGGGUGAAUCAUUGGGUUUCAUGGUGAGUUGCGCCAAGGUUUUAGCAUAUCAUUUCUUAUUUCUCAAAUUCUAUAUCUACAUGCCAUCAGUCUCCACUGACAGUGUGUAUAACCAUUUGCUUAGAAGACAUUUAUUUUUGACUUCUAUGUUCUCAAUCCCAAGACCACCUUGCUCUUUGGGUCUACACACAAUAUCCCAUCUAGAAAGUCUUUUUUUUUGACCUCAUCACUUUGCCAAAAGAAACGUGAUCUAUAGAAGUCCAACCUCUUCCUCACGACAAUCAGAAUCUCAAAGAAGGAAAGUAGGAACAUUGGCAUACUGGUGAGAACUGAAUUAAUGAGGGCCAGCCUACCACCAUAAGAUAGUAGCUCUCCUUUCCCGCAACUCAGUUUUUUCUCGAACGUUCCUCCAUACACUUCCAUUCCGCGUUAGAUAACUUCUGAUGAUGUAUUGGUAUACCUAGAUAGCUGACAGGUAAGGUACAUAAAGCACACCCAAACAACUGUCUGUAUGUAUCCUGUUCUUCUUUGGCCUUCCCAAAGCAGAAAAGUUCACUUUUGUGAAAGUUGAUCUUCAACCCACACAACUGUUCAAACAAGCAAAGGACCAGUUUCAUAUUCCUGGCCUUUGCAACAUCAUGUUCCAUAAAUAAAAUAGUGUCGUCAUCAAUUAGGUGUGGGACAAGGCCUCCGACUAGGCCUUCCUCCUUUGCCCUCCCAAUCAUAAUUGUCAACGUGUCUGAAACUAUAUUGAAGAGGAUAGGAGACAUUGGGUCCCCAUGCCGUAGGAAUUUAUGCGUUUGAAAAUAAUGUCCAAUGUCACCAUUGACUUUAAUUCCAAUGGUACCCUUUUGUUCCAAUGAUUCUACACGUUUUUCCCAUACAUCAUCGAAACCCUUCAUACGUAGCGCUUGCUGAAGGAAAGCCCACCUAACAUUAUCAUAUGCUUUCUCAAAAUCCACUUUAAAGAUGACCCCGUCUAGUUUCUUUGAGUGGAUUUCGUGCAGCGUUUCAUGAAGGACAACCACACCCUCUAGUAUGUUUCUGUCCGACAUGAAAGCUGUUUGACUCGGUUGCACAACCUCAUGCGCAAUCUUUGUGAACCUAUUUGUGCCGACUUUAGUGAAAAUCUUGAAACUCACAUUUAGCAAGCAAAUAGGAUGGAAUUGUUAAAUGCGCACAUCCCCUUCCUUCUUUGGCAACAACGUGAUUGUUCCAAAGUUGAUGUGGAAAAGCUGCAAGUGGCCAUUGAACAAAUCAUGGAACAUCAGAAGUAAAUCGUCCUUAAUAAUGUGCCAACAUUUCUUAUAAAAUUCGACGAGAAACCCAUCCGGUCCUGGUGCCUUGUUAUUUUUCAUUUCCCGAUAGCAUCGAACACCUUUUUCUCGGGAAAAGGCGCCGACGGAACCUCAUUCUCGGCUUCACCAAGCUGAGGUAUAUCAUCGACCCUUCGCUGAUCUAUAGACACAAAGCUGUCCUCAUGAGCACUAAAAAGCUGUUUAUAGUAGUCAGAGAUGUACAAUUUUAGGUUCUCGUGACCUAUAAUUGUACCCUCAUCUUGUUCCAGCAGGAAAAUAUUUUUCUUUCUAUGUCUACCAUUUGCAAUCAAGUCGAAGAACUGGGUAUUGUCAUCCCCUUCGACCACUUGGCGCACCUUGGCUCACAUUGCCCAUUUCAACUCCUCUUCCCUGAGAAGAUGCUUAAGCUUUUGUUCAGCCUCUGCCUUGUCUGCCCUAUCCUGGGCAAGCAGAGUAGCUCGCUCAGCCUUAAUAUCAAGAUGGUUUAUAAGAUUGAGGAGUCUCUCCUUUUGCACCUUAUAAAUCCCAAUUUCAUGCUUUUCUCAUGCCCUUAAGAAUUGCCUUAAGUGCCUAAUUUUAUUUUUUGAAGUGUCCAUGUUUGAUCUCCCCCGCUGGACACUGGUCCAUUCUGUUGCUACCAUGUCUGAAAAGCCCUCCCUUUCAAACCAAGCUAGUUCAAAAGAAAAAACAUUCUUGUUUCCCCUGUGGGUUGGUUCUCGAGAAUCCAGAAGCAGCGGUGUAUGAUCAGAGAUAGCUCGUUGCAUACCUUUUACCGUAACCAGAGGGAAUUUCUGUUCCCAUUCAACAUUGGUUAAGAUCCGGUCCAACUUCUCAAAACUUGGGUUAGGGAGAGUGUGGGACUUCUCAAAACUUGGGUUAGGAAGAGUGUUUGCCCACGUGAACUUUCUACCUGAAAUCUCUAUCUCCCGAAGAUCUAAACUUUCAAUGAUAGUAUUAAACAUAAAUGCCCAUCUGGCAUCAAAGUUAUCAUUUCUCUUUUCAUCUUUCCGUCGGACGAUAUUAAAAUCGCCUCCAACGUGGACCGGCAGUUGCUCAUUGCCGCACACCCUGACUAAAUCAGCCAAGAAAUCCAUCUUGAGCUUCGGUCGUGCAACACCAUAUACCGCCACCAGUGCCCAUUGGAAACCAUCAUGCUUUGAUCUCACCCUAAACUUAACCGCAAAGACCCCGUAGGACACAUGUCGAACUUCCAAUGUUUCUCACCUUACCCCAAGUAAGAUCCACCAGACCUUCCUCUCGGUGGUAAGCAGUGCCAGUCAAAGUCUAUACCGUCGGAGAGAGUUCUCAGGAAUUGUGAAGCAAAAUUAUCCCUACCAGUUUCCAUAAGGGCAAUAAAGUCAAGGUUGUACUGUAAUGAUGGAUCAGACGGGAAUCUUCUUUUAGCCAAGUCAACUAGACCUCUGCUAUUCCAAAAUAUUCCUCUCAUCCUUCAUCAUAAAUCUUUUUAGCCAUUCUAAACCUCGCGCUUCUGCGAAUCGCAGACAGAGGAUAAACCUUCCUCUUCCAAGUUCUUUUUGGUUUAUCCCGUUGAACCAGCUGGUCCAUAUAACCGGUCUCUGGUUGAGCGCUAAUGUGUGUAGUUUCCAACACCUCGGCCUGGGAAACCCUAGCCGACUCAUCCAGUUCCUCAUGAAUGGAUGAAGGCUGUAGAUCCUAGCAAAGGCCUUCUAAUGUACCAAUGCCAAGCACAUUGAUUUCAGCAUCAUUCAUAAGUUUAAUCGCAGCUAAGUUCCUAAUCAUAUUCAUGGUUCACUCGGCCUCAAUGUCAAGUAAGUCAUUAAUUGAUUUGAAACCUCUUUCUCGCUGUUACCCAGAGAUACCCCUAGCUUGUUUGCAUGUGAAAUAAUUUCAUCAUCAGAGAAAUGUAAAAUAGAACAGCUAGUAUUUAUGGCGAUACCUGAAGAUGCUUCGACAUCGCGAAGCUUGGGCGCCCUCAUAGCGUGACCCAUCUGUAGUUCGUCCGCAUCCCCCUAGCCCUGGAGACUGAUGCUGGACCUGAUAUGACCAGCCGUCGGGUCAGCAAUUCCAACGUAGGCGAUGACCUCUUCCGUGGUCGGACAAACAACAGCAAGUCCGACUGAUGUUGGCGAUGCGACACCAUGCACGAUAGCAUUAACAUGAAGCUGAUCAUCCAAGGGCAACAAGCACUCCUGCCUAUUGAGACCUGAAGAUAGAGAGAUUCCCUCCACGUGACCCCCCGCGGAUUGAGCGAGCGCUCCAUCGCUCGAGCUGUUGUCGAGGCCGACCUCUCCAUGGAUGGAUCCUCUUCACUCGGGGCUGGCUGCACCGGUGAUUGAGGAACAUGCGCAGUAGUGGAAGGUGCGUAUGCAGCUCGAGAUGCGUGAGAUGCAGCAGCUGCUGCCGCUGAACCUCUGCAACAACCUUCGGUGGUGAGUCCCGCAUAGCCAAAGACGGGGGAUCAGCAACCACCGGCCGCCGCUGAAGCAACUCAUAAUCAACCUCCCGCAUCUUAGCAGGAGCAAACGAAGAUAUGAACGAGCAAAAACGUAACUGAUUCGUAGCUGUGGGGACGCAGGGCAAAUUAAGUCUGCUUACCGGUGAGCACAACCACCGAUUUCUCUGGAGCAGUUGUUCCUUUCCCAUCCCCAUCCUUGGAGUCCUUAGUACUGUCGUGAGGUCCAUCACCAUGGUGAUUAUCAUCAGUGUCCAUGUCCAUGUUCUUACCCAGCUCCUAGAAGUGAGCAUUGUCAUCAAUCUCAAUCUCCAAGUCAUAACUCCUGCCAGCAUAAGACCACCUGACCACCUCUGGUAUAUGCUCAAUACUAAUAACCCCGACUAGGAGUCUAGCAAUACCAUUUGCUCGGGUAAACGUCAUGUCCACCUGUUUCGUCUUUCCAAUCAGAGGCCUGAGACUCCAGGUGACAAGAAAAUCAUCUAAAGGAGCACUAGGAGCUCAAAUAAAGCGCACCCAAAGUUGAGACAAAGUGGAGCUCCAUGGCUGACCCCACACCCCCUUUCUCACCAGCCCUCCCCGGUGGCGCCCAUCCGGGCCCGUUGGCCACCGUCCCGGUACCGAGUGUUGUCACGGUCCCCGGCCUCCUCAAAUUCAUGAAUAAAUAGUAAGAACGCCCUAGCUUGCACCCCAACCAUUAUUGGUAGACCCAAAUAAGUAUCCGAAAGUGCUUCAGUCACAAUAUUAAGCUCUCUACAACAAUUCUCACUUGUGACGACACUGGUAUUAGGACCGAAGAAGAUACUUGACUUGGCAUUACCCACAAUUUGCCAGAGCUAGAACAAUAUAUCUCAAGCACCCCUUUCAGAAUGUUUGCAUUUUGUGUGUCUACUUUCAACAAGAUGAGGAAUUUGUCUAUUAAUAUCAAAUGUGAGAUAGAAGGAGCAUUACGAUAGGAGAAAGGUGUGAUAGCUCCCGUGUACCUAGGCACCCUCUAUGAACAGUAAAAUCAAAAAAUAGAAAACAAAAUCAAAAAAAUCUGAAACUUUGCACCAUCAACGAUGAUCAAACUUUGUAGGUUCCUACAAGUUUUCAUGUCAAAAUAUCAUGUAGAGAAAGAUGUACAAACAAGUUUCAGAUUACAGCUAAAAAGUGCUCAAAACUUCAAGCAUUGAAAUAUUUUCCGUGUGUAGAGCUCCUCGAAUAGUUUUUUGGCAUGAAAACUUGGAAAUACCUACAAACUUUCAUCAUCUUUGAUGCUCCAAAGUUUCAGAUUUUUCUUAUUUUGUUUUCUAUUUCUUUUGAUUUUACUGUUCAUAGAGGGUGCCUAGGCACCCGAGAGCUAAAAUCCACUCUCUUACGAUAGUCAUGUAUUCCCCCUAUACCUCCAAUCUCUUCUCCAUAUGAGAAGAGACCGGACAAGCCUUCAGAACAUAACAGAAAUAAGUAGGGGGACAAGGGAUCCCCUACCUCAAUCCCCUCUUGUGGGGGUGAAUUAUUCCUGCUUUUCAAUAUUAUUGAACCUAACUUUGUCGGUAACCGAGGAAACACAUUCCAUGAUCAUGGUCACCUAGAGCUCAUCAAAUCCCAUUCACAACAUCAUCUUUUGCAGGAAACCCCACUCGACGCGUUCAUAAGCUUUGAUCAUGUCCACCUUCACGGCACGUGUGGGUCUGUUUCUUUAAUACAUGAAAUCAUUUGUAGGCCACAAAUACAUUGUCCGUAAUAAGCCUAUCCGGCAUAAAGACGCUCUGAGUAGGUGAGCUAACUUCUGGAAGGAUGGUUUUGAGUCUGUUUGCAAGCAUCCUAGAAAUGAUCUAAUAGACUACGUUGCACAAAGAGAUGGGCUUAUAUCGUGUGAUUACCUUGGGCUCUCAAGUUUUGGUAUUAAAACAAUAUUAGUUGAGUUCCAACCAUGUGGUAUCUUCGUCUUUUUAAUUGAACCAAGGCCAUGAGUUCAUCUCCUACUAUGUGCUAGAAUCUCUUGAAAAACACUGCAUGAAGCCCGUCGGCGCCAUGGGUCUUCAUAUCGUCGAUUUGGAACAUAUCUUCCCUGACAUCAUCUCUAGUAAAAUCAGAAAUCGAGAGCAUCCACGUAGUUGGAACUUGGAAACAAAUGGUUAUAUAGAGUUCAGUACAACCAUCUCAAUAUCCCCCGCCCGAGAUGUGAAAACUCUAUCAAAGUAAUCUCUAUUUUUUUUUAGAAAAGGACCAAAGUAAUCUGUGAUUAGCGGGCACAGGUUAUCAUUCCCCUCGACCCAGCCACCUGUAUCAUUCCUCAACUUUUUCACUAGAUGCGUUCUUCUCCUAGCUGACGCGAAGUGGUGAAAAUGUUAGUGUAUAGCAAAGUUGAUUGGUGCUAGCAAAGUUGAUUAGUCAUCAGGUAUAGUACUGCUACGUACUAGUGUUCACGUAAACGUCAAGGUGUGGAGUCCGGCUAGGACUAGUAUUCAGGCCAUGUCCUAUCUUAGUACGUUUGGGAGUAUUAGAAUUGGUUAGGCUAUGUUCUAGCCUGAGUAGAAUUAGGAGUUCAAGCACGUGUAGGUUUAGGAGGUAUUGAAUCGGCUGGUGCCUCUUAUAUAUAUACAUAUAAGAUGACCAUUUGAGGCCUUUUAGGCAGCCCAAAAGAGGUGCAAAAGCCCACUACCCAUUAGGGUUAUGACCUAGGGUAAUUUUGGUCUUUGCACGUGAGUGGAUGUGGAUGUUUUACCCUCCAUUCAGGAGCCACCACCUAGUGUGACGAAAAUUAGUUCACCCUUAAUUGGGGAAGUAGAGAGAAAACCAAGCAAGAAAGGGAAGAAGAGAAAGAUUGAAGGAAGAAGCAAAGGGAGCUUCUCCCCAAGGUUGUGAUGAUCCAGAUUCUCCUUCAAGCUGCGGUUCCAUCAUCUUUGGUGAGAUUGUUUCAAUCCCUAGCUCUUGAGUCCCAAAUCUUGUUGUGUUCAUCCAAUAUUCAGAAAUCUUGAUGUAUGAGAUCCUCUAUUGCUAUCUAGAGAAGAAACUUGUUGUAUUCCACAUUUGAUAAUAGUGGAAGAGGAUUUGGGUGGCUUCGGCCCGUGGUUUUCCCCCUCAAGUUGAGGGUUUUCCAAAAUCUAGUGUCUCUUUUGUUGAUGCUUGUUGUUGUCCAGAAAGUUACUCCUGCCACAAGACACUUGUGUGAGGAGCGUCCUGUCUGCCGAGUAACAUUUUCUGCUCCAUAUAUGCUGCCGCAUAUGUUUCCUUCCGUGCUAAGCAACGACCCUUGAGUUAGUACAUGAUGUGGUGCUGAGAUUACUUUGUUUUCGCUGUAAUUUUCAGUUAACCACAAGUCCAUUUGUGUGUUAAUUUCCAACAGUGGCAUCAAAGCUUUGGUUACUUAGAAGGUUGCUAAUCCCUAUUGCUUGAUUGUUUAUGGAAGCGCUGCUCACAAUGACUUUGGAAAAAGCACUACUACAAGUGGCAUGAUUAAAAUUUAUUCUUCCAAUUACUCAUUAUGGAAGCCAUGAUGGAAGACAUCCUUUAUUGCAAGGAUUUGUAUGAGCCAAUUGUGAAAGACAAGAUACCCACAUGAGUCACGGAAGAAGAAUGGAGAGUGUUGCACAGAAAGGCAGUACGUAUGAUUCGGUUGUACAUCAACCACAAUAUAUUUCACCAUGUUGCAAAUGACACAAAUGCAUAUGAUAUGUGGAAGAAGUUGGAGUCUAUAUAUAAGAGGAACACAUCAAUGAACAAGGCAUCGACGAUCAAAAGAAUUGCAAAGCUUGAGUACCGAGAUGGCACAAGUGUGAUUGAGCACUUGAAUGUCUUCCAAUGCCAUAUAAAUCAACUUUCAGCCAUGAAGAUCGACUUUGAGGAUGAGGUGCAAGCAUUGUUACUGCUGAGUUCCAUGCGUGAUAGUUGGAACAUGCUUGUUGUGUCUCUUAGCAAUUCAGCUCUGGAUGGGAAGCUCACUUUGGAGAUGGUGAAAAAUAACAUGUUGAAUGAAGAAGCCAGAAAGAAGGAAAAGGGUGAUGCCUCUUCUUCUAAUGCGUAUGUGGCUGAAACCCAUGGGAAGAAUGAGAACCGCGGACGCAGUCACACCAGAUCUCAGCAAGGCAGAAAUAAAUCCAGGGGGAGAUCAAAGUCAAAACAGCGAAAAUAUAUUACUUACUUUCAUUGUGGCAAUCCGGGACACAUAAAGAGUGAGUGCAGGAAGUAUAAAAGAGAGCUUGCAGAGGGAAACUUGCAAAGAAAACCGAGCAAAAGGCUGAGAGCAGCUCAGCCAUGACUGCAACAGAUGAGGACUAUCUAAUCAUUGAAGAUGAUGAAUGCUAUAGUGUUGUUCGUGACGAUGCCAUGAGUUGGGUUGUGGAUUCAGGUGCAUCCUUCCACAUCAUAUCACACAAAGAGUAUUUUACAUCUUACACUAGUGGUGUCUCUGGCCAAGUAAGGAUGGGAAAUAGUGGUCCGUGAACAAUUGUUGGCAAGGGCUCUAUAUGCAUUGAAACAAAUACAGGUUGCAGGUUGGUGCUCGAUGUUGUGAGGCACGCUCCCGACAUAAGGCUGGAUUUAUUGUCAGUAGGCAAGCUUGAUGAUAUCAAACAUCCUAUUUAUUUGGUGAAGGAAACUGGAAGCUCACCAAAGCCUCUUUGAUAGUGGCUCGAGGAAGUAGGCCAGGAAAUCCCUAUGUGACUAAAACCAAGUAGUGAAGUGAGGUGUUGAACAUUGCUGAAAAAGACACUUUGAUGGAAUUAUGGCACAAGAGGCUUGGGCAUAUGAGUGAGAAGGGCAUGAAUGCUCUUGCUCGCAUGGAGUACCUCCUGAGUUGAAAGGUACACCCUUGAAACCCUGUGCACAUUGUUUUGUUGGCAAACAACAUAGGGUUGCAUUUCAUACACUCCCUCCACACAGUGCAAAAAACAUUCUUGAUAUUAUGCACAUUGAUGUUUUCUCAAUGACUCAAAAAUCUCAUGGUGGAGCAUUAUAUUUUGUGACUUUUAUUGAUGACCAUUGCAGAAAGGUUUUUGUGUAUGUGCUAAAACACAAAUACCAGACACUUGAAGCCUUCAAGGAGUUUCAUGCCAAAGUUGAGAGAGAAACUGUUAGGAAAUUGAAGUGUGGGAGAUCAGACAAUGGUGGUGAAUACCGAGGUCCUUUUGAAAGGUAUUGCAGGAAGUUUGGCAUCAGGCUUGAGAAGAGUCCACCAAAGAUACCUCAGCUCAAUGGUAUUGCACAGAGAAUGAACUGGACACUCACAAAGAGGGUCACAACUAUGCUCUCUCAUGCUCAUUUACCUAAUUCUUUUUGGGCUGAAGCAUUGAUGAAUGCUAUGUAUGUGGUUAACCUAUCUCCUCAGUUCCUCUUACAGGUGAUAUUCCUCAGAGAGUUUGGUCAGGGAAGGAGGUAUCAUACAAGCACCUGAAGGUCUUUGGUUGCAGGGCAUUUGUACAUGUCCCAAUGGACGAGAGAUCCAAGCUUGAUAGCAAGACAAGGCAGUGCAUCUACCUCAGCCAACCAAAUUAAGAGUUCAGCUACAGGUUGUGGGAUCCAAUCAAUAGGAAAAUUGUGAGAAGCCGGGAUGUGGUGUGCAUUGAAGAUGAGAGAAUAAAAUAUAUUGGGAAACUAGAGAAUCCAAUGACCAACACACCUCAGGUUGACAUGGAUCUGAUCCGUCCUCCUCUCGUGCAUGAUAAUCAUGGGGGAGAUGAUGACACUGAAGACAGUGGAGAUGCAACUGGCCAAGGCAGUACAAGUCAAAUUGACGAGCAACCAUCAAGUGAUGAUGAUGAAGGUGGUAAUGAUGAUGCCAACGAAAAUCCAUCUGAUUCACCACCAGUGCAGCAACAAAGAAGAAGUGAUAGAGGUCGCAUUCCUUCUUCUAAGUAUUCAACACAUUAGCAUGUGUUGAUGACUGAUGCAGGUGAGCCCUCGUGCUAUGAGGAGGCAAUGUCUGAUGAGAAUAAGGAAGAAUGGUCACAAGCCAUUCAGGAUGAGAUGAAAUCCAUGUAUGAGAAUGAUACUUUUGAGUUGGUUAAUCUGCGAAAGGGCAUGAAAGCACUCAAGAACAAGUGGGUGUAUAGAGUGAGGACUUAAAAAACACCUCACACCCAAGGUACAAGGCCAGAUUGGUUGUGAAAGGUUUCGGUUAGAAAAAAGGCAUUGCUUAUGAUGAGAUAUUCUCUCAAGUGGUCAAGAUGUCUUCAAUCUGAGUUGUGCUUGGCAUGGCAGCCACCAUGGACUUAGAAAUUGAAUAACUUGAUGUGAAGACUGCAUUCUUGCAUGAUGACCUAGAGGAGGAGAUAUACAUGGAGUAGCCAGAAGGAUUCAUGGUUGCAGGCAAGGAGCACUUAGUUUGCAAAUUGAGAGAGAGCUUGUAUGGCUUGAAGCAAGCUCCUCGGCAGCGGUACAAGAAGUUUGAGUCUUUUAUGACUGGACUUGGUUACCAUAAAGCACAACCUGAUCAUUGUGUCUUUAUGAAGAGGUACGCCGAGGGUGACUUCAUUAUUCUCUUAUUGUAUGUUGAUGAUAUGCUGAUUAUUGAAAAUGGCACAAAGAGGAUUGCUUUCCUCAAGAAGGCAUUGAGUAAAUCAUUUUACAUGAAGGAUUUAGGACCGGCUAAGCAAAUACUUGGCAUGAAGAUCUCCCAUGAUAGAUCAAAGAAGCUUCUUUGGCUCUCACAGGAAAAAUACAGUUAGAAGGUACUUGAAAGGUUCAAUAUGAAAGAUACAAAAUAUGUUAUCUCUCCGCUUGGAGGCCAUCAUAAACUAAAUUCAGAACAAUGUCCUACAAGGAAGAAGGAAAAGGAAGAAAUGAGGAUAGUGCCUUACGAAUCUGUUGUGUGGCUGUUUGAUGUAUGCCAUGGUAUGCACUAUGCCUGGUAUUGCCUACGCAGUUGGAGUUGUUAGCCGGUUCAUGACAAAUCCAGGUAAAGCUCACUAGGAAGUAGUGAAGUGAAUUCUCAGGUAUCUCAAGGGAACGUCUACAUCUUGUUUAUGCUUUGGAAGUGGUGAUCCUGUAUUGCGGGGCUAUACAGAUGUAGAUUAUGCAGGUGACAAGGAUCUUAGGAAGUCCACAUCUAGAUACCUGAUGACUUAUGUAGGGGAAUCAGUGUCAUGUCAAUCAAGAUUGUAGAAAUGUGUUUCUACAUCCACUACAAAAGCUGCAUACAUAGCAGCACUUGAUACUGGCAAGGAAGUUUUGUGGAUGAAGAACUUCUUGCAAGAGCUCGACAUGAAGCAAGAGAAGUAUGUUCUAUUUUGCGACAGUCAAAGUGCUAUCCACCAUGCUAAGAAUUCAAGCUAUCACUCUCGAACCAAGCACAUUGAUGUGAGGUAUCAUUGGAUUCGAGAUAUUGUGAGUUCCAAGUUGCUGAAACUUGAGAAGAUCCAUACCGACGACUAUGCUUCGGAUAUGAUGACCAAGAUAUUGCCAAAUGAGAAGCUACAAGCAUGUUGCAAGGUAGCUGGCAUGGAGGUUCCCCCCUCAUGAGUCAGAGGGGGAGAUUUGUUGGGAUAUCCUCCUCAUGUGGGCGGUGAGAAGAUGACCAUUUGAGGCCUUCGAGGCAGCCCAAAAGUGGUGCAGAACCACACUACCCAUUAGGGUUAUGACGUACGGUCAUUUUGGUCUUUUCACGUGAGUGGAUGGGGAUGCUUUACCCUUCAUCCAUCAGCCACCACCAAGUGUGACGAAAAUUAGUUUAGCCUCCAUUGGAGAAAAAGAGAGAAAACCAAGUGAUAAAGAGAAGAAGAGAAAGAUUGAAGGAAGAAGCAAAGGGAGCUCCUCCCCAAGGUUGUGAUGAUCCAGAUCCACUACCUUGUCUCCUUUAAGAUAUGGUUCCAUCAUAUUUGGUGAGAUUGUUCCAAUCCCUAGCUCUUGAGCCCCAAAUCUUCUUGUGUUUAUCCAAGAUUCAGAAAUCUUGAUGUAUGAGAUCCUCUAGUGUUAUCUAGAGAAGAAACUUUUUGUAUCCCACAUUUGAUAAUACUAGAAGAAGAUUUAGGUAGCUUCGGCCUGUGGUUUUUCCCCUCAAGUUGAGGGGUUUUCCACGUAAAUAUCUGGUGUCUCUUUUCUUGAUGCUUGUUGCUAUCCAGAAAGUUACUUGUGCCACAAGACACUUGUCUCGGGAGCGUCUUGUCUGUUGAGUACCAUUCUCUCCUAUCGACUGACCCAUCUCUAUGCUAUCCAAAUCAAGAACCCAGUGGUCGCCGCCACAGGUAGGACCCAGUCCAUUUCCCCGGGCGCUCGCUAUGCCUGCAGGUCGCCGCCACGGAGAGGCCCCAGGCCGCCACCUGGGUGUUCACCUCACAUGCAGGUCACACUGCCGGGAGGCCCCAGGCCGCCACCUGAGUGCUCGCCUCACUUGAAAGUCGUGCCACGGGGAGGCCUCAGGUCGUCGCCCGGUCGCUCGCGUCACAUGCAUGUCGCGUUGUCUCCUCCAGAUGCGGCCGCACUGUCGCACUACUUCAUUUUCUCCACCUCCGGUGAAGGCCGCCGCUGCCUCGAUCUCUAACUUCGGUGACCCGCGUGACGUACUACUGGCGCUCAUGGAGGACCUGGUGUCACCGGAGCAGCUGACGACGGUUGCUCGUCGUCGUCCCUCCCGUAGUCAUCGCCGCCGGCGACGGGGACUACGGACUAGCUCUGGUCUUCCUUCAUGGGGAAUUUUAUAAGAAAGUGAUAGAAAUGACAUGUGGACCUCAUUUGUUGAUGGUCAAACUUAACGGCGAUGACUUUUUCAGUCUUGACAUGUGGGCCAACACGGUCAUAAUAAAGUUUAAACGCGAUGAAUCGGGUGCUUUACAAUUUUUUUAGUUUUUGAUCACAAAUUAGCAAAAAAGUGGUAGUUUUCAACACAAAAUCGUAAAGUGGUAGUUUCUAGGCAUAGAUCGAUGGAAUGUGGUAGGUUGUUUGUCAAUUAGUCCCUUCACCGCCACCUAGAGGAGCCAUCGGGUGAAGCCCGGCUGACGUAGGCGAUGAUGUGGCCACUUUUUCCCCUCCGCGUCGCUUCCUUGGCGAUGCUGGAUAGCUGGCCACCGAAGGCGCCAGGCUAUGGCGGUGCUUGGCGGCAUGGCUUCAAGAGCUCAUAGUGGCGGCGACAUCAUCAAGUGGCGGCAUGAUGUCCCUCUGGCGCUUGGAGGUGGCACGGUGACUGCGGGUGCAUCUUCUCGGAUGGUUGCGAAUUAGCUAUGUCUGGCGUGGGGGCUGGUGGUGGCGGUGUGUGUGCACCUCGCUUGGGUUGGGCCUCUCCGUCUACGACCUGAUCGACGAUGGGCAGUACGGCACACCUUCUCCGGGGCUCCUCCUCGACGGCUGGUGGUGGAUGUUGCGGCUCUCAAGUUAGUGUGCAAUCGAUGGUUGGUCGUCCCACAUGGGUCCGAGACGAAGGCCAUCGUGGGGCAAUACAGGAGGUGUCCGGUGGGGUGGCUGUCAGGAGGGAUGGGGUUAUUUGUGGCCCUUCGUCGCCGGCUGGGGUGUCGGCCGUGGACUUGAACCACUACUACUCCUCCACCUUUUCCCCGGACUAGUGCUCCCUAGUCUUAGAUAUGUCAUUGUUUUGGACAAGGCGGUCGCUGACAGCUCGGUAUGUGGUCGGUGUGUCGGUAAGGCCGAAGUCGGUGCCUUGGUUAAUCGUGACGAUGUCGGGUUGUAGGGUGGCGACCCUGACGGUGGGAGGCAAAAAGUCGGAGUGUGCAUCUUAGGUGCCGGUGGGCAAUCGUGGCCAUGCAGUGGCAUGGUUGGUGGUGGUUGACAAUGCUGGGGUGUGACGGAUGGGUUUGAACGUCGGGGUACACCAGUUGCCCGGUCGUUAUACUGGCCGACAGUGAUGAUGGUUGGUGACGUUGUAUUGUUCCCAAAGGCUCCAUUGCAACGUUUCCACUCUUGUCAUCUUGCUUCCGGUGAAACCUGAUCUUCGGAGCCGGGCGGUGACGGCUAUCCAUGGUCGUACCCUUCUAGGAGGCAUUGUCUUGGUGUCCUACCGGUGUGGUUGUCUGUCUCACCUCUAUGUUGUGGUUGCUCAUGUUGGAGGUCUCCGUCGGCUCCUAGCGGUCUUUCUGGAGCAUUGUAGUCUGCUUGAAUGUUGAUAGGGUGGUGUGUCGGUGCCUGGACCUUUAUAUCUUGGCUUGAGUGUGUGUUAUGUCUGUUGGAGGUAGGAAUUUGUAUUGGACUCUCGGUUGUCAUUGGCGUUGGUUGCUCAUAAUUUAAAGUUGGGGAAACCUUUUUCCCUCAAAUGAAGAUCACAUUUGGAACACACUAAGGCAUGCCCUAUAAUAUAAGGCAUGGGCGUAGUUUUAGGUCGUUAAUUUGACUACUUAAAUAUGUAUUAUAUGUAAUAAAUAAUAUAUCAUUAGAUUUAUGCGGAAUGUAGUUUUUGAAUAUGUAAGUUUUUUGUACAUAAUAUAUAUUUAGCUAGUUAAAUUGACAACCUAGAAUUACGUGCAUGCCCUAUACACUUGGACAGAGGUAGUACACUACAUUGGCAGAGUCAUAUCUAACCCUCUCUUUAAUGCUUAAGAUAUGAUUCUGGUUCAUAAAUGCUACAUCAUCACAAAAAUGUCAAAACAAAUGCACUAUAAUGUUGAAUGGACGAAGUAAUGUGCGUUAACUGUUCUUGUGAAAAUAGAUAUGGAACAUGCAGGAGAGGAUGUGCAUCCAUACAAUUGAAGAUUUGACGUCUCCAUUUACUUGCGUCAUUUCCCUUCCCGACCGUCCAUAUUUAGUUACUGGUUCGGAAGAUGGCCUUGUUCGUUUUUGGAGCUCCUCCAAUUACAGGUAAUGAAUUUACCACAAUAAUUUGUACUAUGAGUUAGUAUAAAACACGCAUGAAAUAACGCGAGUGCACCUUCACAUUGGUGAGCUCUCUGGAAAGUUUGUGAACAACUAAAGUAGAGUCGUCGAUCAUCCAAUGAUCCGCACAUGGCCUAAUGGAUAAUAUUAUUUCUUAAUCCAGGCUUGAGAGGAUAUUUGACAUUGGCAUCCUGCAAUAUAGCUCCGAAAGCUUAAGGGAAGUUCGUGCACUGCAAUAUUUGAUGGAGUCUAACAGGUAGUGAAUACAUAAUAUAUUCAUAUUCUCGAUAUUUGUUUCCUGUUGACUUCUGUGAGCAUUGUUAGGAAUAAGCCGUGGCUGGGCUCGNNNNNNNNNNNNNNNNNNNNNNNNNNNNNNNNNNNNNNNNNNNNNNNNNNNNNNNNNNNNNNNNNNNNNNNNNNNNNNNNNNNNNNNNNNNNNNNNNNNNAAAAAAAAACGUGUUUUUUUCGUGAGAGACAUGAUUUUUCUUCCGCGAGAGGUACGUUUGCACCUAUCGAAAACGAAAAAAACGCGUUUUCUAUUUAUUUUUUUCUAUCAGAAGAGAUGAACUUUUCACGAUGUGACUGAAAAAGUUAUUUUUUCGUGUCUAGCUGGAUGCAUCGGGGGCGGCACCUACCGCUGCCCCCAGUGCUCAUGCCCUUAGAGCAAGUACAAUAAGGUACAUUCAGCAGGUUGUAAGGAUUAAAGUACUAUAUUUUUGCUGAGUUGGAUGAGAAAGAAGAGGAGNAAUGGGCCAUAUAUGAUAAAAAUAAUACUCUUUUAUAGCCAACUAUUGUACAAGCUAGCUAUCAGACGGGCUAUAAUACUGCUUAUAGCUAACAGUUGGCUAUACUAUUAACCAUGCUCUUAGAUCACUUACUAGCUAGCACGGGGAAUUAACAAGUUUGAAAAGAGUGACCAGCUGGCAUGCGAGCAUAUUGUGGAUGGAUUGGAGCCCAUUCCAAAGCAAACAUACUGAUUGAGUUGAGCUAGUGGGAUGGUCCUCCUAUCCUAGAGCAAACGUACUUUGAUUGUAUUUCGUUUUCUUUUUUGCGAGGUUAACUUACUGUGAUUCUCAUGAUCAACAGCAGAUAGAUGUGAUUGUCAGCUAUUAUUUCUUCUUCUUUUUUUGAGAGGUUAACUUACUGCGUCCUCGUCCCUGCCCGCCUUUCCGUGUCUCUUCGCCGUCGCCACCGACUACCGUUGGACUCCUCAUCGGGAGCANNNNNNNNNNNNNNNNNNNNNNNNNNNNNNNNNNNNNNNNNNNNNNNNNNNNNNNNNNNNNNNNNNNNNNNNNNNNNNNNNNNNNNNNNNNNNNNNNNNNUAUCGCGUGGGGCCUCCCUGUCAUAGACACCGGGUGCGUUGGCCCCACCGGUAAGUGACCUUAGGCCAAAAUAAUCGAUUUUAUCCAUAGAUAUAAACAUGCAAAUAUCGUAUUCCUCCAAAUACCUAUAUACGAAAUACAUACAUCGCACUUCAUACAUACAUACAUUCAUAUACACGGAAUACAUCAUUUGUUUUUAUUUUAUUUAACUCUCACACUCACAUCUCUCUCUGUCAACAGACAACACAGAACACAACUGUGUGCUAACUCAACAUAGGAGAACACCUUCUUCACAUCCUCCUAACGGUCACUACCAUCGAUGGAUCGGGGUCGCGUUUGCCGGAAUGGAACCGGGACGGUGAGGGGAACGCGACGGUGGGAGGAUCUCGAGGAGGGGCUCACCAACGUUGAUGAGACGGCCCGAUGAAGCCGGAGUUCGCGGGAAGCGGAGGUGACGGCGAGGAGGAGGACGAGGUGGUGACGGUGACGGCGCGGUUCCGGUGAGGACGGUGACGGCCGUUCCGGCGAGGAAGAAGUGUUGGGGAGGCCCGGUGGGGGAGGGGCUCGCCGGCGGGAUGGAGGNNNNNNNNNNNNNNNNNNNNNNNNNNNNNNNNNNNNNNNNNNNNNNNNNNNNNNNNNNNNNNNNNNNNNNNNNNNNNNNNNNNNNNNNNNNNNNNNNNNNGCAUGAGAUGUUCACCGCCACGCUCGCCGCCGUCCUGUCCACGACGCUGGACUCGCUCCUCGAACGCACGCAGCCGUCCGACCACCUCGUCGAACGCCAUGGCCGUCGUGUCGCAGAACUGUUCGAUGCCGGCGACGACGGGGAAGAGGCGAUCCGGCACGGUGUCCAGUAGCUUUUUCACCAGCGCCUCGUCGUCCAGUGUCUCCCCGAGACUCGCGUAGAGCGCCGCCAUCCCGGCAAGCCUUCCAGCGUACACCUCCAGGGUUUCGCCGUCCGCCAUCUUCACGCGAUCGAAAUCUCCUCGCAGCGUCGCCAGCCUCGCCGCGCGCACCCGAUCGGCGCCGACGAACCUCACCUUCAGGGAGUCCCAUAUCUCCCUGGCGGUGAGCUUCGUCGCCACCUGCAGCAGUACAUCCUCCGGCAGCGUCCCGAGGAGCAGUGCCCGCGCCGCCUUGUCCUUCCAUGCCUCCACCGCCGCCUUGCCCGGCGCCACCGCCUCCCACACGGUGUGGACGUCGAGAAUCGCCUGCGCCUUGAUCGCCCACACCGGUGUAGUUGUCUGGCGUGAGCAUCGGCAUCUCCAUCGACACCGAUCCGCUCGCGCCGCCGCCAUGUGGGACGAGCGCCAUGGUCCGCAGUGAUCUCCUGAACCGAAGCUCUGUAUACCAAUUGUUGGUGCAGCCGAGUUCCUGCACCUAGCUCUCUCUCUCUCUCAGCUGGAGGUAGAAGAAGGACGGGAGAAGAAGCAGCAGGGAGACGCAGCAGUUUUUCUUUCCAGCGCACAAAGGCUGCUGCCGCACGUACGGCCUAUAUUCCCUCGAGCAACAAACUCGAUGCCACACCAUUACAACGACGCUGCAGCGCAUAUAUACUUGGGCCAGUGCUUGGCCACGACCUGCACGCCUCUACCCACUUCCGCGCUUCGUUCGGCCCGCUCUGGACGCGCCCGCGACGCACUCCUCGCACGCACNNNNNNNNNNNNNNNNNNNNNNNNNNNNNNNNNNNNNNNNNNNNNNNNNNNNNNNNNNNNNNNNNNNNNNNNNNNNNNNNNNNNNNNNNNNNNNNNNNNNGUAGAGCUGGAGGAGGAAGGCCCACGCGCCGCCGGUCGCCCGCGGGAGCGACGCGGUCGCGAGAGUGAGAGGCGAGUUUUAUUCUGUAUCAGGUAAUUUCACACUCUUAUAUUCGUUUUCAAAUAAAAAAAUCUAAGCAAUUUUUUGGCACAUUUUACACAUUUUGAAAGUCCAGUUAAAUACCUUAAACUCCUGAGGACUACUCCCUCCUUUCCGGUUUAUAGGGCUCAUCUCAAAACUUUUAGAUUUCCAUUAUAUUAGUAGGCUAAUUUUGAGUCUAAGUGAGUUAAAGUGCUUUAAAUCUCACGCCAUAUUUAAUUCAUAGAGUUUAGAGAAAGGAAAUGAGUGGCUAUGCAUGCAUCGUUUUCUACAUCCACCAUGCAAGUCCAAUGAAAAGAAAGAUGCUACAUUUAUUAUCUUGGAAAUUGAAUAUGUGAGAAAUAUUUCAUUGGCUAGUUUAAACUAGUGUCAUCCACUCACAAUUCACCUUGGUUGAUAAGAUUUUAGAUUUGAACCCUAUAAACCGGAAAUGAGUAUUGGCGUGUAUUUAAAGAGCUCAUGAGAAUUAAUGGCACGAGAAUAAUGUCACUGGGACAACCUGUUGCAUUUUAAAAACAGUAACCUUUUUGGUACUAGGGUGUAUAAAAGUAUGAAGUUCUACGUACGUGGAAGGGCCCUUUUGGCUCUUGGGAGCAUAUCGAGUGAAUAGUAAAUUAAAACGAAUAGUAAAUAAAUUUAAUAAUUACGAUUUUUGUGUGUGGAUGUUCAUCUUAGUCUAACAAGCAUGCUUCACCAUUUUCAUGUGAAACGGGAUAGCGGUACUUCGUCGAUAAAAAAAAUAAGUGUAGUGUUUGUAGGUAACAUUCGGUGUUUGAUUAGUUUUUUUUCGCACAGCUCAAAAUGCUUAAGAUUCUUCACUAAAAAAUAGUAAGUAGCAUUUGGGUGUGACAAAGAAACACAUCUGAUUUUUUCAUUUGCAAAAAGUAUUUUUGUGGGCAGGAAUAUAUGCUCCCAACAGCCAAAUUGGAUUUAUGUACGUACAUAAGUUAGUAAGUAGUAUCAACUAUUGGCUAGCGGAGAAGAACUUAAAAAUAUACUAGAUGGAAAUGCAAGUUCUUGCAGUUUCAUACCAAAUUACCAAUACACAGCAGGAAGAGAAGUGGUAUGAUGCUUGUUGGUGCAGCCGAGUUACUGCACCUAGCUCUCUCUCUCAGCUGGAGGUAGAAGAAGGACGGGAGAAGAAGCAGCAGGGAGACGCAACAGUUUUUCUUCCCAGCGCACAAACGCUGCCGCCGCACGUACGGCCUAUAUUCCCUCGAGCAACAAACUCGAUGCCACACCAUUACAACGACGCUGCAGUGCAUAUAUACUUGGGCCAGCGCUUGGCCACGACCUGCACACCUCUACUCACUUCCGCGCUUCGUUCGGCCCACUCUGGACGCGCCUGCGACGCGCUCCUCGCGCGCACACNNNNNNNNNNNNNNNNNNNNNNNNNNNNNNNNNNNNNNNNNNNNNNNNNNNNNNNNNNNNNNNNNNNNNNNNNNNNNNNNNNNNNNNNNNNNNNNNNNNNGCUAAUUCUCCUUUUCCACAAAAAAGGUUUGGAGUACUUGCCAAUGGAAGGUGUCCAUAAAACUCGUUGUAUAAUACAAAUGCCGACCUAGGGAAAGCCGAUAGCUCGGAGACAAUUAGCCCGUAGCUACAAGCGAAUAUGUCCCAGAUAUAUGACGAUUAUUUAACAUUAUGGUAGCGUGCGCUACUGCGCUUUGGUUUUCAGAUCCACUCCUGUCGUUGGAACUUCAUGGUUUCUGAACCGGAAUUCUCAAUGUUGGCCCUUGGUAACAAGUGCUUCUUCAUCGCUGAUAUCUAUGAUUGAUACUCUAUUCCAAUGCCCAAUAGCAAUUCUACAAGACAAAGAUACUCUUAUUUUCAAGUUUGGCAUGGCAGAGAAAAUAAGAACAAAAUAAUGAGGGCUCAUUCGGUCUGGAGGAAACCAAAACGUAAGAAUUAGUAGUAUAGGGAUUUGACAGGUGGCACUUGUAAUUCUAAGAAAUUGACUUCCCUAAAUGAGCUUUAAGUGGAUGUGUGGAUUCCUCGAGUGAAAUGCGCCACUAGUCCACGAACUCAAACUGGUUGCACACUUUAGACCAUUAACUUAGAAAGUGAUUGGAUUUAGUCCAUAAACUCAAUUGUUUGAUCAAAUAAGGCCAAAACCGCGUAGAGAAGAGAACCGGCCACAUGCUUGCCACAUUAUCGUUUCUUAGACCAUUCUGUAACUAAAUAUUUUUUACAGGGACCUAUUUGCAAAUAAACCAUUUUUUC